rnacentral:lncRNA from 1 species
AUCUAUUUCAACAUAAGGUAUAUGGGUUAACAAGUCCCAAUAUUGUCCUCCAUCCUUUCUGCACUUCUCUUCUAUCAACCGACAUCUCCAGAUGUCUAAUUGCAAAAGUGAGGAAGGCAGGCCCUUCUCCGGAAAGUAUUUGAGCUUGGGACAUUCCCAGAGAUACAAUUCAGUGAGGUUUUGAAGAUCAACAAUUGAAGAAGAUAGGCGUUCCAGAUUUGGAAAUUUAUAAAUGCUCAGAGAUGUUAGAGAGGCAGGAAGAGGAAGCGCGGUCCCUAAUCUUUUGUCCUCUAGUGGAAAUGACGCCAUGUCGUCAUCGCAUCCUCUGAUUUCAAGACGUCGCAGAGAGGAGAAUCUGUGAAAUCCCCGUCCCCGCUCAAUCAUUGACUUCCAAAUCUCCAUAUUACCCCAAAUAUCAAGUGACUGAAGGUUGGUGGGGAGGCCAUCUUCUUCUUCAAGGCUUGGAAGCGCACCUCCUUUUCCUAUUGUUAAUUCUUGAAGAGAGCUCAGAUUGUGCAUUCCCUUGGGUAAGGCCUCUAGUCUCUUACAAUUAGAUAUCGCCAGCCUCCUGAGUUUCGCACAAGGCAAUCCCCCUUCGGGAAAGGACACCAGAUUUUUACAACUAUCUAUGCUGAUUGUUUCAAGAGAUGUGUUGUUGUCCAACCUUUCUGCUAUUGACUUCAACUUUGAACAACUCCAAACAACGAGGGACUUAAGAGACGAAGGUGGAUUGCCAACUUCAAGGGACUCAAGCGUGGCAGGUAACUCGUUUUUUGAAAAUAUACAUGUCAGAGAUGGACAACUAAUAAUUUCUAAGUGCUCGAGAAGAGAUGAGGUGUACCUUCUGCUGCUGCUGCUACACUGGAUGCCCUCUUCCACUGUCAAAGUCCUUAUAUUAUCACAAUCUCUGAUGCUCAACUUCUUAAGGCUCGGUGGCAGCUGGACAGCAGCAACAUAUGUCAACGAAUGGCAAUUCAGAAUAUUCAAGAUCUCGAGAGACGAAUUGGUGUCGCACAUCCAUGCCUCUGGUAACGAUUUCAGUGCACCACAAUACCUAAUCUCAAUUUCCUUCAACUUGGAAGGCAGAGCAACCUCAGGAAAGGAAACAAGGGAACUGCACUUCCAGAUUUCUAUCUCUCUCAAGGAACUGAGGCUGAACGAUGAUUGUGGCAGCUUCACAAGGCCUUCGCAAUUACUCAAUCUUAGAUAUUCAAGUCUGCAUGACAACUCGCAGAGCUGCUGUUGUUGGUCUUUCUUUUCCUCCGCCACCAAGGAUUGAAGUUUGGGACAGCUUGUAAUCGUCAGUCUUUUGAGAGAGCAAAUGUCUUGCAGUAAUUCGUUAUGACUCUUCCAUAUAUGUGUUUCAUUUUUAAUAUUUUUUAUCUCCAAUUCUUCCAGUUUUGGUAUUCGCGGCUUCAAUGGCCCUGCGAGAAACACUUGAUUUGAUGUAUCUCUACAAACCACUGCAUUCUGUGAGCCGAGAUGAUCAAUUGCACUUCUCCACACAACCUUUUUACAUCCACGAAUUACCAAUUUGCAAAGAGCUGGAAGACUCCUAAUUGAAAUUGACAAUUCUUCGCAUUGUUCAAUAACAAGCAUCUCCAAUGCAGGAAGCUGCUCUGGAAAUGUUCCUUGCAGUUUAGAACAUCUUAAAAUGUGAAGCUCUCUCAAUUUAGGAAACCCUUCAACUCCCUGACUGGAUCCAUGAGGAAACCACUCUUCCCACUCUUGCAGGUCUUCAAAAUGAAGAGUCUCCAAGCAUGUAAAUGGAAUUUGAGAGUCAUCCCCAUAGAACUCUGAACCCAAUCUCUUUACUCUACUCAUUCCACGCACUGUAAGAUGCUUCAGAGAGGGCAGUUGGCCGACUGACGGCAGGGCAGUACACAUGCCGCAAUCUUCAAAUUUAAGUGUUACUAAAUUUAAGAAUGAGGAAUCUCCUAACCAUGUUGGAAAUUUUGUACCUCCAUAGCCACAGAUGCCAAAUUGUUCCAGAUUUUUAUGGGGUUUGAGCAUGUCAAGCACACCCAUUUCAGUUUCUGCCUCCCUUGAAGAUGAACCAUCGGUGCUGCAAGUCCAAUUAAGCGAUAAUUCUCUAAGAUUCUUCUUUCCAUCCAACCGAGCCUCCUUUGCAUCACCAAUGUCUUUUACAUUCUCUAAUUUUGAAAUUUUAAGUGUCCCCUGAAGAUGUAUCAAUGACUUUAGCUCUCGUAACCCAGAACCAUUGUCUUUUCCCACAGCAAAAUUACCCAGCGUUUGAAGACAAGUCAGCUUACCAAUUCCUAGUGGCAUUUCCUCCAAGGAAUCUGUAUUUGAAUUAUUGAGAUGAUGCAAUUUGAUGAGAUUUCCCAUGUCUGCACACAACUUCUUCAGUCGUCGACAGCCCUCCAAAAGAAGGGUGUGCAAGUUGUAAAGCUUGCUGACUGAUUCAGGCAGAGUUUUAAUCUCAGUUCCAGACAGGUUAAGGUGCCUUAAAUACCUCAAAUCACCAACUGAAUCCGGCAGCUCGGCGAUGCAAUAUCCACGCAGAGAGAAGACCCUUAAGCUUUGGAGUUUGAACAACUUAGGAAGAAUGCUAUGAGCCAAGUAUCCAUGCCGACUAUUUAACAUCACUGGUAAAAAAGUUCUCAAAUGUUGGAUAUCAUACAAUUUCUCAAACCUUUGAACGCCAUCAUAAUCUCCACGAAUGUACGACAGAUAACGAAGAUUUCUAGAAAAACAUUGUUGCUUGUUAACCUCCGAGGUAUACUCCAGUGUGAAGUAUGUCUCCCCUGCAGCCCAACGGGCAAGGUCGUUGAUAAGAUCGUGCAUAACAAAUCGUGAUAUACUGUUGCUCGAUUGCUGGAAAAAAGAUCUUCCACGUAGCUCUUGAAAGAACUUUCGACCGAGAUCUUCACUAGGAUUCCCACUCUCUCCGUGAUUCAAGAAACCCACAGCACUCCAUAAUAAAAUUAUCUCCCCCUCUUCAAAUUCAUAAUCCUUUGGAAACAAUGAGCAAUACGCAAAGCAUUGUUUCAAAGGUGCCGAAAGAUAAUAGUAGCUCACUCUAAGCGCCGGCAUAAUGUCACAUCUCUCUUCUUGCAAUUCCCAUAUCUUGGUACUGAGCACUCUCUCCCAAUCACAUCUGUCAUCUUUUCCUCGCAAAAGUCCUCCAAGUGUUUGCGCUGCCAAGGGCAAGCCAUCGCAUUUGGCCACUAUCUUCUUGCCAAUUUCCUCCAAUAACUUAUCUGACCCCAAAGAGUGUUGAGCGAACACAGACAGACAAUCAUCAUUUGACAACUUUUUCAAUUGAUAAGCCCGAACAGUCCCCAUGAUGGCUGCAACCUCUUGAUUACGAGCUGUGACAAUAAUCUUACUUCCCGGUGCGCCAGCUUCAAAUGGAGGUCUGAGUCGAUCCCAAUCAUUGUAAUUCUCAUUCCAAACGUCAUCUAAAACAAGCAAAAAUUUUUUUCCAGAUAACUUCUUCUUCAGCUCCUCUUGAAGCUUAUUCAAGUUGUGAUUAUCCACGUUCUGGUCAGGAACAAUGGAUAUCAAGAUUGUUUUUGUUAGCCUGAAAACAUCGAAAUCAUCAGAGACACAAGUCCAUGCCUUGAGAUCAAAAUGAUCCUGCACUUGCUUAUCAUUGUAGACAAGCUGAGCAAGAGUGGUUUUGCCCAGCCCGCCCAUACCUAUGAUAGGAAUAACAGAGAAUUCACCAUCGUUGCUUAAAUCAUCCCUCAAAAGCAGUUCUACAACAUCCUUCUUUUCUGUUUCUCUGCCAUAUGCUUUGGCUUCCUUCACCAAAGAAGUUGUCUCUCGCCUUUGCCUGUCUUUUAUGGUCCUCCCACCUGAACUUACGUUCAAACCCAGCGAAUCCUUCUGAGUUACAAUUUCUUGAAAUCUGCCGUUGAUCUCUUUGAUUUUGGACAUUAUGGCGUAAUCGAACUGAAUCGAUUGUGGAGCAAAAGUGGUGCAGCAAGUGGGAAUGAGCUUCCGAAACUUACUUGUUCUUGUACGACUGCUACUGGGUUGAUCAAGAGCAGCAGCAGGUUCUCCAUUUCCAAGCAGCAACUUCCUCCGGAAAACCUCAGUUUGAAACUCAUCCAACAGGUCCUCAACAUCAUAAGCCAAGUUCUGAAGCUCGCCAAGCCACAACUUCACAGACUGAUCAGUCGUUUUCUUCUCCUCAGCAUCAGCAAGCACCGCCUUGAUCAUCACCAACAUAUUCUUCCACUUCUUUAGGUCGGCCUGGAUUUGCUCUUGGCGUGCAAACAACCGAAUCCCCUCUGAAGCUAACUUAUUGACCAGCAAAUCAACGGAAGCCGUAAGGAUUGCCUCUCCGAUGAUUGACAUUUUUUUUUUGUUUUUGUUUUGCAAAGAAAGAAACAGAAUUUUGAGUUUUGAAAAGCAAAAUGAGAAAAUUGAACAGUAAGUGUGGAGGGUCAAGCAAAAUGCGCGUAACAAGUCUUCCGCUUGUUGUUUAUUCCAGUAAAGCUAGAAUAAAAACAGAGCCCACCACCCAUUAAUAAUAAUUGAGCAAUUCACCAACCACCAAUCACCAGUCACCACUACUCGUUACCAUGAAUAUAAUAAAUUGCAACUUGAUAUUUGCAGGGUCCAGCAACAUUGACCCAGUGUCCGGGUAAAUGCUGAUAAAUCAAAACGUUUAUCUCUCUCUCUCUUUUCCAUAAAAUUACUUUAUUUAUUGAAUUAAUUUCCAUGCUAAAACGAAGACUUAAAAGUGCACUACAAUUUUUUAUAAUCACAAUGAUAAUUCUUACUAUCAUGUUAUCUUAAUGUCGUGUCAAAAUAAAUUAUAACAAAGUUUUUUCUAUAUGAAUACUCUUUUCAUUUAUAAAUUUUUCAGUUUUUAAUAUUUUUCUCACUCUUUUAGUCUUAAUAUUUGUAUUCCUCUCUUCAAACUUUCUUAAUUAUUUAAUUUUUAAAGAAAAAUCUAAAAAAAAGUAAGAAAAACAUUAUACUUAGAAAAUAAUGAAUAUUUUAUGGGUAUAAUACAAUUUUGUCUCACCUAUAAAUUUGUUGUUUAGCAAUUAGUUUGAGAAUUUUAAAAAAUUAUUUACAGUAGGAUAAAUUUUUAUUUAAUUUAUUUUUUCACAAUAUUGUAUCUUAAUUAAUUAAGUUGUUAUGUUUAUUACAAAAAUUUUGUUUUGGCUUAGAGGAUUACUUCUUAAAUUCAAAUUAUUUUAAUGAUAAUAAAAGAUAUUUAUAUUGUGUAAACAAAAUAAAAUUGAAGAGAGAAAGAAAAUAUAAAUGACUUAAUUCUAUUUAUAUUUGUCCUUAAAAUGUAAUUGUAAUAGAAUAAGGGUUUUAUAAGAUUAAUGAAGGGAUACCGAUAGUCCUACUCUUAUGGAAAAUGGCAGUAAAAAUGGAAUGUAUCCACUACAAACCUUCGCUUUACAAGUCUUCAAUCAAACAUGUAUUGAUUUGUAAAAGGAUCACUAGCAUCCGAUUAUUGGGAGGUAUUAUGGAGAAGUCACGCUUAGUAUUUACAAUUCAUGUAAGAUGAAUUUGUAAGACUUAUUAAUUUCGAUGAAAAUAUAGAUUUAUUAAGUUACUAAUUCAUUAAGUUAACAUGAGAUAUUAAUAUUUACUAAUUGUGGCGAUUAAUUUAUUUAACUUGUCAUGAUUUUCAAUUAAGAAGGAAGUUCAGUCAAUUUAUGGAAAGAAGGAUAAUUUUUUUUUUCAGAAUUUUAAUUUCUAGGAUUUUAUUUCACUUUGUUUCGAUUGUUGAUGUUGCUAAAGAGGCAGUGAAAGUUUGCUGAAUGCCAUCAGAUGCUUGUAUCUUAUCUCACAAAAUGUCAAUAUCGGUUUGUUUCCCUAUAGGCGCAGCCAUCAUGAAUUGAAAGUAACAACGUGAUGAGCAUAUAACAUAUACAUAUUUUACCAUUAAUUAUAUAAUUGUUAGUUAUUUUUAUUUGUUAUUUUUAAUUAAUUAAAUUAUUUUGUUGAAUAAAAAAUUAAUUAGAGAUUCUAGAUAAAAAGGGCAUGAAGAAGUUUAAUUUGGGAAGCAAAAAAAAAUAAAUUGAAAGAUAAAAAUACAGACAAGGAUUAAUGGAAUCCAAGCCGAAAAAAUCAAAGCACAAGGAUUUUCUUAAUGUCAUUAUUUAGGCAAGGGUUUUGAUGCAGCGGAAGUUUAAGAGAAUCAAAUCUGAAGAAUUUAUUAAGAGAAUCAAAUUGGAAGUUUUGAUGCAGCAAAAAAAAACUGAAGUUUGAAUUUCACUCACAUAGGUAAUAAGAGAAUUAAAUUAUUGUUAGAUUAAAUUGAUUAAAAAAAAUUAUCUGAUAUCCAAAACAGCAUAUCAACAAAAUUGAAAUAAAAGAAAAUUGAAGAGAAAAACCAUCGAGAGAACGAAAAUUAACACACGAAAAUUUCGAUAACUUCACUUAUUAAAACUUGGUUAUUUCAUUUUCAUUGAUAAUCAUUUUGACACCGGUCAAAUUUAAAAGUUUAAAUAAUGGGGGCGCUAUUUCUUUCCAGCUAUGCCCAUCGACUAAUUAAAAUACCGCCGAAACAGUUCAGGGAUAGUAUAGUAAUUUCAUUUAACAGUUUUCGUGCUUCAAAUCAUCAAAUCAAACUCACGGUUUCCGACUUGUAAUGGGUGCAACUCAUGUUUUUCAAACAUUAAGAUCUUUUGCCAUUCUGUUACUAUCCCAUGGUUAUUUAAGUUACAAGAGACAGUAAAAAACAUCAUCAUAUUUUAACGUCCUUUGAAUAUUUGAAGAGGUUAAAAUUUAGGCAGUGUUAUAUAAAAUAUAAUGUAAAUUAGUCUCAGUAAUUGUGUAGUUGUAUGUGAGAAAACAUACAAUGUAAAAGUGUGUGUGAGAAAACAAAAAAUAUGAAUCACCUUUGAUGUAGUUGUAUGGUUGUAAAGAAUUAGAUGGAGAAAUAUAGUAUAUAAUUAAAUUUAUUUUGUUCUUUAAAACGGAUAGGUUUUAUGCAAAUUUUUCAGAGGAGUGCCAAUAUUUCAACUCUAUCAUUGCUAUUAGUUUGUCUUGUAAUUCAAUCAUUGCCGACAAGUAUUAAUUGUGACUAUUAUUAUUUUAAAAAUAUUAUUAUUAUUAUCGUCGUUAUUCUUAACAGCAAUGACUAGAAUUAUAAUAAUAACAAUAACGUCAAUACAAUAAUAUAACAACAUAAUAAUAUUUUAAUUGGGGUCUUCCACCUGGGUAUGCAUGAUUCCUUGUGACAUGAUAUAGGGUGCGUUUGGGAUUGAGGUUAGGCAGCUGUAGCUUAAAAGCUACAGCACUAAAGUGUUUGAUAAACACUAACUGCUGUAGCUUUUAAGCUAUAUUGAUAUGAUUUUUCACUUGUAUAAUACAAAAUCUAUUAUAUCUUUAAAAAUUUUAUCAAAAUUAUUAUUUAAAAUUUAUAUUUACUAUAUAUUAUUAAAUUUUGUUUCAUAAUUACAGUUUUUUUUUCACAGCAGCUGUAGCUUAAAAGCUACAACACCUCAAUCCCAAACGCACCCAUAGAGCCAAUUAAAUUCUGAAAUGCGUGCAAUAAAGACUGUAAAGUGACCAGUUAUUCCGGUUGAAUUCACAAGAGCUCUUGUUUGUGUGUUUAUGUUUCAAGUUGUGUACUCUGUGUUACGAGUUCUCUAAUUAGUCUGAUAUUAUCGCAAUUAUUGCUCAAUAAUGUUACAAGUAUUAUAAUAUAUGUCACUAGUACGGUCGUUGUCUCGAGUGGUACACAUUAAGGCACAAAUUUAGAACGAAAAGCUUCCCAGUAAAAUAAGUUAUUUAAUUAAUUAAAUAAGAAUAAAAUGAAUUUGUGAAAGAAAUUUAAAUUUUAUUUUGAAUUAUUUUGACCAAAAUUUAAGUUUUUUUUUUUUAAAUUUGUUUAAGAAAAUGCAUUGUAAUUGUCUUGUUUUAAUUGGAAAAUCAAUAAAAAAAAUUAUGUAACAGAAAAAAAAAAAAAAAAAAGCAAAACGGUUUGUUUUGGAUGGAGUCCAUAGAUUCCAAUAUUUCCUUCACGAAAACUACAAAAAAUUAUCAAAGCCAUCAAUUUCUACACUCUCACCGAGCAAAUACUCUCAACCUAGAUGAAAGUGUAUAAAUCAACCCCAAUCAGUCCAUCAAUGUCGUCAACCUCAUACAGCAUAAAAAAAUCUGUGUCCAUUAAACCGCCAUCUUGCCAUCUCGUUGUAGUAUUUUACUGUUCAAAUCUAGUUAUCAAUUGGGCAAAAUGGGGACCAAUCUGCAAGUCUUUAAAAUAGAAAGAAACUUUAAUUGAGCACUAUGUUCACGGUGGUGGACCCGGCGGCAGUAAUCUUUAGGGUGGAGUUAUUUAUAUUUUAAAAAUUAUUUUAAACACUCUAAUUUUAAUAAGAAUAUGUAUUACAAAAAUAUUUAUCAUAUAAGUUACUAUUAAGAAUAAUAUAAUAUAUUAUAAGUCAACAUUAUAUAAUUAUUGUGAACACUUGUAUAGCACAAUCCUUAUUUAUUUUAUUAUUCUCAUGACUUAAAUAUAAAAAUUUUUAUUUCCAACAUCUUAAUUAAUAUGUAGAUGAAUAAUAAGGAAAUUAACUUUGAGAAAAAAUUAAAUACAAAAUAUGUGUAAUACUUUUAAAAAAUAAAAUAAAACAAAAGUAUUGCACAAGAUUUUUUUUUGGGAGGGAUUUUGCCAUUCUUCUUCUUCUUCUUCUCCUUCUCUCUCUCUCUCUCUCUCUCUCUCUCUCUCUCUCUCUCUCUCUUUUGGUAGUAUUUAUGGAACAUUUUCUCUUGUUAUGUUCUCAUUGCAAGUUAUUUUGGGUGCAAAAGUCAAUAUUAAAAAUAAAUUAAAUAAAAAAUUAGUAACUAAAAUUAUGUUAAAUUAUUUUUUUACAACUUAAUUUUUAAUUAUAUUUUGUGAGUAUAUGCUAAAUCUCUUAAAAAUAGAGUGUUGAAUAAUUUUAUUAGUUUUUUUAAAUAAAUGAAGCUAAGUAACUUAAAAAGUUUAGUAAGGAUAUUUUUGAAUUUUAAAUAAUGUACAAAGUAAAAUUUAAUUUUUUUAUAAUUAAGCUACGAGCGUGCAAAGUAAUAUUUAGAGUGCUAAUAGUCCUACCCUAAUCUUUAUCAUCACAUUAUUUUCCAUAAAAAGUUUACAAUUAUCUCUUUAUUGGAUAAUUUUGUUCCCUCUCUUACCGUUAUGUUCCCCUACAUUCUCAUAUCUGCAUCACCAUUUAAAUUGUAAUCAUAACGUUAAUCUUUAUCAUUUCACAUAUUUUGCCAAAUUUAUACGCACUGCAAAGCUCUUUCCUUUUUUUUUUUUUUCCCGUUAAGUUUGCUAUAAUGUACAUGAAGAAUAGUUAAAGAGCUCUUUCGAGUCCUUAUCCUUUCUUUCGAGUUUACUUUUGCUUUUUUUUUUUUUUAACGUUUCUCUGGAAUUCACUUCAACAUCACUGGCGCGUUUUCUUCUUUCUCACUGCAACAUCAACUGGGCCACCACCUCUUGCCUCUCCCGGUUCCCCUCAAUUUUCGUAUUCAAUGUCCACCGUUGAUUGUACAUUUAUUAAAAUUCUGUGGUUAUUAUUUUUUGCAUAUAUUUAAUUCCACACGGUCUAGAUCGUAGUUGUGUCCUUUUAAUUGAGGAUGAGAAUGAAAUUAUGAAAUUUAAGUUGGGUAAAAAUGGUGAGUAUGAGGAAAUUAAAUUACAAUUCUUUAAGAUAAAUAAUUUGUAAAUCCCACAUAUUUCAUUUUUAUUUCUCUAGUUAAAUUAUAUUUUAAUAAAUAAAUAUAAUCAAUUAUUUUAAUAUUUUAAUUAAUAAACACGACAUUAACUACGGAACUAAAAAAUCCAAAAAAAAAAAAACAGAGGCGUGUGUGUAUUGCUUGUGACAAAUGUCACCCAUGGAAAACCUUGUGAAAGGCAUUUGAAUGUGUGGCCACAUUUAAUGAACGAAACGAUAACUUUAAAAGAAAGUAUGUACUGUGUUAAUUAUUAGGCUUUAGCUUAAUGAUUUCAAUUAGUUUGUCUUUUAAUUAAAUUAUUGCCGACAAACACUAUCACGACCCACGUCCGCUACUUGUGUGAAUGUGUGUAUAAAUAUCCGCAGCAUAUUAUCAAACUUGAUGCGUGAUCAUCUUUAAGUUUUGGUUACGGUUCAUCAGACGUUAGAAGACAUCUUUUUUAAUUUGAAGAAGAUGGAAACUCCGCAGGUUCUUAUGCCAUGUUCAAUUGAAUGUCAUUUAUAAUUUUUAUUUUAAUAUUAUGUAUUUAUGAAUAUAAUUAUUAUUAUGAUUUUUUCAAAUAAAAACGGAUGGUCUAAGGGUAAUUCAAUAACUAUGUACAGUAUUAUUAAUGAUGAGAGCGUGAAUGAUAAUUUAGAUUUUAUUCUCUUCUCUCAAUACAGAAGAAAUCUCGACUGUAGUAGUUAAGUGUUAUGUAACUCUUUCGUAUUAUGUUCAAUUAAUAAUAAAAUGAUGAGUUAUUAUUACCUGUCAAUUAUGUGAGUGUCUUUGUUUGAUUUAGUUCAACUUAUAAAAUCUCUUGAGAUAUAUAAGAGAUUUUCUUUGUUUACUUUCAUGUACCGCGUCUUCUUGUAAAAAGUAAUUAAUAAAAAAAAUAUCAUUGUGUGCCAUGUAUUGACUAAGUUAGUGUAUUCAUGUUAGGUUAAUUGUGCUCUCUCUUCUUGAUUUUUUUUUAUUAAAAAAAACUCCACGUAUUCUUGGUUAGCUAAUUCUUGCAGGUAGCAAGUGAUCGAUCCUUUUCUUUCCCCUACUGCUGUACCACCAAAUCCUUACAAUUACAUAUCAAGUGGUAUUCGAGCCGUCAAAGGAUCCAUGGAAACACGCAACAAAUCAAAUGCUGAAUUUUGCGAAGAGAUUCACGAAAUCCUUGCUAUACAUGAGUCUAGUUUUGACCAAGUUCACGUCACGCAUCAGCUGCGGGUUUGAAUGGUACCUAGUGGAUAUUUUGUGAGUUCCCACUAAUAAAAUCACACUUGCACAAAACUUAAAAAUUUAAAUUACGUAAUUCAAAUUAUAAAUUUAUAAUGGUAGCCUAAAAAAUCACAUAAAAUACUUAAUUCUAGAUUUUAUCAAUGUAAAUGAGAAAUGACAGUUUUAACAUUAAAAUAAAUACACAAAAUAUAUCAAUUUAACAUAAAUUUUUAAAUUUAAUUACCAAAUACAUAAGUCUAUCGCAACUCAAAGUGCUUUCAAUUGAAAACGAAAAAAGAGAAAGAAAAAAAAAACAAAGAACUACAAAUCAAAAUAGCAGCCAUGACCCAUUUUACAGUCUCAUUCAAUACCACUAGCACCCAUCAAACACGAUUUUUCUAAACAAAGUAUAAAGUACAAAAUUACAAUAAGCAUAUCAUACUCCAUGCUUUAAGUUAAAGAUCCUUAUAUCUUUUUAUGAAUAAUUUUUUAAUGAAAUUUUAUGAUUAAAAUUAAAAAUACAAACAUUCAAAUAAGAAUGUCGGACACUUGCGCAACUAUUCACCAAAUUUUUUCUCUAUAAAAAUCGACCUGCAACUUUCAAUAGGUUUAAAUUUAUAAUAUCAAACCUGAUUGCAGCUCGCAAAAAUUAUCCGUUGCGGCCAAGACUUUGGAUUUGCGAUGAUUUUGCCACCCUAAGUGUAGUUAGUAUUGUAUAUCAUGUGGCUCUUAUAAAAAGCCUAGAAGUUGUUUGAAUAACGGGGUAGACACAUAUCUCCCAAAGAUUUUCUCUUUUUCAAAUUAUUAUUUUUUCUCUAUUAUUGUAACUUCGAAUCCUUAUAAAUUACAGAUUGGAGACAUGAACACAAUGUUUUGACAUAGUGGACUUUUGGCUUGUCCAAAGAAAUUUAGGAUAGAUUUUUACGCACUAAGGUUCUAUUUACUAUUGAAGUUUUAGAACUUUUAAGCCACACCAGAAAUUUUUAUUGUUUUGAUAGAGUUGUAGUCUUUGAUAUGUGAUUAGUAUUAAUUAAGUGUUAUGUUUACAAUAGUUAAAGGCAUAUUGAAUCAAAAUCCACUUCUAAGGGCUUGAUUGAGUGAUUGUAAAGUAGGUUUUUAGUUUGCUAGCCACUCAAGUUCAAAUAUUGGAACCACAUAGCUUUAUAGCCAAGUGAGAGAACUUGUGCCCUAAAAAUUGAGGGGUGCAUAUCGAGUUUUACCACCAAUAAAAGUUGGUGUUAAAACUUUAAUUUCCCUCCUAUUAAUGGAUAUGGGUGAUUAGGAGUUUACAUCCCCUCCUAUUAAUAGACAGGGAUUAUUAGGAAUAUUAAAAAAAAGUUCAAAUAUUGAAAAUGUAGGUAUGGGUUAUAAAAUUCAUAAUAUAAAGACACAAAAUCAAGAUAAAGAUUUAAAAAUUUAGAACCAUGAGAGCGUGACUUGUAAGUUUCAAAGAAGCAUGUGCAAAUAUAUGCAUUAUCGAUGCCCAAUUAAGGGUGGGCAUUAAGAUCGGGUUAACCCGAACCGAACCGAAUCAAACUUAAAAUUUAUUUUGGAUUUAAUUUGGUUAUAGUUGAAGCUUUCAACUGAGUUCAAAACUUAAAAAUGAUUGGGUUGUAUUUCUGUUCGAAUUUAACUCCAGAAGACUAAUCAAUCCAAUCGAGUUAAGUAAGCAAAUUAAGAAAAAAAAUCCCAAAAAAUUAAAACUAACCCUAACUAAAAUAUUCGACCGGGGCCUCCUCGUUUUCUUUUCUUCUUCCUCCUCUCGCUCACCCCUAAUGCCCAUUCAUGGAAAUCCAACAGCUCCAAACGCGUUUCAGCCGCUCGCACGUGUGAGAAAUUUUCCUUCUCAUAGGAUUAUUCGUUUCCUUCGCUUGCAUGCCAGCAGAAUAUUCAGGCCGAGGAUUUUUCCGGGCCUAGCCCAACUAUAAGCUCUCCCAAAACCCAAUCAUAAGUUCAUAACGUUUAGCGUUUGCUAUUACUAUAAUAUUUUUUAACGAAUUUUCACAUUCAUCAACAUAGGCUGACAGAUUUUGUAGAAAAUAAAAUUAAAUAAAAAUACAAGCUCACGAAAUUCCUUUUCCGAUGUGGGAAUCUAUCUACACCUUUCACGUGCUUUUUUUUUUUUGGUGGUGGGGGAUUCCCUUGCUUUUGUUUGCAUUGCCUUAUUGGAUAAAAGUUUGUACAACAUCGUCUGUUUGGUUAAAGCCGAGCAUGAGUGAAGAAAUUUUUUUUAAAAAAAAUUUCCCAUUAAUUUGCAACAAGUAUUAAUAAAGUGCAUGAGAAAAGACACCGGGAUAUGCCUUUUUUAAAAUGAAAAUAAAUGUGUUAAUUAGUCAAUUUAAAUGGUAUGACAUUUUGAAAUGAUAGAAGUGAUCUAAAGUUUAAAUCUUACACUUAAUUUAGGGGUGGGGAUUAAUUGAUGUAAUAUAUAAUAACGAAUUCGAAAGAUAAUUAAAAAUUAAAAGAAAAUAAAAAAGUGCUUUCUUUUUUAUGAUGGUAAUUUGUUUAGAUGAUGAAAACUCUUAGAGUGGUAUUAUCAAUACAUAGUAUUUAUUUUAUUAUAUUUUUAAAUUAAUAAUAAUUAUUAAUAUUCUUAACUAUGUAAAUCACAAUUAUUUUAUUAAUUUUAAUUUAAAUUAUAUAAAUAAAAAAUUAAUAACAACAACACAAAUGAAACAUUAUUAUUGAUAAUAUAGUACAAAUUAAUUUUUUUAGAAUAAAAUAUUUAUUAUUAUUAAUUACUAAUAUUAAAUAAAUAUAAUAGUAUUAUUUUUAAAUAAGUAUAAUAAUAUUAUAUUUUCAAAUAAAAAUAGAAUAUAGUAAUAUUAUUAAUUCUUUAUGAAUAUAAUAAUAUUAUUUUUAAGUAAUUUUAACUUAGAAUCAAUAUAAAUUAUUAUUUUUAACCAAAAAAUUAAUAUUAUUUUAAAUAUGUUUAAUAUUAUUAUUUUUAAUAAAUUUAAUUUAUAAAAUAAUAAAAUAUUAUUAUUUAAAUAAAUAGGAUUUUACUUAUUUUAUUAAAUUUAAUAAAAUAAAUAUGUUUAAUAUUAUUAUUUUUAAUAAAUGUAAUUUAUAAAAUAAUAUAAUAAUAUAAUUUAAAUAAAUAUGAUAUUAUUUAUUUUAUUUUAUUAAAUAUAAGGGUAAAAAAUGAAGAGAGGCGAGUGAAUUCCCACUCCCACCUUCCUCCAUGGGAGUGGGAAUCCUACUCCCCACUCCAAAAUUAGGUGGGAUCCACACAGUGGAAUUCUCACUCCUCCUUUGAAAAUUAUAAGUAAACAUUGGAGUAAAAGUAAUCCACACUCCUCACUCUCACUCCUUAAAAUAAACACUACAUUAAAGAAGCCACUGACUCAUAAGAAAACCAUGAUUAAGUACACGACGAAACAUGUGAGCUCGUUUUUCAAUUUCUUUGAUCACUCAUAAGCUUUUCUAUACCACUCACUAUAUCAUCCUUUUAAGUCAAUUUUGACUGAUCAUAAGAGAUUAUGCACCCCACCUUGAGAUGAUUGAUCACCAAUUUGGCAUUGUAACGUUGAUCACCUCUAAUUGGCCAUGCUAAAAUUGGGACCCCAUUGCCAAUUACUUCUACAGUUAAAUUUUAUCUACAGUGAGAUAAAAAUCCACCUAUUAAUUGAUAACUUAGUAUCAAUAAUUAUGGCGCCGUUCCAUCUAUUAUCAAACCCUUUUUACCGGCUCUACUAUCUAAACCACUACGAAAAUAAGCUGGUUAAAAAUAAAAAAUCCCCAGUUACUCUGCUCAAACUCGUUAAUAUUUGUUUCCACCACCAAAGCAGCCACUCGUAUCUUUUAUUAAGCAUAAUGUUUUUAAACAAAUAUGAUGAAAACUCUUAGGGCCAGUUUGGUAAUGCUGCAGCUUUUAAAAUAAUUGCUGUUAGCUGUGCUGUAGAAAUAAUCAGCUGUGAAGAGAAUCAGUUAAGUGUUUGGUAAAUUUUAUUUUCAAAAGUACUGUGAAUUUUGAAAGCAGUUAUGGGUGUUUGGUAAAUUUUAUUGUUAAACUGCUGUAAGAAAAUAAAUGACCAAAAUGUACAUAAUGUAAGAUGAAAUUUACCUAUACAUAUAAAAAUGUUGUAAGAAAAUAAAUUUACUUGCACUAGAGAAGUUUUGAUAGAACACAAAAUAUGAAGAAAUAGGGUAAACGAAAGGUGUGCGUUAAUUAUAAUAAAAAUUUAUUAAAAUAUUGAUUUUAUUUCUAAUUUAACUAAGGAUAAUUUCGGGUUUAAGUAAUAAUUGUAAGGAUAUUUAUGAAAUUAUAUUAAAGGAUAAAAUUGAUUCUCAAAAUCAGAAUCUAAAAGUUACUAUUUCCCUGCUUUUCAAAAUCAGUUGUAGGAGGAGCUGAUUCUGGCAAAAGUGAUUUUGAUUUUCUUUUACCAAACACCAAAAUUAGCUUUUAGAUUUUUAAAAUCACUUUUAACCCUCCCAAAAGCAAUCCCAAACGGGGCCUUAGAGUGGUAUUAUCCCAUGUUUACUCCAAUGAUUUGGUAUACGCACAUGUAUUUUGGUAUACGCACAUGCACGCUAUAAAUUUAGUCAAGAAAAGUGAAUGUAUCUACAUACAAAUACUUAUCCCAUAUAACUUCAUUUCUUCAACUGAAGAAUCGGUCGUCUCUCAUUUUUUAUUUAUUAUAUAAAGAUAAAUAUAUAAAUUUAAAUGGCGAGAAGAGCGGACGAGGAAUACGAUUACUUGUUCAAAGUGGUAUUAAUCGGCGAUUCGGGAGUCGGCAAAUCGAACUUACUCUCCCGAUUUACUCGUAACGAGUUCUGUUUGGAGUCCAAAUCCACUAUUGGCGUCGAAUUCACCACCCGCACUCUUCAAGUAACUAACUUUUCCUCUUUCACUUCUCUUCAUUUUUAUUAGUUAAUUAAGAUCCAGUUAAUGUAAUUAAUUUUAUUUAAUCUUUUAAAUAAAGUUCUAGAUUAGGCUAACUUAGAUUCAUGUCAAGUUGAAGUGAUUUACUUUCGAUCUCUUUUUCGUCCUAUGUUUAUUUGUACUUACUAUUACUUUUUUUUUGGGUAUUUUCGUUUUUGAAGUGUUUACUGAAUAAAUUUCUGAGCUUUAUUUGUGUAUGCUGAUUGAUUUGUGAUUUUAAUUUGUGAUUUUUUUUUUGGCAUUUAAAUUUGAAUGCUUUUUAAUUUGAAUCUGAAUGUGUUGGGCUGCGAUUUAAUUAAGUCAUGUGUGAGCACCAAAUUGUGAUAGCUAUAUAUUGGGGUGAAAAUUUGGGAUUUAAAGCUAUGUAUUUAAGAUGCAGUUAAUUGGCAAGUGAAAAUUAUGGGCCGGCAGAUUUUGUCAUUGGAAGACUGUUCUCCACAUGUUGAAGUUAGUGAUGCAAGUUGAAACCAAUCUGUUUAAGCUUGGGGUUUCAUGUCUUGAAUCAAGGCUGUGACUUGGGGUGGGUUGAAAGUAUUAUAGCUUUAGCUAUUCCUGAAGUGAUCUGUUUAGACUCACCGUGAUGAGACCGAGUGCUGUACAGUAAAAUGAAAGGAAGUUGGAAAAUAUUUACUUAGCAUUUCGCGUUACUAAUGUUGAACUAAUAAAACCUAGCCCCUAUCCUAGUGAAUUUAUGUUAAAAAGCUAUGCACGCAUUAAGUUAGUGCGAGAGUCUGCUGAAGCAUAUGUCAGCUGUGUGUUUGGAGCUGAGUAUUCUUCAUUCCACAUUUUGGGUUUUGGUUGACCUCCAGCAUGACUCAACCCACUUGAGUUAAAAGCCCUAGAGUUACAUUCUACCCAUGAUAUUUGAGUUUAUCAAGUCACCUUAUUUUAAUACUUCUCUGGAAAACAAAUAUAUAUGUUAAAUCAGGUAGGAAAAAUAAAAAGUUAAUUAUUUUAAUACUAAGGUUUUGAAACAUUAAGAUCUUUAGCCAUUAUGUUACUAUCCCGUAGUUAUUUAAGUUACAAGAGAUAGUAAAAAAUAACAUCAUAUUUUAAUUACUUACACUAAUCCUACAAGUGCUGAUGGUCUAAAGUUGCUGCUGCUUGCACUGAAUCAGUGGUCAUGGGCCAGCCAAGGUUAGGUGAGGCCAACUCAUUAGCUUGUGAAACUUAAAGAAGUCUUAGGUUUGGAAAAGAUGGGGCACAGGUUACAAAAAUUUUUUGAGUUUUGGAUUGAAGGAACAAAAUUGUUGAUGUCUAGCUCACAAUAUUUGAAGUCACUCUGUGCUUCAUCAUGUCAAAUGGAUUGAAUUGCUGUAAGAUCAGGUCAAAUUAAAAUGUUUAAACUCAUUUUUAAGAAACGAAUUCUCAAUUGGACCAGCCUUUCACAGAAGCUGAUAUCACAGAAGCUUUGAGUCAGAUGCAUCCAACCAAAGCCCUUGGCCCAGAUGGUCUCCCAGUAGUAUUUUUCCAAAAGCUUUAGAAUUCAGUAAGCGAAGGAGUUAUAGCCACUUGUCUGCAUAUCCUCAAUGAUGGAGGUAAUAUUGCUCCUUUGAAUCAUACAUACAUUGCUUUAAUCCCCAAGAUAGCAAAACCUAGGACUCUGAUGGAGUAUAGACCAAUCAGCAUAUGUAAUGUAAUUUAUAGGAUCAUUGCAAAGACUAUAGGGAAUAGGCUGAAGCUAAUCUUAGAUCAUGUUAUUUCGCCAACUCAGAGUGCUUUUAUGCCAAAUAGGUUCAUAACUGAUAAUAUAAUUAUUGGGCAUGAGUGUCUUCAUAAGUGGACAAAGCUAUGUUCCAGAGGUGAGAUAGGAAAUUCUCCCGCACGACACAGCAGAAACAAACUUUCCCUUUCAUUUUCUUUUCUCUUUCUCGCUCUCCAAACAGAGCAAAAGGACCGUCGGAAGAUUCUUCACUUCCAUCCAAAAUCAUGAGCAACGAAUAGUGAGCCUCCCUGUUUCCUUCCUUUUUUUGAUAUUAACAUUGUUAACAUAUACUCAUUUUAAUUUGACAAUACUUCAACUUUUUUUAUUUUUUUGCCUUUUCAUUUUUUUUGUUGAAGCAAUUAUCUGUUCAAGCUGUUGCUUAUCGAAGACUCGUCCUUCGGAAAGUCCUGCCUGCUGCUCCGAUUUGCUGUCUGUUGACUUUUCCUUUCCCUUCUUAUUUUCUUUUUUUAUAUUAAUUACUUUCUAUUUUAGCUUUUUGUUCUCUGAAUUUGUGUUAUUAAAAUGAUAAUUUAGAUGACAAAUAAUUGUUAUUCUUGUAAAUUUAGGUUUUCAUUACGUUAAUUGUUAGUUUUUAGGUUUAUUAAUGUAAUUUUUUUUGUUUUUUUUUUUUCAAUUUUUCAGGAUGAUUCUUAUGUCACCGCUACAUCAGUACCAUUGGAGUUGAUUUUGUGAGUCUCUCUUCUAUAUAUAUGUAUAUAUGUGUAUAAGUUAUAAUAUGAGUCUAUGUACGUGUAUGUAUGUAUGUGCAUGUAUAUGUGGAAAGAAAUGUUGGCAGACUUCAGCAUUUUACUCUUUUUUUUUUUUUUUUUUUGGGAGAAAAUAAGAACUGUGGAGUUGGAUGGGAAGACGAUCAAACUGCAGAUUGUGAGUCAAAAUUUCCUUUUAUCUUGUAUUGAGAGAAAUUCGAUUUGUCUUAUUUAGUGAAGGUUAUGUUCAAGAACCUUGUCUUAUUUUCUUUGUUUGAAGAGUGAUAUGUUGAAAUGAGUGUAUUUGUCUUAUAAACAUCAUUUAGGUAAUGUCUUAUGUGUGAUUGUUUUGCAUCUGUUGAGUGGGACACUGCUGGACAGGAGCGAUUCAGGACUAUAACUAGCAGUUAUUACCGAGGAGCCCAUGGAAUCAUAGUAAGGAGCCUUUCCGGUUCUUGGUUUAAAUCAGAAAGUUUGUGAUUUACAUGUGACAUCUUAACAGCAUUGUAUGUGUUUAUUAACUUAUUUUUCAUCUUUCGUUAAGCAGUACAUUUUCCAAUAAAUCUGUAUACAAGAUGAUGUAGUCCAAGAAUGGGAGCGAUAAUAUGAUGCAAAUUGUCUAAUAAAUUCUUAUGACAUAUGAUGUUGUCGGAAGUAAAAGUCUUGCAAUGCUGUAUUCUCUUUUAAGAAAGAAUAAGUGGUAAUCUUAUUUUUCCAAUUUUUUAAUUGAGCAACUGUGUGAGAUUAAUUAAAUGUGUUGGGAUUUCAACAGAUUGUCUAUGAUGUAACUGAGAUGGAGAGCUUCAAUAAUGUCAAGCAGUGGUUGAAUGAGAUUGACAGAUACGCAAAUGACAGUGUAUGCAAGCUUCUAGUGGGGAACAAAUGCGAUUUAGUUGAGAACAAGGUUGUGGACACACAGACAGCCAAGGUAUAUUCGUGACUUCUGUCGCCUGAACUUUGAAUAUAAUUUUAAACUCUUCUCAAGUGCAUUUGCUUGAUAAGUUUCUGCAUACCCAGGACACUCAAACUUUGGACAGUUUGUAUCUCAAGCUGGAAUCUUUUUUGUCAAUACGACUUGUUAAAAUAAGGGUUAUUAUCGUUUGAAUCCUUCAAGAAUUGCAAUAAAUCUAAAGUCCAUAAAAAAAUAUGAUUCCAUCUUUUUACUAUUAUAUCUAGACAAAACCCAUUAUUUUACUACAUUUCAUUGGCACGGAUAGUUGACCUGUUGGCUGACUGAUAAAAUAUCAAUUUUGCACUUUAUAUUAAUUCUUUUUUGGUUAAAAAAUAACACACAAAGUAUUACAAUAUUAUAAAUUCAAAAUAUAAAGUAGUUACAAAUAAUUCCUAUUAGCCUAUGAAUAUAAUAUUUGAUACCUCUAUUUGUGUAAUUUUUUUCCAAUGGUGAAAUUGUUAUUUUUUUUUGUACUAACGGAAAUGUAGUAAAAUCAUAAGUUUUGUAAAGAUAUAGUAGUAAAAUGAUAGACUAAAAUACUUCUUGUAGUUGUUUGAUAUAUUGUAAUUCUUAAAGUAGUCAAUUGAUAAUAUCCCCUAAAAUAAAUGUUCGUAAUAUGUUCUCAUUUUAAUGCAACUGAUUGUUUAAUAAAAUUGUAUUUCUUUGUUAAUCUUUUAUCAUGUGCAUGCUCAGUGAGAAUUUGACUUACUAGAACACAAGUUUGACUCUUCAUUUAAAUGUCUCUUGUAUCAUAUCCUUUAAUGUUGAGUGUGAUUCCAAUAAAAUUGAGUAGGGAGAUCCUUAAAUACCUUUUCCUUUUUUCCAAGGGCCUGCCAAAUUGCUCUAAGUGGUUCUACCCUUUAUCAAUGAAUAAUGAAAAUAAAAUUUUUAUUAAAGCAUUUUGUUCCUUAAAUGGUGACUAAUAGUACCCCUUUUUUUUGGAGAGGAAAGCCAAACAUGCCCAAAGAGAAUCAUUUACUUUCCUCUAAUGUAUUUUCUAAUUCGUUUUGAGCCUUGAAUGUCUGUUUUGGUGCGUAUUCUCAUUCCAUGUUGAAUCUUAUCCAUAUGGACAACCCCACUUACAAAAAAGUCUAAUGAAUCUAUUGAAGUUCAUAUGAGGUUUGUGCUUUAGAUUUAGACCUCUCUCUCUCUCUCUCUCUCUCCACUUACAUGUCUUUCACUUACCUGUCUUUCACUUACCUGUUUGCAUGCAUGCCCAUGCACACACUUUCACGAUAAUACUGUAGGGGAAAAAUCAUGUUUUUAAAUUUUAUAAAACCUUUUGAAGAUCGCUCUCAUAUAAUAUAUAAGAAUUCGUAUUCUAGAAAUCGUACCUUGAAAAUCCGAGUUGGCUUUUCCACUGAAGUGAUUUAGGCUCCUAGAUCACGAUCUGCCACCACCACUCCUGUUAGAUCACGAUCCGUCAUCACCACGCUUGUUAGAUCACGAACUGUCGCCAAUGAUCUUCCAGGUUAUGACUCAGGUUCGAUCUGCACUUGACGUGUGGGCGCCUUUAUCACUGCCAAAGCAACUAGCACGAGAAAAUUUUUCUCUCAAUCAUGGAGAGAAAAAUCUUAUUCUCUGAUUUGUAUAAAGUGGCUUCUUCCUUUUUCUUUUGAGAAAAUAAGCCUUAUAUAUCUCCCUUUAGUGAAAACCCUAGGCUCCAAAUAAUGCCCUAAAUAAAACUCACGUUAUUUUCUUUUUCAAUAGGGAACCCACCUUGUAAAAUAACAUAAGGCCCCUUAUACAAAAGCUAAUUAAAUGGAGCCUCCCACUAAAUGAUAUAUUUAGGCUUUUGACCCAAAUAGCUAGUUAUCUUACUUAUUAGUCCAGUGGUGGUGCAGUCAAUUAAAUGAGCUAACCCGGGGAUCAUUUGGGAACAUACAAUAGUGGCUACAAUAAUUAGGCCUGUAAUUAAACUAGCCUAAUUAUUUAAUUCCAAAUCUACUCCACUAAAAGAUUGGAACUGACUUCCAUAAUUGUAUGCUCGAAUAAUAAUUCGUCCCAAGCCACAUUGAUUUCUUUAGUGCACAAUCCUUUGUACCACAUCGUUAAUUAAAUUGAUAUCUCAACUGUCCAAUCAAUUUAAUAACAUCUUAUUCCUUGAUCCUUACUGGUUUUCUCUAAUGAUCAUUUUCAACAUACUAAAUAUGUUGACACACUCUGGCCAGAGAAUUCUAUGAUCAAGUGCCGAAAACCCAUCAAGAGAUGUGUUGUACAAAUUCUAUAUUGUUAAUCCAUAACUCCAAUACUCAUAAUUGCUCCCACCAAGAUACCGGGUAAUCUUGACCACAAGUAUGUGUUGUGUCCAUUGGUAACUCAAAUGGAAUAACAAUUACAAUCAUGAAAUCAUAAUUAACUCAAGAUUAAGAUUACAGUAAAAUCAACGCCUAUGAGAUUUAAUAAGUCUGACAGUUAUUACAAAGUUAAUUAAAUCUCACAUGUGAUCCUGUUCAAUGUAGUCGUACUACAUCAAUAAAUUCAUACAUGAUUAAGACAAAUCAUUCAAUGAAUUUAUUACAGUCUAUACCUAAAUAAAGUGCCCAACUUUAUUUAUCAACUGCGAACUAAAUUUAUUUAAUCAUAAGAUAACUUGUAUUUAUGUCUUCUGUGAAUCCACAUGGUGAUCACAUAAAUACAUAUAAUAUGAUUAAAUGGACUUUAAUACAAAUAUUAAUGCAAUUAAGAUAUUUGAAUAAAAUACCUCAUUUAUUUUAUUAAUCAGAAAAACUGUUUAUUACAAUUAAAUAAACACAUAUGCUUUUAAAGAGCAUAUUUUCCCAACAAAUACACGGUCACUCGUACUUGUGUUUUGGUUGAAUUACUGGCUGCUAACCUCUGUAAUUCAGUUUGAAACUUGCCACCCUUAGUGCUUCACUCAAAUGGUUGGUUAGGGUGAGAUCUGUAUCGUUUUCUUGGUCUCUUUCCAAGGUUAUCUAAAGGGAUUUGGCAGUCUGAUUCUUUAGGGAAUAUCAUUGCAUAAGAUAUCUAUUGUUUGUUAAUGAAUAAUUUCUAUUUAACUAGUUAUCUAUAUAAAUUGGUAAAUUUUAACUGCAUAAUUUGCAUGCAAUAAGAUUUUAUAAGAAUCUUGUUUUCAACUCAUGACUUAGACUAAUGUGAUAUGUUGAGCAUUAAGCUACAAGAUCUGCACAUCAAAGUGCUUCACAAUGUUAAGGAGAAAGCAUCUUUUUCUGCUUCUUCAUGUGAUUUAAAGUUUCCAAGGUACUUAUCCAAUAAAAUAUCUUUCAAGACUUUGGAAAUGCUUUUAUAUAUGACUGAGAGAAACUUGUUGGGUUGGUUUUUAGCAACAGACGGAGUUAUGGACUUUGUGUUGACUUGUUAUUGAUUAAGACAGUACAUCGGCUGAUCUAUUGGCAUCAAGCAGCAGAUGCAGAAAUUAUGGGUGGCAUACCAUUGUAUCCAAAUAACAUACUACAUUGAUUUUUCUGACUUUCUGUUGGUCUCCGAGUGAAAUGCAGGCAUUUGCAGAUGAACUGGGGAUUCCUUUCCCGGAGACGAGUGCCAAAGAUGCAAUCAAUGUGGAGCAGGCUUUCUUGACCAUGGCUGGCGAGAUUAAGAAAAAGUAAAAUCACUUAACUCUUUCCUUCUUGCCGACUGUUCUUAUUUAACAAUCACUAUUAUUGCUGGUUAUAUGCAUUGUGAUGAAAAUUCUGCAAUGAGUAACUUUUUACCUAAUGUUUUCUGUUGGAACAAAUUACUCUGGUAGAAAAGCCCUACAGGGUUUGAGAAAUCCCAUGAUGUGAUGAUUGUGAGCAUUUUAGACACCGUCUAUGGGUUUAUUUUGUGACUAUAAAAUGUUAAGAUUGUUUCUAGUUUUGGUUUGUAGUGCAUAAAAGGAUUCAAAAUUUGACAUCUGUCUAAAUCAGAUUAAUAACAUGAUAAUGUACAUAUGCAAGAUGUGAGGAAUUGUUUUAUCUCACCCCUAAACUUUAAGAAAUUGAAACAGUAUUAUUCAAAAUAUUUAACAUUUCCAGAAUUGAUAGUUGUCUAUUUGAGCAGUGACUGGUGGUUAUCAUGAACUGAUGUGCGGUUGUGGUUUCAAAUCUUGGUGAAACCUGUUGUCCUAUGCUGAUUAACAUAGUUAGUCUCUGAAACAAUUUGUUGAUUCACUAAUUAUGAGUUAAAAUUUGAUGCAGAAUGGGCAACCAGCCUACUGCAAACAAAUCUUCUGGAACAGUUCAGAUGAAGCGAAUGCCAAUCCAGCAAAACAGCGACUGUUGUGGUUAGCCGAGCAUCUUAUUUUACUUCUACAUGUUAGCUGACUGAUUGUAGACAGUUUUAACUAUGUUGACUGCAUUAUCUUAUGAAUCUUUUAAUCUGUCAAAUAUUUAUUUCCUGCUUUAAGUUCUUUCCCGUUUAUAACAAAUUUAAUUUCUUGCUCCAUUGGAUUCCAAAUUCCUGUCAAUUUACGAGGGAAAAAGAAAAGAGAGACGAAAUGGGAGAAAAUGGUCAAAUUUGUUAGGCGGAGAGAGCUGUUUAAGUAGUUUUUGUUCUCGUUUAUUGUCGUGACCCUCAUGUCGCUUAUCGAUUACCUGGAAGUCCGGUCGUAUCGGAUGGGUAAAGUUACCGAAUCGGCAUCAUUUUGGGUGAAAUAUCAUAUUUAUGUGACACUUUUGAUAAUAUUUUUAUGUGUUACAGAGUAUGAUAAUAUGGUACAGCUGAGAGCAUCUGAUUAAAUGGAGCUGCUGAUGCUUACGUGUGUUGUUGAGUUAGUUAUCCAGCUCAGCAGUAAAGAUAACGAACUGGACUGCAUGCAUAUUAGAUUCAACAAACUGACAAGCUACGAGAUGCCUCUGAUCUUUUACUAUAAAUAACAAGUUGUAAUCAUCAGUCAAAUAAUAAGAAUAUGAUCAUUUUCAGAUCUGAUUCUUUAUGAUUUUCUUUCAUUUUCUUGUUAGUUUCUCUUAAACCAAACACUAUAUACAAACUCUUUCAUGGUAUCAGAGCAAACAAAUGGCAAAUUCGAAUCAAAAUUCUGGAUCCUAUAGUUUUAUUACUCCGAUAAAACUAGAUCAUAAUAACUUCAUUGUUUGGCGAACUCAGAUUCUCACAUCCAUUAAAGGAAAUGGUUUAGAAGAUUUCAUCAAUGGAAAUCAAGUCUGUCCGGAAAAAUUUUUCUCUGCUACAAGCUCUGCUGCUGGUUUCUCAUCUGGAACAGAUAAUCAAGAGAUCAAUCCAGCUUACACAAUGUGGAUAAAGACGGAUCAAUUGAUUCUGAGCUGGAUGCUCUCAUCUAUUCAACCGAAUUUGCUGACAACUGUGAUCCACUGCUCAACUGCAAAGGAACUGCUGGAUACACUUACAAGUAUGUUUGUUUCCCAGUCACAAGCUAGAAUAAUGCCUCUAAAAAUGCGAAUCCAAACUCUUAAAAAAGGCUCGAUGUCCAUAACUGAUUAUUUUGCAAAAAUGAAAAGGAUAUCUGAUAGCUUAGCUUUAGCUGGAAAACCUGUUGAAGUGAAUGAUUUCGUUCAACAUGUUUUGACUGGAUUGGAUUCUUCUGAUUAUGAGUCACUAGUUACUACUGUGUUAGCUAGAGGAGAUAAUAUCAGUCUUGAUGAGUUUUAUUCAUUGUUAUUGAGUCAUGAAAAUCGUGUGGAACAAAAGAGAGGAAAAAUUGCAAGUGAUGUUACACAUAACUUGUCAGCUAAUGUUGCUCAAAAGCAGUUCAAUCCUGGUAAAAACACUAGUGGUAAUCAGAAGUUUAACACUGGAUCGUAUGGAGGAGGUUAUAAUUCUGGAGCUGGAUCUAGUGAUGGUAACUUCUCACAAAUUGUAUGCCAGAUCUGCUUCAUUCCUGGUCAUGGUGCCAAUAAAUGCAGGAAUAUGUUUAACUCAGCUUUUGUUCCUUCAAGAAAUCAAGGAAGAGGUAGUUUUAAUGGAAAUUUUAGGCCUGGUCAGAGGCAGUAUGGUAGAGGUUUUGGCUAUGCUAAUGGAAAUAGGUCUUCUAUGGCUUAUGGAAAUUUUGGUAAUUUUGGUAGAAAUCUUAAUCCUCAAUAUGGUGCUGGAAUUGGUAACUCUCAGUUUGGUAAUUUCAACAUACCAAGAGCACCUGGUUAUCAAGGUCAUUUGAUGUAUUCAGAUCCAACUGCUUUCAAUGUUUAUCAACCAUCUAACUCUCAUGGUGGUUACUCUCCUGCUCAUGUUUUUGUUCCUACUGGAGAUUACUCUGGAUCUCCUUCAGUCCCUGUUCCAACUCAUGCACCUGAGAUGAUUGAAGAUCCAGCUUGGUACAUUGACAGUGGUGCUACUAACCACAUCACAAAUGACUCAGGUAAAUUACUGGAUCUCAAGCCAUAUGUUGGCACUGACAAAUUGCUUGUUGGGAAUGGUUCUGCAUUGCAUAUUAAACAUAUUGGAUCAGUAUUGCUAGCUACUACUGCAAAUAAACCCUUGUGUUUAAACCAUGUUCUUCAUGUUCCAAAUAUUAAGAAAAAUUUACUCAGUGUUUCAAAGCUCUUAGUAGAUAACAAUGUGACACUUGAGUUUUUUGCAAAUGUCUGUGUUGUCAAGGCCAGGAACUCAGGGAUCACUUUGCUUAGAGGAAUUGCAACAGGGGGAUUGUAUCAAGUCCAAUCUGCAACUCAAGUCUCUGAAACUAGCUCAGCCUUGUCAUGUCAACUUUCUUCCAAUAAACCUCAGUCUUUGUUUGCUUUUCAUUCUCCUUUGUCUAGUGAUAUUUCUCCUGAAAUAAGUAAGAGUACUUUGUCUCAUCAUUUGCUGUGUAAAUCAGCCUUGGCUGUCAAUACUAGCUCAGUCGAUGUCAAUGUUUUCCAUAAAAGGCUAGGACAUCCUGCCUUACACACACUCAAAUCUGUAUUGAAAGCUUGUAAUAGUUUCAAUGUACUCAAUAAAACUCCAAACUUUUGCAAUGCCUGUCAACAUGGUAAAAGUCAUCUUUUACAUUUUGGAUCUGUUCCAACAAAAACAACUGCACCAUUACAACUUAUAUAUGCUGAUUUGUGGGGACCAUCACAUGUUGCAUCCACUCAAGGCUAUAUAUACUAUCUGUCCAUUUUAGAUGAUUUUAGCAGAUUCACAUGGAUUUUUCCUUUGACUGCUAAAUCAGAUGCUCUCCAAGUCUUCACAGAAUUCAAAUCCUUUAUUGAAAAACACUUACAACAACUCAUCAAAAUAGUUCAAACAGAUUGGGGAGGGGAGUUUAGAACCUUUGCAUCAUAUCUCACUCAAUUUGGAAUUCAGUUCAGGCACCCUUGUCCACAUAUCCAUCAUCAAAAUGGAAGAAUUGAGAGAAAACAUAGACACAUAGUUGACAUUGGCCUCACUCUGUUAGCUCAAGCUAAUUUACCACUUAAGUUCUGGUGGAAUGCCUUUCAUACUGCUGUAUUCCUUAUCAACAGACUACCCACACCAACUUUGAAUAACAUUUCACCUUAUCAAAAACUUUUUCAGCAAGUACCAGAUUAUGCCUCUCUUAGGGUCUUUGGUUGUGCUUGCUUUCCUUAUCUCAGACCUUAUAACAGACACAAGCUCAGUUUUAGAUCAAACAGAUGUGUUUUCAUUGGGUAUAGCUCUUCUCAUAAAGGGUAUCAGUGUCUUCAUUCAUCUGGUCGUGUGUAUGUGUCCAAUCAUGUCAUCUUUGAUGAACAAUCCUUUCCAUAUGUAUCUGGAUCAGACUUCUCUUCCAUUGCUCAGUCUUGCAGUCCCUUAGAUAUUUCUUCAGAGUCCAAAGUUACUCUUGUUCCAAUCCCACAAGUACAAUCCCCCCUGCAAGAAUCUCCAGCAAGUGAUUACCUACCUGCUGACACUCCACAGGUAUUCUCUCCAUCUUCAACCUCCUCUUCAUCAUCUACUUCAACAUCACAUACACAUCCUAUACAUCAUACACAAUCUCCUCCUCAUAUAUUACCUGCUGCACCACCUAUAGGUCAUCCCAUGAUAACCAGAUCCAAGGCUGGUAUCUUUAAGCCUAAAUCUUUUUUAGCUGCUUUACUAGCCAUACCUUCAGAACCUACUUCUGUUUCAGCUGCUUUAUCUGAUCCAAAAUGGUUUAAGGCAAUGCAAGAAGAAUUUCAAGCACUUCAGAACAAUCAUACAUGGGAUCUGGUCUUGCCAAGUGAACCAGUUAAGGUAGUUGGAAACAAAUGGAUAUUCAAGAUAAAAUAUCAUGCUGAUGGAACCAUUUCUAGAUACAAAGCCAGGUUAGUGGCUAAGGGGUUUCAUCAGACACAAGGAGUUGAUUACACAGAAACAUUCAGUCCAGUUGUUAAAGCAUCCACAGUCAGAGUUAUUUUAAGUUUAGCAGUUCUGAAUAAAUGGGAGCUCAGACAAGUGGAUGUGAAUAAUGCUUUUUUGAAUGGCAUAUUAGUUGAAGAUGUGUACAUGGGGCAGCCAGAGGGCUUCAUUGAUCCAUCUCGACCUCUUCAUGUCUGUAAGUUGAAAAAGGCUCUCUAUGGUUUAAAACAAGCCCCCAGGGCAUGGUUUGAGAGACUGAAAGAUGCUAUGGUUGUGAAAUGGGGUUUCCAAAAUUCAAGGUCAGACAACUCCCUUUUCUACAAGUGGAUAGGUGAUCAAGUAAUUUUUGUUCUUGUCUAUGUGGAUGAUAUAAUCAUAACAGGCUCAAGUGAUAAAAUGGUGCAGCAAGUGAUCACAAAUAUGCAAAAUGCUUUUGCUUUGAAGGAUCUGGGAAAAUUGAGUUAUUUUCUUGGGAUAGAAGUUACCAAAACAGCAUCUGGAAUUUAUCUAUCUCAAUCUAAAUACAUAGCUGAUAUUCUAACCAAACACAAUAUGGCUGACUGCAGUCCAGUUCCUACUCCCAUGGCCACUGGUCAUUAUCUUACAAAGGGGUCAGGAAGUGUUAUUUCAAAUAGUUCUCAAUAUAGAAGUGCAGUUGGAGCCUUACAGUAUGUGACUCUCACUAGGCCAGAAAUAGCUUUCUCUGUAAACAAACUUAGUCAGUUUUUAGCUUCACCAACAGCAGAGCACUGGGAGGCUUGUAAGAGGCUUCUUAGAUAUUUGAAAGGAACAAUUCAUUUUGGAUUACAUUUUUAUCAUUACGGCACUAUGCAGAUAAAUUGUUUUAGUGACUCAGAUUGGGCAUGUGAUAAGGAUGAUCGCAAAUCAGUGGCUGGUCAUGCUGUUUAUCUUGGUUCAAAUUUGGUUUCUUGGUCGUCUAAGAAACAGGCAGUAGUUUCCAGAUCAAGCACUGAAGCUGAAUAUAGAGCUUUGGCUCAAGCUACAGCUGAGGUUACUUGGAUUCAGUCCUUACUGAAAGAGCUACAUAUUCAUCUUGUCACAGCCCCCAUAAUGUGGUGUGAUAAUCAAAGUGCCAUAGCUUUAGCUCACAAUCCUGUUUAUCAUGCUAAAACUAAGCAUGUUGAGCUUGAUAUUCACUUCAUCAGAGACAAAGUAACAGCUAAGCAAAUUACAUUUCAGUUCAUUCCCAGUGAAGACCAAAAUGCCGAUGUUCUUACCAAGGCAUUAACUUUUAAUCAGUUUCACUAUCUAAGAAGCAAGCUGAAUGUCCAUCCAGGUCAGUUCAGCUUGAGGGAGGAUGUUACAGAGUAUGAUAAUAUGGUACAGCUGAGAGCAUCUGAUUAAAUGGAGCUGCUGAUGCUUACGUGUGUUGUUGAGUUAGUUAUCCAGCUCAGCAGCAAAGAUAACGAACUGGACUGCAUGCAUAUUAGAUUCAACAAACUGACAAGCUACGAGAUGCCUCUGAUCUUUUACUAUAAAUAACAAGUUGUAAUCAUCAGUCAAAUAAUAAGAAUAUGAUCAUUUUCAGAUCUGAUUCUUUAUGAUUUUCUUUCAUUUUCUUGUUAGUUUCUCUUAAACCAAACACUAUAUACAAACUCUUUCAUUAUGCAAUAAAAAAAUGCUCAUGGUACCCGUUUCACAUUGUGAAGCGCAUGAUCAGAUCAGAGCAGUCUGGAUUCUGGCAUCACAAGCGGAUGCUUUGACUUGCUUAGUUUGUUUUUUGUUUCUGAUAAUUUCUCGACAUUGGGUGGGAUAUUGUUUCUCUUUUGAGUUUCUCUUUUUAUUUUUUAUCUUAUGGAAUUUGGAGAUAGUGUAAAUGUAUGAAGAUGACGUAAUCAAGUUGUUUUGAUAAAUUCCCCUGGUCGGUUUACUUCACUAACCAUUAAUGCGCAAAACCUCCUAAUGACCCUCAAAAAUCCCGUACAUAAUUAAAGAAUUUCAAUUUUAUAUGUACAAAAAUAAAUAACUCUCAAAUAUAUUAUUUGAUAAUUCUCAAAACAACAAUUCGCUCUAAUAAAUCUCGUAGGAAAUACAUAGUCUAUAUUGUAAGUCUUUUCGAGACUAAUUCAAAGAGAAAAUACGAAGGAUAUAUAAUUGACCUUUAUCUGUCAUAAAGAACUCUAAAUAAAUUCAUAUACGCAUCGCAACUAAUUACAGUUUUGAUACUUCAUUUGGUUUUUGUUAAUUUUCUAUACGGUUGUGCUGUGCAUAAAAGUUUUGUUAAAUGAAAUCGGUGAGGGUUAAUUAAUCAAUUAAUUAAGAUCCAGUUAAUGUAAUUAAUUUUAUUUGAUUUUUUUAAUUCGAGUUCUAAAUUAAUCAAUUAAUUUAGAUUCAUGUGAAAUUGAAGUGAAUUAGUUUUGAUCUGUUUUUCGUCCUAUGUUUGUCUGUGUUUACUCUUACUUUUUUUUUGUUUAAAUUUUUGUUUUCUUAUUGUUUACUGAAUAAAUUUAUGAGCUUUAUUUGAGUAUGAUGAUUGAUUUGUGAUUCUAAUCUAAAUGUGUUGGGCUGCGAUUUAAUUGAGUGAUGUGUGAGCGCCAAAUAUUCAAUAACUGAUAAAUUAUAUUUAUAAAUAUUAAUAGCGAUGGCACAUAAACAAUUAAUUCAAGAACUUGCCCAUAGUGAUUAAUUUAAAGAGUAUAAGUAACAUUGCAGUACAGUUAGCCCUUACGUGUUUAAUUAGCAAUUGAAAACUACUGUUGCUGAUGAGGUAGAACAUUAUAACACUGUUGCUGAUGAGGCAGCUGGUAAUUCUUUUGGUGAAGAUAUUAAGACUAUUAAAGCUGAAAUGUAAUUAGAGAAAUAUAAUGAUUAAAGAGGUGAGCUUUGAUAACCAUCUCUUUAACUAUAUCACUUAAAUAACUAACUUUUUAAUAUUAAAGCUGAAAUUUAAUUUCCACUAUUUUUGAUAUUUGUUUGGCUAAUGCUUUGCUUAGAUUACUUUUUGUUUUUGAGAUUUUAUUGGCUUAGUCAUGGGAUAUUGUUUUCUCUUCUAAUUUCUAUCUUUAUUGUUAUGGGAUUUGAUUGUAGUGUUCAUAUACGAAAAUUAUGUAAUCAAGUGCUUUCAAUAAAUCAUGAUCGAAUUACUAUUAAUUAAUUAAAUUAAAUUUACUCAAAUUACUCAUGUACACGAUCAAAAUAAUUUUAAUUCUAUGAUAUAUAUACACGCGCGCACACACAAACAAAAUGUAAUUAAUUUUGAAAUACAAAAUAUUUAAAAUAAUCACCGUACUAACAAUUCACAAGUUAGAUUUUAUAUGAAUAGACAGAAAUAAUGUUAAUCUAGCAAAUCCAAUCAUAAUAAAUUGAUUUUUAUUUAUAUUAAUUAUGUCGAACCAUGCUAUUUUAAUAAAGAACACUCCGGUGUUUAUAUAUCCAACAGGUAAAAUUUCAAAACAAUAUUUGCCAAAGUCCGAUGAAAAGAAUAUACACGCACACACAUAUAUAAUCAUACAACAGAAGGAUAAAUAAAAAAAAAAAUGAAGUUUCAACAACUGAAUAAUGCAAACUCAUUUUUUUUAAACAAGCAUUUUAUUGUUUAAUUAAAAAAUUCGAAAACCCAUUAGCCUUAUAUACAUGAUAAAGACUCACCGACGCCGAACCAUAUUAAUUUAACUUAGUUUUCAACUGAAAUUUAAAUUUUGAAAUCACAUACACAAACACGCCCAAUUUGAAAAAAAAAAGUAGUAAUCAUAAAAUAUUUCAAUCGUCCAUUGUUCAGUCACCAAAAACCAAUUUACGAUCUAUUUCAACGCCUAAUUUGAAAAAAGAAAAUACUAAUAAUAAAAUAUUACAGUCGUCCAUCCUUUCACAAAUAAAAAAUAUCACCAUAAACAUCGGGUAUAUGGGCUAACAAGUCCCAAUAUUGUCCUCCAUCCUUUCUGCACUUCUCUUCUAUCAACGGACACUGAUUGAUACUUAAUUGCAAAAGUGAGGAAGGCAGGCCCUUCUCCGGAAAGUAUUUGAGCUUGGGACAAUUCUGGAGUCGCAAUGAAGUGAGGUUUUGAAGAUCAACAAUUGAAGAAGAUAGGCGUUCCAGAUUUGGAAAAUUGAAAAUCUCCAGAGAUGUUAGAGAGGGAGGAAGAGGAAGCGCGGUCCCUAAUCUUUUGUCCUCUAGUGGAAAUGACACCAUGUCGUCAUCGCAUCCUUCGAUACGUAGACGUCGCAGAGAGGAGAAUCUGUGAAAUCCCCGGCCCCGCUCAAUCAUUGACUUCCAAAUCUCCAUAUUACCCCGAAUAUCAAGUGAAUGAAGGUUGGUGGGAAGGCCAUCAUCUUCUUCAAGGCUUGGAAGCGCACCUCCUAUUCUUAAUUCUUGAAGAGAGGUCAGAUUGUGCAAUCCCUUGGGUAAGGCCUCUAGUCUCUUACAAUCAGUUAUCUCCAGCCUCGUGAGUUUCGCACAAGGCAAUCCCCCUUCGGGAAAGGACACCAGAUUUCCACACCUCAUUAUCCGUAUGUCUCGAAGCUGGCGGAGAUUAUGUAAACCACUCGGUAAACUUUUCAGAUUUUCACAAUCAGGAAUGUAGAUUGUUUCAAGAGAUGAGUUGUUGUCCAACAUUUCUGCUAUUGACUCCAGCUUUGAACAUCCCCGAACUAAAAGGGACUUAAGAGACGGAGGUAGAUUGCCAACUUCAAGGGACUCAAGCGUGGCAGGUAACUCGUUUUUUGAAAAUAUACAUGUCAGAGACGAACAACUCUCAAUGUGUAAGUGCUCAAGAAGAGAUGACGUGUACCUUCUGCUGCUUCUGCUGCUGCUACACUGGAUGCCCUCUUCCACUGUCAAAGUCCUUAUAUUAUGGCAACCGCAGAUCUUCAAAUUCUUAAGGCUCGAUGGUAGCCUGACAGCAGCAAUAUAUGUCAACGAACAACAAUAGUGAAUAUUCAAGAUCUCGAGAGACGAAUUGGUGUCGCACAUCCAUGCCUCUGGUAACGAUUUCAGUGCAUCACAUGCUCCAAUAUGAAUUUUCUUCAACUUGGAAGGCAGAGCAACCUCAGGAAAGGAAACAAGGGAACUGCACUUGUAGAUUGCUAUCUCUCUCAAGGAACUGAGGCUGAACGAUGAUUGUGGCAGCUUCACAAGGCUUUCGCAAUCACUCAAUUCUAGAUAUUCAAGUCUGCAUGACAAUUCGCAGAGCUGCUGUUGUUGGUCUUUCUUUUCCUCCGCCACCAAGGAUUGAAGUUUGGGACAGCUGUCAAUCGUCAGUCUUUUGAGAGAGCAAAUGUCUUGCAGUAAUUCGUUAUGACUCUUCCAUAUAUGUGUUUCAUUUUUAAUAUUUUUUAUCUCCAAUUCUUCCAGUUUUGGUAUUCGCAGCUUCAAUGGCCCUGCGAGAAACACUUGAUUUGAUGUAUCUCUACAAACCACUGAAUUCUGUGAGCCGAGAUGAUCAAUUGCACUUCUCCACACAACCUUUUUACAUCCAUCAAUCUCUAAUUUGCAAAGAGCUGGAAGACUCGUAACUGAAACUGACAAUUCUUCACAUCCUCGAAUAACAAGCAUCUCCAAUGCAGGAAGGCAUUCUGGCAAUGUUCCUUGCAGUUUAGAACAUCUUAAAAUGCUAAGCUCUCUCAAUUUAGGAAACCCUUCAACUCCCUGACCAGAUCUAAGAGGAAUCCAGUCUUCCCAUUCUCGCAGGUCUUCAAAAUGAAGAGUCUCCAAGCAUGGAAAAGGAAUCCGAGAAUCAUUCCCAUAGAACUCUGAACCCAAACUCUUUACUCUACUCAUUCCACCCACUUCAAGAUGCUUUAGAGAGGGUAGUUGCCCGACUGACGGCAGGGUAGUACACACGCCACAAUCUUCAAAUUUAAGUGUUACUAAAUUUGACAAUGAGGAAUCUCCUAACCAUGUUGGAAAUUUUGUACCUCCAUAGCCACAGACACAAAAUUGUUCCAGAUUUUCAUGGGGUUUGAGCAUGUCAAGCACGCCCAUUUCAGUUUCUGCCUCCCUUGAAGAUGAACCAUCGGUGCUGCAAGUCCAAUUAAGCGAUAAUUCUCUAAGAUUCUCCUUUACAUCCAACCGAGCCUCCUUUGCAUCACCAAUGUCUUUUACAUUCCCUAAAUUUGAAAUUUUAAGUGUCCCCUGAAGAUGUAUCAAUGACUUUAGCUCUCGUAACCCAGAACCAUUGUCUUUUCCCACAGCAAAAUUACUCAAAGUCUGAAGACAAGUCAGCUUACCAAUUCCUACUGGCAUUUCCUCCAACGAAUCUGUAUUUGAAUUAUUGAGAUGAUGCAAUUUGAUGAGGUUUCCCAUGGCUGCACACAACUUCUUCAGUCGCCGACAGUCUUCCAACAGAAGGGUGUGCAAAUUGUAAAGCUUGCUGACUGAUUCAGGCAGAGUUUUAAUCUCAGUUCCAGACAGGUUAAGGUGCCUUAAAUACCUCAAAUCACCAACUGAAUCCGGCAGCUCGGAGAUGUGAUAUCCACGCAAAGAGAAGACCCUCAACCGUUGGAGUUUGAACAACUUAGGAAGAAUGCUACGAGCCAAGUAUCCACGCGAACUCUUUGUCAACAUUACUGGUAAAAAAGUUCGCAAAUGUUGGAUAUCGUACAAGCCCUCAAACCUUUGAACGCCAUCACAAAAUCCGCGAAUGUAUGACAGGUGACGAAUAUUUUUGGAAAAACUUUGUUGCUUGUUAACCUCUGAGGUAUACUCCAUUGUGAAGUAUAUCUCCCCCGCAGCCCAUUGAGCAAGGUCGUUGACAAGGUCGUGCAUCACAAAUCGUGAUUUAUUGUUGCUUGAUUGCUGGAAAAAAGAUCUUGAACGUAGCUCUUGAAAGAACUUUCGACCUAGAUCUUCAAUAGGAUUCCCACUCUCUUUGUGAUCCAAGAAACCCGAAGCACACCAUAAUAAAAUUAUCUCCUCCUCUUCAAAUUCAUAAUCCUUUGGAAACAAUGAGCAGUAUUCAAAGCAUUGUUUCAAAGGUGCCGCAAGAUAAUAGUAGCUCACUCUAAGCGCCGGUAUAAUGUCACAUCUCUCUUCGGGUAAAUCCCAUAUCUUGCAACUGAGCACACCUUCCCAAUCACUCCGGUCAAGUUUACCACGUAAGAGACCACCAAGAGUUUUCGCAGCUAAGGGCAAGCCGUUGCAUUUGAUCACUAUCUUCUUGCCAAUUUCCUCCAAUGACUUGUUUGAACUGAAAUCUCUUGUCCCCAAAGAGUGUUGAGCGAACACAGACAGACAAUCAUCAUUUGACAGCUUUUUCAAUUGAUAAGCCGGAGCAGUCCCCAUGAUGGCUGCAACCCCUUGAUUACGAGCUGUGACAAUAAUCUUACUUCCCGGUGCGCCAGCUUCAAAUGGAGGUCUGAGUCGAUCCCAAUCAUUGUAAUUCUCAUUCCAAACGUCAUCUAAAACAAGCAAAAAUUUCUUUUGAGAUAACUUCUUCUUCAGCUCCUCUUGAAGCUUAUUCAAGUCGUGAUUAUCCACAUUCUGGUCACUAGCAAUUGAAAGUAGGAUUGAUUUUGUAAGCCUGAUAACAUCAAAAUCAUCAGAGACGCAAGUCCAUGCCUUGAGAUCAAAAUGAUCCUGCACUUGCUUAUCAUUGUAGACAAGCUGAGCGAGAGUGGUUUUGCCCAGCCCGCCCAUACCAAUGAUAGGAAUAACAGAGAAUUCACCAUCAUUUCUCAAAUCAUCCCUCAACAACAAUUCAACAAUUUCCUUCUUUUCUGUUUCCCUCCCAUAUACCUUGGCUUCAUUCACCAAAGAGGUUGUGGGUAGUCUUUGCCUAUCUUUUUUGGACCUCCCAACUGAACUUACGUUCAAACCCAGCGAGUCUUUCUGUGUUACAAUAUCUUGAAAUCUGUCGUUGAUCUCUUUGAUUUUGGACAUUAUGGCGUAAUCGAACUGAAUCGAUUGUGGAGUAAAAGUGGUGCAGCAGGUAGGAAUGAGCUUCCGAAACUUACUUGUUCUUGUACGACUGCUACUGGGUUGAUCAAGAGCAGCAGCUGGAUCUCGAUUUCCAAGCAGCAACUUCCUCCGGAAAGCCUCAGUUUGAAACUCAUCCAGCAAGUCUUCAACAUCAAAAGCCAAGUUCUGAAGCUCGCCAAGCCACAACUUCACAGACUGAUCAGUCUUCUUCUCCUCAGCAUCAGCAAGCACCGCCUUGAUCAUCACCAACAUAUUCUUCCACUUCUUUAGGUCGGCUUGGAUUUGCUCUUGGCGUGCAAACAGCCGAAUACCCUCUGAAGCUAACUUAUUGACCAGCAAAUCAACGGACGCCGUAAGGAUUGCCUCUCCGAUGAAUGACAUUUUUUUUCUUUUUCUUUUUUUUUUUGGUUUUGCAAAGAAAGAAAGGAGCAGAAUUAUGGGUUAUGGAAAGCAGAAUGAGAAAAUGGAACAGGUGAGAAAAUGGAUAAUUAAUCAGAACGAGUUUGUGAUUGUGAAGGGUCUGGCCCAGCAAGCUUAGUAGAAAUCACGCGUUUAUACUUUAUUGACCAAUGACUAAUAAUUUGGCAAUUCACUCAUCACCAUUCACCGCCACUUGGUAAGCAAAAUGAAAAUGCUUGGUAAUUAAGUGUGGUCAAGCAAAAUACGACGUAAAAUGUGUCAAGGGUCUCCCCACUUGUUGUUCCUUGCAGCUUAGAAAAGAAAAACAGAGCCCACCACCCAUUAAUAAUUUAGCAAUUCACCAAUCAUCACCACUUGUUACGAAACCAUCUCAUAAACCAAGUUCGUAGGUCGAGCGGUUAAUCCAGUGUCUAUUUCCUAGAACCUUCAUCUCAUAAACCAAGUUCAAUCAAAACGUUCCUCUCUCUAUUUUUUUUUUUUUAAAAAACUCCUAAAACGUUUCUUUUUAGAAAUAUUUUACUUUAUUCAACUAAUAUGAUAUCUAACAAAUAGACACAAUUGAAUCACUCUAAAGUGAAGAUGAAAGGGGAAAAAAAUAACCUUCCAACUACCAGUAAUUUAGCAAGCUUCACUUUAUUCCACCAAAGUGUAAAUAAAGCCAGCCCCCACCACCAUCAAUAAUUUUGCAAGCUUCACACGCUUGUUGUCUUCUCCUUGACGAACUGGACAUGAGUGGACCAAGAACCAAUGACAGAAUUUUAAAAAUAAUAAUAAGAGAAAAACCUACACAUUUUCGACUUAGAGUAGAACCAUAAUUAAUGCUAAAAUCUACUCAGCUAACAUUUUCAAAAUAUUGUUCUUUAUGAUUUUCAAAACCUUGAUUAAGGUUCAUCUCAAAUGUUUGAAGAGAGUCUAUCAAUUCUUCUAUGCUAAAAAUAUCAAAAUUCUUACUUUUUCUUCAAACAUUGAAUAAUAAAAAAAAAAGUUGAAUAUGGAGGAAAGUAGAAUGCAUCCAUCUUCGCUGUAGAAGUCUUCUACUUAUUAAAGCAAGUUAGAAUAAAAGAUUUUAAUCUCUCUUUUUAUUCCUGUAAGUGCACUACAUUUUUUUUUAAUCUCAAUGCGAAGUCGUAUCAUAAUGUUAUAUUCCUAUUGUAAAACAAAAUUUUAGAUAAAACAAAUUCGACUCAUUUUUUAAAGGUAUAUAUUUAGUAGGUUACUAACAAAACUAACAAAACGUGAUUAUUACACUAAAUGAAAUAAAAGACAGUACUAUCACCAAUAAUUUAGCAAGUUUCGCAUGCAUGUGUUUCUAAAAACAUUAUAUGGAAUCAAACAACAGUGAUACAAAGAGAAAAGUGGAAAUCCUCUGAUUGUAUUUUUCUUUUUCUUUUUCAAAAGAAAUGGUGGGGUUGGUUUGUUUGCAAAGUUAUUAGCGUGGGUCUAUUUGUUUUUGUUUUAACUUUAUUAAUCAAUAAGCAAACGUGUAAUGAUUUGUAUAUAUCACUAGCAUCACAUUAUUGGGAGGUAUUGCGCUUAGUAUUCACAAUUUUUAUAAGAUGAAUUUGUAAGACUAAUUAAUUUUGAUGAAAAUGUAUUGUUACUAAGAUAUUAUUUAAUUCAUUAAGUUAACUUGAGGUAUUAAUAUUCACUAAUUGUGGUGCUGAUUAAUUUACUUAACUUGUCACCAUUUGCAAUUAAGAAUGAAGUUCAAUCAAUUUAUUGAGAAAAAAAAAUAAAGAUACCUUUUUUUCUUUAGAUUUUAAUUCUUAGGAUUUGAUUUCACGCUCUUUUAUUUUUUUACGUUGCUAAAGAGGCAGUAAAAAACUUGCUGAAUGUCAUCAAAUACUUUUAUCUCAUCUCACAAAUUGGUAAUAUUUGUUUGGUAUUUCAUCUCAACAGACGCAGUAAGGAUUACCUCUCCAAUGACUGACAUUUUUUUUUUUUUUUGGGGCAAAGAAAGAAACAGAAUUUUGAGUUUCGAAAAGCAAACUAAGAAAAUUGAGCAGCAAGUGUGAAGGGCAAGCAAAAUGCAUGUAGCAAGUCUUCCACUUGUUGUUUAUUCCAGUAAAGUGAAAAUAAAAACAGAGCCCACCACCCAUUAAUAAUUGAGCAAUUCACCAAUCACCAGUCACCACCACCCGUUACCGUAGGAUAAAAUUUUAUUUAAUUUAUUUUUUCACUGUAUUUUAUCUUAAAAAAUUAUUUACAGUAUGAUAAAAUUUUAUUUAAUUUAUUUUUUCAUUGUAUUGUAUCUUAAUUAAUUAAGUUGUUAUAUUUAUUGCAAAAAAUUUAUUUUGGCUUAGAGGAUUACUUCUUAAAUUCAGAUUAUUUUAAUGAUAAUAAAAGAUAUUUAUUUUGUGGAAGCAAAAUAAAUUGAAGAGAGAAAGAAAAUAUAAAUGACUUAACUCUAUUUAUAUUUGUCCUUAAAUAUAAUUGUAGUAUAAUAGGGGUUUUAUAAGAUUAAUGAAGGGGUGCCAAUAGUCCUACUCUUAUAGAAAAUGGCAAUAAAAAUAGUGGAAAUUUAGUGUAAUAAAAAGGAUAAACCAUAAGAAAUUAAUGUUUACAUCAAGAUACGUUAUAAAUAUUGUUUUUCUUAAGAUGUUAUUUGCCUCCACCAAUCGAAUAAUACACAUGAAUUAAACAAAUAUGACUCCAUGAUACAAUAAAGCGCUUAUUUAUUUGUUUAAGUUAUAUGUCGACGAAGCAAAUUUGAAUACUUUUGAAUGUUGUAAGCAUGUCAAGAAUCAAUAUAUUAUUUCUACAAAAAGAAACAAUAUAUUAGAUAUUUAAAGCAUAAAAAAUAGAUGUUAAUUGAUUAAAUUUGAUUUAGGAAAGAAGGCUACGAAAAGAGUGGUGUAAGGUCAUUUUAUUCAUGUCUACAUAGCCCUAUUAUUUGGGUUGUCAUUUUUUUAUAAUACUCCUUCAUGGCCAUUAGAUCAAACACUCAAAUCCCUACUAUAGCUAAUUAGCUUAUUGACCAGUAACUUACAGGAUGCCAUAAGGAUUACAUCUAUGAUGAUUGACCUUUUUUUUUUUUGGGUGGGGGUAGGGGGGAAGAAACCGAAUUAUGAGUUUAUGGAAAUUAGAGCAAAUAAGAAAGUGAAUUACAACAGAAUGAGUUUGUGAUUGUGAUAGGUCGAACAAGUCUAGAAAUCAAUUAGGCAAAAACCACCACGAAAGUUAAAAAGGAAAAAUAGCGCCCACCACAAAUAUAAAAUUGGAGGAGCUUAGGAUCAUGCCUUUGCUUUACAAAUUAAAUUAAAUAAAAGCCAAACCAAGAACCUUGCUUUUGCUUAACAUGAUUAAUUAGGCACUAUUUCAGAAAGAACACAAAAAUAAUAAACCCUUUUAUUGAUCUUAAAUGUCAAGAAUAAAGUAACAUUUUCUCCUCUUACCGUUUCUUCAGGUUCAUUUCAAAAGUUUGAAGAGAGUUUAUCCAUUCUUCUAAACUAAGAAAAAGAAAAUCAACAUUAUUGCUUUCUUCUAUUCUUGCUUUCUUCAGAUGUUGAAUAAAAAAAAAUAUAUUGUUAAAUAUGUAGGAAAAAAACAAACAAAGUGAGUUAAACAAAUAAAACCUAGGUAAAUUAACUGACGCAACACUGGAAAUCACAACUGAAAAUAUAGGAGGGAAAAGAAAAAUCGAAACAGAAAAUGAAACCCGAGGCCUGCACAGGACAAUUUCCUUAAAACAAAUUUACCACCUACUGAAGUGCUUUAGGUCUGCUGGUAACUGUUUCUCAGGAUACAACGAGCACGAAUUUUCGGUCAAUCACAUACAGGUAAUGUCGGCGAACUACAACAGUGGCAAACUCAAUAAGAAAAAACAAAUGAAAGAAGGAGGAAAGGAAAAUUUUCAAGUGCUCUGUGUGCUGGUUUCAGUGUGUAUAAAAAACAGAAGAGGAUGUGCUUUUUUAUACUCAUGUGAGGAUAUAACAGCAGCAUUGUAUUGAAUUUCGGAAUUCAAUAUAUGCCAUUAAAUAGUUAUAACAGCCAAUUCAAUUCCAUCAACUGAUUUCAAAAUUGAAUUCAAAACCAGUUAAAAAAUAAUUGUUGUGAAGUUGUUACAACAAAAAAUUCAAAGGAAAUUAAAAAUGUGCUAUGCAAGCUUGGAUGAUUUUGGACUGACAUUCGCGUACGCAGGACGCACACGAGUUUAACCAAAUCGGUCUUGGAUUUGCACCCCCUACGCACGCGCGUGUAGAGAGAGUCUCUAUCCUUAUAAUUAUUACUCAUGCAUGGUUAAAUGUUUAUAUAUAAACACUAAUCCUUGGGCUUCUUUUUCUCAUGUGGGAAAAGUUUCAUUUGCUUUCAAAUUUCCAACUUCAAUAGUGAACUUUGAGAGACAAUUUCUCAUUCACCCAAGCACUAUUUUGAGAAAAUAAAAUUAUAUUUUUGAAGUAUUAACAUAAUAGAAUCCAAACCUCACAAGAUUUCUCACUUUCGCUAAGUGAGACCCACUCAAAAUGUGCCCUCAAAAUAUCAUAUAGACAUGCUAUUUUUUCAACAAAAUAAGGAGGAAAUUAGAAUGUAUCUACCUUUGCUAACCUAAAAUAAAAGAAAUUAAUCUCUCUUUUAUUACUAAAGUACACUAUUUUUUUAAUAAUUGUAUUGACAAUGACAACAUGUAUCAUCGAUUAUAUUCUUGUUGUGUUGAAAUAAGAUAUAAAAAAUCUUGGAUCAAGAGGAAUUCGACUCAUUUGUUAAAGGUACAUAUUUUAUAUACUAAAAACAAAAAUUAACAUAACACGAUUAUUACACUAAAGUGAAAUGAAAGCCAGUACCCACCAGUUCACCAACAGUAAUUUAGCAAACUUUGCAUUCUCGUGUUUGAGGAAAUGGACAUUGGUGAAUUAACCAAAGGACCAAUGAAAGAAUUGUAAAUAACAAAAUGGAGAUUACACUUUUUUUCCAUAUAAUUGUUCAGGCAAUGAAACUAAUUUUGAGACAUUUUCAAAUAAACUUAUUUUCAAAAGCAAUACAAAAUGAUUUCGUUUUAUUUUGAAACAUUUCAUGGAAUCAAGUAGUAGUAAAAUAAAUAGAAAAGUGGUAAUUCCCUCAUUUUAUUAUUUUCUUUUUUAAAAGGAGAUGAUGGGGUUGGGUUGUUCACAAAAUUAUUGGUGCGGGGUCUGUUUGUUUUUGUUUUAACUUUAUUAAUUAAUUAGCGAAGCAAACAUGUAAUGAUUUGUAAAAGGAUUACUAGCAUCAGAUUAUUGGGAGGCAUUAUGGAGAAGUCACGCUUAGUAUUUACAAUUCAUGUAAGAUAAAUUUGUAGAUUUAUUAAGUUACUUGAGAUAUAUUUAUUAAUUGUGGAGAUUAAUUUAUUUAACUUGUCAUGAUUUUCAAUUAAGAAUGAAGUUCAGUCAAUUUAUGGAAAGAAGGAUAAUUUUGUUUUCAGAUUUUUAAUUCUUAGGAUUUGAUUUCACUUUGUUUCGAUUGUCGAUGUUGCUGAAGAGGCAGUGAAAGUUUGCUGAAUGCCAUCAAAUGCUUGCAUCUUAUCUCACAAAAUGUCAAUAUCAGUCUGUUUCCCUAUAGGCGCAACCAUCACGAAUUUAAAGUAACAACAUGAUGAGCAUAUAACAUAUACAUAUUUUACCAUUAAUUAUAUAAUUGUUAGUUAUUUUUAUUUAUUAUUUUUAAUUAAUUAAAUUAUUUUAUUAAAUAAGAAAUUAAUUGGAGAUUAUGGAUAAAAAGGACAUGAAAAAGUUUAAUUUGGGAAGCAAUAAAAAUUAAAUUGAAAGACAAAAAUACAGACAAGGAUUAAUAGAAUCCGUGCCGAAAAAAUCAAAGCACAAUGUUUUUCUUAAUGUCAUUAUUUAGGCAAGUGUUUUGAUGCACUGGAAGUUUAAGAGAAUAAAAUCUGAAGAAUUUAUUAAGAGAAUCAAAUAGAAAGUUUUGAUGCAGCGAAAAAAAUCUGAAGUUUGAAUUUUGCUCAUAUAGAUAGUAAGAGAAUCAAAUUAUUGUUAAAUUAAAUUAAUGAAAAAAAUUAUCUGAUAUCUAAAACAGCAUAUCAACAAAAUUGAAUUAAAAGAAAAUUGAAGAGAAAAACCAUUGAGAAAUUUCGAUAACUUCACUUAUUAAAACUUGGUUAUUUCAUUUUCAUUGAUAAUCAUUUUGACACCGGUCAAAUUUAAAAGUUUAAAUAAUGGGGGCGAUAUUUCUUUCCAGCUAUGCCCAUCGACUAAUUAAAAUACUGCCGAAACAAUUCAGGGAUAGUAUAGUAAUUUCAUUUAACAGUUUUCGUGCUUCAAAUCAUCAAAUCAAACUCACGGUUUCCGACUUGUAAUGGGUGCAACUCAUGUUUUUCAAACAUUAAUGUGUUUCAAACAUUAAGAUCUUUAGCCAUUCUGUUACUAUCCCGUGGUUAUUUAAGUUACAAGAGACAGUAAAAAAUAUCAUCAUAUUUUAACGUCCCUCGAAUAUUUGAAGAAGUUAAAAUUUAGGCGGUUUUAUAUAAGAUGUAAUAUAAAUUGAUAUCAGUAAUUAUAUGAUUGUAAAUAUCAUGAUCAAUAGUCUCUUAUAAAAAAAAAAAAAGAACAAGUGUCAUGAGCCCAUUUAGAUUAACUUAUAUUUGAGGGGGAAAUCUUUGUACACCAUGGUAUAUAUUAUAUAUAUAGACAUUGAUGAAUUCGCACAGUACAACUAAGUAUUUUUUUUUUUUGAAUACUGGUUACACACCAGAUUACUGGCAAUUGCUAUUAUAGCAGACAUUACACUGAUAUUUACAAUCAAAUAUACAUAAUUGAGACUUAUAUUAUUACAUUAAAUUCUAUGAAGUACAUUUCCAAACAAAUAACCCUUAUAGAGCAGAGAUGUCCUUGCUCCACUCGCAUUUCGCAGGGAGAAGAACUUAUAAAAAUUUAGCCCCCACAAUACUUUUGUGGAGGGUUGAACCGCUGCUCUCACGCUUGUGAGGGCAGCAGUCCAACCCGCAGACCAAGGGCCCAAUGGCGUACAACUAAGUAAUUGCAUGCGCCAUUUGUGCCAAUGUGUAUAUAAAUAUAUAUAUAUAUAUAUACACCCUGCUUGCAUUGCAUUAACUACGUCCCUAGUCACCCACGUCCGCUACUUGUAUGAAUGUGCAUAUAAAUAUACAUAUCCGCAGUGUUAGGAAUUUAGAUCUAUUAGAAAUAGAUAUAGGUAAUUAAAAAACCAAAAAUUAAGAACUUCAUUUUUUUUGGAAGUACUAUUCACGGUUACUGUUCACGACUACUGUUCAUCAUCAUAAAAAAUAUUAAUUUUCAAAAACAUAAUAAAAUGCAGAAAAUAAAUGACACAGAGAUUUUUACGUGGUUCGAAUUAACCAAUCAUACAUCCAUGAGGCCACGCCCAGAUGAAAAGCAAUUCAUUAAGUUGAGAUGUUACAACCUAUGGAUUUACCAAACUUAAGACUCUCAUUUACAGUUUAUCACCAUACAGUUUACUCAACCUUAGAAUGAAUCUGCUUCUCUUGAAUAAUCACUACCCCUCUUGAUCCGCGAUCUUCAAGGCACUUCGCAAAGUGAUCAAUAGCAAUUCUUCAAUUCUUCAAUGUCUAGUGAUACAAGAUACACAUAGACUCUCCAUAGAGAUUAACAGAAGAUGAGAAAAAAAAUCAACACAACAUGAUGCGCCAGAUCCGGAUUCUUUGGGGAGGAGGCCGAAUCUUACUUCUCUGCUUUAUGCUCUGCGUUAUAUGAUCUUCAAUUGUGAAAUACCUCUCUUUAUAUAGGCACUAGAGUUUUACCAAAAUAGCAAGUCUUAAAAGACUUGGAUUCUUUCCAAAUAAGAGUUGCAUUCCUCUUAUAAUUCCCAUGAAUCUGAAUAGGAAUAAAUCUAACCUUCUUACCUUGCUUGUCUCCUAAGAAAUAUUUAGAGCAUUUAAUGAACUCUCUGUUUGAACCAACUUCUUGCUCUAAAUAGAUCUCAUGCGCUAAAUAUAAAAUCUCACCAUUAAUUAACUUGCUAAAUUAAACAUCUAAUUAAAUUAAGAAACAAAUAUUCCUAAUACUAAAUUAGUGAAUUAAUAAAUUAAUCCAUAUUACAAUAUAUGCAAUAAAUAAAUUUUCAAUUUAACUAGACUUGCCAUAAAAUAUCAACUUUAUAAAUAUUGGACUUAACACGCAGCAUAUUAUCAAACCAGAAUCAGAAGCAACUUAAGUUUUGAUUACGGUUCACCGGAAGUCACAGCUAGCAAGUGAUCCUUGCAUCAUUUUACUAAAUAUACAAUGAAAUUAACCCCCGCAAUUUCGGCCUUUGCCAUAGUCGUUUUGUUUAUUAGGUUUAUGUUUAUCAACAUGAUUGUCAACCAUAAUCACAAUCAAGUUGUUAAUUAUUUUUAAAUAAUGUGAAGGAACAAGAUUUUGGUCUUUGAAUGUGGAGUUAGAAAUAUCUCACCUCAAUAUACGGUAUUGUGCUCUCAUCAUCUUAACAUUAUUUGUUAAAAAUUAUGUCAAAGAGGAAAGCAGAUUCAAACAUUACUUCAAUUUUCUUUAAGAGCAUCAAAAAAUCGUUAAUAGGCUACUGUUAUUUGAUAGUACGAUUUCACAAAAGGAAGCUGGAGGAAGAUGAAGCUUUCAAGUCAUGUGUGCAUCAAAGUAAGAAACAGAGCUAACGAGAGAUGGACAAGUAUUAACCACUGUUAUCAGAAAUUAAAUAUAUCAGCAUUUUGUUAUAUCAGCAGAGACGCGUGUACGUAUUGCUUGUGACAAAUCUCACCCAUGGAGAACUUUGUGGACGGCAUUUGAAUGUGUGGCCUCAUUUAAUGAACGAAACGAUAACUUUAAAAGAAAGUAUGUACUGUGUUAAUUAUUAGGCUUUAGCUUAAUGAUUGCAAUUAGUUUGUCUUGUAAUUAAAUUAUUGCCGACAAACACUAUCACGACCGACGUCCACUACUUGCGUGAAUGUGUGUAUAAAUAUCCACAGCAUAUUAUCAAACCUGAAGCGUGAUCAUCUUUAAGUUUUGGUUACGGUUUAUCAGACGUUAGAAAAUAUCUUUUCUAAUUUGAAGAAGAUGGAAACUCCUUAUCCAGGUUCUUAGGUCAUGUUCAGUUGAAUGUUAUUUAUAAUUUUUAUUUUAACAUUAUGUAUUUAUAAAUAUAAUUAUUAUUAUGAUUUUUUCAGGUAAGAAUGGAUGGUCUGAAAGUAACCCAAUAAUUAUGUACAAUAUUAUUAAUGAUGCGAGCGUGAAUAAAAAUUUGGAUUUUAUUCUCGUCCCUCAAUACGGAAGAAAUCUUGACCAUAGAGGCUAAGUGUUAUGUAACUCUUUCGUAUGUAUUAUGUUUAAUUAAUAAUAAAAUGAUGGGUUAUUAUUAUGUCAAUUAUGUGAGUGUCUUUGUUUGGUUUAGUUCAACUUAUAAAAUCUCUUGAGAUAUUUUCUUUAUUUAAUUUUGUGUACCGUGUCUUCUUGUAAAAAGAAAUUAAUAAAAAAAAUAUCAUUGUGUAUAAUGUAUUAACUAAGUUAGUGUAUUCAUGUUAGGUUAAUUGUGCUCUCUCUUCUUCAUAUUUUUUUUUUUUAAAAAAAAACUCCACAUAUUGUUGGUUAGCUAAUUCUUGCAGCUAGCAAGUGAUCAUUUUCUUUCCCCUACUGCCGUAGCAUCAAAUCCUUGCAAUUACAUAUCAAGUGGUAUUCGAGCCGUCAAAUGAUCCAUGGAAACAAGCAACAAAUCAAAUGGUGAAUUUUGCGAAGAGAUUCACGAAAUCCUUGCUAUACAUGAGUCUAGUUUUGACCCAGUUCACAUCACCCAUCAGCUGCGGGUUUGAAUGGUACCUAGUGGAUAUUUUGUGAGUCCCCACGUAUAAAAUCACACUUGCAACAAAACCUAAAAACUUAAAUUACGUAAUUCAAAUUAUAAAUUUAUAAUCAUAGCCUAAAAAACCACACAAAAUACUUAAUUCUAGAUUUUAUCAAUGUAAAUGAAAAAUGAAAGUUUUAAUAUUAAAAUAAACUCACAAAAUAUAUCAAUUUAACACAAAUUUUCAAAGUUAAUUACUAAAUACAUAAGUCUAUCGCAACUCAAAGUGCUUUCAAUUGAAAACGAAAAAAGAGAAAGAGAAUAAAAAAUAAAGAACUACAAAUCAAAGUAGCAGCCAUGUCUCAUUUUGCAGUCUCAUUCAAUACCACUAGCACCCAUCCAACACGAUUUUUCUAAACAAAGUAUCAAGUACAAAAUUACAAUAAGCAUAUCAUACUCCAUGCUUUAAGUUAAAGAUCCUUAUAUAUUUUUAUGAAUAAUUUUUUAAUGAAAUUUUAUGAUUAAAAUUAAAAAUACAAACAUUCAAAUAAGAAUGUCGGACACUUGCACAACUAUUUACCAAAUUUUUUCUCUAUAAAAAUCGACCUGCAACUUUCAAUAGGUUUAAAUUUUAUAAUACCAAACCUGAUUGCAGCUCGCAAAAAUUAUCCGUUGCGGCCAAGACUUUGGAUUUGCGAUGAUUUUGCCACCCUAAGUGUAGUUAGUAUUGUAUAUCAUGUGGCUCUUAUAAAAAGCUUAGAAGUUGUUUGAAUAACGGGGGAGACACAUAUCUCCCAAAGAUUUUCUCUUUUUCAAAUUAUUAUUUUUUCUCUAUUAUUGUAACUUCGAAUCCUUAUAAAUUACAGAUUGGAAACAUGAACACAAUGUUUUGACAUAGUAGACUUUUGGCUUGUCCAGAGAAAUUUAGGAUAGAUUUUUACGCACUAAGGUGGCGUUUGUUUUUUUGUCUGAAAUCUGAAUAGACUUGAAUUAGUCUGAAUUCUGAACAGGUCUGAAUGUUUGAAUCUGAAUAAUAUGUUUGUUUUUUCAUCUGAAUCUUGAAAAAUAAGUAUUAAGUUGUUUGUUUUUUUCAACUUAAAAAGCUAAAAAUAUGUACUUUUACAUUUGUAUCCUUAUUAAAUUUAAAUGUCAAAUAAAUAAUAUAUUAAAUACCACAAUAUUUUAACAUUUAUAAGUAAAACUAUAUUCAAGUGAAUACAUAAUUAUUUUAAAAUUUUAAUAUAUAAAAUACCAUAAAUUUCAAAUUUUAUCGUAUAUAAUAUAAGAAAGAAAAAACAGGGAUAUUUUUAUGUGGGGUAAAUAUCUAUGGGUGAGUUUUGGGAUAGACAUGAAAAAUAAAUUAUAAAACAGGGAUAUUUUUGACAUUAGCAAGUAAUUGACUUAAUUCAGAUUUCUCCAUUAAGUAAAAAGCUAAAAAAAAUUAGCUUAUUUUAUUAAGUCAAAAUUAUCUAAAAAGUCUCAUUAAGUUAUAAAAACAAACACCUCUAAUUAACUUAAUUAAUUAAGUUAAGUCACUUUAAGUCAUUAAGUUAAAAAACAAACGCCACCUAAGACUCUAUUUACUUUUGAGGUUUUAGAACUUUUAAGCAACACUAGAAAUUUGUAUUGUUUUGAUAGAGUUGUAGUCUUUGAUAUGUGAUUGGUAUUAAUCAAGUGUUAUGUUUACAAUAGUUAAAACACAUAUUGAAUCAAAAUCCACUUCUAAGGGCUUGAUUGAGUGAUUGUAAAGUAGGUUUUUAGUUUGCUAGCCACUCAAGUUCAAAUAUUGGAACCACAUCGCUUUAUAGCCAAGUGAGAGAACUUGUGCCCUAAAAAUUGAGGGGUGCAUAUCGAGUUUUACCACCAAUAAAAGUUGGUGUUAAAACUUUAAUUUCUCUCCUAUUGUGGAUAGGGGUAAUUAGGAGUUUACAUCCCCUCCUAUUAAUAGAUAGGGGUUAUUAGGAAUAUUAAAAAAAAGUUCAAAUAUUGAAAAUAUAGGUAUGUGUUAUAAAAUUCAUAAUAUAAAGACACAAAAUCAAGAUAAAUAUUUAAAAAUUUAGAACCAUAAGAGCGUGACUUGUAAGUUUCAAAAAAGUAUGUGCAAAUAUAUGCAUUAUUGAUACCCCAAUUAAGGGUGGGCAUUAAGAAAAAAAAUCCCAAAAAAUUAAAACUAACCCUAACUAAAAUAUUCGACGGCGGCCUCCUCGUUUUCUUUUCUUCUUCUUCCUCCUCUUGCUCACCCUCAAUGCCCAUUCAUGGAAAUCCAACAGCUCCAAACGCGUUUCAGCCGCUCGCACGUGUGAGAAAUUUUCCUUCUCAUAGGAUUAUUCGUUUCCUUCGCUUGCAUGCCAGCAGAAUAUUCAGGCCGAGGAUUUUUCCGGGCCUAGCCCAACUAUAAGCUCUCCCAAAACCCAAUCAUAAAGUUCAUAACGUUUAGCGUUUGCUUUUACUAUAAUUUUUUUUAACCAAUUUUCACAUUCAUCAACAUAGGCAGACAGAUUUUGUAGAAAAUAAAAUUAAAUAAAAAUACAAGAUCACGAAAAUUCCUUUUCCGAUGUGGGAAUCUAUCUACACCUUUCACGUACCUUUUUUUUUUUUUUUUGUGGUGGGGGAUUCACUUGCUUUUGUUUGCAUUGCCUUAUUGGAUAAAAGUUUGUAGAACAUCGUCUGUUUGGUUAAAGCCGAGCAUGAGUGAAGAAAAAUUAAAAAUAAACAAUUUUCCAUUAAUUUGCAACAAGUAUUAAUAAAGUGCAUGAGAAAAGACACCAGGAUAUGUCUUUUUUCAAAUGAAAAUAAAUGUGUUAAUUAGUCAAUUUAAAUGGUAUGACAUUUUGAAAUGACAGAAGUGAUCUAAAGUUUAAAUCUUACUCACAAUUACUUUAGGGUUGGGGAUUAAUUGACCUAAUAUAUAAUAACGAAUUCGAAAGACAAUUAAAAAUUAAAAGAAAAUAAAAAAGUACUUUCUUUUUUAUGAUGGUAAUUUGUUUAGAUGAUGAAAACUCUUAGAGUGGUAUUAUCAUUACAUAGUUUCGAGCGUUGCCAACGUGAAUAAUAUUUAAUUUCGUUUAUAUAGUUAUAUCUCAACUAACAUUUAAACAGAAGUAAGCUGUAAAAAAAAAAUGAACCAUUGAGAUUUGAGAGAACGAAAAACUAAAAAAAAAAGUUAAAAAAUUAGAUCUCAAUAAAUUUACUUGAGAACUACUUUACUUAUUAGUGACGAGAAAACACAAAGAAUAAUGAUGUAUCUCAAUUAAUAAGACAGUUUUUGUAUUUUUCAUUUAUUCAAGAAUCACGAAACUUCAUUGAAAUUUGUUAUUUCAUUGAUAAUAUAUUAAUAUUGAACAAUUAAUGUAGGAGACAUUCCUUUUCAAUUAUACCCAUAUAUUAAUUAAAGACUACCAAAAAGUUCAGGGAUACUAUAGUAAUUUAAGUUAACAAUUUCUGUGCUUGAAAUCAGCCGAUCAAACUCACUUUAAAAUAAACUGAGAAAUCAAAAUCACAUUCUCCGAUUCUACGAUUUCAAUUCAUCUUAUUUCUUCAACUGAAAAAUUGGUUAUAUUUCGUUUUAUUUUAUUUUUAUUUUUAUAUAAAGAUAAAUAUAAAAUAUUUUUUUGAUUACAUGAGACUAUUGCUCAAAUUACAACUCAUAUUACAUGAGAAUAUAACUGAUAUGUACAAAUCAGACUAUAAUUAGGACCAACAUACAUCAAAUCUAAUGGAGCGUUGCCCAAAUUUUAACCCUCUCAAAUAUUCGAGGGAUGUCUACUUCUCGCACUGAGACAAAAAAAUAGACUGCCUUCACUCAAUUUUAUUUAAGAAAAGAAAUACUCCCACAUACAUUGUGGGGGCUCGAACUGUUGCUCUCCAACUUGGAGAGCAGCAGCUCUCACCACUCGGCCAAAGGCCGAGUGGCUGAUUUAUAUUUUGGCCGAGUGGCUGAUAAAUAUAAAAUAUAAAUGAAGAGGAAACUGUUAAAGUAAAAUCAAAAGAAGGACACGAGUUUUAUUGAAAAUGACUCUUUUCAUCAUUUUACCGGAUUGAAUGUAUCUACAUAUAAACUAAAGAAGCACAUUUGUUUCCGACUCUACGCUUUAAAUUUAGCUUCAUUUCUUCAACUGAAGAAUCGGUCGUCUCUCAUUUUUUAUUUAUUAUAUAAAGAUAAAUAUCUAAAUUUAAAUGGCGAGAAGAGCGGACGAGGAAUACGAUUACUUGUUCAAAGUGGUAUCAAUCGGCGAUUCGGGAGUCGGCAAAUCGAACUUACUCUCCCGAUUUACUCGUAACGAGUUCUGUUUGGAGUCGAAAUCCACUAUUGGCGUCGAAUUCGCCACCCGCACUCUUCAAGUAACUAACUUUUCCUCUUUCACUUCUCUUCAUUUUUAUUAGUUAAUUAAGAUCCAGCUAAUGUAAUUAAUUUUAUUUAAUCUUUUAAAUAAAGUUCUAGAUUAGGCUAACUUAGAUUCAUGUGAAGUUGAAGUGAUUUACUUUCGAUCUCUUUUUCGUCCUAUGUUUAUUUGUACUUACUAUUACUUUUUUUUGGGUUUAAAUUUUCGUUUUUGAAGUGUUUACUGAAUAAAUUUCUGAGCUUUAUUUGUGUAUGCUGAUUGAUUUGUGAUUUUAAUUUUGUGACUUUUUUUUUGGAAUUUAAAUUUGAAUGCUUUUUAAGUUGAAUCUGAUUGUGUUGGGCUGCGAUUUAAUUAAGUCAUCUGUGAGCGCCAAGUUGUGAUAGCUAUAUAUUGGGGUGAAAAUUUGGGAUUUAAAGUUAUGUAUUUAAGAUGCAGUUAAUUCGCAAGUGAAAAUUAUGGGCCGGCAGAUUUUGUCAUUGGAAGACUGUUCUCCACAUGUUGAAGUUAGUGAUGCAAGUUGAAACCAAUCUGUUUAAGCUUGGGGUUUCAUGUCUUGAAUCAAGGCUGUGACUUGGGGUGGGUUGAAAGUAUUAUAGCUUUAGCUAUUCCUGAAGUGAUCUGUUUAGACUCACCGUGAUGAGACCGAGUGCUGUACAGUAAAAUGAAAGGAAGUUGGAAAAUAUUUACUUAGCAUUUCGCGUUACUAAUGUUGAACUAAUAAAACCUAGCCCCUAUCCUAGUGAAUUUAUGUUAAAAAGCUAUGCACGCAUUAAGUUAGUGCGAGAGUCUGCUGAAGCAUAUGCCAGCUGUGUGUUUGGAGCUGAGUAUUCUUCAUUCCACAUUUUGGGUUUUGGUUGACCUCCAGCAUGACUCAACCCACUUGAGUUAAAAGCCCUAGAGUUACAUUCUACCCAUGAUAUUUGAGUUUAUCAAGUCACCUUAUUUUAAUACUUCUCUGGAAAACAAAUAUAUAUGUUAAAUCAGGUAGGAAAAAUAAAAAGUUAAUUAUUGAGUUGUAAUGGUGCAACUAAGGUUUUGAAACAUUAAGAUCUUUAGCCAUUAUGUUACUAUCCCGUAGUUAUUUAAGUUACAAGAGAUAGUAAAAAAUAACAUCAUAUUUUAAUUACUUACACUAAUCCUACAAGUGCUGAUGGUCUAAAGUUGCUGCUGCUUGCACUGAAUCAGUGGUCAUGGGCCAGCCAAGGUUAGGUGAGGCCAACUCAUUAGCUUGUGAAACUUAAAGAAGUCUUAGGUUUGGAAAAGAUGGGGCACAGGUUACAAAAUUUUUUUUGAGUUUUGGAUUGAAGGAACAAAAUUGUUGAUGUCUAGUUCACAAUAUUUGAAGUCACUCUGUGCUUCAUCAUGUAAAAUGGAUUGAAUUGCUGUAUGAUCAGGUCAAAUUAAAAUGUUUAAACUCAUUUUUAAGAAACGAAUUCUCAAUUGGACCAGCCUUUCACAGAAGCUGAUAUCACAGAAGCUUUGAGUCAGAUGCAUCCAACCAAAGCCCCUGGCCCAGAUGGUCUCCCAGCAGUAUUUUUCCAAAAGCUUUAGAAUUCAGUAAGCGAAGGAGUUAUAGCCACUUGUCUGCAUAUCCUCAAUGAUGGAGGUAAUAUUGCUCCUUUGAAUCAUACAUACAUUGCUUUAAUCCCCAAGAUAGCAAAACCUAGGACUCUGAUGGAGUAUAGACCAAUCAGCAUAUGUAAUGUAAUUUAUAGGAUCAUUGCAAAGACUAUAGCGAAUAGGCUGAGGCUAAUCUUAGAUCAUGUUAUUUCGCCAACUCAGAGUGCUUUUAUGCCAAAUAGGCUCAUAACUGAUAAUAUAAUUAUUGGGCAUGAGUGUCUUCAUAAGUGGACAAAGCUAAGUUCCAGAGGUGAGAUAGGAAAUUCUCCCGCACGACACAGCAGAAACAAACUUUCCCUUUCAUUUUCUUUUCUCUUUCUCGCUCUCCAAACAGAGCAAAAGGACUGUCGCAAGAUUCUUCACUUCCAUCCAAAAUCAUGAGCAACGAAUGGUGAGCCUCCCUGUUUCCUUCCUUUUUUUGAUAUUAACCUUGUUAACAUAUACUCAUUUUAAUUUGACAAUACUUCAACUUUUUUUAAUUUUUUGCCUUUUCAUUUUUUUUGUUGAAGCAAUUAUCUGUUCAAGCUGUUGCUUAUCGGAGACUCGUCCGUCGGAAAGUCCUGCCUGCUGCUCCGAUUUGCUGUCUGUUGACUUUUCCUUUCCCUUCUUAUUUUCUUUUUUUAUAUUAAUUACUUUCUAUUUUAGCUUUUUGUUCUCUUAAUUUGUGUUAUUAAAAUGAUAAUUUAGAUAAUAAAUAAUUGUUAUUCUUGUAAAUUUCUGUUUUCAUUACGUUAAUUGUUAGCUUUUAGGUUUAUUAAUGUAAUUUUUUUUUUUCAAUUUUUCAGGAUGAUUCUUAUGUCACAGCUACAUCAGUACCAUUGGAGUUGAUUUUGUGAGUCUCUCUUCUAUAUAUAUGUAUAUAUGUGUAUAAGUUAUAAUAUGAGUCUAUGUACGUGUAUGUAUGUAUGUGUAUGCAUAUGUGGAAAGAAAUGUUGGCAGACUUCAGCAUUUUACUCUUUUCUUUUUUUGGCAGAAAAUAAGAACUGUGGAGCUGGAUGGGAAGACGAUCAAACUGCAGAUUGUGAGUCAAAAUUUCCUUUUAUCUUGUAUUGAGAGAAAUUCGAUUUGUCUUAUUUUCUUUGUUUGAAGAGUGAUAUGUUGAAAUGAGUGUAUUUGUCUUAUAAACAUCAUUUAGGUAAUGUCUUCUGUUUGAUUGUUUUUCAUCUGUUUAGUGGGACACUGCUGGACAGGAGCGAUUCAGGACUAUAACUAGCAGUUAUUACCAAGGAGCCCAUGGAAUCAUAGUAAGGAGCCUUCCCGGUUCUUGGUUUAAAUCAGAAAGUUUGUGAUUUACAUGUGACAUCUUAACAGCAUUGUAUGUGUUUAUUAACUUAUUUUUCAUCUUUCAUUAAGCAGUACACUUUCUAUUAAAUCUGUAUACAAGAUGAUGUAGUCCAAGAAUGGGAGCCAUAAUAUGAUGCAAAUUGUCUAAUAAAUUCUUAUGACAUAUGAUGUUGUCGGAAGUAAAAGUCUUGCAAUGCUGUAUUCUCUUUUAAGAAAGAAUAAGUGGUAAUUUUGUUUUUCCAAUUUUUUAAUUGAGCAACUGUAUGAGAUUAAUUAAAUGUGUUGGGAUUUCAACAGAUUGUUUAUGAUGUAACUGGGAUGGAGAGCUUCAAUAAUGUCAAGCAGUGGUUGAAUGAGAUUGACAGAUACGCAAAUGACAGUGUAUGCAAGCUUCUAGUUGGGAACAAAUGCGAUUUAGUUGUGAACAAGGUUGUGGACACACAGACAGCCAUGGUAUAUUCAUGACUUUUGUCGCCUGAACUUUGAAUAUAAUUUUAAACUCUUCUCAAGUGCAUUUGCUUGGUAAGUUUCUGCAUACCCAGGACACUCAAACUUUGGACAGUCUGUAUCUCGAGUUGGAAUCUUUUCUGUCAAUACGACUUGUUAAAAUAAGGGUUGUUAUCGUUUGAAUCAUUCAAGAAUUGCCAUAAAUCUAAAGUCCAUAAAAAAUAUGAUUCCAUCAUUUUACUAUUAUAUCUAGACAAAACCCAUUAUUUUACUACAUUUCAUUGGCACCGAUAGUUGACCUGUUGGCUGACUGAUAAAAUAUCAAUUUUGCACUUUAUAUUAAUUCUUUUUUGGUUAAAAAAUAACACACAAAGUAUUACAAUAUUAUAAAUUCAAAAUAUAAAGUAGUUACAAAUAAUUCCUAUUAGCCUAUGAAUAUAAUAUUUGAUACCUCUAUUUGUGUAAUUUUUUUCCAAUGGUGAAAUUGUUAUUUUUUUUGUACUAACGGAAAUAUAGUAAAAUCAUAAGUUUUGUAAAGAUAUAGUAGUAAAAUGAUAGACUAAAAUACUUCUUGUAGUUGUUUGAUAUAUUGUAAUUCUUAAAGUAGUCAAUUGAUAAUAUCCCCUAAAAUAAAUGUUCGUAAUAUGUUCUCAUUUUAAUGCAACUGAUUGUUUAAUAAAAUUGUAUUUCUUUGUUAAUCUUUUAUCAUGUGCAUGCUCAGUGAGAAUUUGACUUGCUAGAACACAAGUUUGACUCUUCAUUUAAAUGUCUCUUGUAUCAUAUCCUUCAAUGUUGAGUGUGAUUCCAAUAAAAUUGAGUAGGGAGAUCCUUAAAUACCUUUUCCUUUUUUCCAAGGGCCUGCCAAAUUGCUCUAAGUGGUUCUACCCUUUAUCAAUGAAUAAUGAAAAUAAAAUUUUUAUUAAAGCAUUCUGUUCCUUAAAUGGUGACUAAUAGUACCCCCUUUUUUUUUGGAGAGGAAAGCCAAACGCCCAAAGAGGAUCAUUUACUUUCCUCUAAUGUAUUUUCUAAUUCGUUUUGAGCCUUGAAUGUCUGUUUUGGUGCGUAUUCUCAUUCCAUGUCGAAUCUUAUCCAUAUGGACAACCCCACUUACAAAAAAGUCUAAUGAAUCUAUUGAAGUUCAUAUGAGGUUUGUGCUUUAGAUUUAGACCUCUCUCUCUCUCUCUCUCCACUUACAUGUCUUUCACUUACCUGUUUGCAUGCAUGCCCAUGCACACACUUUCAAGAUAAUACACGGUCACUCGUACUUGUGUUUUGGUUGAAUUACUGGCUGCUAACCUCUGUAAUUCAGUUUGAAACUUGCCACCCUUAGUGCUUCACUCAAAUGGUUGGUUAGGGUGAGAUCUGUAUCGUUUUCCUGGUCUCUUUCCAAGGUUAUCUAAAGGGAUUUGGCAGUCUGAUUCUUUAGGGAAUAUCAUUGCAUAAGAUAUCUAUUGUUUGUUAAUGAAUAAUUUCUAUUUAACUAGUUAUCUAUAUAAAUUGGUAAAUUUUAACUGCAUAAUUUGCAUGCAAUAAGAUUUUAUAAGAAUCUUGUUUUCAACUCAUGACUUAGACUAAUGUGAUACGUUGAGCAUUAAGCUACAAGAUCUGCACAUCAAAGUGCUUCACCAUGUUAAGGAGAAAGCAUCGUUUUCUGCUUCUUCAUGUGAUUUAAAGUUUCCAAGGUACUUAUCCAAUAAAAUGUCUUUCAAGACUUUGGAAAUGCUUUUAUGUAUGACUGAGAGAAACUUGUUGGGUUGGUUUUUAGCAACAGACGGAGUUAUGGACUUUGUGUUGACUUGUUAUUGAUUAAGACAGUACAUCGGCUGAUCUAUUGGCAUCAAGCAGCAGAUGCAGAAAUUAUGGGUGGCAUACCAUUGUAUCCAAAUAACAUACUACAUUGAUUUUUCUGACUUUCUGUUGGUCUCCGAGUGAAAUGCAGGCAUUUGCAGAUGAACUGGGGAUUCCUUUCCUGGAGACGAGUGCCAAAGAUGCAAUCAAUGUGGAGCAGGCUUUCUUGACCAUGGCCGGCGAGAUUAAGAAAAAGUAAAAUCACUUAACUCUUUCCUUCUUUCCGACUGUUCUUAUUCAACAAUCACCAUUAUUGCUGGUUAUGUGCAUUGUGAUGAAAAUUCUGCAAUGAAUAACUUUUUACCUAAUGUUUUCUGUUGGAACAAAUUACUCUGGUAGAAAAGCCCUACAGGGUUUGAGAAAUCCCAUGAUGUGAUGAUUGUGAGCAUUUUAGACACCGUGUAUGGGUUUAUUUUGUGACUAUAAAAUGUUAAGAUAUUUCUAGUUUUGGUUUGUAGUGCAUAAAAGGAUUCAAAAUUUGACAUCUGUCUAAAUCAGAUUACUAACAUGACAAUGUACAUAUGCAAGAUGUGAGGAAUUGUUUUAUCUCACCCCUAAACUUUAAGAAAUUGAAACAUUAUUAUUCAAAAUAUUUAACAUUUCCAGAAUUGAUAGUUGUCUAUUUGAGCAGUGACUGGUGGUUAUCAUGAACUGAUGUGUGGUUGUGGUUUCAAAUCUUGGUGAAACCUGUUGUCAUAUGCUGAUUAACAUAGCUAGUCUCUGAAACAAUUUGUUGAUUCACUAAUUAUGAGUUCAAAUUUGAUGCAGAAUGGGCAACCAGCCUACUGCAAACAAAUCUUCUGGAACAGUUCAGAUGAAGGGAUAGCCAAUCCAGCAAAACAGCAACCGCUGUGGUUAGCCGAGCAUCUUAUUUUACUUCUACAUGUUAGCUGACUGAUUGUAGACAGUUUUAACUAUGUUGACUGCAUUAUCUUAUGAAUCUUUUAAUCUGUCAAAUAUUUAUUUCCUGCUUUAAGUUCUUUCCCGUUUAUAACAAAUUUGAUUUCUUGCUCUAUAGCAUUCCAAAUUCCUGUUAAUUUACGAGGGAAAAAGAAAAGAGACGAAAUGGGAGAAAAUGGUCAAAUUUGUUAGGGGGGGAGAGCUGUUGAAGUAGUUUUUGUUCUCGUUUAUCAUCGUGACCCUCUUGUCGCUUAUCUACGACCUGGAAGUCCGGUCAUAUCGGAUGGGUAAAGUUACCGAAACGGCAUCAUUUUGGGUGAAAUAUCAUGUUUAUGUAACACUUUUGAUAAUAUUUUUAUGCAACAAAAAAAUGUUUGCAGUACCCUUCUCACAUUGUGAAGCGCAUGAUCGGAUGAGAGCAGUCUGGAUUCUGGCAUCACAAGCUAAUGCUUUGAUUUGCUUAGUUUGUUUUUUGUUUCUGAUAUUUUCUCGGCAUAGUGUAAAUGUAUGAAGAUGAAAUUGCUGGGUUGGUUUUGUUAUGGAAUUUGGUUUAGUUCACUAACCAUUAAUGCGCAAAACCUCCUAAGACCCUAAAAAAUCCCGUACAUAAUUAAAGAAUUUCAAUUUUAUAUGUACAUAAAUAAAUAACUCUCAAAUAUAUUAUUUGAUAAUCCCAAAAACAACAACUCACUCUAAUAAAUCUCGUAGUCAAUACAUGGUCUAUAUUGCAAGUGUUUUCGAGACUAAUUCAAAAAGAAAAUACGAAGGAUAUAUAAUUGACUUUUACUUGUUAUAAAGAACUCUAAAUAAAUUUAUAUACGCAUCACAGCUAAUUACAGUCUUGGUACUUCAUUAGGUUUUUGUUAAUUUUCUAUACAGUUGUGUUGUGCAUUAAAGCUUUGUUAAAUGAAAUCGGUAGUGAGAAUUAAUUAAUUAAUUAAUUAAUUAAGAUCCAGUUAAUGUAAUUAAUUUUAUUUGAUUUUUUUAAUUCGAGUUCUAAAUUAAUCAAUUAAUUUAGAUUCAUGUGAAAUUGAAGUGAAUUAGUUUCGAACUGUUUUUCAUUCUAUGUUUGUCUGUGUUUACUCUUACUGUUUUUUUUGUUUAAACUUUUGUUUUCUUAUUGUUUACUGAAUAAAUUUCUGAGCUUUGUUUGAGUAUGAUGAUUGAUUUGUGAUUUUAAUCUAAUGUGUUGGGCUGCGAUUUAAUUGAGUGAUGUGUGAGCGCCAAAUUGUGAGCGCCAAGUAGUAAUUAUAAAAUAUUUCAGUCGUCCACUGUUCAGUCACCAAAAACCAAUUUCUAAUCUAUUUCAAAACAAUUUUUGCCAAAGUCCUCCUGGGCUAAUUAAUUCAUACAUUAAUACAGUCCUCCUCUGCUGAAUAAUGCAAACCCGUUACGUUAUUCUACCAUUUCUUAAAUUUAAAGCAUUCCACCAUUUAAUAAAAAAAUUCGAAAACCCAUUAUAUACAAUACAAAAAGCCCACCGACACCAAACCAUAUUAAUUUAAAAUAGUUUUCAAUUGAGAUUUGAAUUUUAAAAUUACAUACACAAACACACCCGAUUUUAAAAAAUAAUAAUAAUCCUAACAAUAAAAUAUUUCAGCCGUCCUCUGUUCAGUCACCGAAAACGGAUUUCCAAUCUAUUAGAACAACCGGUAUAUGGGUUUCCAACCAAUAUUGUCCUCCAUCCUUUCUGCACUUCUCUUCUAUCAACGGACAGCCCACGAUGUAUAAUCGCAAAAGUGAGGAAGGCAGGCCCUUCUCCGGAAAGUAUUUGAGCUUGGGACAAUCCGCGAGAUACAAUUCAGUGAGGUUUUGAAGAUCAACAAUUGAAGAAGAUAGGCGUUCCAGAUUUGGAAAAUUAGAAAUCCCCAGAGAUGUUAGAGAGGCAGGAAGAGGAAGCGUGGUCCCUAAUCUUUUGUCCUCUAGUGGAAAUGACACCAUGUCGUCAUCGCAUCUGCUGAUUGUAAGACGUCGCAGAGAGGAGAAUCUGUGAAAUCCCCGUCCCCGCUCAAUCAUUGACUUCCAAAUCUCCAUAUUACCCCAAAUAUUAAGUGACUGAAGGUUGGUGGGAAGGUCAUCUUCUUCUUCAAGGCUUGGAAGCGCACCUCCUAUUCCUAUUGUUAAUUGUUGAAGAGAGGUCAGAUUGUGCAAUCCCUUGGGUAAGGCCUCUAGUCUCUUACAAUUAGAUAUCGCCAGCGUCCUGAGUUUCGCACAAGGCAAUCCCCCUUCGGGAAAGGACACCAGAUUUUUACAACUAUCUAUACUGAUUGUUUCAAGAGAUGUGUUGUUGUCCAACCUUUCUGCUAUUGACUCCAGCUUUGAACAUCCACCAACACGAAUGGACUUAAGAGACGGAGGUAGAUUGCCAACUUCAAGGGACUCAAGCGUGGCAGGUAACUCGUUUUUUGAAAAUAUACACGUCAGAGAAUCACAACAGUAAAUAUGCAAUUCCUCAAGAAAAGAUGAGGUGUACCUUCUGCCGCUGCUACACUGGAUGCCCUCUUCCACUGUCAAAGUCCUUAUAUUAUCGCAACGGCAGAUCUGCAACUUCUUAAGGCUCGAUGGUAGCUGGACAGCAGCAAUAUAUGUCAACGAACGGCAACCCUCAAUAUUCAAGAUCUCGAGAGACGAAUUGGUGUCGCACAUCCAUGCCUCUGGUAACGAUUUCAGUGCAUCACAAUACCUAAUCUCAAUUUUCCUCAACUUGGAAGGCAGAGCAACCUCAGGAAAGGAAACAAGGGAAUGACAAUCGCAGAUUUCUAUCUCUCUCAAGGAACUGAGGCUGAGCGAUGAUUGUGGCAGCUUCACAAGGCCUUUGCAUUCGCUCAAUCUUAGAUAUUCGAGUCUGCAUGACAACUCGCAGAGCUGCUGUUGUUGGUCUUUCUCUUCCUCCGCCACCAAGGAUUGAAUUUUGGGACACCGUCUAAUCGUCAGUCUUUUGAGAGAGCAAAUGUCUUGCAGUAAUUCGUUAUGACUCUUCCAUAUAUGUGUUUCAUUUUUCAUAUUAUUUAUCCCCAAUUCUUCCAGUUUUGGUAUUCGCGGCUUCAAUGGCUCUGUGAAAAACACUUGAUUUGAUGUAUCUCUACAAACCACUGAAUUCUGUGAGCCGAGAUGAUCAGUUGCACUUCUCCACACAACCUUUUUACAUCCACCAAUUUCAAAUUUGCAAAGAGCUGGAAGACUUGCAACUGAAACUAGCAAUUCUUCACAUCCUUCAAUUGCAAGCAUCUCCAAUGCAGGAAGGUGUUCUGGAAAUGUUCCUUGCAGCUUAGAACACCUUAUAAUAUGAAGCUCUCUCAAUUUAGGAAACCAUUCAACUCCCUGACCAGUUCUAAGAGGAAUCCAGUCUUCCCAUUCUUGCAUGUUUUCAAAACGAAGAGUUUCCAAGCAUGGAAAAGGAAUCGGGGAAUCAUUCCCAUAGAACUCUGAACCCAAACUCUUUACUCUACUCAUUCCACGCACUGCAAGAUGCUUUAGAGAGGGUAGUUGCCCGACUGACGGCAAGGUAGUACACACGCUGCAAUCUUCAAAAUUUAAGGUCGCUAAAUUUGAGAAUGAGGAAUCUCCCAACCAAGUUGGAAAUUGUUUACCUUCAUAGCCACUGAUACAAAAUUGUUCCAGAUUUUCAUGAGGUUUUAGCAUGACGAGCACAUCCUUUUCAGUUUCUGCCUCCCUUGAAGACAAACCAUUGGUACUCUGUGUCCAUUGAAACUUUAACACUUUAAGAUUCUUCUUUCCAUCCAAUUGAGCCUCCUUCGCAUCACCAAUGUCUUUUACGUUCUCCAAUUUUGAAAUGUUAAGUGUCCCACGAAGAUGCGUCAACAAUUUUAGCUCUCGUAUCCCGGAACCACUGUCUUUUCCCACAACAAAAUUACACAGCGUCUGAAGGAAAGUCAACUUACCAAUUCCUAGUGGCAUCUCCUCCAAUGAAUCUGUCUUUGAAUUAUCGAGAUGAUGCAAUUUGAUGAGGUUUCCCAUGUCUGCACACAACUUCUUCAGUCGCCGACAGCCCUCCAGCAGAAGAGUGUGCAAAUUGUAAAGCUUGUUGACUGAUUCAGGCAGAGUUCUAAUCUCAGUUAGAGAUAGGUUAAGGUACCUUAAAUACCUCAAAUCACCAAUUGAAUCCGGUAGCUCAGAGAUGUGAUAUCCACGCAAAGAGAAGACCCUCAACCGUUGGAGUUUGAACAACUUAGGAAGAAUGCUAUGAGCCAAGUAGCCGGGCCGGCUACUUAACAACGUUACUGGUAAAAGAGUUCGCAAAUGUUGGAUAUCGUACAACUCCUCAAACCUUUUAACACCAUCGUAAUCUCCACGAAUGUACGACAGAUGACGAAGAUUUCUUGGAAAACUUUGUUGCUUGUCAACCUCUGAGAUAUACUCCAUUCUGAAGUACAUUUCCCCAGCAGCCCAUUGAGCAAGAUCAUUGAUGAGGUCGUGCAUCACAAAUCGUGAUAUACUGUUGCUUGAUUGCUGGAAAAAAGAUCUUGAACGUAGCUCUUGAAAGAACUUUCGACCUAGAUCUUCACUGGGAUUCCCACUCUCUCCGUGAUCCAAGAAACCCGAAGCACACCAUAAUAAAAUUAUCUCCUCCUCUUCAAAUUCAUAAUCCUUUGGAAACAAUGAGCAGUAUGCAAAGCAUUGUUUCAAAGGUGCCGAAAGAUAAUAGUAGCUCACUCUAAGCGCCGGUAUAAUGUCACAUCUCUCUUCUGGUAAAUCCCAUAUCUUGCAACUGAGCACACCUUCCCAAUGACUCCGGUCAAGUUUACCACGCAAGAGACCACCAAGAGUUUUCGCAGCUAAGGGCAAGCCGUUGCAUUUGAUCACUAUCUUCUUGCCAAUUUCCUCCAAUGACUUGUUUGAACUGAUAUCUCUUGCCCCUAAAGAGUGUUGAGCGAACACAGACAGACAAUCAUCAUUUGACAGCUUUUUCAAAUGAUAAGCCCGAGCAGUCCCCAUGAUGGCUGCAACCUCUUGAUUACGAGCUGUGACAAUAAUCUUACUCCCCGGUGCGCCAGCUUCAAAUGGACGGCUCAUGUCAACCCAGUCAUUGUAAUUCUCAUUCCAAACAUCGUCUAAAACAAGCAAAAAUUUCUUUUGAGAUAACUUCUUCUUCAGCUCCUCUUGAAGCAAAUUUAAAUCACUGUCAUCAGUAGUCUGCUUAGUAAUGGAUCUUAGAAUUGUUUUUGUUAGCCUGAUAACAUCAAAAUCAUCAGAGACACAAGUCCAUGCCUUGAGAUCAAAAUGACCCUGCACUCGAGCAUCAUUAUAGACAAGCUGAGCGAGAGUGGUUUUGCCCAGCCCGCCCAUACCUAUAAUAGGAAUAACAGAGAAUUCACCAUCAUUUCUCAAAUCAUCCCUCAACAGCAAUUCAACAAUUUCAUUCUUUUCUGUUUCCCUCCCAUAUACCUUGGCUUCAGUCACUAAAGAGGUUGUGGGUAGUCUUUGCCUGUCUUUUCUGGACCUCCCAGCUGAACUUACGUUCAAACCGAGCGAGUCUUUCUGUGUUACAAUAUCUUGAAAUCUGUAGUUGAUCUCUUUGAUUUUGGACAUUAUGGCGUAAUCGAACUGAAUCGAUUGUGGGGUAAAAGUGGUGCAGCAAGUAGGAAUGAGCUUCUGAAACUUACUUGUUCUUGUACGACUGCUACUGGGUUGAUCCUGAGCCGCAGCUGGAUCUCCAUUUCCAAGCAGCACCUUCCUCCGGAAAGCCCCAGUUUGAAACUCAUCCAACAAGUCUUCAACAUCAAAAGCCAAGUUCUGAAGCUCGCCAAGCCACAACUUCACAAUCUCAUCAGUCUUCUUUUCCUCAGCAUCAGCAAGCACCGCCUUGACCUUCAAAAGCAUCGUCUUCCACUUCAUUAGAUCGGCCCGGAUUUGAUCUUGGCGUGGAAACAACCGAAUCCCCACUGAAGCUAACUUAUAGACCAACAACUCAACGGACGCCGUCAGGAUUGCCUCUCCGAUGAUUGACAUUUUUUUCUUUUUUUUGUUUUGCAAAGAAAGAAACAGAAUUUUGAGUUUUGAGAAGCAAAAUGAGAAAAUUGAACAGUAAGUGUGGAGGGUCAAGCAAAAUGCGCGUAUCAAGUCUUCCACUUGUUGUUUAUUCCAGUAAAGUGAAAAAAAAAUAGAGACCACGACCCUUUAAUAAUUUAGCAAUUCACCGGUCACGAGUCACCACCACUCGUUACCAUGAAUAUAAUAAAUUGCACCUAGAUAUUUGCAGGGUCCAGCAACAUUGACCCAGUGUCCGGGUAAAUGCUGAAUAACGAGGAAAAUGGAAUGUAUCAACUACGAACCUUCGCUUUACAAGUCUUCAAACUCAUAAACCAAGUUAAAUCAAAACGUUUAUCUCUCUCACCCUUUUUGCCAUAUAAUUACUUUAUUUAUUGAAUUAAUUUCCAUGCUAAAACGAAGACUUAAAAGUGCACUACAAUUUUUUAUAAUCACAAUGGUAAUUCCUACUAUCAUGUUAUCUUAAUGUCGUGUCAAAAUAAAUUAUAAUAAAAUUUUUUUUAUAUGAACAUUUUUUUUAUUUAUGAAUUUCUUAAUUUUUAAUAUUUUUCUUACUCUUUAGUCUUAAUAUUUGUAUUUCUCUCUUCAAACUUUCUUUAUUAUUUAAUUUUUAAAGAAAAAUAUAAAAAAAGUAAGAAAAAUAUUAUACUUAAAAAAUAGUGAAUAUUUUAUGGGUCUAAUACAAGCCUGUAUUAUUUUUGACAAUGAAAGAGCACGCGAAAAAUCUCACUCAUAGAAAACUUUGUGAAAGGCAUUUGAAUGUGUGGCCACAUUUACCGAACGAAACGAUAAGGCUUUAGCCCUAUAAUUGCAAUUAGUUUGUCUUGUAACUAAAUUAUUGCCGACAAGCAGCCAUGCAUGUAAUUAGUCACAAGUUGCUUUGAAAUAAAUAGGUACUUGACAUUUGGCUCACUGAUUAUGUGUGCAAUAUUCCCGUAUUUCCCAUUACUUCCCGUACUUUAUGCAUUAUUGUUUUGUAUGUCUUUCGGUGUUUACGGUGUAGUUAGGGAUGGUAGCGGGUAGGGUCUGGUACGGGUUUGACAUCACCAAACCCGCAUCUACAAAAAAUUUUAAUUACGUAAUUCAAAUUAUAAAUUUAUAAAUAUUGCCUAAAAAAAAAUCACAUAAAAUACUUAAUUCUAGAUUUUAUCAAUGUAAAUGAAAAAUGAAAAUAUCAACAUUAAAAUAAAUACACAAAAUAUAUCAAUUUAACACGAAUUCUCAAAUUCAAUUAGCAAAUAAAUAAGUCUAUCACAACUCGAAGUGUUUUCAACUGAAAAAGAAAAAAAAGAGAAAGAGAAAAAAACAAAGAACUACAAAUCAAAGUAGCACCCAUAACCUAUUUCAUAGGCUCAUUCAACACCAAGAUUCAUUCAUUACCACUAGCACCCAUUCAACGUGGUUUUUCUAAACAAAAUAUAAAGUACAAAAUUACAAUAAGCAUAUCAUACUCCAUGCUUUAAGUUAAAGAUCCUUAUAUAAUUUUAUGAAUAAAUUUUUAGUGAAAUUUUAUGAUUAAAAUUAAAAAUACAAAUAUUAAAAUAAGAAUGUUGGACAUCUGCGCAACUAUUUGCUAUUUUUUUUUCUCUAUAAAAAUUCACCUGCAACUUACAGCAGAUUUAAAUUUAUAAUAUCAAACUUGAUUGUAGCUUGCAAAAUUUUUGGAUGUACGAUAAUUUUGCCACCCUAAGUGUAGUUAGUGUGUUUCCAAUUGGCUCCUAUAAAAAGCCUAGAAGUUGUUUGAAUAAUGAGGGAGGCAAAUAUUUCCCAAAGAUAUUCUCUUUUUCAAAUUCUUUUCUUUUCUCUAUUAUUGUAACUUCAAAUCCUUGAAAUUACAUAUUUCAAAUCCUUGACAUGAACACAAUGUUUUGACAUAGUGGCUUUUGGCUUGUCCAGAGAAAUUUAGGAUAGAUUUUGAUGUAUUAAGGCUCGUUUUACUAUUGAGAUUUUGGAACUUUUGAGCUACACUUGAAAUUUGUAUUAUUCUAAUAGAGUUGUACCCUUCGAUAUGUGAAUGGUAUUAAUCAGGUGUUAUGUUUACAGCAGUUAAAGGCAUAUUGAAUCAAAGUCCACUUUUGAUUGAGAUUUUAAAGUAGGUUUUUAAUUUGAUAGCUACUCAAGUUCAAAUAUUGGAACCACAGUGCUUUAUAACCAAGUGGGAGAACUUCUGUCCUGAAAGUUGAAGGCUGCAUACCGAGUUUUACUACCAACAAAAAUUGGUGUUAAGACUUUAGUUGCCCUCCUACUUAUAGAUAAGGGUAAUUAGGACUUUACAUCCCCUCCUGCUAAUAGAUAGGGGUUACUAGGAAUAUUAAAAAAAUGUUCAAAUAUUGAAAAAAUAGGUAUGGGUUAUAAAAUUCAUAAUACAAGAACAGUAAAUCAAGAUAAAAUUUAAAAAUUUAGAACCAUGAAAGCGUAACUUGUAAGUUUCAAAGAAGCAUGUGAAAACAUAUGCGUAUCGAUACCCAUUAAGGGUGGGCAUUAAGAUCGGGUUAACUCGAACCGAACCUUAAAUUUAUUUUGGGUUCAAUUUGAUUUUGGUUGAACCUUUCAACUGAGUUGAAAACUUAUAAACGAUUGGGGUNNNNNNNNNNNNNNNNNNNNNNNNNNNNNNNNNNNNNNNNNNNNNNNNNNNNNNNNNNNNNNNNNNNNNNNNNNNNNNNNNNNNNNNNNNNNNNNNNNNNNNNNNNNNNNNNNNNNNNNNNNNNNNNNNNNNNNNNNNNNNNNNNNNNNNNNNNNNNNNNNNNNNNNNNNNNNNNNNNNNNNNNNNNNNNNNNNNNNNNNNNNNNNNNNNNNNNNNNNNNNNNNNNNNNNNNNNNNNNNNNNNNNNNNNNNNNNNNNNNNNNNNNNNNNNNNNNNNNNNNNNNNNNNNNNNNNNNNNNNNNNNNNNNNNNNNNNNNNNNNNNNNNNNNNNNNNNNNNNNNNNNNNNNNNNNNNNNNNNNNNNNNNNNNNNNNNNNNNNNNNNNNNNNNNNNNNNNNNNNNNNNNNNNNNNNNNNNNNNNNNNNNNNNNNNNNNNNNNNNNNNNNNNNNNNNNNNNNNNNNNNNNNNNNNNNNNNNNNNNNNNNNNNNNNNNNNNNNNNNNNNNNNNNNNNNNNNNNNNNNNNNNNNNNNNNNNNNNNNNNNNNNNNNNNNNNNNNNNNNNNNNNNNNNNNNNNNNNNNNNNAGAUAUCAAAAUCACAUUCUUCAAUUCUACAAUUUCAAUUCAUCUUCAUAACUUCAACUGAAGAAUUGAUUGUAUCUCGUUUUAAUUUUUUUUUAUGUAAAGAUAAAUAUAAAAUAUAAAUGGUGAGGAGACUGAAAAAGUAAAAUCAAAAGAAGAGCACGAGUUUUAUUGAAAAUUACUUUUUUUUCAUCAUUUUGCCAGAGUGAAUGUAUCUACAUUUAAACGAAAGAAGCACAUUUGUUUGUAUUAGCUUUUUUAUUGUAUUUUUAAUAAUAAGUAAUUUUCAAUUAACUUAUAUCAUUUUUUACGAAAAUAAUAGGUGUUAGUUAGUUGAUUCAAAUGGCAAGACCUCUUGGGAUAGAGUUUGUAAUUUAGUGGCUUAUCAAUUGUUUAAAUAGGGCAUUAUUAGAGCCAAAUUAUUGUAUUUGGUUAAAAAACUCCUACUUUGCUUACAACUUUAUUAUCCUAUUAUGUUUAUUAAUAAAUAACAAUUUUAUUGAAAAAAAAACAAGAUAUGUUGAAAUGAUACAAAAAAUUUGGGUUGUAAAUCUUACUCGAAUUUAGCUUGAGAUUGGCAUUGUUAGCAUAAUAUUUGAAGAUAUAUUUUUUAAAUUAAAAAAAAAAAGAAAUUGGGUUCACACUAGUUAGUUUUAACUCAUAGUGAGAUUUAAACAAAAUCGGAAUAAUAAAUCUUGAUAUCCUAACUCAUGGAUAACAUCUACAUAAAAUAAUAAAAUCUAUUGUGUCGAAAAUAAGGGGUCUAAAGUUUGAAUUUCACUCACAUAGGUAGCAAGAGAAUCAAAUUAUUGUUAGAUUAAAUUAAUUAAAAAAAUUAUCUGAUAUACAAAACACAGCAUAUCAAAAAAAUUGAAAUAAAAGAAAAUUGAAAAGCAAAACGAUUGAGAGAACGAAAAACUAACACAAGAAAAUGCCGAUAAUUAAUUGCCUCAGCGGGCACCAACUUAAUUAUGCUUAUUAAAGCCUGGUUUAUUGUUAGAGUGCAAUUUAUGCACUAGUUUUGCAUUAUUUACUUCCCUUAAUAUCAAUGUUUUGCACUUAAUAAUAGUGAUUUACUUGUGUUUUACUUUUGUAGGUGCAAUUCUAUUAAUUGGUGAUAAAAUUAAGCUAAAAGAUGAUGUUUAAGGAGGAUUGUUCUCUUGGAGAAAUUAUGAGCGUCGAAGAACUUUGUUGAUAAGGCAUGGGCACGUGCUGUCAACUGCGGACCUGCAGUUUUUAGUUUAAACGUGUUUUGUAUUUUUGGCUAUUUUUGUAAUUACGAAUUUAAUAUUUCAGAUAUUAGUAUUUUAUUUUAAAUAGAACUCUAAAAGAGAAGAGAGAGAGAGAGUAUUUAAGAGAGGAAUCUAUUGUGAAAAAUGUAUUUACGCUUUAAUUUUUAUGUGAGCUUUGAUUAUCUUACAUUAGGGACAAUGUAAGUUCUUGGUGUGGGGGAGGGAUUUUUGCAUUAUUGAUGUCUGGAAGUAUUAUUUUCACUCUACUCAUCUAUUUUCAUUCUACUCAUCCUUAAAUGAUUUUGGAGUUAGUAUGCUUCAUAUAUUAUUAAUUUUCUUUUCUUUUCUUUCUCACUACUCUUUUCCCAUCUAUUUUUUUUACUACAUACAUCUUUCUCGCUUAUUAUCCUUUUUACCUUUCCUUUUAUUUCUCACUCAUACCUUCUUCUCAUUCUAUACCACUAUUGAUGGUUGAUUCAUUUGAAGAGUGUACAUGAUUUGAUAACAAAUUUACCAACUUUGUGAGGAUUUGAGCCUAUGAGCAACCACUUUGCUCUAAUAUUUUUGUUAUGUGAAUAUCAAUCUUAGUUUUUUUAUUCUAGAACUUGCUUUGUUAUGCAUGUUGAAGCCGCAUUACGGGAUUUUAUGCAUUAAAAUGAUAAGGGCAAACCCUUUUCCAUUUUUCUAUUCUCGCAUUUUUUUUCUCUACCCGAAGACCUUUAUUUGCUAUCUUUGUUUGAGCCUUAACCAUUACCCAUCUAAUCCUCUCCGUCUACUUAACCAUUUUUCUUCUUUUUGAGCCUCAAUUUAAGGAGAUUUUUGGACUCAUUGUGUGGAUAUAUUUUGUGUUUUUUUUACCUUGUAUUAAAGUUUCUCAAUUAGAUCAACAAGCAUUAUGCUUGAAUUAAAUUGUGCAAGGUUCGUUUCUUUUGUUUGAUUAAAAAAAACAAAAAAUAAAAAACAAAAAAAAGGAAAAAGAAAAAAAAGAAAAAGAAAAAAAAUCGAAAAAAAAUCGAAAAAAAAAAUUAAAAGUUUACAUUCUUGGUGACUUGAGUAGAAAUAAGCAUUUUGAUAUCAUAAGUUCAUUCAAUGAGUUCAUUCUUCUCAUUUUGAUAUCUUUUUCUCUUUCAUGGACCUUUCUUUUUCAUUUAACCUAUUUAACCCCAUUGCAACCCUUUUAAGACCCUUAGAUUUUUGCAUUUUAUUCAUGUUGUGGAUUGAGAUGUGAUAUAUGAGCAAGCUUAUGGUAAUAGCAUUCUUUGAUUUGAUUUGAGUGAAUAAAUGACACCCUAAACACUUUGAGUGCAUGGAGUGAAGUCAUUGAGAGGGCUAUUAAAUCUUGUUGCACUUGAAUUUUGAAUGUAUCUUCUUGGUGGUUGAAUGUUCUUAUUCUAUCUUAUGAGAUUCUAUGCUUUAAAAUCCUUGUCUCUCGAAUGUUGAUCGACUUAAUUUCUUGAGGUAUGGUUGCUUAGAAUUAUUUAUGGAUGAGUUGAGAUGAGAAUUGAGUGGAGAUUUGGGAUUAGUCUUGAGUUAUAUGCUUGAGGACAAGCAUCAUCUUGGUGUGGGGGAAUUUGUUAGAGUGCAAUUUAUGCACUAGUUUUUAAUUAUUUACUUCCCUUAAUAUCGAUGUUUUGCACUUAAUAAUAGUGAUUUACUUGUGUUUUACUUUUGUAGGUGCAAUUCUAUUGAUUGGUGAUAAAAUUGAGCUAAAAGAUGAUGUUUAAGGAGGAUUGUUCUCUUGGAGAAAUUAUGAGCAUCAGAAGAACUUUGUUGAUAAGGCGUGGGCGCGUGCUGUCAACUGCGGACCUGCAGUUUUUAGUUUAAACGUGUUUUGUAUUUUUGGCUAUUUUUGUAAUUACGAAUUUAAUAUUUCAGAUAUUAGUAUUUUAUUUUAAAUAGAACUCUAAAAGAGAAGAGAGAGAGAGAGUAUUUAAGAGAGGAAUCUAUUGUGAAAAAAAUGGGGAUUUUAGAUUGAAGAAAAGAAAGAAACCCUAGAUCUAAUUUUUCUCUUCUCUCUAUGAAGAACUAAACUUAUUUUUCUGGUUGAAGGUUAAUGAAGCUUUGAUUCAUCACUACUGUGAGAUCUUUCUUAUGCUUUAAUUGUUUUAUUACUCUUUGGGUAUUUGUUUAUUCUCUGAAUUAGUUUCAUGAUUAUGUUUGUUAAUUAGGUAAUUGGCCACUAUUUAAUUAUCAACUUAAUCUAUUGUCAAUUAAAGGAUUCAUCGUAUGAAGAAUUUAAUGUUUGUGACAAAUAACAUAGCAGAGAGUUGUGUUGUGAGAAUAAACAAUCUAAUUUAAAUGAAUCAUCAUAUGUGUUGAUUAGGAUUUGGGUCUCUUUGGUUUUUCAGGCUGUCAAUUGAUUAAAUCCUAUGAUCGUAUCUAGGAUUGUCUAUUGAUUAGGGAAAUAACCAACGGUCGUACCUUGGUUAUCGACUAGUUAAGGAGAGAUUGGCUAUUAGAGGGUCUCAGUAGUUAUAACCGGUCUAUUCAUAAGUAAUAAUAAUCUAUAUUUGAAUCAAUGAUCAGUAGUCGAAUCAAGCUGAGUUAAUUCCUUCAACCAGAGCUUUCUCCAAUUUGAAUCACAACUUUAAUUUACAUUCUCGUUAUUUUAAUUUAAUUUUUAUUAUUGUCAACAAAACCCCCAUUUUAUGUUUUACGUUUUAAAAGGAUUUAAAUAAUUACCGAUCUCUGUGGACACGACCCUGCUCAAUCACUAUACACAAUUUAUUUAGAGUAAAAAUUUAUUUUUGUUGGCUUCGACACCCACCAGUUAUUUCAUUUUCAUUGAUAAUCAUUUUGACACCGGUCAAAUUUAAAAGUUUAAAUAAUGGGGGCCAUUUUUCUUUCCAGCUAUGCCCAUUAGCUAAUAAAAGAACCGCCGAAAGGGUUCGGGGAUAAUAUAGUAAUAUGAUUGAUAAUCAUUUUGGAGCUGAGUAUUCUUCGUUCCACAUUUUGGGUUUUGGUUGACCAUAUUUUAAUACUUUUUCUGGAAAACAAAUAUAUAUUUAGUGACUUGUAAUGGGUGCAACUCAUGUUUUUGAAACAUUAACAUCUUUACUUACUUACACUAAUGCGGCAACUGCUGCUUGCUUUUUUUUUUUUCCUUUUGCUUUUGGUUAAUAAUAAUAAUAAUAAUAAUAAUAAUAAUAAUAAUAAUAAUAAUAAUAAUAAUAAUAAUAAUAAUAAUAACAACUUUUUAAUUUAAUAUAUUAUUAAAUAAUAUUUUUAUUUUUAUUUUUACAUUAUAAUUUAUUAUAACUAAUAAUAAAUAUUUAAUUUUGAAUAAUAUUAAUUUAAAAUUAAUAAUAUUAUAAAUAAUAAUAUAAACUAUUAAUACAAUUUAAAUAUAUCAAUAUAAUAUAAUAUUUAAUUUAAAUUAAUCACAAAAAAUUAAUACAAUAUAUUAUAAUACCAAAUAUUAUACAAUAUUACUAUAAUACAAUUAUGAUACAAUUUGAGGGAGAUUGUCAGCUUUUUCGGAUUAAAAAUAAUAUAUACCACUUACUCUAUUGUUUUUAUAAUGUUCAACAAUCCCCUUGAGAAAAAAAAAAAACGAAAAGAAGGAAUAAAUAGAUGAUUUGCUUGAUAUUGUAUCUUAGAAAUAUAAAAUAUAUAUUUAUUAUUAAAAGUAUUUAAAAAUAAUAAAGAGUACAUAAAAAAUAUCUUAUCCUCAACAACAAGAUCAGACGACGUCAAUUCAGCAAAAUGACUUGUACAAUUUGAAAGUCCAGCAACGGUCACCUCUUAAUGUUAUUUUUACUAUAUUAUAUUGAUAUUUUGUUUUGUUAAUCAUAUAAGUCAAUCAAUAAUUAUUUAAUCAUUAGAAUUAAAACUAAUGUAUUAAUUAAAAUUCAAAAUCUAUUAUAAAAAUAGUAAAUAUUAAUACAAAGAGAUGGACAUAUUACAAAAUACAUUCACCAAAAGUUCUAUUAUACUUAAAAUUCUCAUUCACAAAAAAAUAAUAAUAGUUGAAUACAUGUACAAAAAAAGGGGAUAAAUAAAAAAUAAUAAUAAUAAAUAAUAAAAGGAUAGUUUAUAUAAUAAAAAAUAAAUUUAUUGAAUAGGGAUGUUAAUAAUAAAGAAUAAUAGCCGAUCAAACUCACUUUACAAUAAACUGAGAAAUCAAAAUCACAUUCUCCGAUUCUACGAUUGACUCUUUUUCAUCAUUUUACUGGAGUGAAUGUAUCUAUAUGUAUUGGGGACCAUAAUGGAAACUGAUAGAACCUACAAGGGCUAAAAUUAGAACAACGAACGAUAUCUCAAAGUCGCCGAAACGUAAGUAAUUAAUCUUAUCUUUCAAUUGAUUUUUUGUGGAGACAGAGACAAACCCGAACAGCAAAUAGCCAUAAAUGAUAGGACAAUUAAAUUGGAACUCUCCGCGGACCCACGAUUUAAUAUCUUUAGAUUGUAACGGUUUAACCAAAAAAAAAACAAUUUUAGUAAAAUAUUUCUUAAAAAAUGAAAAAAAAUGUUGAAAAGAAGAACAAAAUUGUGGUCCACGUGUCAUUUCAAAAUAGGUUGCUGGCAUAAACAACCGUCCCCAUCUCGGACAGAUGUUAUUUGAGUGGUUGGUGCGCGUUUCCACUUUUUUGUUUUAGAUGCAACGACUCAUGCACUAUAUAUAUAUAUAUAUACGUAAUUUCUAUCUUAUAUAUGUAUAAGAUACAUUCUUUAUCUUUUAUCUCCCUUAUAGAAUAAUAUAUGUGUGGAAUUUAUAUAUAUUGUUCAUAUGAAAAAAAUAUAUCUUAUAUGCAUGAUAGAAUAAUCCAUGAAUCUAAUGUUAUUAGUUUAAAUAAUGGGUGCAACUCAUGUUUUUGAAACAUUAAGAUCUUUAGUCAUUCUGUUACUAUCCCGUGGUUAUUUAAGUUACAAGAGACAGUAAAAAAACAACGUCAUAUUUUAAUUACUUACACUAAAUAAAUUACUCACACUGAUGCCGCGUCUGCCGCUUACUUUUUUUCUUUUUUUUUAUCCUUUUGCUUUUGUUUUUAACUUUUACUUUUACUUUUUGACUUUUGCUUUUGGUUUAUUAUAAUAAUAAUAAUAAUAAUAAUAAUAACUAUUUUUUAAUUUAAUAUAAUAUUAAAUAAUAUUUUAUUUUUAAUUUUACAUUAUAAUUAUUAAUAUAUAAUUUAUUAUUCAAUAUUAUUAUAUUAUGUUUUUUAUUUUUAAUUAUAAUUUAUUAAUAAAUUUAUAAUUUAUUAUAACUAAUAAUAAAUAUUUAAAUUUAAAUAAUAUUAAUUUAAAAUUAAUAAUAAUAUAAAAUAUUAAUACAAUUUAAAUAUAAAUUAAUAUUUAAUUUAAAUUAAUCACAAAAAAUUAAUACAAUAUAGUAUAGCACCAAAUAUUAUAUAUUAUUAUUAUAAUACAGUACUAAUACAACAUAAUAUAAUAUAAUACAUUAAUAUUAAAAUAAUAUAAUACAGUAUGCGAAAUGAACCGAAAUGGUAUUACUUUGUUUGUCUUGUUAUUUACAAUUAUUUAAUCUGUAGACCCACUCAUGCUCCUUCUAUGCAACAUAGAUACAAUUUGAGGAAGAUUAUCAAUUUUUUCUGAGAAAAAAUAAUAUAUACCACUUACUCUUUAUUGUUUUUAUAAUGUUCAACAAUCCGUUUGAGAUGAAAAUAAAUAAAUAAAAAGAAGGAGUAAAUAGACGAUUUGCUUGAUGUUGUAUCUUAGAAAUAUAAAAUAUAUAUUUAUUAUUAAAAAUAUUUAAAAAUAAUAGAGAGUUCAUAAAAAAUAUCUUAUCCUCAACAACAAGAUCAGACGACGUCAAUUCAGCAAAAUGACUUGAACAAUUUGAAAGUCCAGCGACGGUCACCUCUUGGCACACAUACGGCAACGUGUGUAGCAUUGGCAAGAGGUCUCCCAGAAGGACGAUUAAGGAAAGAUUGCAAGACAAAAUCAUGAAAAUAGUAGUACAGAUAUGCAAUAUGCUAAAUUGUCCUCGAUUGAGUCAAUCGCAAUCAAGUCUUAGAAAUCGCACCCCUGUAUUAAUUUCCAGAAAUAUGUUUGUUCCAUAUUUAUCGUGCACGUAUACAUUGUAUGUAUUGGGAAUAGAAAGAGUGUAUGAAAAAAAAUUCUUCAUUCAUCGAUUAAAACUUAAAUUAUGUACGAGGGUUAAGCGCAGCGUUUUUAAAUUUAAAAAGCACAAGUGUCAAUCCACUAAGGUUUGGUCCAAUGGCUAGAGUCACUCCCUCGCGAAAUGAUUAGAGCUCCCACAAAUGUAUUGUACAAGUUUAAUUUAAAUUUUCUUCCUCAAAACUUAAGUGAAGACAUUAUUUUUCAUAGAAGUAGAGUUUUUCUAGGAGUUUGACAUCCCUCAAAUAUUAAAAGAAUUAAAAUCUGAACGAUACUAUAUAAAAUAUAAUUUAAACUGAUCUUAAUAAUUAUAUAAUUAUAAAUAUAAUGAGCAACAGUCUCGUUAAAAAAACAGAUCAAGUGUCAUGAGCCCAUUUAAAUUAACUAAUAUUUGAGGGGGAAAUCUCUGUAUACCAUAGUAUAUAUUCUAUAUCCAGUCAUGGGACCCAUACACGGAUGGUUCCACGUAAUUCGCAGAGUUGAACUGGAGACACUGAUUAGUUCGUUGUCUACUUACCAACUUAUGUACAACUAAGUAAUUGCAUGCACCAUUUGCGACUUAUCUAUCCACCCUGCUUGCAUUGCAUUAACUACGUCACCAAUCACCCACGUCCGCUACUUGUGUGAACGUGUAUAUAAAUACAUAUAUCCGCAGCAUAUUAUCAAACCAGAAUCAGAAGCAACUUAAGUUUUGUUCAUUAGGUUUAUGUUUAUCAACAUGAUAUAUUGUCAAUCAUAAUCGCAAUCAAGUUGUUAAUUAUUUUUUAAAUAAUGUGAAGGAACAAGAUUUUGGCCUUUGAGUGUCUGGUUAAAAAUAUCUCACCUCAAUGUACGGUGUUGUGCUCUCAUCAUCGUACUAUUAUUUGUUAAAAGUAUGUCAAAGAGGAAAGCAGAUUCAAACAUUACUUCAAUUUUAUUUAAGAGAAUAAAAAAAUCGUUAAUAGGCUACUGUUAUUUGUUAGUACGAUUUCACAAAAAAAUCGGUUUCUUAAACAACUCCAACUACAAUUUUUUUUUUACAAAUUUUUGAAUUAUUAAAUCAUAUGUGUGUGUAUAAAUUGAAUAGAAUUAAAAGUGGACUCAAAUGGCUAUUAUGUAAUUUUUUUAUAAUUAAAGAAAAGUUUAGAAUGUAAAAGUGUGUGUGAGAAAACAAAAAAUAUAAAUCACCUUUGAUGUAGUUGUACGGUUGUAAAGAGUUAGAUGGAGAAAUAUAGUAUAUAAUUAAAUUUAUUUUGUUCCUUAAAACGGGUAGGUUUUAUAAGAAUUUUCCAGAGGAGUGCUAAUAUUUCAACUUUUUUUCAAAUGAAGUGAUGUCCUGGAAUAAAAUCACUACUCUAUCAUUGCUAUUAGUUUGUCUUGUAUUUCAAUAAUUGUCGACAAGUAUUAAUUGUGAAUAUUAUUGUUUUAAAAAUUUUAUUAUUAUUAUCGUCGUUAUUCUUAACAGUAAUGACUAGAAUUAUAAUAAAAACAAUAACGUUAAUACAAUAAUAUAACAACAUAAUAAUAUUUUAAUUGAGAGGAUAAGAAUGAAAUUAUGAAAUUUAGGUUGGGUAAAAAUGAUGAGUAUGAGGAAAUUAAAUUACCAUUUUUUAAGCUAAACAAUUCAUAAAUUCCACAUAUUUCAUUCGUAUUUCUCUUAUAUUUUAACAAGUAAACAUUAUCAAUAAUUUUAAUAUUUUAAUUAAUAAACACGGCGUUAACUACGGAACUAAAAGAUCAAAAAAAAAAAAAAAAACAGAGACGCGUGUAUGUAUUGCUUGUGACAAAUCUCACCCGUGGAAAACUUUGUGAAAGGCAUUUGAAUGUGAGGCCACAUUUAAUGAACGAAACGAUAACUUUAAAAGAGAGUAUGUACUGUGUUAAUUAUUAGGCUUUAGCUUAAUGAUUGCAAUUAGUUUGUCUUGUAAUUAAAUUAUUGCCGACAAACACUAUCACGACCCACGUCCGCUACUUGUGUGAGUGCGUGUAUAAAUAUCCGCAGCAUAUUAUCAAACCUGAAGCGUACUAAUAAAGUAUUGGUUCCACUACAAUAGAGUCUCCUUAAGUGGUUUUGAUUGGGUUUGCUCCUCAGUUCGAGUCGCAGAAAAGUCACCUUUGUUGGGAGAACCUGUGCCUCUCAGUUCGAGCGGGGAUUUCUAGUCUGGAUUGUGAUACAGGCUUAAAGGUGCCUCCCACAGUUGGGGCCCUCCCCAGAAUACCUCGUUGUCAAAACCAAAAAAAAAAAAAAAAUCAAACCUGAAGCGUGAUCAUCUUUAAGUUUUGGUUAGGGUUGAUCAGACGUUGGAAGAUAUCUUUCCUAAUUUAAAGAAGAUGGAAACUCCUUAUCCAGGUUCUUAGGCCAUGUUCAGUUGAAUGUCAUUUAUAAUUUUUAUUUUAACAUUAUGUAUUUAUGAAUACAAUUAUUGUUUAUUUUAACAUUAUGUAUUUAUGAAUACAAUUAUUGUUAUGAUUUUUUCAGGUAAGAAUGGGUGGUCUGAGGGUAACCCAAUAACUAUGUACAAUAUUAUUAAUGAUGAGAGUGUGAAUGACAAUUUGGAUUUUAUUCUCGUCCCUCAAUACAGAAGAAAUCUUGACCAUAGCGGUUAAUUGCUAUGUAACUCUUUCGUAUUAUGUUUAAUUAAUAAUAAAAUGAUGGGUUAUUAUUACCUGUCAAUUAUGUGAGUGUCUCUGCUUGAUUUAGUUCACUUAUAAAAUAUCUUAAGAUAUACAAGAGAUUUUCUUUAUUUACUUUCAUGUACCGCGUCUUCUUGUAAAAAGAAACUAAUAAAAAAAUAUCAUUGUGUGCAAUGUAUUGACUAAGUUAGUGUAUUCAUGUUAGCUUAAUUGUGCUCUCUCUUCUUGAUUUUUUUGUUUUUUUUGGUUAAAACAAACUCCACAUAUUGUUGGUUAGCUAAUUCUUGCAGCUAGCAAGUGAUCCUUUUCUUUCCCCUACUGCCUGCCGUAGCAUCAAAUCCUGACAAUUAUAUAUCAAGUGGUAUUCGAGCCGUCAAAUGAUCCUUGGAAACACGCAACAAAUCAAAUGCUGAAUUUUGCCAAGAGAUUCACGAAAUCCUUGCUAGACAUGUCUUUUGUCCAGUUUAUUUCAAACUACGCGAGCAAUGUUCCCGUUACUGUUUAGUAUGUCUUUUGUUGUUUGCAAUGUAGUUAGGGAUGUUAGCGGGUAGGGUUUGGUACGGAUUUGACAUUACCAAAAGCCGGAUCUGUAAAAAAAAUUUAAUUAUCAAAUUCAUUGUGGGUUUUAUUUAUUCAUUUUUUUCCUCUUAACAAAGCCCAUCAGCUGCGGGUUUGAAUGGUACCUAGUGUAUAUUUUUGUGAGUUCCCACGUAUAAAAUCACACUUGCAACAAAACCUAAAAGUUAAAAUUAUGUAAUUCAAAUUAUAAAUUUAUAAUCGUAGCCUAAAAAACCACAUAAAAUACUUAAUUUUAGAUUUUAUUAAUGUAAAUGAGAAAUGAAAGUAAAACAUUAAAAUAAAUACACAAAAUAUAUCAAUUUAACAAAAAUUUUAAAUUUUAAUUACCAAAUACAUAAGUCUAUCGCAACUUAAAGUGCUUUCAAUUGAAAACGAAAAAAGAGAAAGAGAAAAAAAAAGAACUACAAAUCAAAGUAGCACCCGUGACCCAUUUCCCAGUCUCAUUCAAUACCACUAGCACCCAUCCAACGUGAUUUUUCUAAACAAAGUAUAAAGUACAAAAUUACAAUAAGCAUAUCAUACUCCAUGCUUUAAGUUAAAGAUCCUUAUAUAUUUUUAUGAAUAAUUUUUUCAUGAAAUUUUAUGAUUAAAAUUAAAAAUACAAACAUUCAAAUAAGAAUGUCGGACACUUGCGCAACUAUUUACCAAAAUUUUUCUCUAUAAAAAUCGACCUGCAACUUUCAAUAGGUUUAAAUUUAUAAUAUCAAACCUAAUUGCAGCUCGCAAAAAUUAUCUGUUGCGGCCAAGACUUUGGAUUUGCGAUGAUUUUGCCACCCUAAGUGUAGUUAGUAUUGUAUAUCAUGUGGCUCUUAUAAAAAGCCUAGAAGUUGUUUGAAUAAUGGGGGAGACACAUAUCUCCCAAAGAUUUUCUCUUUUUCAAAUUAUUAUUUCUUCUCUAUUAUUGUAACUUCGAAUCCUUAUAAAUUACAGAUUGGAGACAUGAACACAAUGUUUUGACAUAGUGGACUUUUGACUUAUCCAGAGAAAUUUAGGAUAGAUUUUUAUACACUAAGGUUCUAUUUACUAUUGAGGUUUUAGAACUUUUAAGCCACACUAGAAAUUUGUAUUGUUUUGAUUGGUAUUGAAUCAAAGGCAUAUUGAAUCAAAUAUUGUUUACAAUAGUUAAAGGCAUAUUGAAUCAAAAUCCACUUCUAAGGGUUUGAUUGAGUGAUUGUAAAGUAGGUUUUUAGUUUGCUAGCCACUCAAGUUCAAAUAUUGGAACCACAGAGCCUUAUAGCCAAGUGAGAGAACUUGUGCCCUAAAAAUUGAGGGGUGCAUAUCGAGUUUUACCACCAAUAAAAGUUGGUGUUAAAACUUUAAUUUCCCUCCUAUUGUGGAUAGGGGUAAUUAGGAGUUUACAUCCCCUCCUAUUAAUAGAUAGGGGUUAUUAGGAAUAUUAAAAAAAAGUUCAAAUAUUGAAAAUAUAGGUAUGGGUUAUAAAAUUCAUAAUAUAAAGACACAAAAUCAAGAUAAAGAUUUAAAAAUUUAGAACCAUGAGAGCGUGACUUGUAAGUUUCAAAAAAGUAUGUGUAAAUAUAUGCAUUAUUGAUGCCCCAAUUAAGGGUGGGCAUUAAGAAAAAAAAAUCCCAAAAAAUUAAAACUAACCCUAACUAAAAUAUUCGACCGCGGCCUCCUCGUUUUCUUUUCUUCUUCUUCCUCCUCUUGCUCACCCUCAAUGCCCAUUCAUGGAAAUCCAACAGCUCCAAACGCGUUUCAGCCGCUCGCACGUGUGAGAAUUUUUCCUUCUCAUGGGAUUAUUCUUCGCUUGCAUGCCAGCAGAAUAUUCAGGCCGAGGAUUUUUCCGGGCCUAGCCCAACUAUAAGCUCUCCCAAAACCCAAUCAUAAAGUUCAUAACGUUUAGCGUUUGCUAUUACUAUAAUUUUUUUUAACCAAUUUUCACAUUCAUCAACAAAGGCUGACAGAUUUUGCAGAAAAUAAAAUUAAAUAAAAGUACAAGCUCACGAAAUUCCUUUUCCGAUGUGGGAAUCUAUCUACACCUUUCACGUGCCUUUUUUUUUUUGGUUUAUCACAUGUUGAAGUUAAACAGUUGAAGUUAGUGAUGCAAGUUGAAGUUAGUGAUGCAAGUUGAAAGUUGAAAGUUGCAAAAGACUUGGUUGUGAUUUCUCCAAAGGAGAUUUUGAAAAUUUGUUCUGUUGAUUGCAGGUGGAUGAGUCUGUGACCAAGCUGGACUGCCGUGUGCCUCCAGUCCUCAAGCAAGUCCCUGCCCAAGCUCUCUCCGCGGCUCAAAUGGCUCCAGUAGUGGCACGAUCCGUGGCUUCUGAAGUGAAGACUGCCGGUGUAGCCGGCACCGCCUCAGGAAUGGCAAAAUCCGUUUACACCAAGUACGAGCCAGCAGCCAAGGAACUUUACUCCAAGUAAGAACCAAAAGCGGAGCAAUAUGCUGUAUCAGCUUGGCGCAAGCUCAAUCAGAUGCCACUAUUCCCUCAAGUAGCUCAAGUUGUUGUGCCAACUGCUGCCUAUUGUUCCGAAAAAUACAACCAAACAGUGGUGAGCGCUGCAGAGAAGGGGUACAAGGUCUCCUCAUAUUUGCCUUUGGUCCCUACUGAGAGGAUUGCUAAGGUGUUCAGCAACGAGGUUGUUGAAUCGCAGCCUCUGGCUUCUGCUGGACGUGAAGCUGAUGUUGCUGUGUAUUGAUAGCUGUGUUUUCUGUUUUCUGGCCUCACAAUUUUUCUUGCAAGCUGUGGAGUGAAAAUGUUUUCCUUUCUGGAUAUGGGUAUUGGGUUGAAAAUGGAGUGGAUUACGAUUAUUUAAUUUUUAAAGACAUUGCUUAAUUCUGUGGCGUCAGCAUAAUACUUUCUGUUUUUGACUUUUCUUCUGUGUUUAGAUUUUUAGUUCAUUGCUCUUAAUAGUGUUAAAAGUUGGUCACUUUCCUAAAGAAACUCUAAUGAAGGAAAUGAACUUUGGAAUUAAAGUAGAAAUUAUAUGAAAUAUUAAAUUUUAAUUAAAAUAAAAAAUAUAUUAAAAACAUCGUAAAGCAAAAAUUGAGCCAGCUAGAUCCAUUAAGAGUGGCUGGCCCAACCCAACGUCCCAACCCAACAUAACACAAUCACCAGAACUUGUGCUGAGUAUGAUUGUUAAUAUUAUAGCGUGUUUACUAAUAUCAUUCAAAUGUAAUAGUAAUGUAUAAUUAAACAAAAUCAAAAGUCUAUGAUUCCGCUAAUUUGGGGCUAGGGUUUUUCCUUUUCCCAUCCCUUGACUUAAUGAUUUUUAAAAAAUGAAAAUAAAACCCGCACGACAUGACGGGUUCAGUUCCGAUUUGGAUCAAAUUAAGUCCAGUUCGUUAUUGUGAAAUCGUAAUAAACAAAUAAAUUGGGGGCUGAAAAAUCUGGUCGGAAUUUCAAUUUGUAUUAAUUAAUUGACUUUUUGAAUUGCUUUCCAAUAAAAUUAAGCUAUGUUCAAGUGUUUGUAUUUUGGUAAAUUGUGCUGCAUCUAUUUUGCUCAUGUGAUUGUUAAUUUAUUUUGUUUUUCUAGGUUUUGUGGGUAUGAUUGUUAAUUUAUUUUGUUUUUCUGAGUUUUGUUCAUAUGAUUGUUAAUUGAUUUUGUUUGUUCUUUUCUUUACGUGCUGUAAUUUCAUUUUCCGUUGGGGUAAAUUCAAGAAUUAUGAUUUAUGAGUCUAAAUUGUUUUGAACGUAUAAUAUGCGAGGGUUCUGCCUACAAUUACUUUGGCUAGUGUGUCAACUGCAGGCUCUGUGGAGGGUAAGGUAAAAUAGUUUAUGAAUAAAUUGAAAAAUUGGUGAUAUAGGUGGUUACGGCUGAAAUUGUAGAAGAGUUUUAUUCAAUUUCUACCUAGUAAAUGUGAUAUUUACAAUCUCAGCAGAUGAGAGAGUAAGCUUUGCUAUUCAAUACAUGUUUCAUUAAUUCACUUGGGUAUUGAAACCCCGAAGCUUUUUUUUUUUUUUUGAGCAAAGGGAACCUUAUUCGGACUGUUCAACUAAGAAAAAAUGAUACAAGGAAAUGAAAUUAAGUGCCAUGAGGCAUCAGUGCCUACCUCAAUGCUUUCUUCUAUAUGUAACAUUUCUAAUACAUAGUAUGUACAUGAGUGAAAACCUUUGAAGUAAAUAAAUAUAUGUUUACUCUAUCAAAAUUGGACUUCCCUGCAAAUGCAAUCCCAUGAUUGACAAAAAAUGGCCAGCAUCGCUGUGGUGCCAUGUCUGAAAUUUGCUAAAACAACUCGGAGACGGCAUGGGGCACAAGAAGAGAGUUCUUAAGUUCCAAAAUUGUCUACGAUCAAGUGUUGGGAUGGUGAAUGCUUUCACCAUUUAUGCAACUGAGCGGUGAUACUUUUCACCACAGGAUAAUAUUCUGUGUGCACGUGCUUUUUAGCUUUCUCUGAACCAGGUUGCUCAAGCCACUCAUCAUACAAGCUUUUCACCAGAGAAUUUUUGAAAGGAUCAGCUACCAUUACAUUUUCCAAAUAUAUGGUUUCCAGUGUCUUAAUCAACUCCUUCGGUGAUUGCCCUGGCUUAGGCUUGACCUGACGUCCACCAUUCAUGCAACCUGAAGGGCAUGCCAUGAUCUCCACAAAGUGAUAAUCACAUUUUCGCAUUUUCACUCUCCUGACAAUGUUUUGCAGGUUCUGGAAGCCAUAACAUAGGGCAAAUUUCAACAACGUUUUUCCCUCCACUUCCAGAGCCACCUCUCGGAAAUCAGAGUUUCUGAUGGUUUUAAAUUCUAGACGACCUUCAAUAACUUUUCCAAAUAGUGUUUUAGCAGCAUGUCUGAAUACUGUUUCUGCAUAACCACCAGAACUUCCAGCGACCCCAUAAAGAUGUCCUUCAUCAUCAACAUUGGUCAAGAUAAUGCCCCAUAAUAUAGAAUAUCCAACAAUAAAACAUGCAUGAAAAUAAAUGCAAGUAAAUCGAGAUUAUGAAAAUCAUUCACCCACAAAAUGAGAGUGCCACAAUGAAUACCCAAAGCAGGCCACCAACAAAAUUUAAAACAAAAGUAAUUCGUGUAAAAUAUUAAUGGAGCCAAGCAAAGAAAACACAAGAAAUAAGAGUUUUGUUAUUUUACCUGUAGCACUAGGGUGCCAACUCUAACGUCUCCAACUAAAACAAUAAUACAUUUAUUGGUGGAAAAGGCAGAACGUUCAAGACCUUCGUAGCUAGUUUCAAUGGCAAGGGGAACGCUUGCAACCUCAACUCCAUACAUCAGUUUGUUAUUUGUUUAAACACAUAAGUCGUAAAAAUAUUUUCAACUUACUACAUGUGUUUUUUUACUAAGCAGUUGUUCCCCUCCAGGUGACUGGACAUAAACUCUAUUUAAUUUUUUAUAUAUUUUAUAUUUUGAAAAUUUGAUUUAUUGUAGACAAACAAGGGAGUUUGACAUAAUAAAUUCUUAAUUCUUAAUAUAAGGUAUGACAAAAUGAUAUUUUCAUUUAUUCUAGACAAAUUAAAUUUUGUCACAAUAAAUAUUAAUCCAUCAUAAAAUUAAAGGGAAAAUAAUGAUAAUUUAUAUAAUUAAUCUUUUCGGCAAUAAAUCUAAAUAAAAAAUGGUGAAAAGAAUUUAUUAAAUUUUAUUUACUACUAAGGGUGGAUCCAUAACCUUAGCCAUUUUUAGCAAAAGUAAAAUAAACAAAUAAAUAUUUUUUUGUGUAUCGACCUCGAACUCACCGAACUAUAAUAUAACAAGACACUCUUAUACUUGAGAGUUAAAAAUUACUUUUAAGUUGUGUCACCUAGAAGACUCUCUGUGUGUUAUUAUAUUAGGAGAAUUAUAUGCUUUCUACUUAAUAAAUUAAGAUUUACAAUAAAAUAUACUGACUAAAAGGGAUGCAUAUAUCCAACACAAUUUCUUUCGAACACUAAAAUUAUUAUUUUUUAUUUCACACUUAUUACUUUAAACUCUUAUACGAAACAAAUAAGGGCUACUAAAUAACAUGUCAGAUAAUUUUAUUACUUCUUUAAUUAUUACAAUUUAAUUCGGGCUUCUUCUGUAACAAACUAUACAACUCAUACUUUCUAUUACUUACAACAAAUAAAAUAGAGUGUCGAAUAUAUUUUUCUCUUUCUUUUUUAUUGUUUGAACUUAUCUUUCAUCUCAAUUAAGCCGCUAUUUCUUGGUUGAUGAUUUACUAUUUUUAAAUUUAUUGUUGUUAUUAUUACGCAAAUUAUCAUCACGCAAAUUAACAUGUACCAAUUUUUCCAUUUUCCAAUUGCAUAUAUAUUUACUAAAUGCUUCGGUACCGAUGUAAAGCAUCUCCUCAUACUGUCGUCAUCUUAUUUCUUCAAAUUAAUUAAAUCUAACAUGUAAUUUCAUUCCUGUAAAUUUACUUUAAUCUCAUCGCAUACAUUACAUUAUUUUUUAUUUUAAUAAAUAAUUUCUGCUAUAAUUAUCCUAUUACUUAAUUUUGAAAUUGUCAACAAUGAAUAUUAACCUACAUUAAUAGAUUAUGGGACAUUCUCCUAUCAAAUUACUGUUUUCUAAGGAACUAUCUUUUAUGCCUUCUAACGUAACCCUUUUAUCUUCCCUGAUGAACAUAAGAUUCGAAAGUCCUGUAACAUAUUUAGGUACGAGGCAGCAAUUUCACCUUCUAAUUUGAAAAGGAAACUGUAUUAUUCUUACUUUAAAUAACCCUUCAUACCUUAUUGAUGGGUAGAGAGACAUUUUGCAUCCCGUGCGUUACAAUUUUCUUAUUGAUGCCGACAUUCGUGCGAUUCACAUCUCGGUGUCCGAUUGAUAUUGUUUAUCGCCUCCAGCCGGCCGGGGGGGGGGGGGGGGGGUGCAUCUGUCACUAUACAACAUAAUCAGGCCUUCAUUCUUCUCAUCCGCCGCCAAUAUCGUUCAUCUUUGUUCUUUACCACAUGUUCUUGUUCAUUUAAUUUGGAUAUGUUGGUCCACAUCCCCCUGCACACGAAGGUUCACUUUUACGGGUGUUCGCGUCUCAGAUUUUGCGGAUUGCACAUCAAUCCAUAUAUUUUUAAUUCAAUAUAUACUAUUUCUCCUGAUUUCAUGAGUUUUUCCAGAUUUAGAGACUUAAAUCCUUUUCCAAUCCAUCUAAUACGGAAUUUUUUAAUUAUGCUAAUUUAUUAGGGUCUUAUUCUGUAACAAACUAUAAAACUCAUAGUUUCUAUACUUACAACAAACAAUUGAGACUGUCAUAAAAAAUAGUUAAAAUAGAGUGUCGAAGAUAUUUUUCUCUUUCUUUUUUCCUCUUUUAAUUGAUCAAUCAUCUCAAAAAAGCCUCCAUUUCUUGGUUGAUGAUUUACUAUUUUUAAAAUUAUUAUUAUUACACAAAUUAUCGUCGUCGUCGUCGUCAUAAUUAUAAUAUUAACCAUUACUAGUUUUAUUAUUAUUGUUGUUGUUAUUCAAAUUUGGAAAUGACAUGGCCUAUUAUUUAAACUCUAAGGAUAAAAUUAAAAUUACAUAUUAUUCAGGUUAAAUGGAAUUUUUCCCUUUUUUUCCCCACCAAUUACUUUUGCAAUGCAUUGCCUGAUCAUUUUUUUAUUAUUUAUUUAUUUAUUAUUAUUAUUAUUAUUAUUAUUAUUAUUAUUACACGCUACAUAAUUUUUCUUCACAUUUUUUUUAUAUGGUUUUCAUUUACUCAACUCAUACGCAAAUUUCCCACAAAAUCGAAUUAUACACUAACUCAACUGUAAAUUCAUGCCAGGCUACUUUUAAAAUUACAGUUGAUAUUUCGCAUUUUUUUUCCCACCAAGCACGCAAUUCAUUACCUUAAAUCCACUUCCAAAUGUUUUCGUCACUAUUUUCGAAAUUUUCAAAUCAUUCUAACCCCAACCCAUACUUGCACGCUUCCAACUUCUUGCUUUUAACCAAUACUUGCAUGCACUUUUUUUAAUUAUUUUACAUGCGUUACUGUUACAACUUCCAACUACUACAGGCGUUUUUUUGGUCAAAAAGUUGAUUCCCUGCAGUGUUACCGGCCCAUUACCUUUAUCUCAGGUUACUCUCUUGCGUCUGUGUGUCUCUUCUGCAGCCACGAGAUGAAAUCUAACGGUGACCAUGCUACAAGACAAACGACUUGGGUACGAAACCCAUGACGCAAAGUAGCUGCGGCCUAAAUCAGGUAGGAAAAAUAAAAAGUUAAUUAUUGAGUUGUAAUGGUGCAACUAAGGUUUUGAAACAUUAAGAUCUUUAGCCAUUAUGUUACUAUCCCGUAGUUAUUUAAGUUAUAAGAGAUAGUAAAAAAUAACAUCAUGUAAUUAUUUAAGUUAUAAGAGAUAGUAAAAAAUAACAUCAUAUUUUAAUUACUUACACUAAUCCUACAAGUGCUAAUGGUCUAAAGUUGCUGCUGCUUGCACUGAAUCAGUGGUCAUGGGCCAGCCAAGGUUAGGUGAGGCCAACUCAUUAGCUUGAGAAACUUAAAGAAGUCUUAGGUUUGGAAAAGAUGGGGCACAGGUUAUAAAUUUUUUUUGAGUUUUGGAUUGAAGGAACAAAAUUGUUGAUGUCUAGCUCACAAUAUUUGAAGUCACUCUGUGCUUCAUCAUGUAAAAUGGAUUGAAUUGCUGUAAGAUCAAGUCAAAUUAAAAUGUUUAAACUCAUUUUUAAGAAACGAAUUCUCAAUUGGACCAGCCUUUCACAGAAGCUGAUAUCACAGAAGCUUUGAGUCAGAUGCAUCCAACCAAAGCCCCUGGCCCAGAUGGUCUCCCAACAGUAUUUUUCCAAAAGCUUUAGAAUUCAGUAAGCGAAGGAGUUAUAGCCACUUGUCUGCAUAUCCUCAAUGAUGGAAGUAAUAUUGCUCCUUUGAAUCAUACAUACAUUGCUUUAAUCCCCAAGAUAGCAAAACUUAGGACUCUGAUGGAGUAUAGACCAAUCAGCAUAUGUAAUGUAAUUUAUAGGAUCAUUGCAAAGACUAUAGCGAAUAGACUGAAGCUAAUCUUAGAUCAUGUUAUUUCGCCAACUCAGAGUGCUUUUAUGCCAAAUAGGCUUAUAACUAAUAAUAUAAUUAUUGGGCAUGAGUGUCUUCAUAAGUGGACAAAGCUAAGUUCCAGAGGUGAGAUAGGAAAUUCUCCCGCACGACAUAGUAGAAACAAACUUUCCCUUUCAUUUUCUUUCUUCUUUCUCGCUCUCCAAACAGAGCAAAAGGACCGUCGCAAGAUUCUUCACUUCCAUCCAAAAUCAUGAGCAACGAAUAGUGAGCCUCCCUGUUUCCUUCCUUUUUUUGAUAUUAACAUUGUUAACAUAUACUCAUUUUAAUUUGACAAUACUUCAACUUUUUUUUAUUUUUUUGCCUUUUCAUUUUUUUUGUUGAAGCAAUUAUCUGUUCAAGCUGUUGCUUAUCGGAGACUCGUCUGUCGGAAAGUCCUACCUGCUGCUCCGAUUUGCUGUCUGUUGACUUUUCCUUUCCCUUCUUAUUUUCUUUUUUUUAUAUUAAUUACUUUCUAUUUUAGCUUUUUGUUCUCUGAAUUUGUGUUAUUAAAAUGAUAAUUUAGAUGAUAAAUAAUUGUUAUUCUUGUAAAUUUCGAUUUUCAUUACGUUAAUUGUUAGUUUUUAGGUUUAUUAAUGUAAUUUUUUUUUUCAAUUUUUCAGGAUGAUUCUUAUGUCACAGCUACAUCAGUACCAUUGGAGUUGAUUUUGUGAGUCUCUCUUCUAUAUAUAUGUAUAUAUGUGUAUAAGUUAUAAUAUGAGUCUAUGUACGUGUAUGAAUGUAUGUGUAUGUAUAUGUGGAAAGAAAUGUUGGCAGACUUCAGCAUUUUACUCUUUUUUUUUUUUUGGCAGAAAAUAAGAACUGUGGAGCUGGAUGGGAAGACGAUCAAACUGCAGAUUGUGAGUCAAAAUUUCCUUUUAUCUUGUAUUGAGAGAAAUUCGAUUUGUCUUAUUUAGUGAAGGUUAUGUUCAAGAACCUCUUCUUAUUUUCUUUGUUUGAAGAGUGAUAUGUUGAAAUGAGUGUAUUUGUCUUAUAAACAUCAUUUAGGUAAUGUCUGAUGUUUGAUUGUUUUUCAUCUGUUUAGUGGGACACUGCUGGACAGGAGCGAUUCAGGACUAUAACUAGCAAUUAUUACCGAGGAGCCCAUGGAAUCAUAGCAAGGAGCCUUCCCGGUUCUUGGUUUAAAUCAGAAAGUUUGUGAUUUACAUGUGACAUCUUAACAGCAUUGUAUGUGUUUAUUAACUUAUUUUUCAUCUUUCAUUAAGCAGUACAUUUUCCAAUAAAUCUGUAUACAAGAUGAUGUAGUCCAAGAAUGGGAGCCAUAAUAUGAUGCAAAUUGUCUAAUAAAUUCUUAUGACAUAUGAUGUUGUCGGAAGUAAAAGUCUUGCAAUGCUGUAUUCUCUUUUAAGAAAGAAUAAGUGGUAAUUUUUUUUUUCCAAUUUUUUAAUUGAGCAACUGUAUGAGAUUAAUUAAAUGUGUUGGGAUUUCAACAGAUUGUCUAUGAUGUAACUGAGAUGGAGAGCUUCAAUAAUGUCAAGCAGUGGUUGAAUGAGAUUGACAGAUACGCAAAUGACAGUGUAUGCAAACUUCUAGUUGGGAACAAAUGCGAUUUAGUUGAGAACAAGGUUGUGGACACACAGACAGCCAAGGUAUAUUCGUGACUUCUUUCGCCUGAACUUUGAAUAUAAUUUUAAACUCUUCUCAAGUGCAUUUGCUUGAUAAGUUUCUGCAUACCCAGGACACUCAAACUUUGGACAGUGUAUCUCGAGUUGGAAUCUUUUCUGCCAAUACGACUUGUUAAAAUAAUGGUUAUUAUCGUUUGAAUCAUUCAAGAAUUGCAAUAAAUCUAAAGUCCAUAAAAAAUAUGAUUCCAUCAUUUUACUAUUAUAUCUAGACAAAACCCAUUAUUUUACUACAUUUCAUUGGCACCGAUAGUUGACCUGUUGGCUGACUGAUAAAAUCUCAAUUUUGCACUUUACAUUAAUUCUUUUUUGGUUAAAAAAUAACACACAAAGUAUUACAAUAUUAUAAAUUCAAAAUAUAAAGUAGUUACAAAUAAUUCCUAUUAGCCUAUGAAUAUAAUAUUUGAUACCUCUAUUUGUGUAAUUUUUUUUCCAAUGGUGAAAUUGUUAUUUUUUUUGUACUAACGGAAAUGUAGUAAAAUCAUAAGUUUUGUAAAGAUAUAGUAGUAAAAUGAUAGACUAAAAUACUUCUUGUAGUUGUUUGAUAUAUUGUAAUUCUUAAAGUACUCAAUUGAUAAUAUCCCCUAAAAUAAAUGUUCGUAAUAUGUUCUCAUUUUAAUGCAACUGAUUGUUUAAUAAAAUUGUAUUUCUUUGUUAAUCUUUUAUCAUGUGCAUGCUCAGUGAGAAUUUGACUUACUAGAACACAAGUUUGACUCUUCAUUUAAAUGUCUCUUGUAUCAUAUCCUUCAAUGUUGUGUGUGAUUCCAAUAAAAUUGAGUAGGGAGAUCCUUAAAUACCUUUUCCUUUUUUCCAAGGGCCUGUCAAAUUGCUCUAAGUGAUUCUACCCUUUAUCAAUGAAUAAUGAAAAUAAAAUUUUUAUUAAAGCAGUUUUUUCCGUAAAUGGUGACUAAUAGUACCCCUUUUUUUGGAGAGGAAAGUCAAACAUGCCCAAAGAGAAUCAUUUACUUUCCUCUAAUGUAUUUUCUAAUUCGUUUUGACCCUUGAAUGUCUGUUUUGGUGCGUAUUCUCAUUCCAUGUCGAAUCUUAUCCAUAUGGACAACCCCACUUACAAAAAAGUCUAAUGAAUCUAUUGAUGUUCAUAUGAGGUUUGUGCUUUAGAUUUAGACCUCUCUCUCUCUCUCUCUCUCUCUCUCUCUCCACUUACAUGUCUUUCACUUACCUGUUUGCAUGCAUGCCCAUGCACACACUUGCAAGUUAAUACACAGUCACUCGUACUUGUGUUUUGGUUGAGCUACUGGCUGCUAACCUCUGUAAUUCAGUUUGAAACUUGCCCCCCUUAGUGCUUCACUCAAAUGGUUGGUUAGGGUGAGAUCUGUAUCGUUUUCCUGGUCUCUUUCCAAGGUUAUCUAAAGGGAUUUGGCAGUCUGAUUCUUUAGGGAAUAUCAUUGCAUAAGAUAUCUAUUGUUUGUUAAUGAAUAAUUUCUAUUAACUAGUUAUCUAUCUAAAUUGGUAAAUUUUAACUGCAUAAUUUGCAUGCAAUAAGAUUUUAUAAGAAUCUUGUUUUCAACUCAUGACUUAGACUAAUGUGAUAUGUUGAGCAUUAAGCUACAAGAUCUGCACAUCAGAGUGCUUCACGAUGUUAAGGAGAAAGCAUCUUUUUCUGCUUCUUAAUGUGAUUUAGAGUUUCCAUGUUACUUAUCCUAUAAAAUAUCUUUCAAGACUUUGCAAAUGCUUUUAUUUAUGACUGAGAGAAACUUGUUGGGUUGGUUUUUAGCAACAGACGGAGUUAUGGACUUUGUAUUGACUUGUUAUUGAUUAAGAUAGUACAUCGGCUGAUCUAUUGGUAUCAAGCAGCAGAUGCAGAAAUUAUGGGUGGCAUAUCAUUGUAUCCAAAGAGCGUACUACAUGGAAUUUUUCUGAUUUUCUGUUGGUCUCCGAGUGAAAUGCAGGCAUUUGCAGAUGAACUGGGGAUUCCUUUCCUGGAGACGAGCGCCAAAGAUGCAAUCAAUGUGGAGCAGGCUUUCUUGACCAUGGCUCGCGAGGUUAAGAAAAAGUAAAAUCACUUAACUCUUUCCUUCUUGCCUUAUGAUUGAUUCUGUGAUCCAUCACCCAUUUGUAAAUGCUGACUGUUCUAUUCAACAAUCACCAUUAUUGCUGGUUAUAUGCAUUGUGAUGAAAAUUCAGCAAUGAGUAACUUUUUACCUAAUGUUUUCUGUUGGAACAAAUUACUCUGGUAGAAAAGCCCUACAGGGUUUGAGAAAUCCCAUGAUGUGAUGAUUGUGAGCAUUUUAGACACCGUGUAUGGGUUUAUUUUUUGACUAUAAAAUGUUAAGAUUGUUUCUAGUUUUCGUUUGUAGUGCAUAAAAGGAUUCAAAAUUUGACAUCUGUCUAAAUCAGAUUAAUAACAUGAUAAUGUACAUAUGCAAGAUGUGAGGAAUUGUUUUAUCUCACCCCUAAACUUUAAGAAAUUGAAACAUUAUCAUUCAAAAUAUUUAACAUUUCCAGAAUUGAUAGUUGUCUAUUUGAGCAGUGACUGGUGGUUAUCAUGAACUGAUGUGUGGUUGUGGUGUCAAAUCUUGGUGAAACCUGUUGUCAUCUGCCGGUUAACAUAGCUAGUCUCUGAAAUAAUUUCUUGAUUCACUAAUUAUGAGUUCAAAUUUGAUGCAGGAUGGGCAACCAGCCUACUGCAAACAAAUCUUCUGGAACAGUUCAGAUGAAGGGACAGCCAAUCCAGCAAAACAGCAACUGCUGUGGUUAGCCGAGCCUGUUAUUUUACUACUACAUGUUAGCUGACUGAUUGUAGACAGUUUUAACUAUGUUGACUGCAUUAUCUUAUGAAUCUUUUAAUAUGUCAAAUAUUUAUUUCCUGCUUUAAGUUCUUUCCGUUUAUAACAAAUUUAAUUUCUUGCUUCAUCGCAUUCCAAAUUCCUGUCAAUUUACGAGGGAAAAAGAAAAGAGAGACGAAAUCAGAGAAAAUGGUCAAAUUUGUUAGGGGGAGAGAGCUGUUCAAGUAGUUUCUGUUCUUGUUUAUUGUCGUGACCCUCUUGUAGCUUGUCUAUGACCUGGAAGUCCGGUCAAAUCGGAUGGGUAAAGUUACCAAAACGGCAUCAUUUUGGGUGAAAUAUCAUAUUUAUGUCACACUUUUGAUAAUAAUUUUAAUGCAACAAAAAAUUGUUCGCGGUACCCUUUUCACAUUGUGAAGCGCAUGAUCGGAUGGGAGCAGUCUGGAUUCUGGCAUCACAAGCUAAUGCUUUGAUUUGCUUAGUUUGUUUUUUGUUUCUGAUAUUUUCUUGUCAGUGGGUGGGAUAUUGUUUCACUUUCGAGUUUCCUUUUUUUUUUUUGUUAUGGAAUUUGGAGAUAGUGUACAUGUAUGAAGAUGACGUAAUAAAGUUGUUUUGAUAAAUUCUCCUGGUCGGUUUACUUCACUAACCAUUAAUGCACAAAGCCACCUAAUGACCCUAAAAAAUCCCAUACAUAAUUAAAGAAUUUCAAUUUUUUUUGUUAUGGAAUUUGGAGAUAGUAUACAUGUAUGAAGAUGACGUAAUAAAGUUUUGAUAAAUUCUCCUGGUCGGUUUACUUCACUAACCAUUAAUGCGCAAAGCCACCUAAUGAUCCUCAAAAAUCCCAUUCAUAAUUAAAGAAUUUCAAUUUUAUAUGUACAAAAAUAAAUGACUCAAAUAUAUUAUUUGAUAAUUUCAAAAACAAUAAUUCACUCUAAUAAAUCUCGUAGCAAAUAUAUGAACUGUAUUGCAAGUCUUUUCGAGACUAAUUCAAAGGAAUACGAAUGACAUAUAAUUGACAUUUACCUAUCAUAAAGAACUCUAAAUAAAUUCAUAUAUGCAUCGCAGUUAAUUACAGCCUUGAUACUUCAAUUGGUUUUUGUUAAUUUUCUGUACAGUUAUGCUGUGCAUAAAAGUUUUGUUAAAUGAAAUUGAUAGGUGAAGAGAAUUUUUAGAAGCAGUCAUCAAAGUAAUGAUCAAUAUAAAUAUUGAUUGUCUCAAGUUAGAUUAUACAAAGAUGAAAUAAUGCUAAUAUAGUAAAUUCAAUCAUAAUAAUUUGACUUCCAUUAUAUUAAUUAUGUCCAAUCAUGCUACUUUAAUAAAGAACGCUCGAGCAUUUAUAUGUAUACAACAUACGAAAUUAAUUACAAAACUAUCUUUGACAAAGUCUGACCGGUCAACUAUCCAUCAAAUUUUGUAUUGUGUUACCGUUGAGCUCUUAUGUCAAAUAUGGAUAGACAGUGCUUUGGCUAACAGUGAGAUAUAUGCGAGCAUAAGAGCUUCGUUCUCUGUUUUUACGGUGUUUCUCUUUGUGGUUGUUGGACGAACUCUAAUGUGAAUUUCUAUCUAGUGGGUAUCCUGAUACUCUUAGUUAGUUUGGGAUUGUUGUUUUAUAUAUAAUAUUCAGUAUCCAAAAUUCAUAUGAUGAUAACCUUCAUUACUUUUGUCAUAUUUUCUUUCGUGUUGGUGUUAGUAUCUUAAUUUUGUACCCGAUGUUAAGGACAAUAUAUAGCUAAUUUGAAACUUCUAUAAUUUUACAUAUAUAGACGCAAAUUCAUUUUUAAGAGUGCAUUUAAUCAAGCAGUCCAGAUGUUUAUACUGAGUAAGUGGUUCAAUAUUAAUACAAAACUAUUUUAAGUAACAUGUGGCAUAUUCCAAUUCCAGUGAGCUUCCAACUCAGAUUCCCAAUUCAAAAGAAACGUUUUCAAUUUUCUCCAGAACAUUCUACAAAACGUUUCUUCUAGUCUCUACGCUGUGCUAGAAUUUUCUCUAAGUUUCUUUUGCAAAGACUUUUAAAGAAUUAUCCAAAUACCGAGCUUUCUUAGGGGGAGAGAGCUGUUCAAGUAGUUUCUGUUCUUGUUUAUUGUCGUGACCCUCUUGUAGCUUGUCUAUGACCUGGAAGUCCGGUCAUAUCGGAUGGGUAAAGUUACCAAAACGGCAUCAUUUUGGGUGAAAUAUCAUAUUCAUGUAACACUUUUGAUAAUAUUUUUAUGCAACAAAAAAAUGUUGUUUCACAUUGCUUAGUUUAUUUUUUGUUUCUGAUAUUUUCUUGGCAUUGGGUGGGAUGUUGUUUCUCUUUUGAGUUUCCCUUUUUUUUUUUUUAUUAUGGAAUUUGGAGAUAGUGUACGUGUAUGAAGAUGACGUAAUAAAGUUGUUUUGAUAAAUGCCCCUGGUCGGUUUACUUCACUAACCAUUAAUGCGCAAAACCUUCUAAUGAUCCUAAAAAAUCCCGUACAUAAUUAAAGAAUUUUAUAUUAUUUGAUAUGUACAAAAUUUUAUAUGUACAAAAAUAAAUAACUCUGAAAUAUAUUAUUUGAUAAUUUUAAAAACAACAAUUCGCUCUAAUAAAUCUCGUAAGAAAUACAUAGUCUAUAUUGUAAGUCUUUUCGAGACUAAUUCAAAGAGAAAAUACGAAGGACAUAUAAUUGACCUUUAUCUGUCAUAAAGAAUUCUAAAUAAAUUCAUAUACGCAUCGCAACUAAUUACAACCUUGAUACUUCAUUUGGUUUUUGUUAAUUUUCUAUACAGUUGUGCUGUACAUAAAAGUUUUGUUAAAUGAAAUCGGUAGCUGAGGAUUAAUUAAUCAAUUAAUUAAGAUCCAGUUAAUGUAAUUAAUUUUAUUUGAUUUUUUUAAUUCGAGUUCUAAAUUAAUCAAUUAAUUAGAUUCAUGUGAAAUUGAAGUGAAUUAGUUUCGAUAUGUUUUUCGUCCUAUGUUUGUCUGUGUUUACUCUCACUUUUUUUUUGUUUAAAUUUUCGUUUUCUUAUUGUUUACUGAAUAAAUUUCUGAGCUGUAUUUGAGUAUGAUGAUUGAUUUGUGAUUUUAAUUUGUGACUUUUUUUUUUGGAAUUUAAAUCUGAAUGCUUUUUAAGUUGAAUCUGAUUGUGUUGGGCCGCGAUUUAAUUGAGUGAUGUGUGAGCGCCAAAUUGUGAGAGCCAAAUAUUNNNNNNNNNNNNNNNNNNNNNNNNNNNNNNNNNNNNNNNNNNNNNNNNNNNNNNNNNNNNNNNNNNNNNNNNNNNNNNNNNNNNNNNNNNNNNNNNNNNNNNNNNNNNNNNNNNNNNNNNNNNNNNNNNNNNNNNNNNNNNNNNNNNNNNNNNNNNNNNNNNNNNNNNNNNNNNNNNNNNNNNNNNNNNNNNNNNNNNNNNNNNNNNNNNNNNNNNNNNNNNNNNNNNNNNNNNNNNNNNNNNNNNNNNNNNNNNNNNNNNNNNNNNNNNNNNNNNNNNNNNNNNNNNNNNNNNNNNNNNNNNNNNNNNNNNNNNNNNNNNNNNNNNNNNNNNNAUAAAUAACAUUGCAAUACAAUCUAGCCCUUACGUGUUUAAUUAGCAAUUACACGAACAUUAUAACACUCUGUUGCUGAUGCGGCAGCUAGUAAUUCUUCUGGUGAAGAUAUUAAGGCUGUUAAAGCUAAAAUGUAAUCAGAGAAAUAUAAUGCAUUCCCUUAGUUUGCUUUUUGUUUUUGAUAUUUGUUUGGCUAAUGCUUUGCUUAGAUUGCUUUUUGUUUUUGAGAUUUUAUUGGCUUAGUCAUGGUAUAUUGUUUUCUCUUCUAAUUUUCUAUUUUUGUCGUUAUGGGAUUUGAUGAUGGUGUACACAUACGAAAAUUAUGUAAUAAAGUGCUUUCAAUAAAUCAUGGUCGGUUUACUAUUAAUUAAUUAAAUUUAAUUAACUCAAAUUACUCUUGUACACAACCAAAAUAAUUUCAAUUCUACGAUAUGUAUACACACGCGCACACACAAACAAAAAGUAAUUAACUUUCAAAUAUUUGCCAUGCUAUUUUAAUAAAUAGUACUUGAGAAUAUAUAUAUCCAACAGGUAAAAUUUCAAAACAAUAUUUGCCGAAGUCUGAUGAAGAGAAUAUACACGCACACACAUAUAUAACCGUACAGCAGAAGGAUAAAUAAAAGAAAAUAAAGUUUCAACAGCUGAAUAAUGCAAACUCAUUUUUUUUAACAAGCAUUUUAUUGUUUAAUUUAAAAAAUUCGAAAACCGAUUGGUCUUAUAUACAUGAUAAAGACUCACCGACGCCGAACCAUAUUCAUUUAAAUUAGUUUCAACUGAGAUUUGAUUUGAAAUUACAUACACAAACACGCUCAAUUUAAAAAUAAAAAAUAGUAAUUAUAAAAUAUUUCUGUCGUCCUCCAUUCAAUUAUCAAAAAACGACUUUAUAAUCGAUUUUAACAUAAGGUAUAUGGGUUAACAAGUCCCAAUAUUGUCCUCCAUCCUUUCUGCACUUCUCUUCUAUCAACGGACAUCUCCAGAUCUGUAAUUGCAAAAGUGAGGAAGGCAGGCCCUUCUCCGGAAAGUAUUUAAGCUUGGGACAUCCAUGGAGUCGCAAUUCAGUGAGGUUUUGAAGAUCAACAAUUGAAGAAGGUAGGCGUUCCAGAUUUGAAAAUAAAAGAAUGCUCAGAGAUGUUAGAGAGGCAGGAAGAGGAAGCGCGGUCCCUAAUCUUUUGUCCUCUAGUGGAAAUGACACCAUGUCGUCAUAACAUCCUCCGAUUUCUAGAUGUCGCAUAGAGGAGAAUCUGUGAAAUCCCCGACCCCGCUCAACCAUUGACUUCCAAAUCUCCAUAUUACCCCUGAUAUGAAGUGACUGAAUCUUGGUGGGAAGGCCAUCUUCUUCAAGGCUUGGAAGCUCACCUCCUAUUCUUAAUUCUUGAACAGAAGUCAGGUUGUGCAAUCCCUUGGGUAAGGCCUCUAGUCUCUUGCACCAACGGAUACAGAGCUUAGUGACUUUCGCACAAGGCANNNNNNNNNNNNNNNNNNNNNNNNNNNNNNNNNNNNNNNNNNNNNNNNNNNNNNNNNNNNNNNNNNNNNNNNNNNNNNNNNNNNNNNNNNNNNNNNNNNNNNNNNNNNNNNNNNNNNNNNNNNNNNNNNNGAGACGUGUUGUAGUCCAACCUUUCUGCUAUGGACUCCAGAUUUCCACACAUCUGUAUACUAAUCUUUCGAAGCUGGCGGAGAUUAUGUAAACCACUCGGUAAAAUUUUGAGAUUUUCACAAUGAUAAAUGUUGAUUUUUUCAAGAGAUGUGUUGUUGUCCAACCUUUCUGCUAUUGACUCCAGCUUUGAACAAUGAGAAACAUAAAGGGACUUAAGAGACGGAGGUAGAUUGCCAACUUCAAGGGACUCAAGCGUGGCAGGUAACUCGUUUUUUGAAAAUAUACAUGUCAGUGAUGGACAAUCCCUAAUUUCCAACUCCUCGAGAAGAGAUGAGGUGUACCUUCUGCCGCUGCUACUCUGGAUGCCCUCUUCCACUGUCAAAGUCCUUAUAUUAUCGCAACGCCAGAUCUUCAACUUCUUAAGGCUCGAUGGUAGCUGGACAGCAGCAAUAUAUGUCAACGAACAACAAUACUGAAUAUUCAAGAUCUCGAGAGACGAAUGGGUGUCGCACAUCCAUGCCUCUGGUAACGAUUUCAGUGCAUCACAAUGCCCAAUCUGAAUUUCCUUCAACUUGGAAGGCAGAGCAACCUCAGGAAACGAAACAAGGGAACUGCAGUUGUAGAUUUCUAUCUCUCUCAAGGAACUGAGGCUGAACGAUGAUUGUGGCAGCUUCACAAGGCCUUCGCAUCGGUUCAAUUCUAGAUAUUCAAGUCUGCUUGACAAUUCGCAGAGCUGCUGUUGUUGGUCUUUCUCUUCCUCCGCCACCAAGGAUUGAAGUUUGGGACAUCUGUCAAUCGUCAGUCUUUUGAGAGAGCAAAUGUCUUGCAGUAAUUCGUUAUGACUCUUCCAUACAUAUGUUUCAUUUUCAAUAUUUUUUAUCUCCAAUUCUUCUAGUUUUGGUAUUCGCGGCUUCAAUGGCCCUGCGAGAAACACUUGAUUUGAUGUAUCUCUACAAACCACUGAAUUCUGUGAGCCGAGAUGAUCAGUUGCACUUCUCCACACAACCUUUUUACAUCCAUCCAUCUCUAAUUUGCAAAGAGCUGGAAGAGUCGCAAUUGAAAUUGACAAUUCUUCGCAUUCUACAAUAACAAGCAUCUCCAAUGCAGGAAGGUGCUCUGGAAAUGUUCCUUGUAGUUUAGAACAUCUUAAAAUGUGAAGCUCUCUCAAUUUAGGAAACCCUUCAACUCCCUGACUGGAUCCAUGAGGAAUCCAGUCUUCCCAUUCUUGCAAGUCUUCAAAACAAAGAGUCUCCAAGCAUGGAAAAGGAAUCGGGGAAUCAUUCCCAUAGAACUCUGAACCCAAACUCUUUACUCUACUCAUUCCACUCACUUCAAGAUGCUUUAGAGAGGGUAGUUGCCCGACUGACGGCAGGGUAGUACACACGCCGCAAUCUUGAAAAUCUAAGGUCGCUAAAUUUGAGAAUAAGGAAUCUCCCAACCAAGUUGGAAAUUCUUUACCUCCAUAGCCACCGAUACAAAUUUGUUCCAGAUUUUCAUGAGGUUUUAGCAUGUCGAGCACAUCCUUUUCAGUUUCUGCCUCCCUUGAAGACAAACCAUCGGUACUCCGUGUCCAUCGAAACCUUAACACUUUAAGAUUCUUCUUUCCAUCCAAUUGAGCCUCCUUCGCAUCACCAAUGUCUUUUACGUUCUCCAAUUUUGAAAUGUUAAGUGUCCCACGAAGAUGCGUCAACAAUUUUAGCUCUCGUAUCACGGAACCACUGUCUUCUCCCACAACAAAAUUACACAGCGUUUGAAGGCAAGUCAACUUACCAAUUCCUAGUGGCAUCUCCUCCAAUGAAUCUGUAUUUGAAUUAUCGAGAUGAUGCAAUUUGAUGAGGUUUCCCAUGUCUGCACACAACUUCUUCAGCCGCCGACAACCUUCCAAUAGAAGUGUGUGCAAAUUGUAAAGCUUUUUGACUGAUUCAGGCAGAGUUCUAAUAUCAGUUCCAGAUAGGUUGAGGUACCUUAAAUACCUCAAAUCACCAAUUGAAUCUGGUAGCUCGGAGAUGUGAUAUCCACACAAAGAGAAGACCCUCAAGCGUCGGAGUUUGAACAACUUAGGAAGAAUGCUAUGAGCCAAGUAUCCACGCGAACUAUUUGUCAACAUUACUGGUAAAAAAGUUCGCAAAUGUUGGAUAUCGUACAACUCCUCAAACCUUUUAACACCAUCGUAACCUCCACGAAUGUACGACAGAUGACGAAGAUUUCUUGGAAAGCUUUGUUGCUUGUCAACCUCUGAGAUAUCCUCCAUUCUGAAGUACAUUUCCCCAGCAGCCCAUUCAGCAAGGUCAUUGACGAGGUCAUGCAUCACAAAUCGUGAUAUGCUGUUGCUUGAUUGCUGGAAAAAAGAUCUUGCACGUAGCUCUUGAAAGAACUUUCGACCUAGAUCUUCACUUGGAUUCCCGCUCUCUCCGUGAUCCAAGAAACCCACAGCACUCCAUAAUAAAAUUAUCUCCUCCUCUUCAAAUUCAUAAUCCUUUGGAAACAAUGAGCAGUAUGCAAAGCAUUGUUUCAAAGGUGCCGAAAGAUAAUAGUAGCUCACUCUAAGCGCCGGUAUAAUGUCACAUCUCUCUUCUGGUAAAUCCCAUAUCUUGCAACUGAGCACCCCUUCCCAAUCACUCCGGUCAAGUUUACCACGCAAGAGACCACCAAGAGUUUUCGCAGCUAAGGGCAAGCCGUUGCAUUUGAUCACUAUCUUCUUGCCAAUUUCCUCCAAUAACUUGUUUGAACUGAAAUCUCUUGUCCCCAAAGAGUGUUGAGCGAACACAGACAGACAAUCAUCAUUUGACAACUUUUUCAAUUGAUAAACUGGAGCAGUCCCCAUGAUGGCUGCAACCCCUUGAUUACGAGCUGUGACAAUAAUCUUACUUCCCGGUGCGCCAGCUUCAAAUGGAGGUCUGAGUCGAUCCCAAUCAUUGUAAUUCUCAUUCCAAACGUCAUCUAAAACAAGCAAAAAUUUCUUUCCAGAUAACUUCUUCUUCAGCUCCUCGUGAAGCUUAUUCAAGUCGUGAUUAUCCACAUUCUGGUCACUAGCAAUUGAAAGUAGGAUUGAUUUUGUAAGCCUGAUAACAUCAAAAUCAUCAGAGACGCAAGUCCAUACCUUGAGAUCAAAAUGACCCUGCACUUGCUUAUCAUUGUAGACAAGCUGAGCGAGAGUGGUUUUGCCCAUCCCGCCCAUACCUAUAAUUGGAAUAACAGAGAAUUCACCAUCAUUUCUCAAAUCAUCCCUCAACAACAAUUCAACAAUUUCCUUCUUUUCGAUUUCCCUGCCAUAUACUUUGGCUUCCUUCACCAAAGAGGUUGUCUCUCGCCUUUUCCUGUCUUUUUUGGACCUUCCAACUGAACUUACGUUCAAACCGAGCGAGUCUUUCUGUGUUACAAUAUCUUGAAAUCCGUCGUUGAUCUCUUUGAUUUUGGACAUUAUGGUGUAAUCGAACUGAAUCGAUUGUGGAGUAAAAGUGGUGCAGCAAGUAGGAAUGAGCUUCCGAAACUUACUUGUUCUUGUACGACUGCUACUGGGUUGAUCAAGAGCAGCAGCUGGAUCUCGAUUUCCAAGCAGCAACUUCCUCCCGAAAGCCUCAGUUUGAAACUCAUCCAGCAAGUCUUCAACAUCAAAAGCCAAGUUCUGAAGCUCGGCAAGCCACAACUUCACAGACUGAUCAGUCUUCUUCUCCUCAGCAUCAGCAAGCACCGCCUUGAUCAUCACCAACAUAUUCUUCCACUUCUUUAGGUCGGCUUGGAUUUGCUCUUGGCGUGCAAACAGCCGAAUCCCCUCUGAAGCUAACUUAUUGACCAGCAAAUCAACGGACGCCGUAAGGAUUGCCUCUCCGAUGAAUGACAUUUUUUUCUUCUUUUUCUUUUUUUUGGUUUUGCAAAGAAAGAAAGGAGCAGAAUUAUGGGUUAUGGAAAGCAGAAUGAGAAAAUGGAUAAUUAAGCAGAAUGAGUUUGUGAUUGUGAAGGGUCUGGCCCAGCAAUCUUAGUAGAAAUCACGCGUUUAUACUUUAUUGACCAAUGACUAAUAAUUUGGCAAUUCACUCAUCACCACCACUUGGUAAAGCAAAAUAAAAAUGCUUAGUAAUUAAGUGUCAAGGGUCAAGCAAAAUACGACGCAAAAUGUGUCAAGGGUCUCCCCACUACUUGUUCCUUGCAGCUUAGAAAAGAAAAACAGAGCCCACCACCCAUUAAUAUUUAGCAAUUCACCAAUCAUCACCACUUGUUACGAAACCAUCUCAUCAACCAAGUUCGUAGGUCGAGCAGUUAAUCCAGUGUCUAUUUCCUAGAACCUUCAUCUCAUAAACCAAGUUCAAUCAAAACGUUCCUCUCUCGCUAUUUUUUUUUUUUCAAAACUCCUAAAACGUUUUCUUUUUAGAAAUAUUUUACUUUAUUCAUCUAAUAUGUUAUCUAACAAAUAGACACAAUUGAAAUCACUCUAAAGUGAAGAUGAAAGGGGAAAAAAAUAACCUUCCAACCACCAGUAAUUUUGCAAGCUUCACUUUAUUCCACCAAAGUGUAAAUAAAGCCAGCCCCCACCACCAUCAAUAAUUUUGCAAGCUUCACACGCUUGUUGUCUUCUCCUUGACGAACUGGACAUGAGUGGACCAAGAAUAAUCAAUGACAGGAUUUUCAAAAUAAUAAUAAGAGAAAAACCUACACAUUUUCGGCUUAGAGUAGAACCGUAAUUAAUGCUAAAAUCUACUCAGCUAACAUUUUCAAAAUAUUAUUCUUUAUGAUUUUCAAAACCGUGAUUAAGGUUCAUCUCAAAUGUUUGAAGAGAGUCUAACAGUUCUUCUACGCUAAGAAUAUCAAAAUUCUUACUUUUUCUUCAAACGUUGAAUAAUGAAAAAAAAAAUUGAAUAUGGAGGAAAAUAGAAUGCAUCCAUCUUUGCUAGAAGUCUUCUACUUAUAAAAGCAAGUUAGAAUAAACGAUUUUAAUCUCUCUUUUUAUUCCUGUAAGUGCACUACAUUUUUUUUUUUAAUCUCAAUGCGAAGUCGUAUCAUAAUGUUAUAUUCCUAUUGUAAAACAAAAUUUUAGAUAAAAUAAAUUCGACUCAUUUUUUAAAGGUAUAUAUUUAGUAGGUUACUAACAUAACUAACAAAUCGUGAUUAUUACACUAAAUGGAAUAAAAGACAGUACUAUCACCAAUAAUUUAGCAAGUUUCGCAUGCACGUGUUGCUAGAAACAUUAUAUGGAAUCAAACGACAGUGAUACAAAGAGAAAAGUGGAAAUCCUCUGAUUGUAUUUUUUUUUCUUUUUCAGAAGAAAUGGUGGGGUUGGUUUGUUUGCAAAGUUAUUAGCGUGGGUCUAUUUGUUUUUGUUUUAACUUUAUUAAUCAAUAAGCAAACAUGUAAUGAUUUGUAUAUAUCAUUAGCAUCACAUUAUUGGGAGGUAUUGCGCUUAGUAUUCAUAAUUUUUGUAAGAUGAAUUUGGAAGACUUAUUAAUUUUGAUGAAAAUGUAUCGGUGUUAAGAUAUUAUUUAAUUCAUUAAGUUAACUUGAGGAAAAGCAAAAUGAGAAAAUUGAGCAAUUCACCAAUUGGCAAUAUUUGUUUAAUUCAUCAAAUACUUGUAUCUCAUCUCACAAAUUGGCCAUAUUUGUUUGGUAUUUCAUCUCAACAGACGCAGUAAGGAUUGCCUCUCCGAUGGAUUGACAUUUUUUUUUUGUUUUGCAAAGAAAGAAACAGAAUUUUGAGUUUUGAAAAGCAAAAUGAGAAAAUUGAACAGUAAGUGUGGAGGGUCAAGCAAAAUGCGCGUAACAAGUCUUCCGCUUCUUGUUUAUUCCAGUAAAGCGAGAAUAAAAUCAGAGCCCACCACCCAUUAAUAAUUGAGCAAUUCACCAAUCACCAGUCGCCACCACUCGUUACCAUGAAUAUAAUAAAUUGCACCUCCAUAUUUGCAGGGUCCAGCAACAUUGACCCAGUGUCCGGGUAAAUGCUUAAUAACGAGGAAAAUGGAAUGUAUCCGCUACGAACCUUCGCUUUACAAGUCUUCAAACUCAUAAACCCAGUUAAAUCAAAACGUUUAUCUCUCUCUCUCUCUUUUUGCCAUAUAAUUACUUUAUUUAUUGAAUUAAUUUCCAUGCUAAAAGGAAGACUUAAAACUGCACUACAAUUUUUUAUAAUCACAAUGGUAAUUUCUACUAUCAUGUUAUUUUAAUAUCGUGUUAAAAUAAAUUAUUACAAAGUUUUUUUUAUGAACACUCUUUUUAUUUAUAAAUUUUUUAAUUUUUAAUAUUUUUCUUACUCUUUUAAUCUUAAUGUUUGUAUUUCGCUCUUCAAAUUUUUAUUAUUAUUUAAUUUUUAAAGAAAAAUAUGAAAAAAAAAUAAAAAAAAUAUUAUACUUAAAAAAUAGUGAAUAUUUUAUGGGUCUAAUACAAACCUGUAUUGUUUUUGACAAUGAAAGAGCACGCGAAAAAUCUCACUCAUAGAAAAUUUAGUGAAAGGCAUUUGAAUGUGUGGCCACAUUUUCCGAACGAAACGAUAAGGCUUUAGCCUUAUAAUUGCAAUUAGUUUGUCUUGUAACUAAAUUAUUGCCGACAAGCACCAUCAUGCUGACAAACCGUGCAUGCACGUCCUCAAUCACCCACGUCCUCUACUUGUGUGCAAUAUUUCCCAUUACUUCCCGUACUUUAUGCAUUAUUGUUUUGUAUGUCUUUUGUUGUUUACGGUGUAGUUAGGGAUGGUAGCGGGUUGGGUCUGGUACCGGUUUGACAUCACCAAACCCGCAUCUAAAAAAAAUUUAAUUACGUAAUUUAAAUUAUAAAUUUAUAACCGUUGCCUAAAAAAACCACAUAAAAUACUUAAUUCUACAUUUUAUCAAUGUAAAUGAGAAAUGAAAAUAUCAACAUUAAAACAAAUACAUAAAAUGUAUCAAUUUAACACCAAUUCUCAAAUUCAAUUACCAAAUAAAUAAGUACAGUGUAGCACUAAAAUAUAAUAUUUAAAUUAAAUUAAUCACAAAAAAUUAAUACAAUACAGUGUAGCACCAAACAUUGUACAUUAUUAUUAUAAUACAGUACUAAUACAACGCAACAUAAUACAAUACACCAACAUUAAAAUAAUACAAUCUAAUAUAAUACAAUACAGUGUGCGAAAUGCACCGACAUGGUAUUACUUUGUUUGUCUCGUUAUUUACAAUUAUUUAAUCUGUAGACCCACUCAUGCUCCUUCUAUGUAACAUAGAUGCAAUUUGAGGAAGAUUAUCAAUUUUUUCUGACUAAAAAUAAUAUAGACCACUUAUUUUUUAUUGUUUUUAUAAUGUUCAACAAUUCGCUUGAGAUCAAAAAAUUAAAUGAAAAGGAGUAAAUAGAUGAUUUACUUGAUGUUGUAUCUUAGAAAUAUAAAAUAUAUUUAUUUAUUAUUAAAAAUAUUUAAAAAUAAUAAAGAGUACAUAAAAAGUAUCUUAUCCUCAACAACAAGAUCAGACGACGUCAAUUCAGCAAAAUGACUUGAAUAACUUGAAAGUCCAGCAGCCGUCACCUCUUGGCGCACACAUGGCAACGUGCGUGGCUUUGGCAAGAGGUCUCCCAAAAGGACGAUUAAGAAAGAUUGCAGGACAAAUCAUGAAAAUAGUAGUACAGAUAUGCAAUGGCUAAAUUUCCUCGAUUAAGUCCAUCACAAUCAAGUCUUAGAAAUCACACCCCUGUAUUAAUUUCCAGAAAUAUGUUUGUUCCAUAUUUAUCGUGCACGUAUAUAUUGUAUGUAUUGGGAAUAGAAAGAGUGUAUGUAAAAAAUUCUUCAUUCAUCGAUUAAAACUUAAUUUAUGUACAAGGGUUAAGUGUAGUGUUUUUAAAUUUAAAAAGGACAAGUGUCAAUCCACUGAGGCUUGCCUCAAUGGCUAGAGCCACACUCCCUCACAAAGUGGUUCGAUCUCCCACAAAUACAUUAUAGAGGUUUAAUUUAAAUUUUUUUCCUCAAAUUUUGAGUGAAGACAGUUUUUCUUCCAGAAAUAGAAUUUUUCUGAGAGUUUGACGCCCCUCAAAUAUUUGAGAUGAUUAAAAUUUGAGCGGUGCUAUAUAAAAUAUAAUGUAAACUAAUCUAAAUAAUUGUAUAAUUAUAAAUAUAAUGAACAAUAGUCUCAUACAAAAAAAUGACAAGUGUAGUAAGCCCAUUUAAAUUAACUUAUAUUUGAGGGGAAAAUCUCUGUAUAUCAUAGUAUAUAUUAUAUAUCCAGUCGUGGGACCCAUACAUGGUUCCAUGUAAUUCGGCACAGUUGAACUGGAGACACUGAUUAGUUCGUUGUCUAUUUGCCAACUUAUGUACAACUAAGUAAUUUCAUGCACCAUUUGCGCCUUAUCUAUCCAGCCUGCUUGCAUUGCAUUAACUAAACAUACAAUGAAAUUAACCCUUGUAAUUUCGGCCUUUGCCAUAGUCGUUUUGUUUAUUAGGUUUAUGUUUAUCAACAUGAUAUGUUGUCAACCAUAAUCACAAUCAAGUUGUUAAUUAUUUUUUAAAUAAUGUGAAGGAACAAGAUUUUGGUCUUUGAGUGUGGAGUUAAAAAUAUCUCACCUCAACAUACGGUGUUGUGCUCUCAUCAUCUUAACAUUAUUUGUUAAAAAUUAUGUCAAAGAGGAAAGCAGAUUCAAACAUUACUUCAAUUUUCUUUAAGAGCAUAAAAAUAUCGUUAAUAGGCUACUGUUAUUUGUUAGUACGAUUUCACAAAAGGAAGCUAGAGGAAGAUGAAGCUCUCAAGUCAUGUAUGCAUCAAAGUAAGAAACAGAGCUAAUGAGAGAUGGACAAUUUUAAAUAUGUCAGCAUUUUGUCAGUUCUGGCCAUAUUUUGAAAGAUUAGAACCCUAAUUUUCUUUUGAAGCUCCUUUUAUGUCGAAAUCUAUUUUAAUUUCCAAAAUAUCUUUUUCCAUUUUUUUAGUUUCUUUCUGAUUAAAAAAAAAAUCAGUUUCUUAAACAACUCCAACUACAAAUAUUUUUUUACAAAUUUUUGAAUUAUUAAAUCAUAUGUGCGUGUAUAAAUUGAAUAGAAUUAAAAGUGGACUCAAAUAGAUAUUAUGUAAUUUUUUUAUAAUUAAAGAAAAGUUUAGAAUGCAAAAGUGUGUGUGAGAAAACAAAAAAAUAUAAAUCGCCUUUGAUAUAAUUAUAUGGUUGUAAAAAGUUAGAUGGAGAAAUAUAGUAUAUAAUUAAAUUUAUUUUGUUCCUUAAAACGGGUAGGUUUUAUAAGAAUUUUCCAGAGGAGCGCCAAUAUUUCAGCUUUUUUUUUCAAAUGAAGUGAUGUCCUGGAAUAAAAUCACUACUCUAUCAUUGCUAUUAGUUUGUCUUGUAUUUCAAUAAUUGCCGACAAGUAUUAAUUGUGAAUAUUAUUAUUAUUAUCGUCGUUAUUCUUAACAGCAAUGACUAGAAUUAUAAUAAUAACAAUAACGUUAAUACAAUAAUAUAACAACAUAAUAAUAUUUUAAUUGAGAGGAUAAAAAUAAAAUUAUGAAAUUUAGGUUGGAUAAAAAUGGUGAGUAUGAAGAAAUUAAAUUACUAUUUUUUAAGUUAAACAGUUCAUAAAUUUCACAUAUUUCAUUCUUAUUUCUCUUAUAUUUUAACAAAUAAACAUUACCAAUCGUUUUAAUAUUUUAAUUAAUAAACACGGCAUUAACUACGGAACUAAAAGAUCCCCAAAAAAAAAAAAAAUAGAGACGCGUGUAUGUAUUGCUUGUGACAAAUCUCACCCAUGGAAAACUUUGUGAAAGGCAUUUGAAUGUGUGGCCACAUUUAAUGAACGAAACGAUAACUUUAAAAGAAAGUAUGUAAUGUGUUAAUUAUUAGGCUUUAGCCUGAUGAUUGCAAUUAGUUUGUCUUUUAAUUAAAUUAUUGCCGACAAACACUAUCACGACCCACGUCCGCUACUUGUGUGAAUGUGUGUAUAAAUAUCCGCAGCAUAUUAUCAAACCUGAUGCGUGAUCAUCUUUAAGUUUUGGUUAGGGUUCAUCAGACGUUGGAAGAUAUCUUUCCUAAUUUGAAGAAGAUGGAAACUCCUUAUCCAGGUUCUUAGGCCAUGUUCAGUUGAAUGUCAUUUAUAAUUUUUAUUUUAACAUUAUGUAUUCAUGAAUACAAUUAUUGUUAUGAUUUUUUCAGGUAAGAAUGGAUGGUCUGAUAGUAACCCAAUAACUAUGUACAAUAUUAUUAAUGAUGAGAGUGUGAAUGACAAUUUGGAUUUUAUUCUCAUCCCUCAAUACGGGAAAAAUCUCGACUAUAGUGGUUAAAUGUUAUGUAACUCUUUCGUAUUAUAUUUAAUUAAAUAAAAUGAUGAGUUAUUAUUACUUAUCAAUCAUUUGAGUGUUUCUGCUUGAUUUAAUUCAACUUAUAAAAUCUCUUGAGAUAUAUAAGAGAUUUUCUUUAUUCACUUUCAUGUACCGCGUCUUCUUAUAAAAAGAAAUUAAUAAAAAAAAUAUCAUUAUGUGCAAUGUAUUGACUAAGUUACAAGAAAUUAAUAAAAAAAAUAUCAUUCUGUGCAAUGUAUUGACUAAGUUAGUGUAUUCACGUUAGCUUAAUUGUGCUCUCUCUUCUUGAUAUUUAAAAAAAAAAAAAAACUCCACGUAUUGUUGGUUAGCUAAUUCUUGCAGCUAGCAAGUGAUCCUUUUCUUUCCCCUACUGUCGUAGCAUCAAAUCCUUACAAUUACAUAUCAAGUGGUAUUCGAGCCGUCAAAUGAUCCAUGGAAACACGCAACAAAUCAAAUGCUGAAUUUUGCGAAGAGAUUCACGAAAUCCUUGCUAUACAUUGAAAUACAAGUAUGCAACCCAAGAGGGGGGGGGUGAAUUGGGAUUCUAAAAAAUUAUUCAAUUUAUUAAAGAAAAUCUUAAUGCAAUUAUAAAUCAAAUUCAAAGCAAUAACAAUUAAGAUGAUCACAAUUUAAAAAGAUAAGGGAAGAGGGAUUCGAACACCGAGAUUUUUACGUGGUUCGGCCAACCUCGCCUACGUCCACGCCUCCAAGCUUUCCGGGCUUGAGGAUUCCACUAAGCAAGCCUCCAAGGCUUCAAAUGCUUACACUUGACUUCCAAGGUGUCAAUGGACCUUUACAACAAGAGAUUAUCCCCAAUCUCUUAACCCAAGUGUAUCCCAACACUUACAAUUACUCAAAGUAAAAGAUUACAAAUUGUUUUUCUCUCACACAAUAUUUAAGAUUACAAAUCAAUGCCCAAUUUGUGAAUAGAUGAAGAGAGAAUGUGUUUUAAGCUCUAUGAAGAUUGUAUUCUCAAAUAUUUGCUCAAUGGUCGUGUUGUGUUCAAUCUUUGUUUGAAUUUGAAUGAGCUUAUUUAUAGAUGCAGCUGAAAACUAGCCGUUAUUGACUUUCUGCACACUGUCGGAUCACCGUUAGCUAGAUGUCGGAUCGCCGUUUGACUGGUCAAUAUGACCGUUGGGUUGAUUUUUCAAAUUGUCGGAUCGCCGUUAUCUAGAUGUCGGAUCGCCGUUUAGGUCCAGAGGCUACUGGUUGAUAUCGGCGAGCCGUUUAUCACACAUGUCGGUUCGCCGUUAAUGUCCAGAGACUACCCUUCAGUUCUGGUUGAUAUCGGCGAGCCGUUUUAUCAACAUAUCGGAUCGCCGUUUAGGUCCAGAGGCUACUGGUUGAUAUCGGCGAGCCGUUUAUCACAAAUGUCGGUGUGCCGUUUUCGUCCAGAGGCUAAUCUCCAUUUCUGCUUGAAAUCGGCGAGCCGUUUACUACAGAUGUCGGAUCGCCGUUUUCCACAAAAACUGCUGCAGUGAACUAUUUUGCAAGAUGACUGUUUUGUCUCCAAAUCUUUAUAAAAAUACUUUAUGAAACUUGUCAAAAUAGAUGAAAAUUAUGUUGAGCUUUUAAAACAAUUAAUCAAUCUUAAUCAUGUUUGUUAUCAUCAAAAUCAAUAAGGAAUAAUUUAUGUCAACAAUCUCCCCCUUUUUGAUGAUGACAAACUUUUCAAGAAAAUAUUUGUGCAAUUUUGCUCCCCCUAAAUAUGUGCUCCCCCUAAGUGAAAUUUUGAAAGACUUGUUAACUCCCUUAAAAAAAAUAUUCAACUGUUAAUCUCAAAAUUUUAAACACGAAAUUUAUGCCAGUAAACUCAUGCAUGCCAAUACUAUUUUGCCAAAACCAAUUUCGCAUUUUGCCAAUUGCCAAUUUCUCUCCCCCUUCAUCAUCAAAAAGAAAGAGACGCGAUGAAUGACUUAUGUUUGGAGAAAUUUGGGCAGAGUCUCCCCUGAAAUAUGAGCAUUUCCUCAACAACACACUAAGUUUAAAAAGAGAAACACUUCCAUAUAAAUAUACCACCAUAUCAACCAACCUCCAUACCAACAAAUUCACACUUCCAGAAAGAGCAAUAUAAUCAAUAUAAUACCAAAAACAACUUGAGCAUAAAUCAAGAGCACAUGUCCAACAUGAGAUAUCAGAAGCAUAAACACAAAAUAAAUAACAUCAUAUGCAUAAGGCAAAUAACAUGAAAUGAGAAAUGUCUGUGCGAAUAUCAUAGGGACAGAGAAAACUAAGAUGGAGGCUGUGAAGACGAACUGCCGGGGUCAUAUCCAAGGUGGCCGAGAAUGCGACGCUGUCCUGCAAUUAACUCCAUCUGCUGAUCAGAAAUUUGCUCCCGAAAGGUUGCAAAAUCAGAUCGAAGCUGCUACUGCUGCUGGGACAGGGCAUCUACUCGGUCGAGAAGCUGCUGGAAGCGAUCCUCAGGAACAGCUGAUGCCGCAGGAGGGACGGCAGUCUCGGUAGGCUCGUCAUCCUGAGAUGCAUCUGCUGCUGGUGAAACAGGAGCUGCUGGUGCUGCUGCUCGGCGAGGAACACGCGGUCUAGCCCCAAGACGGAAAUCAGGCAGCUCAUCCUCGGAGUAGACAUCAUUCAGCAUGCGAUCAUCCUCGGGUGCAAUCAGUGUGGCUUCGUUUUUGGAGGAUGUGGUCUUUUCCCAUUUCCCACGCUUCUUAAAGAAACCAAUGGCAGAAAUAAUGUCUCGACCGAGCUUACGAGUUUCGAGAAAAACAGGCUCGACGAUAGGAACAUGAAAGUGGUUCAGGAUCCUAGUGAUGAUGCUGCCAUAAGGAAGGGAUCGGUUGGAGACUUUAGGAGUGGACAGCAUAUGACACAUAAUAGUGUAGGAUAGGCUCACAUGGCGUCUACGGAUGAGAGAGUCUAAAAGACCAAUAUCAAGCCUAGUGACCUCAUCAGUGUGCCCCUGUCUAGGAGUGACCAUGUGUUGGAGAAUAAUGUGAAGUAUUCGAAUCUGAAAAGGGAGGAGUUGAGACCUAAAGGACAAAGAGCAGAUGUCAUCGGAAAGAUCCCGACGACGACAAAUGUUCCGUACACCAUCCACAUGACGAAAAUUACUGAACUCUAGUUCUUUCCUAGAGGUGUACAGAUCUAAUCCUCCAUAAGCGAUUCCUAGAAUACUACAUAAUUCGGGUUCAUCAAGCUCAAUACGAAUACCUCCUACAAAUGUAUGAAGCUCGUCACGACUAGAAGAGGAGAAAUCUAUGUUUGAAUAAAAGACUCGAACAAGAUUUUCAUAAAUAGGUUCAUCAACACUUAAAGCUUGAUUCCAAUGACUAAGCAUUUGAGUAAUUGAGUGACCACAAACAGAAAUAUCCGAGAACUCCGAAAUGUUAAGAGAAAAAGAGGGAGUUACGGGUUUACCCAUAAACUUCUCACGGAAUCGCUGAGCAGAGGUAGCAUCGGGAAAAUGAAGACUUUCGAAGUCUUGAGGAGGAGACCUGGGUGGACUGGAACGGCGUGAAGCAGUGUGCUUGGUUCGAACACGCCUUGGAGGUCGUUCCGCCAUGGAUGAGAAAAAUUGUGAAAAUGAAGUUUUAGAGAUGAGAUAGUGAUUUGUGGGUGAAAAUGUGGUUGGAAAGACGAAGAAAUUUGGGUCAAAGUGAACGAAUGAGAGUCGGCUGGUUCUAGGGUUUCAAGAUGAGAUUUUUCAAAAUUUGAAGAAAAAAAAAAAAGGAAUUUGAAUCGGUUAAAAGGUGUUAGAGAUGAUAGAAAUGGUUUGUAAUGCUUCAAUUUGGUGAAAAAAAUGACAAGAAAAGUGAUGGAUUUGAGAGGAGAGAACUGGUGCAGUCGCGGGUUGAAGUGAGAGAGAGAGAGAAAGAGAAGCCGAAAUGAGGAGGAAGACGAAGGACUGUUCAAUUAACGCGUGAUAACGGCGAGCCGUUAUAAAGAAAACGGCGAGCCGACAGAGUCCAGAGAGUCCUCAAAACAAAUUCAUAAAAACGGCGAGCCGCUUAUAUCAAUAACGGUGAGCCGAUAGGGUCCAGAGAGUCCACACAAGAAAAAUGUAACAGGACGGCGAGCCGAUAGACAGAUAUCGGCGAACCGAUAGCUUCCAGAAAGCGUUCCAUUGUUUCUGCCCAAAACGGUUAGCCGUUUAUUUAAAUAACGGCGAUCCGUUUUCUACAACCUAUGAUUUCGCACAUGUAUUUUGAUAUUUGGCUACUUAUUAAUACAUUUCAAGAUCAUUUUAUUGAUCCAAAAUGAUUUGAGUGCCAUUUCAAUGCAUAAUUCAUGAAUAUAUAUAUAUGUAUUGCAAUAAUUAAUUCAUACAUUUUCAAAUAUACAUACACAUUACAUGCAUAUUACGAUUGAGCAUUCCAUAGAAAUUAAAGCAUCAAGUCAUAGAUCAAUCAAUAAUAAUAGACUCAAUAGCAUGAAUGAAGAUGUUAAUGUGAAAAUUUCAUCAUCCCAAGUUCAUGCCGAAUUUUGGAAAAUUGUUCUUCGCAAAGAGGUUUUGUAAAAAUAUCGGCAAGUUGUUUUUCCGUAGAAAUAAACUCUAGUGCAAUGUCUCUCUUUUGAACAUGAUCUCUCAAGAAAUGAUGUCUUAUUUCUAUAUGCUUGGUUCGAGAGUGUUGAAUGGGAUUCUUUGAAAGAUUAAUAGCACUAGUAUUAUCACACUUAAUAGGAAUUUGUUCAAGAUUAAUGCCAUAAUCUCUAAGUGUUUGUUUCAUCCAAAGAGCUUGUGCACAACAACUUCCGGCAACUAUAUAUUCAGCCUCGGUAGUUGAAAGUGCGACAGAAUUUUGUUUCUUGCUAAACUAUGAAACAAGAGAGUGUCCUAGAAUAUAGCAAGUUCCACUAGUGCUCUUCCUAUCCACUUUAUAACCAGCAAAAUCCGCAUCCGAAAAACAUGUUAAAUCUAUAUGAGUUCCCCUAGGAUACCAAAGGCCAAUAUCUAUGGUUCCACUCAAAUAACGGAAAAUUCUUUUAACAGCGAGCAAAUGAGAUUCCUUGGGACAUGACUGAAAUCUUGCACACAAACAUACACUAAACAUGAUAUCGGGUCUACUUGCAGUCAAAUAAAGUAGGGAUCCGAUCAUACCUCGAUACAUUUUGAUGUCCACUUCUUUACCUUUUUCAUCUUUGUCCAGCUUGGUUGUUGUGCUCAUUGGUGUAUUUUUGGUCUUUGAGUCAUUAAUGCCGAAUCGUUUGAGUAGAUCUUUUACGUACUUGGCUUGAUUUAUGAAGAUUCCUUCCUCGUUUUGUUUGAUUUGAAGUCCAAGGAAGUACUUCAACUCUCCCAUCAUACUCAUCUCAAAUUCUUUGCUCAUACACGAUGAAAAUUCUUUACACAACAACUCAUUAGUAGAACCAAAAAUAAUAUCAUCAACAUAAAUUUGAACAAUAAGUAUGUCUUGGUUCUUAUGCUUAACAAAUAGAGUAGUAUCCGCUUUACCCAUUGAAAAGUCAUUUUCCAACAGAAAAUUCUUAAGUCUAUCAUACCAUGCUCUAGGUGCUUGUUUUAAACCAUACAAAGCUUUAAGCAACUUAUAAACAUGAUUUGGAAAUUUUUCAUUUUCAAAACCAGGGGGUUGUUUUACAUACACUUCUUCCAUAAUAUGCCCAUUUAGGAAAGCACUUUUCACAUCCAUUUGAAAUAAAAUAAAAUCUUUAUGACAUGCAUAUGCUAAUAACAUCCUAAUGGAUUCUAACCUUGCUACAGGAGCAAAGGUUUCAUCAAAAUCAAUUCCUUCUUCUUGGUUGUAGCCUUGAGCCACUAAUCUAGCUUUAUUUCUUACAAUCACACCGGAUUCAUCCAUCUUAUUCCUAAACACCCAUUUAGUACCUAUUACAGAUUGAUAUUCAGGUUUAGGAACUAAUUCCCACACAUUGUUUCUUUCAAAUUGAUUUCACUCCUCUUGCAUUGCCAUAAUCCAAGAUUCAUCAUUUUCUGCAUCCUCAAAGGAUUUUGGUUCAAUUUGAGAGAUGAAUGCAUUAUGCUCACAAGUAUUUCUAAGUGAUGAUCUAGUUGUAAUACCUCGUGAGGGAUCUCCUAAAAUUACAUCUUUAGGGUGAGAAGAGACAUACCUCCACUCCUUGGGGAGUGUUUGAGAAGUACCUUUAUUUUGCUCUGCAUUUAGUUCUUCAUGAUGUUCCUCUUGAAUUUCAUGUGGUGCAUCCUCUUGUUUGUCAUUUGAUGCUUCUUCUUCUUGUUCUUCUUCUCCUGCAUCAUCAUCAACAACGACUUUCUCCGUAGAGGAGGGGUUAGACUCAUCAAAUGUCACAUGCAUAGAUUCUUCCACAACUAAGGUUCUUUUGUUAUAGACUCUAUAAGCUUUACUAGAAUUUGAAUAACCAAGAAAAAUACCAACAUCGGAUUUUGGAUCAAAUUUACCAAGAUUGUCUUUUGUGUUCAAAACAAAACAUUUGCAUCCAAAAACUUUAAAAUAUCCAAUGUUGGGUUUUCUAUCUUUCCAAAGCUCAUAAGGAGUUUUGUUAAGAUUAGGUCUAAUCAACACCCGAUUUAAAACAUAACAAGCGGUGUUGACGGCUUCGGCCCAAAAAUAUUUUGGUAAUGCAUUUUCAUUUAAUAUGGUCCUAGCCAUUUCUUGAAUAGACCUAUUCUUUCUCUCAACAACUCCAUUUUGUUGUGGAGUUCUAGGUGAUGAAAAUUGAUGCUCAAUGCCUAGAUUAUUGCAAAAACUCUCAAAUGCAUGAUUUUCAAAUUCUCCUCCAUGAUCACUCCUAAUGCAUACAAUACCAUGCCCUUUUUCAUUUUGUAAUUUCUUACAAAGCACUUUAAAAGCAUCAAGAGCAUCAUCCUUAUUGGCUAAGAAUAAUACCCAUGUAUAUAUAGAAUAAUCAUCCACUAUCACAAAUGCAUAAUAUUUGCCAUUUAGACUUGCAUAUCUAGAUGGCCCAAAAAGAUCUAUGUGAAGAAGUUCAAGUGGUUUUGAAGUAGAAAUAUGGUUUUUAUUCUUGAAAGAAGUUUUAAUUUGUUUUCCAAAUUGACAAGCUUCACAAAUCUUAUCCUUUUGAAAACCAAUUUUCGGAAGACCUUUAACUAAAUUAUCUUUCAAAAUUUUUGAAAUCAAAUCCAUACUUGCAUGUCCUAACCUUCUAUGCCAUAACCAACAAUCAUCAUGCAAUGCCGAAAAACAUUUAUCAAGAGUAGAUGCACAUUCUAUGUCAAUGAUAUAAACAUUACCACAUCUAUUUCCAACAAAUAAGGUUUUGCCAUCACAUGAGUUCUCAAUAACACAACUAAAUUUAUCAAAGAUAACUUUAUAACCUUUGUCACAUAAUUGACUAAUGCUAAUUAAGUUGUGUUUCAAGUUUUCAACCAAACAUACAUUCUCAAUUAGAGUUGAAGAAACUUUACCAACAUUUCCAAUUCCAAGGAUUUUUCCUUUUGAGUUGUCUCCAAAGGAUACGUCUCCACCAUUUUCAAUUUUGGUAAAGCUUGAGAACCAUGCAUAGUUUCCGGUCAUGUGCCUUGAACAACCGCUGUCCAAGUACCAUUUAUUCUUCUUCUUCUUCAAGCCCUACAAGAAAAAGUCUCAAGUUUUAGGUACCCAAAGCUUUUUGGGUCCUUGAGAGUUAGCAACUGUUCCUUUUGGAACCCAAAUGCACUUGACACCAUAAUAUGCAUUCCUUUUCACGGGACAUCUAAAUUUCAUGUGACCAUUUUGAUUACAAUAAUGACAUACAAUCUUAUGAUCAUUUGUGGAGGUAGCUUUAACAAAAUAAUUCUUAUAAUACUUUUGCUUCAAGUUUGGCUUAUAUCCAAGUCCUCCUUUAUCAAAAACACAUUUUUGUGAGUUAAGCAUAUUAUCCAACAUCUUUUGCCCAUUUGUAAAUUUCAAAACAAUUUCAUUUAAUUCAUUAUUCUUUUUCUUGAGCAAUUCGUUCUCAUUUUUCAACUCAUCUAUGUGUGAUUUCAAAUGCUCAUGUAAGAUGCUAGGUUUUUCAUUUGAUAAUGCAAUUUCAUCAUGCAAUGUUUUGUUUCCUACUUCUAGGCAUACAAUUCUUGCAUUUAGAGAUUCAUUUUCAUUUUUAAGCUUUGCCAUUUCCUUUUUAAGACAUACAUUCUUUUUACCAAUUUUCAUCAACUCAUUAUGCAAAUCUUGAAAAGCAUCAUAUAAUUCAUCAUAGGUAGGAUCACUUACCUCAUUGAGAUCAUCAUCCCCUCCUAUAGCCAUGAGUGCUAGGUUUGAUACUUCUUGCGAUCCUUCUUCAUCAUUUGUUCUUCCUCACUAUCAUCCCAAGUUGCAACCAUUGCUUUCUUCUUGAGUUUGUUGAUGAGUGGGCACUCCGAUCUUAUAUGUCCAGGCUUCUUGCAUUCAUAGCAAGUGAUUGCCUCCUUCUUCUCCCUAUAGUUCUUGAAGUUUCUGAAAUUUCUUCGCUCUCCGGUUUUCUUGAAGAAUUUUUUGAACCUCCUUGCUAGCAUGGCUAGUUCUUCAUCAUCCGGUUCACUCUCCUCAUCACUCUCAUAUUUUGAAGCUUUGAGAGCAAUGCUUUUCUUCUUCUCCUCAUGUCCUUUUUCUGCAGCUAAAUCCUCUUCAUACGAAAUAAGAGAACCAAUUAAAUCAUCAAGAGGUAAAGUAUUUAAAUCUUUGGCCUCUUCAAUAGCGGUUCUUUUAGGUCUCCAUUCUUUUGGAAGUGACCUAAUGAUUUUCUUAACUUUCUCACUAUUUGAGAAGGUUUUCCCUAAGGCACCUAGGGUGUUCACUAUGUCCGUGAAUCUAGUGUACAUAGAAUACACAUUUUCAUUUUGUUCCAUUUGGAACAACUCAUAUUGGCGAGUGUAUCUACUGAUUUUAGACUCUUUCACUUGAUUUGUCCCUUCAUAGACAACUUCAAGUUUGUGCCAUAUCUCUUGUGCACUUUCACAACUAGAUACUCUAUGGAAUUCUUUCUUAUCAAGGGCACAAAACAAAGCAUUCAUAGCCUUGGAGUUUAGAGACAUCUUUCUCUUUUCUAACUCACUCCAUUGACUCGAUGGUUUAGGAAUAUCAUCUCCUAUUUCAUCUUUGAACAUAGGCAUGAAUGGACCAUCACAAACAACUUCCCAAAUUUCAUAAUCUAAGGCUUGCAAAUAGAUUCUCAUUCUAGUUUUCCAAUAAGCAUAAUCAUUACCAUAAAAAAAUGGUGGUCUAGUUGUGGAUUGCCCUUCUCUAAAGGUUGAGUCAUUUAGGGUUGCCAUGGAUCUUUUACUCUAGACGAUUAAGUCUUAACAAGAGAACAAGGCUCUGAUACCAAUUGAAAUACAAGUAUGCAACCCAAGAGGGGGGGGGGUGAAUUGGGAUUCUAAAAAAUUAUUCAAUUUAUUAAAGAAAAUCUUAAUGCAAUUAUAAAUCAAAUUCAAAGCAAUAACAAUUAAGAUGAUCACAAUUUAAAAAGAUAAGGGAAGAGGGAUUCGAACACCGAGAUUUUUACGUGGUUCGGCCAACCUCGCCUACGUCCACGCCUCCAAGCUUUCCGGGCUUGAGGAUUCCACUAAGCAAGCCUCCAAGGCUUCAAAUGCUUACACUUGACUUCCAAGGUGUCAAUGGACCUUUACAACAAGAGAUUAUCCCCAAUCUCUUAACCCAAGUGUAUCCCAACACUUACAAUUACUCAAAGUAAAAGAUUACAAAUUGUUUUUCUCUCACACAAUAUUUAAGAUUACAAAUCAAUGCCCAAUUUGUGAAUAGAUGAAGAGAGAAUGUGUUUUAAGCUCUAUGAAGAUUGUAUUCUCAAAUAUUUGCUCAAUGGUCGUGUUGUGUUCAAUCUUUGUUUGAAUUUGAAUGAGCUUAUUUAUAGAUGCAGCUGAAAACUAGCCGUUAUUGACUUUCUGCACACUGUCGGAUCACUGUUAGCUAGCUGUCGGAUCGCCGUUUGACUGGUCAAUAUGACCGUUGGGCUGAUUUUUCAAAUUGUCGGAUCGCCGUUAUCUAGAUGUCGGAUCGCCGUUUAGGUCCAGAGGCUACUGGUUGAUAUCGGCGAGCCGUUUAUCACACAUGUCGGUUCGCCGUUAAUGUCCAGAGACUACCCUUCAGUUCUGGUUGAUAUCGGCGAGCCGUUUUAUCAACAUAUCGGAUCGCCGUUUAGGUCCAGAGGCUACUGGUUGAUAUCGGCGAGCCGUUUAUCACAAAUGUCGGUGUGCCGUUUUCGUCCAGAGGCUAAUCUCCAUUUCUGCUUGAAAUCGGCGAGCCGUUUACUACAGAUGUCGGAUCGCCGUUUUCCACAAAAACUGCUGCAGUGAACUAUUUUGCAAGAUGACUGUUUUGUCUCCAAAUCUUUAUAAAAAUACUUUAUGAAACUUGUCAAAAUAGAUGAAAAUUAUGUUGAGCUUUUAAAACAAUUAAUCAAUCUUAAUCAUGUUUGUUAUCAUCAAAAUCAAUAAGGAAUAAUUUAUGUCAACAAUUAGUGGACUAAAAAACGCGCAUACGGUACAUGCAACACAUGCGAUUAUUUUACUAGACCUGCGUUCACCAAAAACAGAUCAGAGACGCCGGUGGUUUUGCCGGCGUAAACCCUCCGAUGCCUAAGUUAGCACAAGGUGUUUACGGGAAAACAGUACAAUUUGGAUUCAAGAAGUUUGUUCGAAAUUUGUAAGAAAAUGGCCUGGUUGCAAUUUGGCAGCGUUUUCCCCUCUUUUCCUUUUCCCUUUCUUCAUCCAUUUCUUCUUCUUUUAUAGCCAUUGUCCCACGUUUUCGUUUACCUUUCAUCCCUCCUUUUUUGGGUAGUGGCGGCCCCUCAUGGGACUCUAACUGCUACAUUAUGGGCAAACGCAAGGCCCCGCGUUUCCCGUAACGGUUCUGGGAAAAGCGCAACUACCGUGAUUCUGUGGGAUCGUGUUCCCGCUUUUUUGGGAGAUGGGUGUUGGCUCGGCAUAUAACCCUGGUCGGUGUAUUUCUCCGGUUGGCACUCGUCUCUGGUCGGCUCGUGUUUGUCCCCGCAUUCUGUUCGUACCACUUGGCUGAGGUGAUUUUAUGAUUAAAAUAAAAAAUACAAACAUUUAAAUAAGAAUGUCCGACACUUGCACAACUAUUUACCAAAUUUUUUCUCUAUAAAAAUCGACCUGCAACUUUCAAUAGGUUUAAAUUUAUAAUAUUAAACUUGAUUGCAGCUCGCAAAAAUUAUCUGUUGCGGCCAAGACUUUGGAUUUGCGAUGAUUUUGCCACCCUAAGUGUAGUUAGUAUUGUAUAUCAUGUGGCUCUUAGAAAAAGCCUAGAAGUUGUUUGAAUAACGGGGGAGACACAUAUCUCCCAAAGAUUUUCUCUUUUUCAAAUUAUUAUUUUUUCUCUAUUAUUGUAACUUCGAAUCCUUAUAAAUUACAGAUUGGAGACAUGAACACAAUGUUUUGACAUAGUGGACUUUUGGCUUGUCCAGAGAAAUUUAGGAUAGAUUUUUACGCACUAAGGCUCUAUUUACUAUUGAGGUUUUAGAACUUUUAAGCCACACUAGAAAUUUGUAUUGUUUUGAUAGAGUUGUAGUCUUUGAUAUGUGAUUGGUAUUAAUCAAGUGUUAUGUUUACAAUAGUUAAAGGCAUAUUGAAUCAAAAUCCACUUCUAAGGGCUUGAUUGAGUGAUUGUAAAGUAGGUUUUUAGUUUGCUAGCCACUCAAGUUCAAAUAUUGGAACCACAGAGCUUUAUAGCCAAGUGAGAGAACUUGUGCCCUAAAAAUUGAGGGGUGCAUAUCGAGUUUUACCACCAAUAAAUGUUGGUGUUAAAACUUUAAUUUCUCUCCUAUCGAUGGAUAAGGGUGAUUAGGAGUUUACAUUCCCUCCUAUUAAUAGACAGGGGUUAUUAGGAAUAUUAAAAAAAAGUUCAAAUAUUGAAAAUAUAGGUAUGGGUUAUAAAAUUCAUAAUAUAAAGACACAAAAUCAAGAUAAAGAUUUAAAAAUUUAGAACCAUGAGAGCGUGACUUGUAAGUUUCAAAGAAGCAUGUGCAAAUAUAUGCAUUAUCGAUGCCUAAUUAAGGGUGGACAUUAAGAUCGGGUUAACCCGAACCGAACCGAACUUAAAAUGUAUUUUGGAUUCAAUUUGGUUAUGGUUGAAGCUUUCAACUGAGUUCAAAACUUAAAAAUGAUUGAGUUGUAUUUCUGUUCGAAUUUAACCCCAAAAGACAACUAACCCUAACUAAAAUGUUCGACCGCGGCCUCCUCGUUUUCUUUUCUUCUUCCUCCUCUCGCUCACCCCUAAUGCCCUUCAUGGAAAUCCAACAGCUCCAAACGCGUUUCGGCCGCUCGCACGUGUGAGAAAUUUUCGUUCUCAUAGGAUUAUUCGUUUCCUUCGCCUGCAUGCCAGCAGAAUAUUCAGGCCGAGGAUUUUUCCGGGCCUAGCCCAACUAUAAGCUCUCCCAAAACCCAAUCAUAAGUUCAUAACCGUUUAGCGUUUGCUAUUAUUAUAAUUUUUUUAACCAAUUUUCACAUUCAUCAACAUAGGCUGACAGAUUUUGUAGAAAAUAAAAUUAAAUAAAAAUACGAGCUCACGAAAUUCCUUUUCCGAUGUGGGAAUCUAUCUACACCUUUCACGUGCUUUUUUUUUGGUGUGUGUUGGGGGGGAGGGGGGGGGGGGGUGUAAUUCACUUGCUUUUGUUUGCAUUGCCUUAAUGGAUAAAAGUUUGUAGAACAUCGUCUGUUUGGUUAAAGCCGAGCAUGAGUGAAGAAAAAUUAGAAAUAAAUAAUUUCCCAUAAAUUUGCAACAAGUAUUAAUAAAGUGCAUGAAAAAAGACACCAAGAUAUGCCUUUUUUUAAAUGAAAAUAAAUGUGUUAAUUAGUCUAUUUAAAUGGUAUGAUAUUUUGAAAUGAUAGAAGUGAUCUAAAGUUUAAAUCUUUACUCACACUUAAUUUACGGUUGGCGAUUAAUUGACGUAAUAUAUAAUAACGAAUUCGAAAGACAAUUAAAAAUUAAAAGAGAAUAAAAAAGUGCUUUCUUUUUUAUGAUGGUAAUUUGUUUAGAUGAUGAAAACUCUUAGAGUUGUAUUAUCAAUACAUAGUUUCAAGGGUUGGCAAUGUGAAUAAUAUUUAAUUUCCUUUAUAUAGUUAUAUCUUAACUAUCAUUUAAACAGAAGUAAGUUGUAAAAAAAAUGAACCAUUGAGAUUUGAGAGAAUAAAAAACUAAAAAAAAAAAGUUAAAAAAUUAGAUUUCAAUAAAUUUACUUGAGAACUACUUUACUGAUUAAUGAAGAGAAAAUACAAAGAAUAAUGAUGUAUCUCAAUUAAUCAGAUAAAUUUUGUAUUUUUUGUUUAUUCCAGAAUCACGAAACUUCAUUUAAACUUGUUAUUUCAUUGAUAAUAUAUUAAUAUUAAACAAUUAAUGUAGGAGACAUUUUUUUCCAAUUAUGCCCAUAUAUUAAUUAAAGACCACCAAAAAGUUCAGGGAUACUAUAGUAAUUUAAGUCAAUAAUUUCUGUGCUUGAAAUCAGCCAAUCAAACUCAUUUUAGAAUAAACUGAGAAAUCAAAAUCACAUUCUCCGAUUCUACGAUUUCAAUUCAUCUUAUUUCUUCAACUGAAAAAUUGGUUGUAUUUCGUUUUAUUUUUUUUUUAUUUUUAUAUAAAGAUAAAUAUAAAAUAUAAAUGACGAGGAUACUGUAAAAAUAAAAUCAAAAGAAGAGCACAAAUUUUAUUGAAAAUGACUCUUUUCAUCAUUUUGCCGGAGUGAAUGUAUCUACAUAUAAACUAAAGAAGCACAUUUGUUUGUAUUAGUUUUUUUAUUAUAUUUUUAAUAAUAAGUCAUUUGUCACUGAACUUAUAUCAAUUUUUACGAAAAUAAUAGGUGUUAGUUAGUUUAUUCAAAUGGCUAAACCUCUUGGGAUAGAGCUUGUAAUUUAGUGGCUCAUGAAUUGUCUAAAAUAAUAUAGUAAUUUAAACUAACAGUUUCUGUGCUUCAAAUCAUCAAAUCAAACUCACACCUCAGAAAAGCAGAGAAAUCAAACUCAUGGUUUCCGACUCUACGCUUUAAAUUCAGCUUCAUUUCUUCAACUGAAGAAUCGGUCGUCUCUCAUUUUUUAUUUAUUAUAUAAAGAUAAAUAUAUAAAUUUAAAUGGCGAGAAGAGCGGACGAGGAAUACGAUUACUUGUUCAAAGUGGUAUUAAUCGGCGAUUCGGGAGUCGGCAAAUCGAACUUACUCUCCCGAUUUACUCGUAACGAGUUCUGUUUGGAGUCCAAAUCCACUAUUGGCGUCGAAUUCGCCACCCGCACUCUUCAAGUAACUAACUUUUCCUCUUUCACUUCUCUUCAUUUUUAUUAGUUAAUUAAGAUCCAGUUAAUGUAAUUAAUUUUAUUUAAUCUUUUAAAUAAAGUUCUAGAUUAGGCUAACUUAGAUUCAUGUGAAGUUGAAGUGAUUUACUUUCGAUCUCUUUUUGGUCCUAUGUUUAUUUGUACUUACUAUUACUUUUUUUUGGGUUUAAAUUUUCGUUUUUGAAGUGUUUACUGAAUAAAUUUCUGAGCUUUAUUUGUGUAUGCUGAUUGAUUUGUGAUUUUAAUUUUGUGACUUUUUUUUUGGAAUUUAAAUUUGAAUGCUUUUUAAGUUGAAUCUGAAUGUGUUGGGCUGCGAUUUAAUUAAGUCAUCUGUGAGUGCCAAAUUGUGAUAGCUAUAUAUUGGGGUGAAAAUUUGGGAUUUAAAGUUAUGUAUUUAAGAUGCAGUUAAUUCGCAAGUGAAAAUUAUGGGCCGGCAGGUUUUGUCAUUGGAAGACUGUUCUCCACAUGUUGAAGUUAGUGAUGCAAGUUGAAACCAAUCUGUUUAAGCUUGGGGUUUCAUGUCUUGAAUCAAGGCUGUGACUUGGGGUGGGUUGAAAGUAUUAUAGCUUUAGCUAUUCCUGAAGUAAUCUGUUUAGACUCACCGUGAUGAGACCGAGUGCUGUACAGCAAAAUGAAAGGAAGUUGGAAAAUAUUUACUUAGCAUUUCGUGUUACUAAUGUUGAACUAAUAAAACCUAGCCCCUAUUCUAGUGAAUUUAUGUUAAAAAGCUAUGCACGCAUUAAGUUAGUGCGAGAGUCUGCUGAAGCAUAUGUCAGCUGUGUGUUUGGCGCUGAGUAUUCUUCAUUCCACAUUUUGGGUUUUGGUUGACCUCCAGCAUGGCUCAACCCACUUGAGUUAAAAGCCCUAGAGUUACAUUCUACCCAUGAUAUUUGAGUUUAUCAGGUCACCUUAUUUUAAUACUUCUCUGGAAAACAAAUAUAUAUGUUAAAUCAGGUAGGAAAAAUAAAAAGUUAAUUAUUGAGUUGUAAUGGUGCAACUAAGGUUUUGAAACAUUAAGAUCUUUAGCCAUUAUGUUACUAUCCCGUAGUUAUUUAAGUUACAAGAGAUAGUAAAAACUAACAUCAUAUUUUAAUUACUUACACUAAUCCUACAAGUGCUGAUGGUCUAAAGUUGCUGCUGCUUGCACCGAAUCAGUGGUCAUGGGCCAGCCAAGGUUAGGUGAGCCAACUCAUUAGCUUGUGAAACUUAAAGAAGUCUUAGGUUUGGAAAAGAUGGGGCACAGGUUACAAAAAUUUUUUGAGUUUUGGAUUGAAGGAACAAAAUUGUUGAUGUCUAGCUCACAAUAUUUGAAGUCACUCUGUGCUUCAUCGUGUAAAAUGGAUUGAAUUGCUGUAAGAUCAGGUCAAAUUAAAAUGUUUAAACUCAUUUUUAAGAAACGAAUUCUCAAUUGGACCAGCCUUUCACAGAAGCUGAUAUCGCAGAAGCUUUGAGUCAGAUGCAUCCAACCAAAGCCCCUGGCCCAGAUGGUCUCCCAGCAGUAUUUUUCCAAAAUCUUUAGAAUUCAGUAAGCGAAGGAGUUAUAGCCACUUGUCUGCAUAUCCUCAAUGAUGGAGGUAAUAUUGCUCCUUUGAAUCAUACAUACAUUGCUUUAAUCCCCAAGAUAGCAAAACCUAGGACUCUGAUGGAGUAUAGACCAAUCAGCAUAUGUAAUGUAAUUUAUAGGAUCAUUGCAAAGACUAUAGCGAAUAGGCUGAAGCUAAUCUUAGAUCAUGUUAUUUUGCCAACUCAGAGUGCUUUUAUGCCAAAUAGGCUCAUAACUGAUAAUAUAAUUAUUGGGCAUGAGUGUCUUCAUAAGUGGACAAAGCUAAGUUCCAGAGGUGAGAUAGGAAAUUCUCCCGCACGACACAGCAGAAACAAACUUUCCCUUUCAUUUUCUUUUCUCUUUCUCGCUCUCCAAACAGAGCAAAAGGACCGUCGCAAGAUUCUUCACUUCCAUCCAAAAUCAUGAGCAACGAAUAGUGAGCCUCCCUGUUUCCUUCCUUUUUUUGAUAUUAACAUUGUUAACAUAUACUCAUUUUAUUUUGACAAUACUUCAACUUUUUUUAUUUUUUUGCCUUUUCAUUUUUUUUGUUGAAGCAAUUAUCUGUUCAAGCUGUUGCUAAUCGGAGACUCGUCCGUCGGAAAGUCCUGCCUGCUGCCCCGAUUUGCUGUCUGUUGACUUUUCCUUUCCCUUCUUAUUUUCUUUUUUUAUAUUAAUUACUUUCUAUUUUAGCUUUUUGUUCUCUGAAUUUGUGUUAUUAAAAUGAUAAUUUAGAUGAUAAAUAAUUGUUAUUCUUGUAAAUUUCGGUUUUCAUUACAUUAAUUGUUAGUUUUUAGGUUUAUUAAUGUAAUUUUUUUUUUCAAUUUUUCAGGAUGAUUCUUAUGUCACAGCUACAUCAGUACCAUUGGAGUUGAUUUUGUGAGCCUCUCUUCUAUAUAUAUGUAUAUAUGUGUAUAAGUUAUAAUAUGAGUCUAUGUACGUGUAUGUAUGUAUGUGUAUGUAUAUGUGGAAAGAAAUUUGGCAGACUUCAGCAUUUUACUCUCUUUUUUUUUUUUUUUGGCAGAAAAUAAGAACUGUGGAGCUGGAUGGGAAGACGAUCAAACUGCAGAUUGUGAGUCAAAAUUUCCUUUUAUCUUGUAUUGAGAGAAAUUCGAUUUGUCUUAUUUAGUGAAGGUUAUGCUCAAGAACCUUGUCUUAUUUUCUUUGUUUGAAGAGUGAUAUGUUGAAAUGAGUGUAUUUGUCUUAUAAACAUCAUUUAGGUAAUGUCUUAUGUUUGAUUGUUUUUCAUCUGUUUAGUGGGACACUGCUGGACAGGAGCGAUUCAGGACUAUAACUAGCAGUUAUUACCAAGGAGCCCAUGGAAUCAUAGUAAGGAGCCUUCCCGGUUCUUGGUUUAAAUCAGAAAGUUUGUGAUUUACAUGUGACAUCUUAACAGCAUUGUAUGUGUUUAUUAACUUAUUUUUCAUCUUUCAUUAAGCAGUACAUUUUCCAAUAAAUCUGUAUACAAGAUGAUGUAGUCCAAGAAUGGGAGCCAUAAUAUGAUGCAAAUUGUCUAAUAAAUUCUUAUGACAUAUGAUGUUGUCGGAAGUAAAAGUCUUGCAAUGCUGUAUUCUCUUUUAAGAAAGAAUAAGUGGUAAUUUUGUUUUUCCAAUUUUUUAAUUGAGCAACUGUAUGAGAUUUUAAUUAAAUGUGUUGGGAUUUCAACAGAUUGUCUAUGAUGUAACUGGGAUGGAGAGCUUCAAUAAUGUCAAGCAGUGGUUGAAUGAGAUUGACAGAUACGCAAAUGACAGUGUAUGCAAGCUUCUAGUUGGGAACAAAUGCGAUUUAGUUGUGAACAAGGUUGUGGACACACAGACAGCCAAGGUAUAUUCAUGACUUUUGUCGCCUGAACUUUGAAUAUAAUUUUAAACUCUUCUCAAGUGCAUUUGCUUGGUAAGUUUCUGCAUACCCAGGACACUCAAACUUUAGACAGUCUGUAUCUCGAGUUGGAAUCUUUUCUGUCAAUACGACUUGUUAAAAUAAGGGUUAUUAUCGUUUGAAUCAUUCAAGAAUUGCAAUAAAUCUAAAGUCCAUAAAAAAUAUGAUUCCAUCAUUUUACUAUUAUAUCUAGACAAAACCCAUUAUUUUACUACGUUUCAUUGGCACCGAUAGUUGACCUGUUGGCUGACUGAUAAAAUAUCAAUUUUGCACUUUAUAUUAAUUCUUUUUUGGUUAAAAAAUAACACACAAAGUAUUACAAUAUUAUAAAUUCAAAAUAUAAAGUAGUUACAAAUAAUUCCUACUAACCUAUGAAUAUAAUAUUUGAUACCUCUAUUUGUGUAAUAUUUUUCCAAUGGUGAAAUUGUUAUUUUUUUUGUACUAACGGAAAUGUAGUAAAAUCAUAAGUUUUGUAAAGAUAUAGUAGUAAAAUGAUAGACUAAAAUACUUGUUGUUGUUGUUUGAUAUACUGUAAUUCUUAAAGUAGUCAAUUGAUAAUAUCCCCUAAAAUAAAUGUUCGUAAUAUGUUCUCAUUUUAAUGCAACUGAUUGUUUAAUAAAAUUGUAUUUCUUUGUUAAUCUUUUAUCAUGUGCAUGCUCAGUGAGAAUUUGACUUACUAGAACGCAAGUUUGACUCUUCAUUUAAAUGUCUCUUGUAUCAUAUCCUUCAAUGUUGAGUGUGAUUCCAAUAAAAUUGAGUAGGGAGAUCCUUAAAUACCUUUUCCUUUUUUCCAAGGGCCUGCCAAAUUGCUCUAAGUGGUUCUACCCUUUAUCAAUGAAUAAUGAAAAAAAAAUUUUUAUUAAAGCAUUUUGUUCCUUAAAUGGUGACUAAUAGUACCCCUUUUUUUUGGAGAGGAAAGCCAAACAUGCCCAAAGAGAAUCAUUUACUUUCCUCUAAUGUAUUUUCUAAUUCGUUUUGAGCCUUGAAUGUCUGUUUUGGUGCGUAUUCUCAUUCCAUGUCGAAUCUUAUCCAUAUGGACAACCCCACUUACAAAAAAGUCUAAUGAAUCUAUUGAAGUUCAUAUGAGGUUUGUGCUUUAGAUUUAGACCUCUCUCUCUCUCUCUCUCCACUUACAUGUCUUUCACUUACCUGUUUGCAUGCAUGCCCAUGCACACACUUUCAAGAUAAUACACGGUCACUCGUACUUGUGUUUUGGUUGAAUUUCUGGCUGCUAACCUCUGUAAUUCAGUUUGAAACUUGCCACCCUUAGUGCUUCACUCAAAUGGUUGGUUAGGGUGAGAUCUGUAUCGUUUUCCUGGUCUCUUUCCAAGGUUAUCUAAAGGGAUUUGGCAGUCUGAUUCUUUAGGGAAUAUCAUUGCAUAAGAUAUCUAUUUUUUGUUAAUGAAUAAUUUCUAUUUAACUGGUUAUCUAUAUAAAUUGGUAAAUUUUAACUGCAUAAUUUGCAUGCAAUAAGAUUUUAUAAGAAUCUUGUUUUCAACUCAUGACUUAGACUAAUGUGAUAUGUUGAGCAUUAAGCUACAAGAUCUGCACAUCAAAGUGCUUCACAAUGUUAAGGAGAAAGCAUCUUUUUCUGCUUCUUCAUGUGAUUUAAAGUUUCCAAGGUACUUAUCCAAUAAAAUAUCUUUCAAGACUUUGGAAAUGCUUUUAUGUAUGACUGAGAGAAACUUGUUGGGAUGGUUUUUAGCAACAGACGGAGUUAUGGACUUUGUGUCGACUUGUUAUUGAUUAAGACAGUACAUCGGCUGAUCUAUUGGCAUCAAGCAGCAGAUGCAGAAAUUAUGGGUGGCAUACCAUUGUAUCCAAAUAACAUACUACAUUGAUUUUUCUGACUUUCUGUUGGUCUCCGAGUGAAAUGCAGGCAUUUGCAGAUGAACUGGGGAUUCCUUUCCUGGAGACGAGUGCCAAAGAUGCAAUCAAUGUGGAGCAGGCUUUCUUGACCAUGGCUGGCGAGAUUAAGAUAGAGUAAAAUCACUUAACUCUUUCCUUCUUGCCGACUGUUCUUAUUUAACAAUCACCAUUAUUGCUGGUUAUAUGCAUUGUGAUGAAAAUUCUUCAAUGAGUAACUUUUUACCUAAUGUUUUCUGUUGGAACAAAUUACUCUGGUAGAAAAGCCCUACAGGGUUUGGGAAAUCCCAUGAUGUGAUGAUUGUGAGCAUUUUAGACACCGUGUGUGGGUUUAUUUUGUGACUAUAAAAUGUUAAGAUUGUUUCUAGUUUUGGUUUGUAGUGCAUAAAAGGAUUCAAAAUUUGACAUCUGUCUAAAUCAGAUUAAUAACAUGAUAAUGUACAUAUGCAAGAUGUGAGGAAUUGUUUUAUCUCACCUCUAAACUUUAAGAAAUGGAAACAUUAUUAUUCAAAAUAUUUAACAUUUCCAGAAUUGAUAGUUGUCUAUUUGAGCAGUGACUGGUGGUUAUCAUGAACUGAUGUGCGGUUGUGGUUUCAAAUCUUGGUGAAACCUGUUGUCAUAUGCUGAUUAACAUAGAUAGUCUCUGAAACAAUUUGUUGAUUCACUAAUUAUGAGUUCAAAUUUGAUGCAGAAUGGGCAACCAGCCUACUGCAAACAAAUCUUCUGGAACAGUUCAGAUGAAGGGAUAGCCAAUCCAGCAAAACAGCAACUGCUGUGGUUAGCCGAGCAUCUUAUUUUACUUCUACAUGUUAGCUGACUGAUUGUAGACAGUUUUAACUAUGUUGACUGCAUUAUCUUAUGAAUCUUUUAAUCUGUCAAAUAUUUAUUUCCUGCUUUAAGUUCUUUCCCGUUUAUAACAAAUUUAAUUUCUUGCUCCAUUGCAUUCCAAAUUCCUGUCAAUUUACAAGGGAAAAAGAAAAGAGAGACGAAAUGGGAGAAAAUGGUCAAAUUUGUUAGGGGGAGAGAGCUGUUGAAGUAGUUUUUGUUCUUGUUUAUCGUCGUGACCCUCUUGUCGCUUAUCUACGACCUGGAAGUCCGGUCAUAUCGGAUGGGUAAAGUUACCGAAACGGCACCAUUUUGGGUGAAAUAUCAUAUUUAUGUAACACUUUUGAUAAUAUUUUUAUGCAACAAAAAAAUGUUUGCAGUACCCUUUUCACAUCGGAUGAGAGCAGUCUGGAUUCUGGCAUCACAAGCUAAUGCUUUGAUUUGCUUAGUUUGUUUUUUGUUUCUGAUAUUUUCUCGGCAUCGGGUGGGAUAUUGUUUCUCUUUUUUUUUGUUUGUUAUGGAAUUUGGAGAUAGUGUAAAUGUAUGAAGAUGAAAUUGUUGAGUUGGUUUUGUUAUGGAAUUUGGUUUACUUCACUGACCAUUAAUGCGCAAAACCUCGUAAUGACCCUCAAAAAUCCCGUACAUAAUUAAAGAAUUUCAAUUUUAUAUGUACAUAAAUAAAUAACUCUCAAAUAUAUUAUUUGAUAAUCCCAAAAACAACAAUUCACUCUAAUAAAUCUCGUAGUCAAUACAUGGUCUAUAUUGUAAGUGUUUUCGAGACUAAUUCAAAAAGAAAAUACGAAGGAUAUAUAAUUGACUUUUACUUGUUAUAAAGAAUUCUAAAUAAAUUCUUAUACGCAUCGCAGCUAAUUACAGUCUUGGUACUUCAUUAGGUUUUUGUUAAUUUUCUAUACAGUUGUGCUGUGCAUAAAAGUUUUGUUAAAUGAAAUCGAUAGGUGAGGAUUAAUUAAUCAAUUAAUUAAGAUCCAGUUAAUGUAAUUAAUUUUAUUUGAUUUUUUUAAUUCGAGUUCUAAAUUAAUCAAUUAAUUUAGAUUCAUGUGAAAUUGAAGUGAAUUAGUUUCGAUUUGUUUUUCGUUCUAUGUUUGUCUGUGUUUACUCUUACUUUUUUUUUUGUUUAAAUUUUCGUUUUCUUAUUGUUUAAUUAAAAAAUUCGAAAACCCAUUAAAUACAUGUAAGGACUCACUGACGCCGAACCAUAUUAAUUUAAAUUAAUUUUCAACUGAGAUUAGAAUUUUGAAAUUACAUACACAAGCACGCCCAAUUAAAAAGUAGUAAUUAUAAAAUAUUUCAGUACUCGUUUUACCAUCCAUUUGAGUAUACACAAACACGCCCAAUUUGAAAAAAAAAAGUAGUAAUUAUAAAAUAUUUCAGUCGUCCACUGUUCAAUCACCAAAAACCAAUUUACCAUCCAUUUCAACGCCUAAUUUGAAAAAAGAAAAUACUAAUAAUAAAAUAUUCCAGUCGUCCAUCCUUUCACAAAUCAAAAAUAUCACCAAAAACCAAUUUGUCAUCUAUUUCAACAUAAGGUAUAUGGGUUAACAAGUCCCAAUAUCGUCCUCCAUCCUUUCUGCACUUCUUUUUUAUCAAUGGACAUCUCCAGAUCCGUAAUCGCAAAAGUGAGGAAGGCAGGCCCUUCUCCGGAAAGUAUUUGAGCUUGGGACAAUCACAGAGAUACAAAUGAGUGAGGUUUUGAAGAUCAACAAUUGAAGAAGGUAGGCGUUCCAGAUUUGAAAAAUUAUAAAUGCUCAGAGAUGUUAGAGAGGCAGGAAGAGGAAGCGCGGUCCCUAAUCUUUUGUCCUCUAGUGGAAAUGACACCAUGUCGUCAUCGCAUCUGCUGAUUCUAAGAUGUCGCAGAGAGGAGAAUCUGUGAAAUCCCCGUCCCCGCUCAAUCAUUGACUUCCAAAUCUCCAUAUUACCCCAAAUAUUAAGUGACUGAAGGUUGGUGGGAAGGCCAUCUUCUUCUUCAAGGCUUGCAAGCUCAACUCCUCUUACUAUUGUUAAUUCUUGAAGAGAGCUCAGAUUGUGCAAUCCCUUGGGUAAGGCCUCUAGUCUCUUACAAUCAAAUAUCGUCAGCCUCGUGAGUUUCGCACAAGGCAAUCCCCCUUCGGGAAAGGACUCCAGAUUUCCACACCUCUGUAUACUAAUCUCUCGAAGCUGGUGGAGUUUAUGUAAACCAUUCGGUAAAAUUUUCAGAUUUUCACACUCAGAAAUGUAGAUAUCUUCAAGAGAUGUGUUGUUGUCCAACCUUUCUGCUAUUGACUCCAGCUUUGAACAUCCAUUAACAUGAAGGGACUUAAGAGACGGAGGUAGAUUGCCAACUUCAAGGGACUCGAGCGUGGCAGGUAACUCGUUUUUUGAAAAUAUACAUGUCAGUGACGGACAACUGCUAAUACGCAACUGCUCAACAAGAGAUGAGGUGUACCUUCUGCUGCUGUUGCUGCUACACUGGAUGCCCUCUUCCACUGUCAAAGUCCUUAGAUUAUCACAAUUAUGGAUGUUCAACAUCUUAAGGCUCCGUGGUAGCUGGACAGCAGCAAUAUAUGUCAACGAACGACAAUCCUGAAUAGACAAGAUCUCGAGAGACGAAUUGGUGUCGCACAUCCAUGCCUCUGGUAACGAUUUCAGUGCAUCACAAUGCCUAAUCUGAAUUUUCUUCAACUUGGAAGGCAGAGCAACCUUAGGAAAGGAAACAAGGGAACUGCACUUGCAGAUUUCUAUCUCUCUCAAGGAACUGAGGCUGAACGAUGAUUGUGGCAGCUUCACAAGGCCUUCGCAAUUACUCAAUCUUAGAUAUUCAAGUCUGCAUGACAACUGGCAGAGCUGCUGUUGUUGGUCUUUCUCUUCCUCCGCGACCAAGGAUUGAAGUUUGGGACAACUUGUAAUCGUCAGACUUUUGAGAGAGCAAAUGUCUUGCAGUAAUUCGUUAUGGCUCUUCCAUAUACAUGUUUCAUUUUGAAUAUUAUUUAUCUCCAAUUCUUCCAGUUUUGGUAUUCGCGGCUUCAAUGGCCCUGCGAGAAACACUUGAUUUGAUGUAUCUCUACAAACCACUGAAUUCUGUGAGCCGAGAUGAUCAGUUGUACUUCUCCACACAACCUUUUUACAUCCACGAAUUACCAAUUUGCAAAGAGCUGGAUGACUCGCAAUUGAAAUUGACAAUUCUUCACAUUCUCCAAUAACAAGCAUCUCCAAUGCAGGAAGGCAUUCUGGCAAUGUUCCUCGCAGUUUAGAACAUCUUAAAAUGCGAAGCUCUCUCAAUUUAGGAAACCCUUCAACUCCCUGACUAGAUCUAAGAGGAAUCCAGUCUUCCCAUUCUUGCGUGUCUUCAAAAUAAAGAGUUUCCGAAGAUGGAAAAGGAAUCGGGGAAUCAUUACCAUAGAACUCUGAACCCGAACUCUUUACUCUACUCAUUCCACGCACUGCAAGAUGCUUUAGAGAGGGCAGUUGCCCCACUGACGGCAGGACAGUACACAUGCCACAAACUUCAAAAGUUAAGGUCGCUAAAUUUGAGAAUGAUGAAUCUCCCAUCCGAGUUGGACAUUCUUUACCUCCAUAGCCACUGAUACAAAAUUGUUACAGAUUUUCAUGAGGAUUUAGCAUGUCGACCACAUCCUUUUCAGUUUCUGCCUCCCUUGAAGACAAACCAUUGGUACUCCGUGUCCAUCGGAACCUUAACACUUUAAGAUUCUUCUUUCCAUCCAAUUGAGCCUCCUUCGCAUCACCAAUGUCUUUUACGUUCUCCAAUUUUGAAAUGUUAAGUGUCCCACGAAGAUGCGUCAACAAUUUUAGCUCUCGUAUCCCGGAACCACUGUCUUUUCCCACAACAAAAUUACACAGCGUCUGAAGGCAAGUCAACUUGCCAAUUCCUAGUGGCAUCUCCUCCAAUGAAUAUGUAUUUGAAUUAUUGAGAUGAUGCAAUUUGAUGAGAUUUCCCAUGUCUGCACACAACUUCUCUAGUUGAUGACAAUCUUCCAACAAAAGCGUGUGCAAAUUGUAAAGCAUGUUGACUGAUUCAGGCAGAGUUCUAAUCUCAGUUCCAGAUAGGUUGAGGUACCUUAAAUACCUCAAAUCACCAAUUGAAUCCGGUAGCUCAUAGAUGCAAUAUCCACGCAAAGAGAAGACCCUCAACCGUUGGAGUUUGAACAACUUAGGAAGAAUGCUACGAGUCAAGUGUCUAAGCGAACGAUUUGACAAUGUUACUGGUAAAAAAGUUCGCAAAUGGUGGAUAUCAUGUAAAUCCUCAAACCUUUGAACGCCAUCACAACCUCCACGAAUGAAUGACAGGUGACGAAAAUUUUUGGAAAAACUUUGUUGCUUGUUAACCUCUGAGUUAGACUCCAUUGUGAAGUAUAUCUCCCCCGCAGCCCAUUGAGCAAGGUCGUUGACAAGGUCGUGCAUCACAAAUCGUGAUUUAUUGUUGCUUGAUUGCUGGAAAAAAGAUCUUGAACGUAGCUCUUGAAAGAACUUUCGACCUAGAUCUUCAUUAGGAUUCCCUCUCUCUUUGUGAUCCAAGAAACCCGAAGCACACCAUAAUAAAAUUAUCUCCUCCUCUUCAAAUUCAUAAUCCUUUGGAAACAAUGAGCAGUAUGCAAAGCAUUGUUUCAAAGGUGCCGAAAGAUAAUAGUAGCUCACUCUAAGCGCCGGUAUAAUGGCACAUCUCUCUUCUGGUAAAUCCCAUAUCUUGCAACUGAGCACACCUUCCCAAUCACUCCGGUCAAGUUUACCACGUAAGAGACCACCAAGAGUUUUCGCAGCUAAGGGCAAGCCGUUGCAUUUGAUCACUAUCUUCUUGCCAAUUUCCUCCAAUGACUUGUUUGAACUGAAAUCUCUUGUCCCCAAAGCGUGUUGAGCGAACACAGACAGACAAUCAUCAUUUGACAACUUUUUCAAUUGAUAAGCCGGAGCAGUCCCCAUGAUGGCUGCAACCCCUUGAUUACGAGCUGUGACAAUAAUCUUACUUCCCGGUGCGCCAGCUUCAAAUGGAGGUCUGAGUCGAUCCCAAUCAUUGUAAUUCUCAUUCCAAACGUCAUCUAAAACAAGCAAAAAUUUUUUUCCAGAUAGUUGCUUAUUCAAAUCCUCUUGAAGCUUAUUCAAGUUGUGAUUAUCCACGUUCUGGUCAGGAACAAUGGAUAUCAAGAUUGUUUUUGUUAGCCCGAAAACAUCGAAAUCAUCAGAGACACAUGUCCAUGCCUUGAGAUCAAAAUGAUCCUGCACUUGCUUAUCAUUAUAGACAAGCUGAACGAGAGUGGUUUUGCCCAGCCCGCCCAUACCUAUGAUAGGAAUAACAGAGAAUUCACCAUCGUUGCUUAAAUCAUCCCUCAACAGCAGUUCUACAACAUCCUUCUUUUCUGUUUCUCUGCCAUAUACUUUGCCUUCCUUCACCAAAGAAGUUGUCUCUCGCCUUUGCCUGUCUUUUCUGGAUCUCCCAGCUGAACUUACGUUCAAACCGAGCGAGUCUUUCUGUGUUACAAUAUCUUGAAAUCUGUCGUUGAUCUCUUUGAUUUUGGACAUUAUGGCGUAAUCGAACUGAAUCGAUUGUGGAGUAAAAGUGGUGCAGCAAGUAGGAAUGAGCUUCUGAAACUUACUUGUUCUUGUACGACUGCUACUGGGUUGAUCAAGAGCAGCAGCAGGUUCUCCAUUUCCAAGCAGCAACUUCCUCCGGAAAACCUCAGUUUGAAACUCAUCCAACAGGUCCUCAACAUCAUAAGCCAAGAUCUGAAGCUCGCCAAGCCACAACUUCACAGACUGAUCAGUCGUUUUCUUCUCCUCAGCAUCAUCAAGCACCGCCUUGAUCAUCACCAACAUAUUCUUCCACUUCUUUAGGUCGGCCUGGAUUUGCUCUUGGCGUGCAAACAAUCGAAUCCCCUCUGAAGCUAACUUAUUAACCAGCAAAUCAACGGACGCCGUAAGGAUUGCCUCUCCGAUGAUUGACAUUUUUUUUUUGUUUUGCAAAGAAAGAAACAGAAUUUUGAGUUUUGAAAAGCAAAAUGAGAAAAUUGAACAAUAAGUGUGGAGGGUCAAGCAAAAUGCGCGUAACAAGUCUUCCGCUUCUUGUUUAUUCCAGGAAAGUGAGAAUAAAAACAGAGCCCACCACCCAUUAAUAAUUGAGCAAUUCACCAAUCACGAGUCACCACCACUCGUUACCAUGAAUAUAAUAAAUUGCAGGGUCCAGCAACAUUGACCCAGUGUCCGGGUAAAUGCUGAAUAAAGAGGAAAAUGGAAUGUAUCCCCUACGAACCUUCGCUUUACAAGUCUUCAAACUCAUAAACCAAGUUAAAUCAAAACGUUUAUCUCUCUCUCCCUUUUUGCCAUAUAAUUACUUUAUUUAUUGAAUUAAUUUCCAUGCUAAAACGAACACUUAAAAGUGCACUACAAUUUUUUAUAAUCACAAUGGUAAUUUCUACUAUCAUGUUAUUUUAAUGUCGUGUUAAAAUAAAUUAUUACAAAGUUUUUUUUAUGAACACUCUUUUUAUUUAUAAUUUUUUUAAUUUUUAAUAUUUUUCUUACUCUUUUAAUCUUAAUAUUUGUAUUUCGCUCUUCAAAUUUUUAUUAUUAUUUAAUUUUUAAAGAAAAAUAUGAAAAAAAAAUAAAAAAAAUAUUAUACUUAAAAAAUAGUGAAUAUUUUAUGGGUCUAAUACAAACCUGUAUUGUUUUUGACAAUGAAAGAGCACGCGAAAAAUCUCACUCAUAGAAAAUUUAGUGAAAGGCAUUUGAAUGUGUGGCCACAUUUUCCGAACGAAACGAUAAGGCUUUAGCCUUAUAAUUGCAAUUAGUUUGUCUUGUAACUAAAUUAUUGCCGACAAGCACCAUCAUGCUGACAAACCGUGCAUGCACGUCCUCAAUCACCCACGUCCUCUACUUGUGUGCAAUAUUUCCCAUUACUUCCCGUACUUUAUGCAUUAUUGUUUUGUAUGUCUUUUGGUGUUUACGGUGUAGUUAGGGAUGGUAGCGGGUUGGGUCUGGUACCGGUUUGACAUCACCAAACCCGCAUCUAAAAAAAAUUUAAUUACGUAAUUUAAAUUAUAAAUUUAUAACCGUUGCCUAAAAAAACCACAUAAAAUACUUAAUUCUACAUUUUAUCAAUGUAAAUGAGAAAUGAAAAUAUCAACAUUAAAACAAAUACAUAAAAUGUAUCAAUUUAACACCAAUUUUCAAAUUCAAUUACCAAAUAAAUAAGUACAGUGUAGCACUAAAAUAUAAUAUUUAAAUUAAAUUAAUCACAAAAAAUUAAUACAAUACAGUGUAGCACCAAACAUUGUAUAUUAUUAUUAUAAUACAGUACUAAUACAACGCAACAUAAUACAAUACACCAACAUUAAAAUAAUACAAUCUAAUAUAAUACAAUACAGUGUGCGAAAUGCACCGACAUGGUAUUACUUUGUUUGUCUCGUUAUUUACAAUUAUUUAAUCUGUAGACCCACUCAUGCUCCUUCUAUGUAACAUAGAUGCAAUUUGAGGAAGAUUAUCAAUUUUUUCUGACUAAAAAUAAUAUAUACCACUUAUUUUUUAUUGUUUUUAUAAUGUUCAACAAUUCGCUUGAGAUCAAAAAAUUAAAUGAAAAGGAGUAAAUAGAUGAUUUACUUGAUGUUGUAUCUUAGAAAUAUAAAAUAUAUUUAUUUAUUAUUAAAAAUAUUUAAAAAUAAUAAAGAGUACAUAAAAAGUAUCUUAUCCUCAACAACAAGAUCAGACGACGUCAAUUCAGCAAAAUGACUUGAAUAACUUGAAAGUCCAGCAGCCGUCACCUCUUGGCGCACACAUGGCAACGUGCGUGGCUUUGGCAAGAGGUCUCCCAAAAGGACGAUUAAGAAAGAUUGCAGGACAAAUCAUGAAAAUAGUAGUACAGAUAUGCAAUGGCUAAAUUUCCUCGAUUAAGUCCAUCACAAUCAAGUCUUAGAAAUCACACCCCUGUAUUAAUUUCCAGAAAUAUGUUUGUUCCAUAUUUAUCGUGCACGUAUAUAUUGUAUGUAUUGGGAAUAGAAAGAGUGUAUGUAAAAAAUUCUUCAUUCAUCGAUUAAAACUUAAUUUAUGUACAAGGGUUAAGUGUAGUGUUUUUAAAUUUAAAAAGGACAAGUGUCAAUCCACUUAGGCUUGCCUCAAUGGCUAGAGCCACACUCCCUCACAAAGUGGUUCGAUCUCCCACAAAUACAUUAUAGAGGUUUAAUUUAAAUUUUUUUCCUCAAAUUUUGAGUGAAGACAGUUUUUCUUCCAGAAAUAGAAUUUUUCUGAGAGUUUGACGCCCCUCAAAUAUUUGAGAUGAUUAAAAUUUGAGCGGUGCUAUAUAAAAUAUAAUGUAAACUAAUCUAAAUAAUUGUAUAAUUAUAAAUAUAAUGAACAAUAGUCUCAUACAAAAAAAUGACAAGUGUAGUAAGCCCAUUUAAAUUAACUUAUAUUUGAGGGGAAAAUCUCUAUAUAUCAUAGUAUAUAUUAUAUGGGAGCGCCUAAGUUACGAUUAAUGUAUCUUACGUCUUUUGUUUUAUUCUUCUUGGUAGAUUUCAUUUGAGUCCCUUGAUAUUUCUUUAUUUUCUAUAAUUGAGGGAGUAUUUGUCUCCUUCCAUCUCUUCUACACCUAUUUUUUAUUCUUUCCAGAGUUAUAUUUAUUUCUUUUAAUAACAACAAGUGAUUAUCAAACUCAUAUAGAUCUAUGAAUUCAGAAUAUAUUUCUGGUCCUAAAUUUAUCAAACCUAUUCUUUCUUGCUCUAAUAAAUCUAUUUUUUGAUUUAUUAAAUUUAUAUAUGUAUUUACUAUAUUUUCCCAUCCUAAAUGCAUAUGUUCCGUAUUAUUUAUUAAUUCCUGUAUUGUAUUAAUUGCUUGGUUCAUAAUGUUUCAGUUUUAUACCAAUAUAUUAAAAAUUGUAUAAAUUUAUCAAUAAAUUUCAUUUUCUUUUCUAUCAAUAUUUCUCCUCCUGUGGUAUCUAUAUUCCUUUCUAUAAGUUCUUCAGUUAAUUCAAUUUCUAUAUUUCUUAUAUUAUUUUUAUCAGUUUUCAAAGCUUUUACCAAAUUCUUUAUUUCUUCUUUAUUAUAUACCUUUAAUGUAUACAAACUAUUAACUAUUGACUGUAUUGGGUCCAUCAUUUUGUUUUUAUGGCUCUGAUACCAUCUUGCACUGUGUGCUAAAAAAAAAACUAAUAUUAACAAAUUAAUAAAAAAUAAAAAUAAACUAAAAAGGUAAAGAAUGAAAAUAUAACUAAAUAAAAAAUAAUAGAAUAACGAAUUACAGAAAACUAAAAACAUAAAACAAAAAUUUUUGUUCUAUAAGGUAUACAUAUCAUAACUAUUACUGUUAUUUCUUACAUAUAAGGCAGUAACUUGUUCUCCUUCUAUAAUCCUAGGUAUAUUAUUAAGAAAACUAGCAAAAUAAAAAUCAUAAUAAUUAUUAUUAGUUUCUAAAAUAUAUGCAGGAUUAUUAGUCAUAUCAUAAAAUAAUUCUAUCUGUAUAAAGUAUAUAUUAUUAUUUAUUAUACUAAAAUAGUAUCUAAUUUCCCUUUGGGUAUCUAUUUUUAUAAAAUAUCCUGAUUACAGGUACGUGGCUUGUUAUCCCAAAGUACAGAGGAUACUAACGCCCAAUAGGGAUCGUCUAUCCAAUUUACGUCAUGGGUUGCUUGCCGAUAUACCUUACAACCAGUUUAUUUGUUUUAUUUUACUAGAUUCCUAUAUUUCAAGUUCUUCGUUAUCCGAAUUUUCAAAGUAAUUUAUAUAUGAUGGUCCAAUUUCUCGACUUUCAUGUUCUAUAUAUGCCAAAGCUAUGUCAAUUCCUUGCUCUAUUGUUAACAUAAUUAUAUUAUGUUUUAAAUUAUCUGUUUCGAUAUGGUUUAUAAUUUUUCUUUUUAUUUCUUUUGGUAAAUUAAGAGUAUAUACUGCUUGUAGAUCUUCUGUUCUAACUAGCUCUGUUUUACUUAAAAGAUAUGAACUUUGUUUAAAAGAUCCUAAGUUAAAGUCUAUUAUCAUCAUAUAGUCAUUAUAUGUUAUUCUAGUGCUAGAGUUUAUCAUAUAUUCUUUAGAAUUCCCAAGUAAAAUAUUGUUAUUCAUGUUUAAAUUAACAGCUCUUCCUCCAUAAAUCUCCUCAUCAUCAAUCAUCAACAAACUUCCACCAACAGAUAAGGUUUGAGAAUUAUUACCCAGAGUUGUUCUUAUUUCUCUGCCUUCCGAUCCUUUUCCAGUGACCUUCAGCCUGGUUGUCCUUAUUCCCUCAACGGCCUCCUUGCCUCAACGGGAUCAGCGGACUCGAGCGGCCUUACUGUAUGGAUUUUGAUCGUUUUGCUCGAAAAUUUUGAACAAAUUUAGGUUUCUCUUUCCUUUCUAUGGUGUUGUUUUGUUUAUGAUUUCUGAUGGCUUGAUUUCUGGAUUUUGAGCUGAAGAGUUGUUUAGUUCUUCAUUUUUGAGAGAGUUUUUGGAAAAGAUUUCGUAAUGGAAGCUCUGAGAGCCUUCUUUCUUUCUUUUUCUUCUAUUUAUUCAAAAAAAAGAUUACAUUCUUGCCCUCAUAUAAUUGGGCUUCUUACGUCACUGCUGACGAUUUUACAUUAUCCUCUAUGCUUUAUUACAUUAUUGCCCUUAUAUAAUUGGGCUUCUUACGUCACUGCUGAUGUUACAUAUCACUUACUCUUAAUUUUAGCAUCUUUCUUUUUACUUUUUGACAUUUGCUUUGCUUUGUCGGGCAUCUUCUUUAUGAUGUCUGCCACUUCUUGUCGGGCAUCUUCUUUAUGUUGUCAGCCACUUCCAUGAGCUGAAAAGCUUGUUCCAUAGUUUUACUGCUACUGGGAAAACGCAUAGUGCUUAUUUCAUUAAUGAAGUCUAACAACAGAUUUGAUGGUGUAUGGCUGUCUUCAGAUGUUAUGAGAAUGUAGUUCUGGAAUUUGAUGAUGGUUCUGAAAUUUCUUUCGUAUAGAUCCUUGGCUAUGCUCCAUAUGGCUUUUAUUCCUCUGGCUCUUCGUGUUCUGAUCCAAGGUUCAUUUAUAUGUGGAACAUUUGUGUAGUCUGUCCCAACUUCGACCUUGAAAUUCUUAGUGAGAUGACCUAUAGAGAUCAUAUAAAAGGCUUGAUAUUCUACGUUCUGAUAAUAUUCUGAGCUUAUGGUGUAGAAUUUUAGGUAUAUGGGCCUUUUUUGGGCGAACCUUGAUACUUCUUUUAUUAACAAGUCAUCAAGGCUGGCUAUUUCCUGAAGAUUUAUAUCUGGAUAAACUAGAUCUAAAUACUCGUAUUUUGCUAUCUUUCCAACAAGGAGUGGGUCUGCUCCUUUUGUAGCAAUCAUUCUUGGAUACAUAUUUUUUCCUGGUGCUUUGAAAAUUGUAUUCUUGUGGGAACAAGUGGAGUAUACCCAUGUGGAGAAUUGUUUAUAUUCUUCUUCUUUUGGAUUCAGGGGUUUCUCCUCUUCUUCUGUAUAAGGAUUGUUUAUUUCUAUGAACUUUUUUGGAGGUUCUGAUUUUGGAGACUCGACUUCUAUAGAUAUGACUUUAUUAGGAACUGGGUCAGAGAUUGGUUUAUCUUCUCUGAAGGGUCCACUACUGCUUCCGAUAUUUAUUGGGUUAAUGUUUAUUGGGCUCGUGUUUAUAGAGAGAGCUUUUGUUAGGUCGUCUAUGUAUGACUCUAACAAAUUUACUCCUUUUUCAUGAGCCUCAGAAGCUUCUUUCAAAUAGUUUAUUGCAUCAAUUAUAUCAGAUGCUUCUGUUUUGAGCCUUUGUACCUCAGCUUCUAUUUUCCCGAUGAUUCUAUUAACUUCGGGAUUCAUUCUCCAAAUUCUAUGUUCCUGCUUAGGAAAUCUGCAAGAAAAUUGUUAAUUCCUUUUAUAUGCACAAUUUUGAAAUUAUAAUAUGACAGAUAAACUUGCCAUCUAUGCAAUCUUCUGUACUGGGGGUUCAUUUGGUAAAAUCCUAUUAAUAAGGGAGUUUACCCGAGAAUUAUCAGUUUCUACAGUAAAUUGUUUUUGGAGCAAAAAUAAUGAAAACUUUUUAAUCCCUUUGUAUAUUGCAAGGAGUUCUUUUUCAUGUACAGGAUAAUUAACCUGAGCUUGGUUAAACGUUCCACUAGUGUAUCGACAAAUUUCAUUUAUAUCGGUUUUAAGUAUUGCUCCCCAAUAUAGGUCAGACGCAUCUGUUUGUAUUACUAAUCUAUCUUUUUCAUCAGGUAGUCUUAAAGUCGGAAGGUUUUUACAUUCUUCUUUUAAAUUUUUUACAAUUUCUGUAUGUUCCUCAUUCCAUCCCCUAGUAUUAUUUUUUCUUAAUAAUUUUUGGAGUAUAUUUCUCUUUUUUGAUAGGUCUUUUAUAAAUCCUUCUGCAUAAUUCAAACAUCCCAAGAAUUUUUGUAUUUGUUGUUUAUUUUCUAAUUUAUCUGGAAACUCAAUUAUUUUUCUUCCUAUAUGGCUCUGGAGUUUGAUUCCUUGUUUAUCAAGUAUCAUUCCUAAAAAUUCUAUUUUCUUAUGCUCUAUUACUGCUUUUUUACUAGACAGUACUAUCCCUUCUCUAAUACAUGUAUUAGCAAAUUCUUUCAAAUGGUGUCUAUGUUCUUCUAUUGUCUCUGAAGCUAUCAAUAUAUCAUCAACAUAGACUAUAAUGUAAUUGUAGUCUUUAAAUAUUUUAUCCAUCCUACUUUGGAAAAUUUGUGGAGCAUUUUUUAAUCCAAAGGGCAUUACUAACCAUUCAUAAUGACCUUGUGGGGUACUAAAAGCUGUGUAUGGGAUACUAUCAUUUUCCAUUUUUAUUUGCCAAAAUCCUGACUUACAAUCAAAUUUUGAAUAAUAUGUUUUAUUUUUUACAAGAUUUAUCAGUACUUCCUUGUUUGGGAGAAAAUAUCCAUCAAAUUUUGUAUAUUUAUUUAGUUCUUUGUAAUUUAUUACCAUUCUUGCUUUUCCCCUAACUUGUUCUGCUCUUUUCCUAACCAUAAAAGCUGGGCUAUUAUGCGGGCUAUUACUGUUUCUAAUAAGUUUUAAAUUUAAUAAUUCUUUUAUUUGAAUUUUAAAUUAUUCUCUAUCUUCUUCUGUAUACAUCAUAGGUUUAAGUCUUAUAAUCCUAUUUUCAAUUAAUUCUAUUUUUGCUCUAGGAUGAUCUGGUUUCCAUAAUGCUAAAGGAUUCUCUUUAUAAACUUGCUCAAGCUGUGAUUUUAUUGUUUCUAAUUGUAUAUUAUAACUUUGUCCUUUUUGUAUUAAAUAAUGUUUUUCAUAAAUAUACUUAUCACCACGCUGGGCUGGCUGAACUCUGUAGGGUUUGAAUUCGCGAGGGAUGCGUAGAAUAUGAUUACAAGGGGUUUUUAAAGUGAUCAUAUAGGGUGUUUGUUGGUAAUAUUGGAACUGUUGUAUGAAGUCAUUUCCUAAAAGGAUAUCACAAUCCAUAUUAUUGUACUGGAAUAUUUGGUUAAUACGUACUACUUUACUUCCUAGUAAGAUUUCAAAGUUUAAAAUAGAUUGAUUGACAUGUUGUUUAUCUCCUGUAAUACCAAUAAUUAUUAAUUUUCCAUUUGAUUCCCAUUUAUUAGAUAAAAAGGAUUUCAUAAUGGUUAUUUCACUACCAGUGUCUAACAAAGCACAAGUAUCUAUAUCUUUUUCGGUUAUGUUUAUUUGUAUAUAUACAGACAUAGGGUAUUUUACAUAAGCUUGUUUUAACAUGUGUAACAGAUUAUUGUUUGGCCUUGGAUUAAGAAAGUUAUCUUAUUAGGUUCAAUUUUGUAAUACUCUAAAUCAUUUAAAAAACUAUUUCCCAGUACUAUAUGUUUUUCUGGGUCUGUAGUCAUGAAUGAGUCUAUAUAACAGGCUACUAUUAUUCUAAGUCCUUCUAUUAUUAUGGGGACUUUAACCUCUUGUUUACAAAUAUGUUUAUUCCCAUUGAAGUCAGUAUACUCAUAUGGAACUUCCUUUUCUUUUACUAAGAGUCCUUUAUUUUUUGUGUGAUUCAUGUAAUUAUGGCUUGUGCCAGUGUCUAAUAGUAUAGGUACUUUUGCUGUGUAAUCUAUUCCAUUAAAGUAUUGUCCAAGUAUUUUUACCACAUUAUUUGUUGGUACUGAUUUAAUUAUUUGCUUAUCAGUGUUUAAUCUUCUAGAAGAACUUCCUCUUAUUAAGGUUCUUCCAGCAAAGCUUAUAGGAAUAAUGGAGUUUUCAUUACUAUUGUUUAAAAAUUGUUUUUUAUCAUCGAUAUUUAAUUCAUAAGUUAUAGGGAUUUUGUAAUCUUGGAUUACAGGUUCUAUAAAUGUUGCAAUAUCUUCACAAUCUUUAUUUAUCUCGAUGUAAGGUUUAUUACCAUAUAUUUCUCCGUAGUUUGAAUUACAGAAACUAUAUAAAGCUGAGUAAUGUAUUGUCAUUAUUCUAUUACCUUCUUUCAUUAAAUCUUUCUUUAAUAGCUUAAAGUGUAAGCUUAAUGUUUCGUCUAUGUUUUUAUCUUUAAUGUGUACACAAUAUCUAGGAUGACAAAUAAAUAAUAAUUUAGUAUAACAUAAAUUUCCUUCUAUUGUUCCAAGAUGUCCUAUGUUAGGAUCUAUAAAUCUUUGAUCAUGCAAUGAUAAAACUAUUGGGCUAUCUAUUCCUUCUUUAAAAAGAGAUUUUAUUAAGAUUUGUAUUUCAGCAAGAUAUACAUAUUGAAUUUUUUCUUUAGUUGACUCAUUUUUUAUUUUUCUCAAAGCUAAAUCUAUGGAUCUUUUAUUUAUUAAACUAAAUCUAAUGUUUCCUUCGGCUUGUGUAAUUGUCACAGCUUUUUCUUGUUCAUAAUAUUCAUGUAAUAUUAUUCUUUUUCUUUUAAACAUAUCUCUAAAUCUAUGGAUUAUUCCAUACUCUGGUUUUUCCAUAUUUAAUUUUAAAAGUUUAUUAUAUUUUUCUUUGUUAAAAGUAGCAACAAGGCUGUAUCCACUUUUUUUUUCUUCUUUUUCUAUCUCUUCUAUUUCUUCUAUUUUUUCAUUAUCUAAUAACUCUUCUUUACUCUGAUUCAUUUUCAGAUUCUUCAGCCAUAUAAACUUCCUCUCCUAUAUAGUUAGAUAAAUUAUUUAUUUCUUCUAAGUCACUUUCUAUUUUUUCAAAAUCCUUUUUUAAGAGUUUAACUUUUUUCUUUUUUGUACAAUCUGUACUUAUGUGCCCUAUUUCUCCACAAUUCCAACAUUUACAUUUGGACUUAUCUAAUAUUUUUCUCUGGUUUUUAUAUUUUCUUUUAUAAUAUUUUCUUCCUGAUUUUUUAUAUUUUUUCUUAAAAUUAUUAUAUUUUUUAUAUCUCUUUUCUUUAUAAGAUUUUCUUCGUCUUUUAUGAGGUACAUAACAUCCCCAUUGGGUAGGCAUUUCUGUCUUUUCACAACAUAUUUUUGUUAUGUUUUUACUCUUUUUUAUUAAGCUUCUUUGGAUACAAAUUUCACUUAAUCUUGUAUUUAAAAAUCUGAUCCUAGAUCCUAAUGUAUCUGGGAUUCUACUAUCAUUAUUAUUAGUAUGUUUUUCAUAUUCAUUUAUGAAAUAUCCAUUCCAUGGAUAAGGUAAUUUAGAAUAAUACAAAUUCUUAUAAAUGUUCUGGUCUUCAUGACUCAUGAAUUGUGUAUAAUAAUAUUUACUAAAUUCACAUGUAUAUUCUUUUACAAAACACAUAUUACAGAUUGUCAGGUUUAUUAAUUUCAUUCUAGCAUUUAAUUUAUCAUGUUUUGCUUCAUUUUCUGUAUUUUGUAACCAAUCUUCUCCUAAGAAUUCACUAGCAAUGUAUUCGAUUAUUCUUUCUAUACCUAAUCCUUUAUCUUUUCCUAAUGCUAUUUUGGUUGAGUCUUUUAUUAAUUUUUGUGUAUCGUCACUUAAUCCUUUCCACCAAUUAAAUACAUUUCCUGUAAAACUUGCUAUUAGAAUAUCCGUUAAUAUAUUUAUUUUUUCUUCUUCAGUAUCUACAUUCCAAUCAUCUUUGGAUCCAUUGAAUAUAAAGAAUAAUUUCAUUUGCAUUCCCCAUUCUACUAAAGCUUUUCGGGAGUCUAUUUUACAAUCCAAGUCUAAAAAUGCACCUGCAUUGCUUAUUGCCACCAAAUGGUCAUUAUUAGGUUGGUAAUCUUUUUUCCAAGAGGUAUUUUUAACGGGCGGAUAAUAUUCAUAAAAAGGUCUAUUUUUCUUUUUAUUUGUUUCAUAUCUAUGACUAGGUUCUCCAAUAUCAGGUUUUAAUUCUGGACCUCCAGCAACAUUCAUCUUUAUUUGGUAUUCUUUUUCAAAUUCUUCUAAAUCACUAAGGUUAAUAUCACUAAAUUUUUCUGUUAAUUCUUCUAAUGUAUUUUCCAUUAUUCUGUAUCACUAGGUGUGUUUUCUUUUAUCUCUAAUUUUUCUUUUCCCUUUUCUUCUCUUUUUAAUUCUGCUUUUAACUUUUCUGACUCCUCUAAUAUUUUUGGAUGCUGAGUUUUUAUAAACCAGUCAUCAUAACUUCCUGGUUGAGGUUUUGUCAUCUGUUUUUCAAUGCUUGUCCCUAUUAUUCCUGAUUUUAUUAUUUCAAGUUUCUCAACUUUUUUAUUUUUCUUUCGGCUUAUCUGAAUUGUUGAUAAUUCUAUUUUUAUCUUUCCUAUUUCUUGUUUAAUUUCUCUCAUUUCUUCUUUAAGAUUUAAAAGUAUUUCUUUUAACUCGAUUAAUGUAGUUUCCAUAAAAUGUAGGGGUGCUAACAGAUAUUUUUAUUUUUGAGCGUAUGUUACAUCCAACGUAACAUAGGGUUAGCCUAUAUUAUAUAUCCAGUCGUGGGACCCAUAUAUGGUUCCAUGUAAUUCGCACAGUUGAACUGGAGACACUGAUUAGUUCGUUGUCUAUUUACCAACUUAUGUACAACUAAGUAAUUUCAUGCACCAUUUGCGCCUUAUCUAUCCAGCCUGCUUGCAUUGCAUUAACUAAACAUACAAUGAAAUUAACCCUUGUAAUUUCGGCCUUUGCCAUAGUCGUUUUGUUUAUUAGGUUUAUGUUUAUCAACAUGAUAUGUUGUCAACCAUAAUCACAAUCAAGUUGUUAAUUAUUUUUUAAAUAAUGUGAAGGAACAAGAUUUUGGUCUUUGAGUGUGGAGUUAAAAAUAUCUCACCUCAACAUACGGUGUUGUGCUCUCAUCAUCUUAACAUUAUUUGUUAAAAAUUAUGUCAAAGAGGAAAGCAGAUUCAAACAUUACUUCAAUUUUCUUUAAGAGCAUAAAAAUAUCGUUAAUAGGCUACUGUUAUUUGUUAGUACGAUUUCACAAAAGGAAGCUAGAGGAUGAUGAAGCUUUCAAGUCAUGUGUGCAUCAAAGUAAGAAACAGAGCUAACGAGAGAUGGACAAUUUUAAAUAUGUCAGCAUUUUGUCAGUUCUGGCCAUAUUUUGAAAGAUUAGCACCCUAAUUUUCUUUUGAAGCUCCUUUUCUGUCUAAACCUAUUUUAAUUUCCAAAAUAUCUUUUUCCAUUUUUUUAGUUUCUUUCUGAUUCCAAAAAAAAAAAAAUCAGUUUCUUAAACAACUCCAACUACAAAUAUUUUUUUUACAAAUUUUUGAAUUAUUAAAUCAUAUGUGUGUGUAUAAAUUGAAUAGAAUUAAAAGUGGACUCAAAUAGCUAUUAUGUAAUUUUUUUUAUAAUUAAAGAAAAGUUUAGAAUGCAAAAGUGUGUGUGGGAAAACAAAAAAUAUAAAUCGCCUUUGAUAUAAUUAUAUGGUUGUAAAAAGUUAGAUGGAGAAAUAUAGUAUAUAAUUAAAUUUAUUUUGCCUUAAAACGGGUAGGUUUUAUAAGAAUUUUUUUCGAGGAGUGCCAAUAUUUCAACUCUUUUUCAAAUAAAGUGAUGUCCUGGAAUAAAAUCACUACUCUAUCAUUGCUAUUAGUUUGUCUUGUAUUUCAAUAAUUGCCGACAAGUAUUAAUUGUGAAUAUUAUUAUUUUAAAAAUAUUAUUAUUAUUAUCGUCGUUAUUCUUAACAGCAAUGACUAGAAUUAUAAUAAGAACAAUAACGUUAAUACAAUAAUAUAACAACAUAAUAAUAUUUUAAUUGAGAGGAUAAGAAUGAAAUUAUGAAAUUUAGGUUGGGUAAAAAUGGUGAGUAUGAGGAAAUUAAUUUACCAUUUUUUAAGCUAAACAAUUCAUAAAUUCCACAUAUUUAAUUCUUAUUUCUCUUAUAUUUUAACAAGUUAUCAAUCGUUUUAAUAUUUUAAUUAAUAAAAACGGCAUUAACUACGGAACUAAAAGAUCCAAAAAAAAAAAAAAGAGACGCGUGUAUGUAUUGCUUGUGAGAAAUCUCACCCAUGGAAAACUUUGUGAAAGGCAUUUGAAUGUGUGGCCACAUUUAAUGAACGAAACGAUAACUUUAAAAGAAAGUAUGUACUGUGUUAAUUAUUAGGCUUUAGCCUGAUGAUUGCAAUUAGUUUUUCUUGUAAUUAAAUUAUUGCCGACAGACACUAUCACGACCCACGUCCGCUACUUGUGUGAAUGUGUGUAUAAAUAUCCGCAGCAUAUCAUCAAACCUGAAGCGUGAUCAUCUUUAAGUUUUGGUUACAAUUCAUCAUACGUUAGAAGAUAUCUUUUCUAAUUUGAAGAAGAUGGAAACUCCUUGUCCAGGUUCUUAGGCCAUGUUCAGUUGAAUGUCAUUUAUAAUUUUUAUUUUAAAAUUAUGUAUUUAUGAAUACAACUAUUGUUAUAAUUUUUUCAAGUAAGAAUGGAUGCUCUGAGGGUAACCCAAUAACUAUGUACAGUAUUAUUAAUGAUGAGAGCGUGAAUGACAAUUUGGAUUUUAUUCUCGUCCCUCAAUACGGAAGAAAUCUUGACCAUAGCGGUUAAGUGCUAUGUAAUUCUUUCGUAUUAUGUUUAAUUAAUAAUGAAAUGAUGGGUUAUUAUUACCUGUCAAUUAUGUGAGUAUCUUUGUUUGGUUUAGUUCAACUUAUAAAAUUUCUUGAGAUAUACAAGAGAUUUUCAUUAUUUAAUUUUGUGUACCGUGUCUUCUUGUAAAAAGAAAUUAAUAAAAAAAAUAUCAUUGUGUGCAAUGUAUUAACUAAGUUAGUGUAUUCAUGUUAGGUUAAUUGUGCUCUCUCUUCUUGAUAUUUAAAAAAAAAAAAAAAAAGCUCCACAUAUUGUUGGUUAGCUAAUUCUUGCAGCUAGCAAGUGAUCCUUUUCUUUCCCCUACUGCCGUAGCAUCAAAUCCUUACAAUUACAUAUCAAGUGGUAUUCGAGCCGUCAAAUGAUCCAUGGAAACAGGCAACAAAUCAAAUGCUGAAUUUUGCGAAGAGAUUCACGAAAUCCUUACUAUACAUGAGUCUAGUUUUGACCAAGUUCACGUCACCCAUCAGCUGCGGGUUUGAAUGGUACCUCGUGGAUAUUUUGUGAGUUCCCACUAAUAAAAUCACACUUGCAACAAAACUUAAAAAUUUAAAUUACGUAAUUCAAAUUAUAAAUUUAUAAUCGUAGCUUAAAAAAUCACAUAAAAUACUUAAUUCUAGAUUUUAUCAAUGUAAAUGAGAAAUGAAAGUUUUAACAUUAAAAUAAAUACAUAAAAUAUAUCAAUUUAACAUAAAUUCUCAAAUUUAAUUACCAAAUACAUAAGUCUAUCGCAACUCAAAGUGCUUUCAAUUGAAAACGAAAAAAGAGAAAGAGAAAAAAAAGAACUACAAAUCAAAGUAGCACUCAUGACCGAUUUUGCAGUCUCAUUCAAUACCACUAGCACCCAGCAACACGAUUUUUCUAAACAAAGUAUAAAGUACAAAAUUACAAUAAGCAUAUCAGACUCCAUGCUUUAAGUUAAAGAUCCUUAUAUAUUUUUAUGAAUAAUUUUUUAAUGAAAUUUUAUGAUUAAAAUUAAAAAUACAAACAUUCAAAUAAGAAUGUCGGACACUUGCACAACUAUUUACCAAAUUUUUUCUCUAUAAAAAUCGACCUGCAACUUUCAAUAGGUUUAAAUUUAUAAUAACAAACCUGAUUGCAGCUCGCAAAAAUUAUCCGUUGCGGCCAAGACUUUGGAUUUGCGAUGAUUUUGCCACCCUAAGUGUAGUUAGUAUUGUAUAUCAUGUGGCUCUUAUAAAAAGCCUAGAAGUUGUUUGAAUAACGGGGGAGACACAUAUCUCCCAAAGAUUUUCUCUUUUUCAAAUUAUUAUUUUUUCUGUAUUAUUGUAACUUCGAAUCCUUAUAAAUUGCAGAUUGGAGACAUGAACACAAUGUUUUGACAUAGUGGACUUUUGGCUUGUCCAGAGAAAUUUAAGAUAGAUUUUUACGCACUAAGGCUCUAUUUACUAUUGAGGUUUUAGAACUUUUAAGCCACACUAGAAAUUUGUAUUGUUUUGAUAGAGUUGUAGUUCUUGAUAUGUGAUUGGUAUUAAUCAAGUGUUAUGUUUACAAUAGUUAAAGGCAUAUUGAAUCAAAAUCCACUUCUAAGGGCUUGAUUGAGUGAUUGUAAAGUAGGUUUUUAGUUUGCUAGUCACUCAAGUUCAAAUAUUGGAACCACAGAGCUUUAUAGCCAAGUGAGAGAACUUGUGCCCUAAAAAUUGAGGGGUGCAUAUCGAGUUUUACCACCAAUAAAAGUUGGUGUUAAAACUUUAAUUUCCCUCCUAUUGAUGGAUAGGGGUGAUUAGUAGUUUACAUUCCCUCCUAUUAAUAGACAGGGGUUAUUAGGAAUAUUAAAAAAAAGUUCAAAUAUUGAAAAUAUAGGUAUGGGUUAUAAAAUUCAUAAUAUAAAGACACAAAAUCAAGAUAAAGAUUUAAAAAUUUAGAACCAUGAGAGCGUGACUUGUAAGUUUCAAAGAAGCAUGUGCAAAUAUAUGCAUUAUCGAUGCCUAAUUAAGGGUGGACAUUAAGAUCGGGUUAACCCGAACCGAACCGAACUUAAAAUUUAUUUUGGAUUCAAUUUGGUUAUGGUUGAAGCUUUCAACUGAGUUCAAAACUUAAAAAUGAUUGAGUUGUAUUUCUGUUCGAAUUUAACCCCAAAAGACAACUAACCCUAACUAAAAUGUUCGACCGCGGCCUCCUCGUUUUCUUUUCUUCUUCCUCCUCUCGCUCACCCCUAAUGCCCUUCAUGGAAAUCCAACAGCUCCAAACGCGUUUCGGCCGCUCGCACGUGUGAGAAAUUUUCGUUCUCAUAGGAUUAUUCGUUUCCUUCGCCUGCAUGCCAGCAGAAUAUUCAGGCCGAGGAUUUUUCCGGGCCUAGCCCAACUAUAAGCUCUCCCAAAACCCAAUCAUAAGUUCAUAACGUUUAGCGUUUGCUAUUACUAUAAUUUUUUUUAAACAAUUUUCACAUUCAUCAACAUAGGCUGACAGAUUUUGUAGAAAAUAAAAUUAAAUAAAAAUACAAGCUCACGAAAUUCCUUUUCCGAUGUGGGAAUCUAUCUACACCUUUCACGUGCCUUUUUUUUUUUUUUGUAGUGGGGGAUUCACUUGCUUUUGUUUGCAUUGCCUUAUUGGAUAAAAGUUUGUAGAACAUCGUCUGUUUGGUUAAAUCCGAGCAUGAGUGAAGAAAAAUUAAAAAUAAAUAAUUUCCCAUUAAUUUGCAACAAGUAUUAAUAAAGUGCAUGAGAAAAGACACCAAGAUAUGCCUUUUUUUAAAUGAAAAUAAAUGUGUUAAUUAGUCAAUUUAAAUGGUAUGACAUUUUGAAAUGAUAGAAGCAAUCUAAAGUUUAAAUCUUACUCACACUUAAUUUAGGGUUGGGGAUUAAUUGACGUAAUAUAUAAUAACGAAUUCGAAAGACAAUUAAAAAUUAAAAGAAAAUAAAGAAGUGCUUUCUUUUUUAUGAUGGUAAUUUGUUUAGAUGAUGAAAACUCUUAGAGUUGUAUUAUCAAUACAUAGUUUUAAGGGUUGGCAAUGUGAACAAUAUUUAAUUUCCUUUAUAUAGUUAUAUCUUAACUAACAUUUAAACAGAAGUAAGUUGUAAAAAAAAUGAACCAUUGAGAUUUGAGAGAAUGAAAAACUAAAAAAAAAAGUUAAAAAAUUAGAUCUCAAUAAAUUUACUUGAGAACUACUUUACUGAUUAAUGAAGAGAAAAUACAAAGAAUAAUGAUGUAUCUCAAUUAAUCAGAUAAUUUUUGUAUUUUUUAUUUAUUCCAGAAUCACGAAACUUCAUUUAAACUUGUUAUUUCAUUGAUAAUAUAUUAAUAUUGAACAAUUAAUGUAGGAGACAUUCCUUUCCAAUUAUGCCCAUAUAUUAAUUAAAGACCAUCAAAAAGUUCAGGGAUACUAUAAUAAUUUAAGUCAAUAAUUUCUGUGCUUGAAAUCAGCCAAUCAAACUCACUUUAGAAUAAAUUGAGAAAUCAAAAUCACAUUCUCCGAUUCCACGAUUUCAAUUCAUCUUAUUUCUUCAACUGAAAAAUUGGUUGUAUUUCGUUUUAUUUUAUUUUUAUUUUUAUUUUUAUAGAAAAAUAAAUAUAACUGUAAAAGUAAAAUAAAAAGAAGAGCACGAGUUUUAUUGAAAAUGACUCUUUUCAUCAUGUUGCCGGAGUGAAUGUAUCUGCAUAUAAACUAAAGAAGCACAUUUGUUUCCGACUCUACGCUUUAAAUUCAGCUUCAUUUCUUCAACUGAAGAAUCGGUCGUCUCUCAUUUUUUAUUUAUUAUAUAAAGAUAAAUAUAUAAAUUUAAAUGGCGAGAAGAGCGGACGAGGAAUACGAUUACUUGUUCAAAGUGGUAUUAAUCGGCGAUUCGGGAGUCGGCAAAUCGAACUUACUCUCCCGAUUUACUCGUAACGAGUUCUGUUUGGAGUCCAAAUCCACUAUUGGCGUCGAAUUCGCCACCCGCACUCUUCAAGUAACUAACUUUUCCUCUUUCACUUCUCUUCAUUUUUAUUAGUUAAUUAAGAUCCAGUUAAUGUAAUUAAUUUUAUUUAAUCUUUUAAAUAAAGUUCUAGAUUAGGCUAACUUAGAUUCAUGUGAAGUUCAAGUGAUUUACUUUCGAUCUCUUUUUCGUCCUAUGUUUAUUUGUACUUACUAUUACUUUUUUUUGGGUUAAAAUUUUCGUUUUUGAAGUGUUUACUGAAUAAAUUUCUGAGCUUUAUUUGUGUAUGCUGAUUGAUUUGUGAUUUUAAUUUUGUGACUUUUUUUUUGGAAUUUAAAUUUGAAUGCUUUUUAAGUUGAAUCUGAAUGUGUUGGGCUGCGAUUUAAUUAAGUCAUCUGUGAGCGCCAAAUUGUGAUAGCUAUAUAUUGGGGUGAAAAUUUGGGAUUUAAAGUUAUGUAUUUAAGAUGCAGUUAAUUCGCAAGUGAAAAUUAUGGGCCGGCAGAUUUUGUCAUUGGAAGACUGUUCUCCACAUGUUGAAGUUAGUGAUGCAAGUUGAAACCAAUCUGUUUAAGCUUGGGGUUUCAUGUCUUGAAUCAAGGCUGUGACUGGGUUGAGAGUAUUAUAGCUUUAGCUAUUCCUGAAGUGAUCUGUUUAGACUCACCGUGAUGAGACCGAGUGCUGUACAGUAAAAUGAAAGGAAGUUGGAAAAUAUUUACUUAGCAUUUCGCGUUACUAAUGUUGAACUAAUAAAACCUAGCCCCUAUCCUAGUGAAUUUAUGUUAAAAAGCUAUGCACGCAUUAAGUUAGUGUGCUGUGUGUUUGGCGCUGAGUAUUCUUCAUUCCACAUUUUGGGUUUUGGUUGACCUCCAGCAUGGCUCAACCCACUUGAGUUAAAAGCCCUAGAGUUACAUUCUACCCAUGAUAUUUGAGUUUAUCAAGUCACCUUAUUUUAAUACUUAUCUGGAAAAAAAAUAUAUAUGUUAAAUCAGGUAGGAAAAAUAAAAAGUUAAUUAUUGAGUUGUAAUGGUGUAACUAAGGUUUUGAAACAUUAACAUCUUUAGCCAUUAUGUUACUAUCCCGUAGUUAUUUAAGUUACAAGAGAUAGUAAAAAAUAACAUCAUAUUUUAAUUACUUACACUAAUCCUACAAAUGCUGAUGGUCUAAAGUUGCUGCUGCUUGCACUGAAUCAGUGGUCAUGGGCCAGCCAAGGUUAGGUGAGGCCAACUCAUUAGCUUGUGAAGCUUAAAGAAGUCUUAGGUUUGGAAAAGAUGGGGCACAGGUUACAAAAUUUUUUUGAGUUUUGGAUUGAAGGAACAAAAUUGUUGAUGUCUAGCUCACAAUAUUUGAAGUCACUCUGUGCUUCAUCAUGUAAAAUGGAUUGAAUUGCUGUAAGAUCAGGUCAAAUUAAAUUGUUUAAACUCAUUUUUAAGAAACGAAUUCUCAAUUGGACCAGCCUUUCACAGAAGCUUUGAGUCAGAUGCAUCCAACCAAAGCCCCUGGCCCAGAUGGUCUCCCAGCAGUAUUUUUCCAAAAGCUUUAGAAUUCAGUAAGCGAAGGAGUUAUAGCCACUUGUCUGCAUAUCCUCAAUUAUGGAGGUAAUAUUGCUCCUUUGAAUCAUACAUACAUUGCUUUAAUCCCCAAGAUAGCAAAACCUAGGACUCUGAUGGAGUAUAGACCAAUCAGCAUAUGUAAUGUAAUUUAUAGGAUCAUUGCAAAGACUAUAGCGAAUAGGCUGAAGCUAAUCUUAGAUCAUGUUAUUUCGCCAACUCAGAGUGCUUUUAUGCCAAAUAGGCUCAUAACUGAUAAUAUAAUUAUUGGGCAUGAGUGUCUUCAUAAGUGGACAAAGCUAAGUUCCAGAGGUGAGUAGGAAAUUCUCCCGCACGACGCAGCACAAACAAACUUUCCCUUUCAUUUUCUUUUCUCUUUCUCGCUCUCCAAACAGAGCAAAAGGACCAUCGCAAGAUUCUUCACUUCCAUCCAAAAUCAUGAGCAACGAAUAGUGAGCCUCCCUGUUUCCUUUUUUUGAUAUUAACAUUGUUAACAUAUACUCAUUUUAAUUUGACAAUACUUCAACUUUUUUUAUUUUUUUGCCUUCUCAUUUUUUUUGUUGAAGCAAUUAUCUGUUCAAGCUGUUGCUUAUCGGAGACUCGUACGUUGGAAAGUCCUGCCUGCUGCUCCGAUUUGCUGUCUGUUGACUUUUCCUUUCCCUUCUUAUUUUCUUUUUUUAUAUUAAUUACUUUCUAUUUUAGCUUUUUGUUCUCUGAAUUUGUGUUAUUAAAAUGAUAAUUAAGAUGAUAAAUAAUUGUUAUUCUUGUAAAUUUCGGUUUUCAUUACGUUAAUUGUUAGUUUUUAGGUUUAUUAAUGUAAUUUUUUUUUGUUUUUUUUUUUUCAAUUUUUCAGGAUGAUUCUUAUGUCACAGCUACAUCAGUACCAUUGGAGUUGAUUUUGUGUCUCUCUCUUCUAUAUAUAUGUAUAUAUGUGUAUAAGUUAUUAAAUUUAUCUAUGUACGUGUAUGUAUGUAUGUGUAUGCAUAUGUGGAAAGAAAUGUUGGCAGACUUCAGCAUUUUACUCUUUUUUUUUUUUUUUUGGCAGAAAAUAAGAACUGUGGAGCUGGAUGGGAAGACGAUCAAACUGCAGAUUGUGAGUCAAAAUUUCCUUUUAUCUUGUAUUGAGAGAAAUUCGAUUUGUCUUAUUUAGUGAAGGUUAUGUUCAAGAACCUUGUCUUAUUUUCUUUGUUUGAAGAGUGAUAUGUUGAAAUGAGUGUAUUUGUCUUAUAAACAUCAUUUAGGUAAUGUCUUGGUGAAACCUGUUGUCAUAUGCUGAUUAACAUAGCUAGUCUCGGAAAUAAUUUGUUGAUUCAAAAUUUAAAUUAUGAGUUAAAAUUUGAUGCAGAAUGGGCAACCAGCCUACUGCAAACAAAUCUUCAGGAACAGUUCAGAUGAAGGGACAGCGAAUCCAGCAAAACAGCAACUGCUGUGGUUAGCCGAGCAUGUUAUUUUACUACUACAUGUUAGCUGACUGAUUGUAGACAGUUUUAACUAUGUUGACUGCAUUAUCUUAUGAAUCUUUUAAUCUGUCAAAUAUUUAUUUCCUGCUUUAAGUUCUUUCCCGUUUAUAACAAAUUUAAUUUCUUGCUCCAUUGCAUUCCAAAUUCCUGUCAAUUUACGAGGGAAAAAGAAAAGAGAGACGAAAUGGGAGAAAAUGGUCAAAUUUGUUAGGGGGAGAGAGCUGUUGAAGUAGUUUUUGUUCUCGUUUAUCGUCGUGACCCUCUUGUCGCUUGUCUAUGACCUGGAAGUCCGGUCAUAUCGGAUGGGUUAAGUUACCGAAACGGCAUCAUUUUGGGUGAAAUAUCAUAUUUAUGUAACACUUUUGAUAAUAUUUUUAUGCAACAAAAACAUGUUUGCAGUACCCUUUUCACAUUGUGAAGCGCAUGAUCGGAUGAGAGCAGUCUGGAUUCUGGCAUCACAAGGUAAUGCUUUGAUUUGCUUAGUUUGUUUUUUGUUUCUGAUAUUUUCUCGGCAUCGGGUGGGAUGUUGUUUCUCUUUUGAGUUUCUCUUUUUUUUUUUUUUUUUAAUGGAAUUUGGAGAUAGUGUAAAUGUAUGAAGAUGAAAUUGUUGGGUUGGUUUUGUUAUGGAAUUUGGUUUACUUCACUAACCAUUAAUGAGCAAAACCUCCUAUUGACCCUCAAAAAUCCCGUACAUAAUUAAAGAAUUUCAAUUUUAUAUGUACAUAAAUAAAUAACUGUCAAAUAUAUUAUUUGAUAAUCCCAAAAACAACAAUUCACUCUAAUAAAUCUUGUAGUCAAUACAUGGUCUAUAUUGCAAGUGUUUUCGAGACUAAUUCAAAAAGAAAAUAUGAAAGACAUAUAAUUGACCUUUACCAGUUAUAAAGAACUCUAAAUAAAUUCAUAUACGCAUAGCAGCUAAUUACAGCCUUGAUACUUCAUUAGGUUUUUGUUAAUUUUCUAUACAGUUGUGUUGUGCAUUAAAGUUUUGUUGAUGAAAUCGGUAGGUGAGGAUUAAUUAAUCAAUUAAUUAAGAUCCAGUUAAUGUAAUUAAUUUUAUUUGAUUUUUUUAAUUCGAGUUCUAAAUUUAUCAAUUAAUUUAGAUUCAUGUGAAAUUGAAGUGAAUUAGUUUCGAUCUGUUUUUCGUCCUAUGUUUGUCUGUGUUUACUCUUACUUUUUUUUUUGUUUAAAUUUUUGUUUUCUUAUUGUUUACUGAAUAAAUUUCUGAGCUUUAUUUGAGUAUGAUGAUUGAUUUGUGAUUUUAAUCUAAAUAUGUUGGGCUGCGAUUUAAUUGAGUGAUGUGUGAGUGCCAAAUAUUCAAUAACUGAUAAAUUAUAUUUAUAAAUAUUAAUAGUGAUGGCACAUAAACAAUUAAUUCAAGAACUUGCCCAUAGUGAUUAAUUUAAAGAGUAUAAGUAACAUUGCAGUACAGUUAGCCCUUGCGUGUUUAAUUAGCAAUUGAAAACUACUGUUGCUGAUGAGGUAGAACAUUAUAACACUGUUGCUGAUGAGGCAGCUGGUAAUUCUUCUGGUGAAGAUAUUAAGACUAUUAAAGCUGAAAUGUAAUUAGAGAAAUAUAAUGCAUUCCCUUAGUUUGCUUUUUGUUUUUUAUAUUUGUUUGGCUAAUGCUUUGCUUAGAUUGCUUUUUGUUUUUGAGAUUUUAUUGUUAUGGGAUUUGAUUGUAGUGUACAUAUACGAAAAUUAUGUAAUCAAGUGCUUUCAAUAAAUCAUGAUCGAUUUACUAUUAAUUAAUUAAAUUAAAUUUACUCAAAUUACUCAUGUACACGAUCAAAAUAAAUUUAAUUACAUGAUAUAUAUACACGCGCGCACACAUAAACAAAAUGUAAUUAACUUUGAAAUAUAAAAUAUUUAAAAUAAUCACCUUACUAACAAUUCACAAGUUAGAUUUUAUAUAAAUAGACGAAAUAAUGUUAAUCUAGCGAAUCCAGUCAUAAUAAAUUGAUUUUCAUUUAUAUUAAUUAUGUCGAACCAUGUUAUUUUAAUAAAGAGCACUUGAGAAUAUAUAUAUCCAAUAGGUAAAAUUUCAAAACAAUAUUUGCAAAAGUCUGACUAAGAGAAUAUACACGCACGCACGUAUAUAACUGUACAACAGAAGGAUAAAUAAAAGAAAAUGAAGUUUCAACAGCUAAAUAAUGCAAACUCAUUUUUUUAACAAGCAUUUUAUUGUUUAACUAAAAAAUUCGAAAACCCAUUAAAUACAUGUAAGGACUCACCGACGCCGAACCAUAUUAAUUUAAAUUAGUUUUCAACUGAGAUUUGAAUUUUGAAAUUACAUACACAAACAAGCCCAUUUUUUUAAAAUACUAAUAAUAAAAUAUUUCAUUUUUCAUCUAUUACAACAAGAGGCAUAAUCGCAAAAGUGAAAAAUAUUUCAUUUAACAAGUCCCAAUAUUGUCCUCCAUCCUUUCUGCACUUCUCUGCUAUCAACGGACAACUCCAGAUCCAUAAUCGCAAAAGUGAGGAAGGCAGUCAUCCUCUGUUCAAUUAUCAAAAACUCCUUUUACCAUCCAUUUGAACAUACACAAACACGCCCAAUUUGAAAAAAAAAUAGUAAUUUUAAAAUAUUUCAAUCGUCCACUGUUCCGUCACCAAAAACCAAUUUACCAUCCAUUUCAACGCCUAAUUUGAAAAAAGAAAAUACUACUAAUAAUAAAAUAUUCUAGUCGUCCAUCCUUUCACAAAUAGGGAUGGCAAUUGUACCCGCAAACCCGCAAACCCGCCCAAAUCCACCCGCCAAAACCCGCCCGUUGCGGGUAAUUUUAUCCGUUGCGGGCGGGUUUAGUAUUAUAAAUUAAAACCCGCAUAUGGAUGCGGGUGGGUUUGGUAUUAACCUUAUACCCGGUGGAUACCCGCAUGGAUAUCCACCAAACCCGCAAUAAUUUUUUUCAAAUAUUUUUAAUUUAAUUUAAAUAUAAAAAUAUAUAAAGAAAAUAAUGUAAUUAAUCAAAUUACCAAAUAGCAAAAGGCUCAAAGUUGUGUAUGUGUGUAUAUGGCUCAUCUCUUAUUCUAAAGUCAUAACCUAAAGAAAACUAAAGGCAUUUCCCUUCGAAUUAGUAUUUGAAAAUAUUAAUCUUAAUUAUUAUUUUAGGCAUUGUGUUAGAUGGGUGCUUAUGGUGGUGAAUAAAAUAAAUAUAUUCUCUUUGAUCUUGUUUUAAAUGAUAAUAUGAAAUGUAAUUAUUAUUUUUAGAUAUUAGUUUGUGUUUUUUAAAUAGAUUUGUAUAAUUUAUACUUAAAUUUGAGAAUUUGUGUUGAAUUGAUGUGGAAAUUUUAAUUUUUCAUUUACACUGUUUAAAUAUAAAAUUGAAUAUGUUAUAUGGAACUUGAGGUUAUUAUUAUAAAUUUAUAUAUUAAAUAUUUGUGAUUUUAAAUACGGAAACCCGCAAAAAAUCCGUCGGAUACCAUUGCGGGUUUGGUAAUUGUUAAAACCCACUGCGGGUGGGUUUUUUAAAAAAAAUUAAAACCCGCUGCGGGUUGCGGGUGGGUUUUGUAAUUUAAAUUUUGUGCGGGUUUGGGUUUGGUAAUGGCAAACCCGCUGCGGGCGGUGCCCAUUGCCAUCCCUAUUCACAAAUCAAAAACCCAUGUAAAAUCUAUUGCAACAUCGGGUAUAUGGGUUAACAAGUCCCAAUAUUGUCCUCCAUCCUUUCUGCACUUCUCUUCUGUCAACGGACAUCCCACGAUCUGUAAUUGCAAAAGUGAGGAAGGCAGGCCCUUCUCCGGAAAGUAUUUGAGCUUGGGACAAUUAUGGAGUUUCAAUUCAGUGAGGUUUUGAAGAUCAACAAUUGAGGAAGAUAGGCGUUCCAGAUUUGGAAAAUCUUCAAUCCACAGAGAUGUUAGAGAGGCAGGAAGAGGAAGCGCGGUCCCUAAUCUUUUGUCCUCUAGUGGAAAUGACACCAUGUCGUCAUCGCAUCCUCUGAUUCUAAGUUCUCGCAGAGAGGAGAAUCUGUGGAAUCCCCGACCCCACUCAAUCGUUGACUUCCAAAUCUCCAUAUUACCCAAAAUAUAAACUGACUGAAGAUUGGUGGGAAGGCCAUCUUCUUCAAGGCUUGGAAGCGCACCUCCUAUUGUUAAGUCUUGAAGAGAGGUCAGAUUGUGCAAUCCCUUGGGUAAGGCCUCUAGUCUCUUACAAUCAGAUAUCCCCAGCCACCUGAGUUUCGCACAAGGCAAUCCCCCUUCGGGAAAGGACACCAGAUUUCCACACCACUGUAUAGUAAUCCCUCGAAGCUGCCGGAGAUUAUGUAAACCACUCGGUAAAAUUUUCAGAUUUUCACAACUAUGAAUUUCCAGAUUUUCAAGAGAUGUGUUGUUGUCCAACCUUUCUGCUAUUGACUCCAGCUUUGAACAUCCACAAACAUAAAGGGACUUAAGAGACGGAGGUAGAUUGCCAACUUCAAGGGACUCAAGCGUGGCAGGUAACUCGUUUUUUGAAAAUAUACAUUUCAGUGAUCGACAACUGUAAAUUGUUAACUUCUCAAGAAGAGAUGAGGUGUACCUUCUGCUGCUGCUGCUACUCUGGAUGCCCUCUUCCACUGUCAAAGUCCUUAUAUUAUCACAAUCGCUGAUGCUCAGCUGCUUGAGGCUCGGUGGCAGCUGGACUUCAGCAAUAUAUCUCAACGAAUGGCAAUAAUCAAUAUACAAGAUCUCGAGAGACGAAUUGGUGUCGCACAUCCAUGCCUCUGGUAAAGAUUUCAGUGCGUCACAUUCUCUAAUCUGAACUUUCUUCAACUUGGAAGGCAGAGCAACCUCAGGAAAGGAAACAAGGGAACUGCAGCCGUGGAUUUCUAUCUCUCUCAAGGAACUGAGGUUGAGCGAUGAUUGUGGCAGCUUCACAAGGCCUUCGCAAUUACUCAAUCCUAGAUAUUCAAGUCUGCAUGACAACUCGCAGAGCUGCUGUUGUUGGUCUUUCUCUUCCUCCGCGACCAAGGAUUGAAGUUUGGGACAGCUUGUAAUCGUCAGUCUUCUGAGAGAGCAAAUGUCUUGCAGUAAUUCGUUAUGACUCUUCCAUAUAUGUGUUUCAUUUUUCAUAUUAUUUAUCCCCAAUUCUCCCAGUUUUGGUAUUCGCGGCUUCAAUGGCCCUGCGAGAAACACUUGAUUUGAUGUAUCUCUACAAACCACUGAAUUCUGUGAGCCGAGAUGAUCAGUUGCACUUCUCCACACAGCCUUUUUACAUCCACCAAUUUCAAUUUUGCAAAGAGCUGGAAGACUUGCAACUGAAACUAACAAUUCUUCACAUCCUCCAAUUACAAGCAUCUCCAAUGCAGGAAGGUGUUCUGGAAAUGUUCCUUGCAGCUUAGAACAGCUUAUAAUAUGAAGCUCUCUCAAUUUAGGAAACCCUUCAACUCCCUGACCAGAUCUAAGAGGAAUCCAGUCUUCCCAUUCUUGCAUGUUUUCAAAACGAAGAGUCUCCAAGCAUGGAAAAGCAAUCGGGGAAUCAUUCCCAUAGAACUCUGAACCCAAACUCUUUACUCUACUCAUUCCACGCACUGCAAGAUGCUUUAGAGAGGAUAGUUGCCCGACUGACGGCAAGGUAGUACACACGCCGCAAUCUUCAAAUUUAAGUGUUACUAAAUUUGAGAAUGAGCAAUCUCCUAACCAUGUUGGAAAUUUUGUACCUCCAUAGCCACAGAUACCAAAUUGUUCCAGAUUUUUAUGGGGUUUGAGCAUGUCAAGCACACCCAUUUCAGUUUCUGCCUCCCUUGAAGAUGAACCGUCGGUGCUGCAAGUCCAAUUAAGCGAUAAUUCUCUAAGACUCUCCUUUACAUCCAACCGAGCCUCCUUUGCAUCACCAAUGUCUUUUACAUUCCCUAAAUUUGAAAUUUUAAGUGUCCCCUGAAGAUGUAUCAAUGACUUUAGCUCUCGUAACCCAGAACCAUUGUCUUUUCCCACAGCAAAAUUACUCAACGUCUGAAGACAAGUCAGCUUACCAAUUCCUACUGGCAUUUCCUCCAACGAAUCUGUAUUUGAAUUAUUGAGAUGAUGCAAUUUGAUGAGGUUUCCCGUGGCUGCACACAACUUCUUCAGUCGCCGACAGUCUUCCAACAGAAGGGUGUGCAAAUUGUAAAGCUUGCUGACUGAUUCAGGCAGAGUUUUAAUCUCAGUUCCAGACAGGUUAAGGUGCCUUAAAUACCUCAAAUCACCAACUGAAUCCGGCAGCUCGGAGAUGUGAUAUCCACGCAAAGAGAAGACCCUCAACCGUUGGAGUUUGAACAACUUAGGAAGAAUGCUAUGAGCCAAGUAUCCACGCGAACUAUUUGUCAACAUUACUGGUAAAAAAGUUCGCAAAUGUUGGAUAUCAUACAAGCCCUCAAACCUUUUAACGCCAUCACAUGCUCCACCAAUGUACGAUAGAUGACGAAGAUUUUUGGAAAAACUUUGUUGCUUGUUAACCUCUGAGGUAUACUCCAUUGUGAAGUACAUCUCCCCUGCAGCCCAAUGGGCAAGGUCGUUGACAAGGUCGUGCAUCACAAAUCGUGAUUUAUUGUUGCUUGAUUGCUGAAAAAAAGAUCUUGAACGUAGCUCUUGAAAGAACUUUCGACCUAGAUCUUCAUUAGGAUUCCCGCUCUCUUUGUGAUCCAAGAAACCCGAAGCACACCAUAAUAAAAUUAUCUCCUCCUCUUCAAAUUCAUAAUCCUUUGGAAACAAUGAGCAGUAUGCAAAGCAUUGUUUCAAAGGUGCCGAAAGAUAAUAGUAGCUCACUCUAAGCGCCGGUAUAAUGUCACAUCUCUCUUCUGGUAAAUCCCAUAUCUUGCAACUGAGCACACCUUCCCAAUCACUCCGGUCAAGUUUACCACGCAAGAGACCACCAAGAGUUUUCGCAGCUAAGGGCAAGCCGUUGCAUUUGAUCACUAUCUUCUUGCCAAUUUCCUCCAAUGACUUGUUUGAACUGAAAUCUCUUGUCCCCAAAGAGUGUUGAGCGAACACAGACAAACAAUUAUCAUCUGACAACUUCUCUAAUUGAUAAGCCGGAGCAGUCCCCAUGAUUUCUGCAACCCCUUGAUUACGAGCUGUGACAAUAAUCUUACUUCCCGGUGCGCCAGCUUCAAAUGGAGGUCUGAGUCGAUCCCAACCAUUGUAAUUCUCAUUCCAAACGUCAUCUAAAACAAGCAAAAAUUUCUUUUGAGAUAACUUCUUCUUCAGCUCCUCUUGAAGCAAAUUUAAAUCACUGUCAUCAGUAGUCUGCUUAGUAAUGGAUCUUAGAAUUGUUUUUGUUAGCCUGAUAACAUCAAAAUCAUCAGAGACACAAGUCCAUGCCUUGAGAUCAAAAUGACCCUGCACUCGAGCAUCAUUAUAGACAAGCUGAGCGAGAGUGGUUUUACCCAGCCCGCCCAUGCCUAUGAUAGGAAUAACAGAGAAUUCACCAUCAUUUCUCAAAUCAUCCCUCAACAACAAUUCAACAAUUUCCUUCUUUUAUGCUUCCCUGCCAAAUACCUUGGCUUCAUUCACCAAAGAGGUUGUGGGUAGUCUUUGCCUGUCUUUUUUGGACCCCCCAGUUGAACUUUCUUUCAAAUCCAGCAAGUCUUUCUGUGUCACAAUUUCUUGAAAUCUGCCGUUGAUCUCUUUGAUUUUGGACAUCAAGGCAUAAUCGAACUGAAUCUAUUGUGGAGUAAAAGUGGUGCAGCAAGUAGGAAUGAGCUUCCGAAACUUACUUGUUCUUGUACGACUGCUACUGGGUUGAUCCUGAGCCGCAGCUGGAUCUCCAUUUCCAAGCAGCAACCUCCUCCGGAAAGCCUCAGUUUGAAACUCAUCCAACAAGUCUUCAACAUCAUAAGCGAAGUUCUGAAGCUUGCCAAGCCACUUCUUCACAAACUGAUUAGUCGUCUUCUUCUCCUCAGCAUCAUCAAGCACCGCCUUGAUCAUCUCCAACAUAUUCGCCCACUUCAUCAGAUCGGCCUGGAUUUGCUCUUGGCGUGCAAAAAACAGAAUCCCCUCUGAAGCUAACUUAUUGACCAGCAAAUCAACGGACGCCGUAAGGAUUGCCUCUCCGAUGAUUGACAUUUUUUUCUUUUUUUUUUUUUGUUUUGCAAAGAAAGAAACAGAAUUUUGAGUUUUGAAAAGCAAAAUGAGAAAAUUGAACAAUAAAUGUGGAGGGUCAAGCAAAAUGCGCGUAACAAGUCUUCCGCUUGUUGUUUAUUCCAGGAAAGUGCAAAUAAAAACAGAGCCCACCACCCAUUAAUAAUUGAGCAAUUCACCAAUCACGAGUCACCACCACUCGUUACCAUGAAUAUAAUAAAUUGCACCUUGAUAUUUGCAGGGUCCAGCAACAUUGACCCAGUGUCCGGGUAAAUGCUGAAUAACGAGGAAAAUGGAAUGUAUCCCCUACGAACCUUCGCUUUACUAGUCUUCAAACUCAUAAACCAAGUUAAAUCAAAAUGUUUAUCUCUCUCACCCUUUUUGCCAUAUAAUUACUUUAUUUAUUGAAUUAAUUUCCAUGCUAAAACGAACACUUAAAAGUGCACUACAAUUUUUUAUAAUCACUACUAUCAUGUUAUCUUAAUGUCGUGUCAAAAUAAAUUAUAAUAAUUUUUUUUUUACAUAAACACUCUUUUUAUUUAUGAAUUUCUCAAUUUUUAAUAUUUUUUUCACUCUUUUAGUCUUAAUAUUUGUAUUUCUCUCUUUAAUCUUUCUUUAUUACUUAAUUUUUAAAGAAAAAUAUAAAAAAAAAGAAAAAUAUUAUACUUAAAAAAUAGUGUAUAUUUUAUGGAUCUAAUACAAACUGUAUUGUUUUUGACAAUGAAAGUCAAGCGAAAAAUCUCGCUCAUAGAAAACUUUGUGAAAGGCAUUUGAAUGUGUGGCCACAUUUUCCGAACGAAACGAUGAGGCUUUAGCCUUAUAAUUGCAAUUAGUUUGUCUUGUAACUAAAUUAUUGCCGACAAACACCAUCAUGCUGACAAACCGUGCAUGCACGUCCUCAAUCACCCACGUCCUCUACUUGUGUGAACCGUGAUUCUCAAAGACUUCGACAUCGUAUUUCCCAUUAUUUCCCGUACUUUAUGCGUUAUUGUUUUGUGGACUUGACUAGCUUACAGAAUCUGUAAGCUACAGACUGCAGCAUCAGCCGUUGGAUGUGGUUGGAUGUGGAGUGAGAAACUAAACAAUAGAAAAUCGGAUGGUGGGAUGACGGGAGAUGUUUGUUACAGAAUCUGCAGCAUAGACAGGUCCUUGUUUUGUAUGUCUUUUGGUGUUUGCGGUGUAGUUAGGGAUGGUAGCGGGUAGGGUCUGGUACGGGUUUGACAUCACCAAACCCACAUCUACAAAAAAUUUUAAUUACUAAAUUCGCUGUGGGUUAUAUUUAAUUUUAUUUUUUUUUAACGAAGCCCAUUCACUGUCGGUUUGAUUGGUGCCUAGUGGAUAUUUUGCGAGUUCCCACGUAUAAAAUCACACUUGCAACAAAAUCUAAAAAUUUAAAUUACGUAAUUCAAAUCAUAAAUUUAUAAUUGUUGCCUAAAAAACCACAUAAAAUAUUUAGUUCUACAUUUUAUUAAUGUAAAUGAGAAAUGAAAAUAUCAACAUUAAAACAAAUAUACAAAAUAUAUCCAUUUAACACGAAUUCUUAAAUUUAAUUACCAAAUAAAUAAGCCUAUCACAACUCGAAGUGUUUUCAAUUGAAAAGAAAAAAGAGAAAGAGAAAAAAACAAAGAACUACAAAUCAAAGUAGCACCCAUAACCUAUUUCAUAGGCUCAUUUGACACCAAGAUCUUAGAAUUAAGAUCUUCAAUUCACUCAUUACCACUAGCACCCAUUCAAUGUAGUUUGUCUAAACAAAAUAUAAAGUACAAAAUUACAAUAAGCAUAUGAUACUCCAUACUUUAUGUUAAAGAUCCUUAUAUAAUUUUAUGACUAUUUUUAGUGAAAUUUUAUGAUUAAAGUUAAAAAUAAAAAUAUUAAAAUAAGAACGUUGGACACCUGCGCAACUAUUUGCCAAAUUUUUUCUCUAUAAAAAUUCACUUGCAACUUGCAGCAGGUUUAAAUUUAUAAUAUCAAACUUGAUUGUAGCUCGCAAAAUUUUUAGAUUUGCGAUAAUUUUGCCACCCUAAGUGCAGUUAGUAUUGUAUAUCAUGUGUUUCCAAUUGGCUCUUAUAAAAAGCCUAGAAGUUGUUUGAAUAAUGAGGGAGACAAAUAUUUCCCAAAGAUAUUCUCUUUUUCAAUUUUUUUUCUUUUCUCUAUUAUUGUAACUUCAAAUCCUUAAAAAUUACAUAUUAUAGACAUGAACACAAUGUUUUGACAUAGUGGCUUUUGGCUUGUCCAGAGAAAUUUAGGAUAGAUUUUGAUGUACUAAGGCUCUGUUUACUAUUGAGAUUUUGGAACUUUUGAGCCACACUUGAAAUUUGUUUAAUUCUAAUAGAGUUGUAGCUUUCGAUAUGUGAUUGGUAUUAAUCAAGUGUUAUGUUUACAGCAGUUAAAGGCAUAUUGAAUCAAAGUCCACUUUUGAUUGAGAUUUUAAAGUAGGUUUUUAAUUUGAUAGCCACUCAAGUUCAAAUAUUGGAACCACAGUGCACCUUUCACUUGCUAGGCUUUAACCAAACAGACGACGUUAUACAAACUUCUAUCCAAUAAGGCAAUGCAAACAAAAGCAAGUGAAUUAAAAAUAAAUAAUUUCUCAUUAAUUUGCAACAAGUAUUAAUAAAGUGCAUGAGAAAAUAUGUCUUUUUUUAAAUGAAAAUAAAUGUGUUAAUUAGUCAAUUUAAAUGGUACGAUGUUUUGAAAUGAUAGAAGCGAUCUGGAGUUUAAAUCUUACUCUUGACGUAAUAUUUAAUAACGAAUUUGAAGAACAAUUAAAAAUUAAAAAAAAAAUGCUUUCUUUUUUAACGAUGGUAAUUUGUUGAGAUGAUGAAAAUUCUUAGAGUGGUAUAAUAAGUAUUUUUGAGUGUUGCCAUCGCGAAUAAUAUUUAAUUUCCUUUAUAUAGUUAUAUCUCAAGUAACAUUUAAACAAAAGCAAGUUGGAAAUUAAAAAAAAAAUGAACCAUUGAGAGAAUGAAAAACAAACAAAAAAAAAGUUAAAAAAUUGUAUCUCAAUAAAUUUACUUGAGAGCUACUCUACUGAUCUGUGAAGAAAAAACACAAAGAAUGAUGAUGUAUCUCAAUUAAUAGGACAGUUUUUGUAUUCUUCGUUUACUCAAUAAUCACGAAACUUCAUUUAAACUUGUUACUUCAUUGAUAAUAUAUUAACAUUGAACAAUGUAGGGAACAUUCCUUUCCAAUUAUGCCCAUAUAUUAACCAAAGGCCACCAAAAAGUUCAGGAAUACUAUAGUAAUUUAAGUCAACAAUCUCUGUGCUUGAAAUCAGCCGAUCAAACUCACUUUAGAAUAAACUGAGAAAUCAAAAUCACAUUCUCCAAUUCUACGAUUUCAAUUUAUCUUCUUUCUUCAACUGAAGAAUUGGUUGUAUCUCGUUUAGAUAAAUAUAAAAUAUAAAUGACGAGGAGACUGGAAAAGUAAAAUCAAAAGCAGAGCACGAGUUUUGUUGAAAAUGACUCUUUUUCAUCAUUUUGCCAGAGUGAAUGUAUCUACAUAUAAACUAAAGAAGCACGUUUGUUUGUAUUAGCUUUUUUAUUAUAUUUUUAAUAAUAAGUCAUUUUUCAAUGAACUUAUAUCAAUUUUUACGAAAAUAAUAGGUGUUAGUUAGUUGAUUCAAAUGGCAAAACCUCUUGGGAUAGAGCUUGUAAUUUAUUGGCUCAUGAAUUGUCUAAAUUGACACUACCGAAGCCAAAUUAUUGUAUUUGGUUAAAAAAGCUCCUGCUCAGCUUCAACUUUAUUAUUCUAUGAUGUUUGUUAAUAAAUAACAAUUUUAUUGAAAAAAAAAAAAGACCCCUUGUCCUUAUACAAAAGAUUUGGGAUCUGAAUCUGACUCGAAUUUAGCUUGAGGUUGACAUUGUUAGCAUAAUAAUUGAAGAUAGAUUUUUUUAAAUUAAAAAUCAAAAGAUAUAUAUAUUUUUUUGGUUCACACUAGUUAGUUUUAACUAUAGUGAGAUUUAAACAAAAGCGGAAUAAUAAAUCUUAACAUCCUGACUCAUGGAUAACAUCUACAUAAGAUAGUAAAAUCUAUUAUGUCUAAAAUAAGAGGUUUGAAGUUUGAAUUUCGCUUACAUAGGUAGUAAGAGAAUCAAAUUAUUGUUAGAUUAAAGUAAUUAAAACAAUUAUCUGAUGUCCAAAACAACGUAUCAACAAAAUUGAAAUAAAAGAAAAUUGAAGAGAAAAACCAUUGAGAGAACGAAAAAUUAACACAAGAUAAAUUCGAUAACUAAUUGUAUCAGUGUGCGCCAACUCCACUUAUUAAAACUUGGUUAUUUCAUUUUCAUCGAUAAUCAUUUUGACAACGAUUUUUCUUUCUAGCUAUGCCCAUGAACUAAUAAGAGAACUGCCGAAAGGGUUCGGGGAUAAUAUAGUAAUUUAAAUUAACAUUUUCUGUGCUUCAAAUCAUCAAAUCAAACUCACACUUCACAACAACAGAGAAAUCAAACUCACGGUUUCUCUCAUUUUUAAUUUGUUAUAUAAAGAUAAAUAUAUAAAUUUAAACGGCGAGAAGACCGGACGAGGAAUACGAUUACUUGUUCAAAUUGGUAUUAAUCUAAAAAUAAUAAUAUUAAAUAAAACACCUGUAACUUUAAGACAUGCAUAUUCUCAAAGCACAAGUGGAGCCGAGAGGCUGGGAGUCGUAAUGGAAAAAAAAUUAAAACACCAUUUACUAAAUGUUAAAUGUUACUUUUUGAUUAAUCUCAUAAGCAACAACAGUUUGACAUAAAUAUCUUAAAUAAAUAUUUUAAUAAACUUUUUAGACAAUGGUAUUGGAGAUUAUUAUUUUUUAAAAUCUGAGAAUCAACUACGAAUCGAUGGGUAAACUCUAAAAAGACUAAUGGUAAAAUUACCCGCCACCAAAAAUUCGUAACAAAUCCCAAGUACUUAUCAAUAAAAGCAAGCGGAAAGAAGAAGAGGCCUGGCUGGCCAUCCUAAGUACUUAUCCGGGUCAUGGGUCAUGAGUCAUUGCCGUAUAAAAAAUUUUGAAAAUUCCAAAUGAAAAGAUAUUUUGAAAUUGGGCAGCUGGCCUUUUUUCCUUGCUAUUAUCUACAAUAUUUAUUUUUGCAAUCCGCAUGCAUGCUCGGUUAUGAUCACCCACGUGAUCGGUAUUACGUUUUUUUUAUCUUCUUAUUGACAAAUUAUUUAGUGUGCGGACUCCAUUCAUGCUCCCACGUUAAUCUUUCCAAAUUUUGUGCAAUAAAAGUUCGGCCGAUCCGCUAUUCACUUUGCCACAGAAGCGAGACCUCGCAAAAGCAACUUAAUUACUUCUUGAGUUUUAAUUUGGAAAGUGGAGGUUUCUUCUGAUUUGAACAAUAUGGAAACUACCGCUGCAAGUUUUUUUUUUUUUGGGCGAAUUUCAGUUGAAUAUCAUUUAUAAUUCUUAUUUCAAUAUAUUUAUAAAUAAGUUUAAUAAUAUUAAAUUUUCACUUAAGAAUGACCGGUGGGAGGGUCAUGCAGAUGUGCCUGAUUUGGGUGUUGGAAUAUUUAUAGUGGCCCAUGUGCCACAUUAUUGAAUUAGCAAUAAUUUAAAAUUUAAAUGAUAAAAUAAAUAAUGGGCCAAAAUGGUCAAUUGGGAAAAUCUAAUUGCCCACUUUAAUGGAAAGUGGAAAUAAGAGUUUUAUUGAAAUUGAUUUUCUCUCUAUAUAUAUAUAUAUAUCGCGUUAAUUUUCGUUCCAUCAAAAAAGCAAAUCACUCUAAAGGGGUCAAGAGAUAAAAAUUAAUUUUACUAAUCUUUAAUUAUUUACCGUGAGAUUUGAUCAAGAAGAUUGUUAUGGAUCAAGAUAUGUUUUCUCUCAAUUAUGAUGAUGUGAAAAUCAUGAUAUUCUAUGAUCUUAGGGAUUGAAGUUUAUGUAAAUUAAGGUUUAUUUGCUUUAUAAGAGGUGUAAAAAUUCUCAACAACCGGUAGCAGAGCAUGGUUUAAGAAUUUAUGAUUUUCUAUUAAGAUAUGUAAUAACCCUUUCUUAAUUUUCAAUUGUCCUUACGAGUAUAUGUCAAUUUGGAUUUUUAUUCCACAUAUACAUAAUGUAUAAAGAAAGUUACUGGCAUAGAAAUUUUUUGCAAAAAAAAAAAAAAGAAUUCAAAGAUGUUUUUGACUGCUGGCGGCACAUUACAUAAAGAUGAAAUUAGGUUAUCUUUUCUAGUUUUUCAUGAGACACCCUAAGGUUUAUUUAGUUUAUGUUUUUCGCCAAAGUUUAGAAUGUUGUUUCAUUUAAGUCCAAUUGAAUUUGCAACGGCCAUCACAUGCUGUCUUCAAGCCGAAAUUUAGGAGCAAUUGCAUGUGACAUUUCAGUGUAGUCCCUGAUAUUCUAUUUUAUUAAAUUAAAGAUAUGAUUAAUUGGAUUUAGUAUGAUAAAGGCGCCGACUUUAUGUGCAUCAAGCCUUAUAAGUUUUGUUCUCAUAAUUUUGAAUGCUUCCGCUCAUUAAUUAAUGAUCUCCGAAAUUUCUUAAUGUUCCAAUUUUAAUGUUUGAAAUUUGAAUUGAUGGUUGUGGUUUUAUUUACUUUAUUAAAGAAAUUACUUUGUUAUAAAUGUUCAAUUUGACAUUCAUAUUAUGAUAAUUUGUUAGUUACUAAAGUAGCCAAAUUAAAAAGUUUUCAUAGAUGUCAAAUUAAAUUCAAUUUCAAGUUCUCAUAAUUAUUGUGAUGCGUAUCAUUUAAUGACAUGAUGAUCUUGUUGUAUGAGUAUAUUGAAAUUCAUAGAUUAUAAAAUAUUUAGGAAUUGCUCAAAGGUUGAUUAAUUAAUUUUAUAGUAUAUGAUCAUGAUUGUGGGUAAUUAGUAUGCUUGUUUAGAUAUGUUUAGUAUAUCCAAAGAUAGCAAGCAUGUCUAGUUUAUGUAUAGUUGAUUACUGAUUAUGUGAAAUUAAAGUUAAGCAUCAAUUAUGUUUAUUGCAGUGUAUUGUUGUAUCACCAAAUAAAUUAAGCUUCAUAAUUUUAUGUUAGUAAGUAUUAAUAAAUUAAUAUAGGUAACAUUAAAUAAUUUAAAUUAGCUGUAGAAAAUUUUAAAAUAUUUUAUUGAUGAUAAAAAAAUUAGCGAUUAUUAUAUCAUGAAUUAAUUGAUAUGUAAAUUAUUUAUUUAUCAAAAUUAUUUUUCAUUUAAUUAAAUAUUAAUUGAGGUUUAAAAAUUAACAUGGUAUUGUAUUUUAUGGUCCUGACCCCCAUCUCUAAAUUAGAAGCAAUUCUCAAACCCGUCCCAUCUCUAAGGAAAGUUUCGUCUUCAGCAUAAUAACUAUAUAAUAUCAUAAUUCACCCCAAUUCUGUUUUUGAGGUUUUUUGGGGCCCAUACCCGAUCCCAAUUCAUCGCGAGCCAGCACAUGAGUCCUGCUCGCGGAUUACAAAAGCAAAUAUUGUGGAUAAUAGCAAGAUAAAAAUUGUGGCGGGUACAUAACGCGAAACAAAUAAGAUUACAAUUAAAUUAAACGCGAGAAAUUACUUUUCUAGCAAAAGCUUAAUCCAACCCCUCCAUUACUUCUUUUUUUUUUUUUUGGUAAAAAGGGGCUCUAGGCAGAGCUAAAGAACAAUCGAGCGAGAAUGGGCAACCCCAUAAGCAUCCUUAAACAAAAAGGGUCUAGCACCCAACGGGGGAGUAUGGUAGAUAGUAAGACCAAGAGGAAUAGAGAAGGCUAGGCUCGCCAUAUAAUCCGCUGCGAAGUUAGCUUCUCUGUAAAUAUGGGAAACAGAAACUUGCCAAUCCAUCUUUAGAUAAUCCUUGAUAGCUCGAAUCAGAGGAGUAUAGUGAUUGAUUUCCAAUGUUGGCUUGGUCACCAACUGCAGCACACAACAACUAUCUAUUUCCACUUUAAGCUUUCUUAUACCAGAAUUCCAGGCUAGCUGCAACCCUUGAUACAAACCCCAAAGCUCCGCUACUGUAACAGAGCAGGAACCUAUCAUCAUCCCAAAACCACUUAUCCAGCGACCCAUGUGAUCGCGAAUCAAUCCCCCAGCAGAAGAAAUUCCCUCCCUGUUAUGGGCACCAUCCGUGUUCAGAGAGCACCAAGGCCAAUCUGGAGGUUUCCAAGAAAUCCAUCUCAUCACUCUUGUAUGUCCUGAGGUAAGCGGAUGAGAAUGAAUCUUAUGCAUUUCCGCAGUGCGCAUAAAAACAUCCAUUAAAACAGUAUUCGGAUCCAUAGAAACUUGAUUAAAGAUGAAUUGGUUCCUCCAAAACCAAAGUCUCCAGAGAGCAAUACCAAAGAAGAUGGCCCAAUUAGAAACACUCCCUAGCCCUCCGACCAUUCCCAGGUUCGUACGAAGCCAAUCAUGGAGCCGCCAAUUGAAGAAUUGUUGUCGUUUAUUUUCUGGGAGAAUCAGGAGCCAGAAACGCUUAACCAAAGCACAGUCCCGCAAGACAUGCAUAGCAUCCUCAGUCGCAGCCCCACACCGGUCGCAGGAGGUUGAUACCGGGAUGUGACGACGAACUAAUUCGGCCUUAGUUUUCAGACGAUCGUGAAAUGCUUGCCAUAAGAAGAUCCUCACACUUUGGGGACCCUUCCAACUCCAAACCGUACGCCAGAGCCUGUCAUCAUGCAUGGGAGUAUCAUUCGAAAAGGCCAAGUAGGCCGAGUGAGUAGUGAAACGCCCAGAUUUGGAGUGAGUCCAAAACAAAGAAUCCGUACCCUUAUCAGGGGAUGGGGGAUGAAAAGCCGCAAUCUGAAUAAUGAUAUUAGCAGGAAGAAAUUGUUCAAAACGCUCCCAGAGCCAGGAACCAUCUUCUUUAACAAAAUCAGCCACUUUACCGUUUAAGAUAUUGCUAGGAAGAUUAUUGGUUGUAUAAGCCGCAAGAGGGACAUCCUUAGUCACCCAAAGAUCCCACCAAAACCAAACGGAUUUACCAUCUCCCAAGCACCAGCGUCGGCUUGCCAAAACAUCACUCCACACAUUUCCGAUAGACUUCCACAAGUGAGAACCAUAGCGCGUUGGAAUGAUGUAUUCUUUAAUUAUUUUUCGUUAUUUUACUUCCUGUUCAUCAAGUUUGUGAUGUUUACAACAAUUAUUCAUUUGAAAAGUUAUCCAAUGAUGUCAAUACGUGAAAAUUGAGAAUAUGUAUAGCGAAAAAAGUUUUCUUCCUCCUCCCUUAUUGAUUCAAAUUAAAAAAAUUUUAUAACGGAUUUAAUGUGGUUUAAAAGUUCAAUUUUAUAUAACAUUUUAACGACAUAAACGGAACAGAUCAAUCACAUAAUCGAGCAUAAUGAUAAGAAUCUUCUUGCUAUAUGUGCAAGAUGAAUUAUAUAAUCUUGAUUUUGGAAAAUGUGAUCAGAGCUGCAAAAAUGAAGAUUAUUUAACCUUGGAUGACAAUGAUUAAUACCCGUCCAUUUCUCCUAAGCUCUGUUUCUUACUUUGAUGCGCACGUGACUUGAGAGCUUCAUCUUCCUCUAGCUUCCUUUCGUGAAACGUACUACCAAAUAACAGUAGCCUACUAACAAAUUAAGAAAUAAUCCAAUAUCUUUAGUACAAAUCCAAGUAGUCUCAUUUUGACUUUGAGCAAGCUUUUUAAUUCCACACUCAGAGACAAAAUUUUGUGAAUUCACAUUAUUUAACAAAAUAAUUAACAAAUUAAUUGUGAUUAUGGUUGACGAUCAUUUUGAUAAGCAUCAUAAACAAAAUGACUGUUGUAGAGGCCGAAAUUCCAAAAGUUUCGUUGCAUAUUUAGUGAAAUAAUGCAAGGACGAAGUAUCACUUAGCUGUAAGAAUUAGCCACCCAACAAUUUGUGGAGUUUGUUUUAGGUAAAAUAAAUAAAUAAAUAAAUAAUAGAGAGCAUAAUUAAGCCAACAUGGAUAGACUAACUUAAACAAUAUAUUGCACACAAUGAUUAUUUUUAUUAACUUUCUUUUUCAAGAAGACAUGGUACACAAAAGUAAAAAAAAAAAAUCUCUUGUAUAGCUCAAGAGAUUUUAUAAGUUGAAUUAAGCCAACAGAGACACUCACACAAUUGAUAGAUAAUGAUAACCCAUUAUUUUAUUUAACUAAUAUAAUACGGAAAGAGUAACUUGUACUUAACCAGUGUAGUCGGGAUUUCUUCCAUGUUGAGGGACAAUAAGGAGAUCCAGAUUGUCGUUCAUGCUCUCAUCAUUAAAAAUACUGAUCAGAGAUAUUAGAUCACCCUCAGACCACUCGACCUUCCCUAAAAACUCACAACAACAAUUAUAUUCAUUAAUACAUAUAUUAAAAUAAAAAUUAUAAAUGACAUUCAACUGAACAUGGCCUGAGAACCUGGAUAAGGAACUUCUAUGUUCUUCAAAUUAGAAAAGAUAUCUUCUAACUUCUGGUGAACCGUAAUCGAAAUUGAAGUUGCUUUUGUUUCUGGUUUGAUAAUAUGUUGUUGAUGUAUUUAUUUACGAGUCUUCAUAUAGUAUAGUGCUGUAUGCAAUACAGCCCCUUCAACAGUAAAAAGGAAACUUGAACAACCGAUAUUUUACCGGUUGUACAUUUAAUAAAUUUUUAAAAAUUAUUUUUAAUGCAGAAAAAUAAAAUAAAACGGAAAAAAUUAAGGAAAAUUUGUAAAUAUUUAACACAAACAAUAUUUGAGAAAAAAAUAUUUUUUAAUUUCAACAAAAGUUAAAAAAAUAAAAAUAAGCAUGUCUCGACUCUUUUGUUUUAAUGUCAAUAUAUUAGGUGACAUUCCAAGUUAAUUUCACAUAUACCUAAUUUUGAUUAAACUUUCUCACUAGUUGGUUUGCUUAUCUCCACUUUCCGAUCCACUAGUUUUAUGUUUAAUAUUCCCACUAAACUCGUUAAAUACUAAUAUUUUAGGUCAAAAUCCAAUUAAAUUUAUUUCUCGUUAGACAAGUAUCAAUAUUCCGUUAAACUUUCUCCACAUUUGGUUCAUGUGUUUCAACGAUUAUUCUACUAGUUUUUCAUUUAAUAUUUCAACUAGUUUAUCAAGAUUCCAAUUAUAUGGGCUAGAUAUUGAUAUCACUUUUUUUUGUUUGAUUAGUUCUAAAUUUUGGUAAUAGUUUUCCAUCUAUAGGUUCACAUGUUUCAACUUAUUGGUCCACUAAUUUUACAUUUGAUAUUUCUACUAAAUUUGUCAAGUACCAAUAUUUAUUGUUAGCUUCCAAGUAAUUAACAUUAUUCGUUGGAUAAGUUUCAAGUUUUGGUUGUUCUUUCUCUCUUAAUGGUUCACGUGUUUCCUCUAAUUUUUUCCCUAAUUUUGCGUUGAAAAUUGCCAUUAAUUGGUUGAGAUUCCAAUUACUAAGGUUAUGUACUAGGUUUGUUUUCUAUAACUUUAUUUUUUGUUUUGUAGGUCUCUAAUUUUGGUUGUGCUUUCCCCAUUUUUGGUUGACGUAUUUCAAUUGUAAUUCCACAGGUUUUGUGUUCGUUAUUCCAACUAACUUGGUAAAAUUCUAAUUAUAUGGGUUAAAUAUCAAUAUUAAUUUUGCUUGGUUUGAUUAGUCUCAAGUUUUGGUUAUACUUUUUUAUCUUUUGGUUCACAUGUUUCAACUUAUUGGUCCACUGGUUUUGCAUUUCAUAUUUCUAUAAAGUUCGUUAGGUACUAGUAUCAUGGGUUAGAUUCCAAGUAAAUAUCAUUUUUUGUUAAAUGAGUUUCUAAUUUUCAUCAAACUUUCUCUUCUAAUGGUUCACGUGUUUCAUCUAAUUUUUCCCUAAUUUUGUGUUAAAUAUCCCCAUUAACUGGUUGAGAUUCCCAUUACUGAGGUUAGGUACCAAGUUUGUUUUCUAUAACUUUAUUUUUGGUUUUGUAGUUAUCUAAUUUUGGUUGUGCUUUUCUCUAUUUUUUGUUGACGUAUUUCAUUUGUAAUUCCACAAAUUUUGCGUUCGUUAUUUCAACUUAUUCCACAUGUUUUGCGUUCGUUAUUAGAAUAAAAGCAACAUGUUCCAUCAAAAUUUAAGAAUGAUUACUAGUGCUUUCAUGCUCGUGGAGGUGAGAAUGGGAGACGCUUGUUGUCUUAAGUGACUAUUCUUACCCCACUAAAUUUAAUUAAUUUAAUAAUUUAAUAAAUUUAAUCAUUCCUUCUCUAUAUGGUGUUUCCAGCCCUAACGAUUAUUUUCUUAAUAUUAAAAUUGUCAAUAAUAAUAAUUACAAUUAUUAUAACAAAUAGUAAUAAUGAUAAUAAUUGAUUGAGGAUAAAUUAAUAAUUUAUAAUAACUCAUUCUAAUUUAUGUUCACAAAGUAAACAUAUUAAUAGCGAUAUAGAAUAUUCCAAUUGUGUUUCAUUCAUCCAACAAAUAUCAUAUUUUGUUUGUUAUUCUUCAUUUUUAUUGUAGCCCAUUCUAAUUCUAUUUUUUUUUAAAUUUUUGUAAAUUUCAAUUAUUUAUUAGUGAACACAUCAAAAAUUUAAUAAAAAUCAAAUUUCACAUUAGAAAGAGCAUGCAAGGUAGACUUUUGUAGGGUUUGCAAAUCAUAUUGUAGGUAUUUGGAAAUUCACAAAAAGUAAAUAAUGUUAUGUACAUAAAUAAGUUCUUGUUUAUAACGUUUUGCUGUAUUUCACAAAAAGUAAAUAAUGUCGUGUUUGGAUGCUAGGAUUAAGUAUGGGAUUGGACUAAUUUUGGGAUUAAAUAUUUAUCCAAUGUUUGUCAAGCUUAGUUGGAUUGGAUUAAGGGGGUAGUAAUUUAAAUUUAAUCCUAAAAUCAUGGGAUUAAUAAUCCUAAUUUACGCAUGGAUUUAGUUGGGAUAAGAUUAAUGAAAAAAGUUGUCCAUUUAUGAGAUUUUUAUUUAUAUCAUUUUUUUAUUUGCACCUAAUAUUAAAUAAUUAAUUAAUUUUUAUUAUGAUUUACUUAAAACUUAUUUUUAUUUAUUAGCUAUGAUCUAAUUAAAUUAAUAUCUUUACUUGUAUUAACUCUAGAGAUUAAAUUUUCACCACUUAUAUAUUUAGUAAUUUACCGAUAAAAUUAAAUGUUUAAUUAUUUAUUUCGCAAACACACCAAUAUUACAUAAUUUCCCUAUUAUUGCCAUCGGUUCCCAAACAUCCAAGAGCCGGUCGGCAACAAGAGAAAAAAUAGGGGUGACAUAACGACGACUAUGUAAUCAUGGCCAAUAAAUUAUUUCACAGUACCUAAUUAUAGCAACGAUUAAAUGCAACCUGAAAUAUGUUGUUGAAGUCAUAGUUAUGGAAAAUUUUACAAACUUCAAAUAAGACCAAAAAAUUACAAAGAGUAAUGUUAAAUAUCCCAAUUAAAAUUGUGCCACUAUUCAAUCACAAAUGUAGGAUAGGUGACUAUAAUUUUUCUAUAAGUAAUGCUUUGGUACUUUUAACAGUGUGAUGAGUAAACGUUAAUUUUUAUAUUUUAACUCAUGAUCGUUAAGAGAAAUUAAAUUUGGGGUGUGUUUUUCAAAUAAACGUGACACUUCAAAAAUAUAUAUCUCAUCCUUCUCCCCGUUCCUCAUCAAAAACCACUUUUUCCAAUUUUCUCCCACAGGAUGCAGGAAUGAAGAAUGCAUGGAAGGAGAAAUUACCUAUCCAAACAUCCAUAUAUGGAAAUCAUCAACACAAACCACAAAAUUAAGCUAUCUUAUGAAAAAUGACCAUAAUGCAUAAUCAAAAUAUAACAAGUAUUGACAAAUUUGAAAACAAAAUACAUAAUAAUCAUAAUUUCUGGGCAUAAAACCAUGGGAUAAUCACUAAGGAGGUGGUGGAGAUGAAGAUGAGGAUGGCGGCGAAAUCCCAAGAGUGCGGUAGAUGAGCUGCUGGUCAUCUAGAAUCUGCUGUUGCUGUGCAAAAAUACUCUGCUGCUCAGAAUGGAAGUGAUAGUGGAACGCUGCAAACCGUGCCUGAAGUUCGUUUGGUUGUAUAGAUAUGGAACGGAUUAAAACCGUCCCUUUAUAUAGGUAAUGAGUAACUACCUUAUCUUUUUAAUAAUUAAAAGAAAAGUAUUCCUUUAAUUAUUGGUAGAAUAUAUUUUCCAAUUCACUAUAAAAAAUAAAUACUACUAGGGUGAAGAAUAUAAGUAUAAAUUGAAAUACAAAAUUUUUUCACUUUAAGCGUUUUCUCAAAUUUUUUCCCAUAAGAAACUCAAAAAUGUAUUAAUGAAUAAGUUGUAAAACAGAAAGUGGACAAGCCGUCCGCUUAAAAAACAAAGUCUAACACUAUUUGUGCCAUACGAAAGUGUACCCAAUCACCCCUAAAGUGUUUUUUCAACUUUUUCUCGUAUUUGUCUUUUAAGAAUACUUAAUAGAUUAGAUAUUGUAAUAUAAAAAUUGAAGACAAAAACAAACAUGAAUGAUGUAUCAAUAAAUUAAUGGAGAUCUAUUACUACAUUUGGAGUAAAAUUAUGAAUAAAUUAACAUAGAUAAUGAAUUUAUGCCUGUACUCUAUAAUGCAAAUAAUAUUAUGUUUUUAAUUCAAUUUAGCACCCUACAAGAAGAGAUUACCUUAUCGCUUCCAAUCCUUCCUCUAGAUCUAAGCCACUUCAUGAACUUCUUGAUCCUUGAUUCGUUCCAAAAUGUGAUAGGAAGUAUAUUCCUAUAAGGCUGAAUGUUGUCAUAUGCAACAUUAUGGAGAUAAAAGAUCUGCAUGAGCAACUUAUAAUUAAUAAGAAUAAUAUUAUUCAUGGUAAGCAUAUGCUCAGCUUUAGUUGCAGAAACUAUGUCACCUGUAGGAAGUGCAAACAAAUUCCAAUGUAUGCUGCUUGUUGUUUCCAUUAUUUCAUUGUCACCAGAAUGUGAGUUUGAAUUACCCAUCCUUUUAUCUCUCUUUUUGUACCUUGCCUUUUGUUCGGGAGGAAGUUCUUUGUUCCCAAUAUUUUUUCGUAACUGUCAAAAUGAUAAUGAAUAUGUCUUAAAACAUAAAAAACCCACAAAAUAAUAUCUGUACAUGCUACAUUUAAUGAAUAUACUAACCCCAAUCGUAAGGACAAAUCUAAAUUUUCACUUCUCAAACGCUUAACUUCUUCAUUGCUGCAAAAACAUAACAUCUAAUUACUGAUAUUUGGUAUGGGCGUGUUUCUUUCCCGAUAGGUAAAUCACAACGACUAUUUACAAGUAAGAGACAAAUCCAUAAGUUGAAGAAGUUGGAACUGCAUCCUGACCAUUUGCUUUUAGAAUAAGAGCACUUUUUUUUCUGUAAGCCCCCUGGUAGUUGUUUACGCUUUCGUCGGUGACUGUCCAAGAAAAAUUUUAAAUAAUUAAGUGAAGGAUAAUUAUUCCAUCAAUAUGUGUUAAUGUUUUUUAAAAAAAUGAGCUCCCCCACCUGCUAUUCAAAGUCACUGUGUAGUCCUUACUUUUUAAUCUAUUAAACAUUCCAUAUAUGGUGGAAUUCAAGCACAAAUUAUAAUUUUAUUUUCCUCAUUUAUACCAAAGAAAAAGAUGAUAAGAAUAACAAAGGAAAGAUCUUUAUUUUUGCCCAAGACUAAGACCUCUCACACACUCACAAUAAAUGAAUGACAGAGUGAAAAAAAUUGUAUAUAAUAAAGGGAUGGGAUCAAGAGCUCUCAUUUCUUACUACAAAAUUUACGAAAUCUAAAUAUUUCAACAACAUAAAAUUUAAUGGAUAAUGAUCUUUGCUGCAUACAUUAAAAUCAUGACUAUUACCGUGCCCUCAACUUUGCAUCAUACAAACAAAUUUCAUCAUAAAACAAAGUACAAUGCUUUUUUUUUUAAUAAAGAAAUACAUUAAAGGUGUUAUGGCAAAACGUGUUACUUCCCUUUCUUGAACAAGAAUUAAGCAACCCACAAAACCAGAGCUUACAGAAACAAGAUUAAGAAAGAAAAGAACAAAGAAGAAUCAAGCAUUCAAAGACUCACUACACACCAAGAACUAACGUGGUUCAGCUCCACAAAGGAACCUACAUCCACGGCUGUAAAAGCCAGCAAGGGCAGAAGCUUUAUUGAACUUGAAGAUGAUGGAUUACAAUUGAGUCACCACUACAGAUUAAACCUUUCUAAGCUUUAGCGUUUUUCUCUCUGUAAUACUUAAGUGUUUCUCUCUUGUGUGUACCCUCGUAGGCUAGCUUAGAGACAGCUUAUAUACAUGUAUGCUCCUCACGUGUGUAUCCACUUGCAACAAAUCAGUCUGUUAUUUAACUAACUAAUUCUCUCUGCUUUUGGAUCCCACUUACGCCAGCUCACCUGCCACAUCAUAAAGCCCAUAACAGAUUAUAACUAACUUCGGCUUCACAAAAGGCUGCUGUGAAUGAGUAGGGGAUGAUGGGUUGUAACCAAGAUCAAAAUCAAUGCAUUGAAACCAAUAUGACAAACUCCAUACUAUGAAUUAUUAUAAACACCUAAUAAAGGGUUAGUAUAUCAGAGGGAUUGGUACCUAGAAUGUACUUCAGCAAAACAGGACCCCUGAAAAUAAGAAAGAAAAGUUUUGCUCAACAUUCCAAAAAAAUAGAAGAAAGUAGAGCAUCUUGUCAGCUCUUUUUAAAAAAUUAUAUCGUUGUAACUUACACAAAAUUCCACUUAGCGCAAUCGUAAGAUUAAGAUAAAGGCCUGCUUGCUGCACCAGCUUGAUAAACUUCAGCAGAUCAGAAUUCCCCUCCAAGUAAUACUAAAACUAAUUAAAACAAAAACAAAAACAAAAAAACAAAAAUAGCAAAACAUUUACUAAAGAACUUAUUUAAAAUAUUACCCUAGAUUUGAGACUACAAGCAAACAGGGCCUUCUGAUAAAAACAAAUUACAUGCCAUAAAUAAAAUUAUUACAAGCCCACCAAAGAAAUUUUCAGGGUUAUAGUGAUUACAAACCUUCCCUAACUUUAUUUAUCUUCACCAAUGAAAAUAGGUCAACAUUUAACAUUCUUUUACAACCAAGUACACCAAGUCUUACAAUUAAAGGUUUAAGGUUACAAAGCAUAGUUACUUAAGACUCUUAGCUUUAUCGUAAGGCACCUUAGAAAAUUCUAUUACCACACAAAAACCUGGGCCUAUUUCUUAUAAACACGGCAAGAAUCACAUCCAAGGUCAAGCAAAUUCAACAACAAGCCCAUACGGCAUAUACCCAGCACAUACAUUGGCCGAUUUGAGGCACAAUACAAUAGAAUAUUAUCAUAAAACCACCACAAUAUCACUGGAUUCGAAUACAGGAACAAUAGAAAUUUAAUUGUUCAAUUAAAUCAUUACCCCAAAUCACGAAUACCAGCGAGACUACAUUAAUUCAUGCCACUGGCAGCAGCACAUUCUUUAAUAAAAUCCUUCAAACAUAAAAAAUCAGCUACAUGCGAAUCUAGAAUUUAAAAGGAAAUAUACAAUAAUUUUUUGAAGAGAAGAAAUGCCUUUCCACUUAUAUUCAAGAUAAUUCAAGAAAAUGACAGGCCCCAAUUCGCAGCUCAUCAAAACAAACCCCAUUACUUGCAGUUGCUUGAUGCUCGAUAAUGUUACCUCUCUCUUUUUUUUUUCAAUUUAUAAUUUUUUCUUUUUUGUGAAUAACGGAAUCUCAAGAUAAAAUAUUGCAGUAUGACUUAAUUGUAACUCUAUCGGUUCAAAAAUAAAAAUGAGAAGCCCUAGCAAUUAUCAUUCGAUUAUCAAUCCCUAGAAAUCAUCUCAAUAUUUCAAGUAAUAAUUUCUCAAUUGCAAAAUCAAAUUAUUGAAACUGAAAUUUCAAGUAAUAUUAAUAAACUAAACUGAAACUUCAAGCAUAUUUAAAUGACAUAAUAAGAUUCUUAAUCAUAUAUUAAAUUAGAGAGAGAGCUCACCGAAACUAUUGGAUGACAUAAGAGAGAGAUACAGCAAGAGAGAUGAUUUACGACAGUGAAAAUUUGAAGCUAUGACUGACGAAAUGAAGCUGAACGCGAGAAAUUGAGCGACGAAUUGAAGCGAGAGUGACAGAUCGAGUAAGCCUGAGUAAAUGGCACUCUUUCGACUACAUCUUUGCUCUUUGCUGUGAUGGGUGGUGAAUAUUCUUGAAUACCAAGUUCAUUGAUCCAAAAUUCUGGAUGUAGGAGAAAACAAUAGCAGAGAGAAUACGAAGGCUGUUAUUUUGAGGAGGAGAGAGAGGCAUCACAAUCCAACGGUUGUGAUUUUUUAGAUAAGUCAAGUGAUGACAUAAUAACUUAAAAGCUUCAUCUUCCUCUAGCUUCCUUUCGUGAAACCCGAAGCAAUUCCUUCCAUCUCUACGAUAUUAACAAAAGCCAAAAUUUUCAACCAUAAUUACAAUUAAUUUGCUACUUAAACAACGUGAAGUUACAAAAUUUUGGUUUCUGAAUGCGGAGUUAAAAACCUCUAACAUCAAUAUAUUGGGAAUUGUGCCCUCAUCGUCUUAAGAUUAUUUGUUAAUUAUUAUGUAGAAAGGAAAAAAGAUGGAUGAUUUCAAUUUCCACCAAUCGAUAUGCAUGCACGAGUCUGAACUGAGACUGAGAAGACUAUUAGUACAGAGACGGAGGAAAAUAAUCUGCUGAAGCACCGAGUGGCCUAUUUGGAUUUUUCGGAGAAGGUUGAUCUUUAAAGUUCAUUGUUUAUUCAACCAAUCAUAAACAAUCUUUUGUAUUAAAAAAAAAAAAUUAAAAGUUCCAGAUGAAAUGGUAUUUUGAAUAUUAUCUGCAAUAUUCACGUGAUUGGUACCACGUUUUUUAUUUUCUUAUUAACAAAAUUAUUUAUUUCGUAGGGACCGUAUUCUCGCUUCCAAGUUUCUCAUACAUAUGCAAUUUAACCAUUGCGGUUAAUUAGCAUUUGAGUUUUGACUUGGGAAGCGGUAGGGAUGGGAAUAAAAUUCGGAUCCGCAUGUUAAAAAAUGCAGAUUCACAUGUAAGAAAUUAAAUCUGCACGGAUCCGAAUCCGGAUUCAAAUACAAGUGCAUUCAGAAAAUCAGAUAUCCGGAUCCGGCUAAUUUUUUUAUUAAAUUAAAAAAUAUAUAUUAACUUUAACUUAAAAACAAAUUUAACCCAACUCUCACAUUCACACGCGCUUACAACACUUUACCAGCAGCCACAUCCCACAAACCCCUAACACCCAAAUACCCCCAAUUCCGUAGGAUGUCGCCGUCUGCCUCACGGCCUGGCCUAAGCCUCGUGUCCAAGCCUCGAUCUAAGUCGGUCUAUGUCGUUGCGCGCUGAACGCCUCGAUCUGAGUCGGUCGCUGCCGCUGCACGCUGCACGCCUCGAUCUGAGUAAGUUGCUGCCGCUACACGCUCGAUCUGAGUCAGUUGCUGUCGAAUCCUCGCCAUCGAAGAAGCCUCUUGCUGUCGAAUCCUCGCCAUCGGAGAAGCCUCGUCUAAGCACUUUAAUUAAAAUGGUAUUGGCAAGCCUUGUUGAAUCCUUUGGCCUUUGUUGAUUCAAUUUAGUUUAAUUUUGAAUAAAUUUCUUUGCUGAUUCGUUUCAUCACUUUAAUUAAAUGCAUUAAUUUUCAAUAUAAUGUAAAUGUUUAAUAGGUUUUGGGAUUAAGUUUUAAUUUGGAAAAUUGUUGAAUUUUUAAAUUAAAAAUUUAAAUCAAAUCUUGGUGAAACCUGUUGUCAUAUGCUGAUACGUCACUGUACAGUAAAAUUUGUUUAUUCAAAAUUUAAAUUAUGAGUUCGAAUUUGAUGCAGAAUGGGCAACCAGCCUACUGCAAACAAAUCUUCUGGAACAGUUCAGAUGAAGGGACAGCCAAUCCAGCAAAACAGCAACUGUUGUGGUUAGCAGAUCAUGUUAUUUUACUACUACAUGUUAACUAUGUUGACUGCAUUAUCUUAUGAAUCUUUUAAUCUGUCAAAUAUUUAUUUCCUGCUUUAAGUUUUUUCCCGUUUAUAACAAAUUUAAUUUCUUGCUCCAUUGCAUUCCAAAUUCCUGUCAAUUUACGAGGGAAAAAGAAAAGAGAGACGAAAUGGGAGAAAAUGGUCAAAUUUGUUAGGGGGGAGAGAGCUGUUCAAGUAGUUUUUGUUCUCGUUUAUUGUCGUGACCCUCUUGUCGCUUCUCUAUGACCUGGAAGUCCGGUCAUAUCGGAUGGGUAAAGUUACCAAAACGGCAUAAUUUUGGGUGAAAUAUCAUAUUUAUGUAACACUUUUGAUAAUAUUUUUAUGCAACAAAAAAAUGUUCGCUGUACCCUUUUCACAUUGUGAAGCGCAUGAUCGGAUGAGAGCAGUCUGGAUUCUGGCAUCACAAGCGAAUGCUUUGAUUUGCUUAGUUUGUUUUUUGUUUCUGAUAUUUUCUUGGCAUUGGGUGGGAUAUUGUUUCUCUUUUGAGUUUCCCUUUUUUUUUUAUUAUUAUGGAAUUUGGAGAUAGUGUACAUGUAUGAAGAAGACGUAAUCAAGUUGUUUUGAUAAAUUCCCCUGGUCGGUUUACUUCACUAACCAUUAAUGCGCAAAACCUCCUAAUGACCCUAAAAAAUCCCGUACAUAAUUAAAGAAUUUCAAUUUAAUAUGUACAAAAAUAAAUAACUCUCAAAUAUAUUAUUUGAUAAUUCUAAAAACAACAAUUCGCUCUAAUAAAUCUCGUAGGAAAUAUAUAGUCUAUAUUGUAAGUCUUUUCGAGACUAAUUCAAAGAGAAAAUACGAAGGACAUAUAAUUGACCUUCAUCUGUCAUUAAGAACUCUAAAUAAAUUCAUAUACGCAUCGCAACUAAUUACAGUCCUGAUACUUCAUUUGGUUUUUGUUAAUUUUCUAUACAGUUGUGCUGUGCAUAAAAGUUUUGUUAAAUGAAAUCGGCAGGUGAGGAUUAAUUAAUCAGUUAAUUAAGAUCCAGUUAAUGUAAUUAAUUUUAUUUGAUUUUUUUAAUUCGAGUUCUAAAUUAAUCAAUUAAUUUAGAUUCAUGUGAAAUUGAAGUGAAUUAGUUUUGAUCUGUUUUUCGUCCUAUGUUUGUCUGUGUUUACUCUUACUUUUUUUUUGUUUAAAUUUUCGUUUUCUUAUUGUUUACUGAAUAAAUUUAUGAGUUUUAUUUGAGUAUGAUGAUUGAUUUGUGAUUAUAAUUUGUGACUUUUUUUUUUGGAAUUUAAAUCUGAAUGCUUUUUAAGUUGAAUCUAAAUGUGUUGGGCUGCGAUUUAAUUGAGUGAUGUGUGAGCGCCAAAUAUUCAAUAACUGAUAAAUUAUAUUUAUAAAUAUUAAUAGCGAUGGCACAUAAACAAUUAAUUCAAGAACUUGCCCAUAGUGAUUAAUUUAAAGAGUAUAAGUAACAUCGCAAUACAGUCUAGCCCUUACAUGUUUAAUUAGCAAUUGAAAACUACUGUUGCUGAUGAGUUAGAACAUUAUAACACUGUUGCUGAUGAGGCAGCUGGUAAUUCUUCUGGUGAAGAUAUUAAGACUAUUAAAGCUUAAAUGUAAUUAGAGAAAUAUAAUGCAUUCCCUUAGUUUGCUUUUUGUUUUUUAUAUUUGUUUUGCUAAUGCGUUGCUUAGAUUGCUUUUUGUUUUUUGAGAUUUUAUUGGCUUAGUCAUGGGGUAUUGUUUUCUCUUCUAAUUUCUAUUUUUGUUGUUAUGGGAUUUGAUUGUAGUGUACAUAUACGAAAAUUAUGUAAUCAAGUGCUUUCAAUAAAUCAUGAUCGAUUUACUAUUAAUUAAUCAAAUUUAAUUUACUCAAAUUACUCAUGUACACGAUCAAAAUAAAUUUAAUUACAUGACAUAUAUACACGCGCGCACACAUAAACAAAAUGUAAUUAACUUUGAAAUAUAAAAUAUUUAAAAUAAUCACCGUACUAACAAUUCACAAGUUAGAUUUUAUAUAAAUAGACGAAAUAAUGUUAAUCUAGCGAAUCCAGUCAUAAUAAAUUGAUUUUCAUUUAUAUUAAUUAUGUCGAACCAUGUUAUUUUAAUAAAGAGCACUUGAGAAUAUAUAUAUCCAACAGGUAAAAUUUCAAAACAAUAUUUGCCAAAGUCUGACUAAGAGAAUAUACAUGCACGCACGUAUAUAACCGUACAACAGAAGGAUAAAUAAAAGAAAAUGAAGUUUCAACAGCUAAAUAAUGCAAACUCAUUUUUUUAACAAGCAUUUUAUUGUUUAAUUAAAAAAUUUGAAAACCCAUUAAAUACAUGUAAGGACUCACCGACGCCGAACCAUAUUAAUUUAAAUUAGUUUUCAACUGAGAUUUGAAUUUUGAAAUUACAUACACAAACAAGCCCUUUUUUUAAAAUACUAAUAAUAAAAUAUUUCAUUUUUCAUCUAUUACUACAAGAGGUAUAAUCGCAAAAGUGAGGAAGGCAGUCAUCCUCUGUUCAAUUAUCAAAAACUCCUUUUACCAUCCAUUUGAACAUACACAAUCACGCCCAAUUUGAAAAAAAAAAGUAGUAAUUUUAAAAUAUUUCAAUCGUCCACUGUUCAGUCACCAAAAACCAAUUUACCAUCCAUUUCAACACCUAAUUUCAAAAAAGAAAAUACUAAUAAUAAUAAAAUAUUCUAGUCGUCCAUCCUUUUACAAAUAAAAAAUAUCACCAAAAACCAAUUUCCAAUCUAUUUCAAAACAAAUUUUGCCAAAGUCCUCCUCGGCUAAUUAAUUCAUACAUUAAUACAGUCCUCCUCUGCUGAAUAAUGCAAACCCGUUACGUUAUUCUACCAUUUCUUUUUAAAGCAUUCCCCCCAUUUAAUAAAAAAAUUCGAAAACCCAUUAUAUGCAAUACAAAAUGCCCACCGACACCAAACCAUAUUAAUUUAAAAUAGUUUUCAAUUGAGUUUUGAAUUUUAAAAUUACAUACACAAACACACCCGAUUUAAAAAUAAUAAUAAUAAUGCUAACAAUAAAAUAUUUCAGCCGUCCUAUGUGUUAUCGCCAAAAACGGAUUUCCAAUCUAUUACAACAUAAGGUAUAUGGGUUAACAAGUCCCAAUAUUGUCCUCCAUCCUUUCUGCACUUCUCUGCUAUCAACGGACAUUCGUCGAUGUAUAAUCGCAAAAGUGAGGAAGGCAGGCCCUUCUCCGGAAAGUAUUUGAGCUUGGGACAAUCCCCGAGAUACAAUUCAGUGAGGUUUUGAAGAUCAACAAUUGAAGAAGAUAGGCGUUCCAGAUUUGGAAAAUUGAAAAUCUCCAGAGACGUUAGAGAGGCAGGAAGAGGAAGCGCGGUCCCUAAUCUUUUGUCCUCUAGUGGAAAUGACACCAUGUCCUCAUCGCAUCUGCUGAUUGUAAGACGUCGCAGAGAGGAGAAUCUGUGAAAUCCCCGUCCCCGCUCA